rnacentral:lncRNA from 1 species
AGGCUUAUAUAGCCAGAUGGGGAUCCUUAAUGGCUUUCCUUUCCUGCUCCAUCUGUGCUUCUAAAUGCGUGGUAGCAAGUGAGGAUAACAUAUGUACAGAUAUUUCUCUGAAAGGGUCUGGGGAGUUGAUUGCUGGGAAAUAACUUGAAAGAUGUUAUAAAGAAAAAGCAGGAUAAUAAAAUAUAAGUACUUUAGCUAAUUGAUGUGCUAUCGAUCUUGUCUAGUUAUGAACCCAUUUUGUUGGUUCAGCAUAGAGAUUGAUCACAAGUUAUAAACUAAUAAAUUCACUUUCUUGGGUAUUGUUAGGAUUGCAAGAUGUGUGCUUUUGCAAAUAAUUGAGGCUUCUAGAUGGGCAUCCUUGUGUGCUUGUAAAUGAUGGUAGCAAGUGCUGAUAAAAUAUGUACAAAUGUUUAUCUGAAAUGGCCUGGGGAGUUGAUUUCUGGGAAAUAACUUGAAAAAUGCUUUAACUAGUGUAUUUCUUAUUAUCAUCUCUCUUCAAACGCAUCCCCAUCGUGACCCAUCUGAAACAUCGCAGAGAACUUUUCAGUGAUAGAAAAUCGAAUAUGUAAUCCAUCCUCCCGAGGAUAAACCUUCCUCCCGAGAUCUAACCAUUCAAAAUUCUUCAGUAUGUCUUUCCCCAGUUUUGCAUACUUCUUUUGUAGUUGUUGUCCCAGUUUGAAGAAACCUACUUAUGUUUCUCAGCCUCAGAGUUCAAGACAGGACUCUGAGUUAAACACUCUGCAUUUCAAACAUGAGAAACUCUCUCUCUCUCUCUUGGCAUAAGUUUGUCUUCUAAAGACACCAGCAGAAAUGUUGUCCAGCAGGGCAACCCAACAAGUAGAAUCAGAGAAACAGAUAAACUGUAACCAGCAACUUCCCCUCCUACCAUCCCUUCUAAUGCCAAUGAUUCAGAGACUCAAACUUUGCUGUCUUAUUAAAAUGAUUCGUUCUCUGCAAUAUGUAAAAAACUUACAUAUCUGAGAUUAAUAGUUGGAAGUGUUGGAAGAAAAAUCAGUGUGAUAGGAAAUUGAUAGACAGAGCAAUGUAAUAAGCAAAACUAAAAAACAAGAAAAAGAUGUUAACUUUAGAAGUCUGUCUUUAUUGUUUUCUCUAUUCUCCUUAACCUUCCGAAACAAAGUACCCUUAGGUUUUAUACAAGAAGGAUUUUAGUUUUUCUAUUCAAUACAAUCUCUAUUGCGGAAAUUAAGGUUUCCUUUAACAUAUGGGAUUACCUUUACGUAACAGUGUCCUAUUCUUUACAUGGUUUCUCUACUUUGACAGCUCACGACAAUACUCCCCCUCAAGGUGCUGCAUAUAUAUCUCUUAUGCCCAAUUUGUCAAGUGAGUUGUAGAAGAUUUUAGUGGACACUGCCUUCGUGAGUAUAUCCACCAACUGGUCAACUGAUUUGAUGAAUGGGAACUGAAUAAUUUUUUCAUCUAGGUUCUGUUUAAUAAAAUGUUGACCCACCUCAACGUGUUUAGUGCGGUCAUGCUGGACAAGAUUGUGGGAGAUGUCCAUGGUUGGCUUUUUAUCACAAAACAAAUUCAUUUCAGAGCUAGGAGCAGCACCAAUCUCCGUGAGCAACCUUCUAAGCCAAAGAAGCUCACAAAGACCUUUAGCCAUUCCUCAAAAUUUAGCUUCAGCGCUGGGUAAAGCCACUACUUUUUGCUUCUUGCUUCUCCAUGUAACAAGGUUGCCUCCAACAAAUGUAAAAUAGCCUGAUGAGGACUUUCUAUCUGAAACAUUUGCUGCCUAGUCAGCAUCCGUGUAUCCAUCAACAUUCACCUAAUUAUUUUUUGAGAACAUAAGUCCCUUACUAGGGGAGGACUUUAAGUAACGUAGAAUCCAAAUUACAACAUCCAUAUGGUUUUCACUAGGAUAGUACAUGAACUGACUCACUACACUUACAGUGUAGGUAAUAUCUGGGUGGGUAUGAGAUAAAUAGAUAAGCUUACCCACUAACCGUUGAUACCUCUCUUUUUUCGUUGGCACUUGAUCUGUAUAUUCUCCAAGUUUAUGAUUUUGAACAAUAAGGAGUAUCAGCUGGUUUACAUUCCAGUAACCCUAAUUCUGUCAGCAAGUCUAGUACAUAUUUCCUUUGGAAAAGGAAUAUGCCUUGUCUUGACCUGGCCACUUCAAUCUCAAGGAAAUAAUUGAGCCUUCCUAGGUCCUUCAUUUCAAAUUUAGUUGACAAUUGUUCUUGGGAGUCUGGAUAUUUCUUCUGCAUCAUCUCCUGUAACAAUCAUGUCGUCUACAUAAACUAUUAGAGUUAUCACCUUUCCCAGUCGAUGUUUUAGGAAGAGUGUAUGAUCUGAAUUGCUUUGUUAAAACUUAUAUUUUCUCAUAGCCGAACUAAACCGACCAAACCAUGCACGAGGUGAAUGUUUUAAUUUGUACAAUGCUCGUUGCAGCUUACAUACCACUCGUGCCUCUAAGGAAGACGAGCAUCCUGGCGGAAUGUCCAUAUAAACCUCCUCCUCAAGAUCAACAUGGAGGAAGGUAUUUUUUACAUCAAGUUGGUGCAAUGGCCAAUCUAAAUUUGCUGCAAUAGAUAACAAGACUAACAAUAUUUAGUUUGGCUACGGGUGAGAAAGUUUCUUAAUAAUCUAUUCCAUAUGUCUGUGUAUACCCCUUUGCCACUAGUCUUGCCUUGUGUCGAUCGAUGGACCCAUCUGCAUUGUAUUUAAUGGAUAAAAUCCACUUGCACCAGCCCCUUCUCAUCAAUGGACUCUUGACGUAUACGAAGGAGUGCCCCACUGUCUUCUUUCCUCUAGGUAGUUCCACCAGUGCCAAUGUUUUAUUUUUCUGUAAAGCCUACGGUUCUUCCUUUAUAGCGUUAGCCCAAUAUGGAUCUGUCAAGGCUUCUUCAACGGUGCUAGGUAUUUUACAUGAGGACAAGGUAUGUGCAAAUGCUCUAAGAGGUCCAGAUAACCAUUGCAUAGAUAUAUAGUUGGCUAUUGGAUAUUUAGAACGUCUGUCUUUUAUAUUUGGAGAGUACCUAUUUGGUGGCUUGCCCCGAUUGUGUCUGUAAGGUAGAACAUGACUGGCAAAUUUAUCCAUGACAUUAGUGUGUAAAGGUGUAGUAGGAGAACUUACAUUAGGAUUAUUCUCAAGAGGAGGUUCGUCAGGGUCAGGUACUAAGAGGUGGGGAAAGUCAUCUGCAAAGUCUGCACUUAUCGCUGAAACCAACUCAUCUCUUGGAUCCACAGGAACCAUUGAAGCACCUUGAACAUUCAGCUCAAUUCUUUCAUCUUCAUUGUUCAUAUACGUUUGAUUGUUUCCAACAUCCAGCCCUUCACCAACCAGUAGGUGUUGCUCUCCUCCCAACCAAUUCUGCUCUUCAUCGCGAUGCUCCUCUUGAAGAGUGGAAUUGGAUGCCGAAGAUGGGAAGAAGGUGUCAGAUUCUAAAACCGUGACAUCCAUGGUAAUGUAGGUGCGUUUUUUGGUGGGAUCAAAGUAGCGAUAUCCUUUCUUAUAUACUCCAUACCCUAAGAACAGGCAUCGAAUUACGCAUGUGUCCAACUUAGUUCUUUGAUUUUUAUGGAGGUGUACAAAUGCAACGCAACCGAAAAUACAGGGAGGAAGCAACAACACAGUAGGUAAUGGGACAUGGUUAGAUAUAACCUUUAAUGGAGUCUGAAAUGUUAAUACCUUUGUAGGAAUACGAUUCAAUAAAUGCACGGUCGUAGCAACAACAUCAUCCCAAUAGCGACUAGGCAUAUGUGCCCCGAUUAAUAAAGUGCAUGUAGUUUCUAAGAUAUGUUGAUUCUUCCUUUCAGCAAGACCAUUUUGUUGUGGGUUUUGAGAACAUGAGGUCUCAUGGAGAAGACCAUGAUUCUAAAAGUAUGCUUGAAACUGCUGAUUAACAUAUUCCCCUCCAUUGUCAGAAUGAAGGAUAUGAAUCUUCAUAGAAAAUUUGAGUCUAAACCAUGAUGUGAAAGGAUUUGAACACACUAAAUACUUCAUCUUUGUGUUUUAGUAAGUACAACCAUGUCAUUCGAGUGCAAUCAUCGACAAAAAUCACAAACCAACGAUGUUCAAAAGAAGUAGUAACAGGGGAAGGUCCCCACACAUCAGAGUGUAUUAAUGCAAAUGGAAUUGUACUUUUAUUCAUGCUCACAGGAUAAGAAACCCUAUGAAUCUCGGCUAGAAUGCAAGUAUUACACGUAAAUUUUGAGUGUAUUCCAUUGGAAAAUAAAUCUGGAAAUAAGUGCUUCAAAUAACCAAUUGAAGGAUAUCAUAAGCGAUGGUGCCAUUACCAAAUAUGUUCUUUCUUGCUAACCGCAUGGUGCAUGAUAUUUUCUCUGCCUGUACUAAGGUCAUCAACAUAGUAUAAUCCCCCCUCUUAGUAGUAUGCCCAUUUAUCUCCUUAGUGAGAAUAUCCUGAAGAAGAUGAAAUGUAGAGUAUAUUAAUACCACAUAAUUGAGAUCAACAGUAACUUAGCUUACAGACAUUAGUUUGUGGGAAAGAGAUGGAACAAGUAACGUAUGAGAUAAUUAUAAAGAAGGAGAUAGAGUUACAGUUCCAGCCCUUGUAACUAGGCAAGGGACCCCAUUAGCAGUAGCAACAUGACUUCGUCUUGGCAGAGUUGUAUGAGAAAAAUCAUUAGAGUCAAAUGUCAGUAGCCCUAGAGUCGAGAAUCCAUUUGUCAUCAGCAUUGUGAGUAGAGCUAUAGAGUGCGUUACUGCUGUUACCUGAAUUAUGUGUGGUUUCUACAUGGGAGGUGAGGAAUAGUGAAGGUUCCCCAGUAACUAUAGUAGCUCUUCUUGUGCUGGCAUUACUUAUAGGAGUGUCUCAUUUCUUCCUUUUCUGAAGAUCAUGCCACCAAUCUAGGUAUCCAUGUAACUUAAAGCAGGUUUCACAGGUAUGUUUGGCGUUGCCACAAUGAGUGCACUUCAUUUCAUCUGAUGGAGUCGUCAUUUUUACGGAUGGAUUUGGUUUGUCAUUGCUCAGGGAGAGAAACCUUGUCUUCAGUGGUGUAUGGUAACGGCCUGCCUUGAGUGCUUUGGAAUUCAUAACCAUUCUAGGAGCACUCUCGGCCACUGAUGUCAUUACUGUCUGUCUUAUUUCUUCCUGUCUGACAUAAGCAUAAGCCUGCUCCACUGUAAGGAAUGGUUUUAGCUAAAGCACAUUGACACGACCAAAAGCUUGAUGUCUUUUCCCAAGUGCAGGAGUGUCGAAGUAAUCAAUAACCUGGGAAGACCAGGGUCGAACCACAAAGAGGUUAAUUGUAUAAAUUAUAAAUAACAAUACAACAACAACAACAAUAAUAACAAUAAUAAUUAUUAUAAUACUCAGUACGUGGCGUUGUUAUACCUGAGAAUGAUCUAAAAGAUCGGGUCACAGGUUUCUAGCCUAUAUACUGAGUUUAUGAUAAGAUCAAAGAUAUAUAUUAUAUAAUAUAAACAGAAUAUAAAUAAUAAUAAUAAUAAUAAUAAAAGGAGAAGAUGAAGAAAUUAAUGAGAACUUUGAGAUGAAAGAUUAACGUAAGGAUUAAAUAAUGAUAAAAACAAAUGUCAAGGUUAGAGGAUCCACUAAUGGUACUUCAAACAAAUAUAGUAUAAACUCUUAUUACUCAAUUGGAAACCACACAUAAAGGAGGUUCCAAUCAGAUUAUAAAUUGUUAACAUGAUUACAUUAGUUAUCUUAUUCGAAUAAAGCUAAUACUUGUAAAUGUUGGCAGGCAUUCAUGAUUAUAACUUAUGUUAACAACAAAUCAAGUUCUUUUCAUAGCUCAGGUGUCGGUUAAACCAUACAGUAUGGGCUAUGAAAGUGCCAAGUAUUUGUUGUACCAAGUGUUAUACAACAUAAAUCUAGAUUAACCAUUUAACAAGCAAAGUAUUCAAAGUGAACAAGAUAACAAAUAUAAAACAUGUUAGUAUCCAAUGUUAAGGUCCAUGUUAAGUUUAUAUUAUACUUGUUCUUACACCAUUAGUGUACCCUUUUCACCUUGACAUAAUUAACUUAGCUAACAUAAUAAAAGAAAGAAACAUAAAUGAACAAGAUAAGAACAUAAAUGAGAAAGAAGUUAACUAGAAAAGGAAAGGAAAUGAAGUGCAUAAACUUGAUAUUAAUGAAAGCAAGACAUAAGCAAUACAAAGAGAGAAAGCAAGAGCAUGAUCUUGAUCUGAAACCAAGAUGCCUCAAUACAUGGUAAGUGCCUCCUUUUAUAGGCCAAAAUUUGGAACUAUUGAUUUGUUGACUAAUUGAUGAGUGGGUGGCCACAUCUUGACUAGAUAACAAUCCUUAUCUUCUUGUCUGAUCAAGACGUCAUUGCUAACAUCAUAAUUUGCCCAGAAUCCUCAAGAAUGUUCUAGGAAAUUGUCUCAGCUUUCCAACAAAAAAAAGAUGAGGUCAUUUGGACUUCUAGAACUCAAGAUAUGGGUGAACACUAAAUAGUGUUUGGGCUGCAGGACAGCUUCGGACUUCUUCGUUGUUCCUUCAAUUUGGACUUCAAAACGACCUUUUCAAAUCUUGGGCUCCUCAUGAAAGUUGUAGGCCUUUGUCUUACCUUUCCAUCCAUAUAAAGUGGACCUAAAUCCGAAAUCUAGAGCUCCAGAUAUGAUCCAAUUACCGAGCAAUGUUCCGGUUUGGACUGCACCGACAUCUCUUUUCUAAGUUUGGCCAUCUCUUUGUCCUUUAACUUUCAAUGCUUAAACUCAUCAAUCAAUCCUUUUAUUUAUGUGAUAGUCCUGCAUUUAAAAUGAGCAUUUACCAUAAAUUAAGGUAUCUUAUAAUAUCAAACUUGUUAUUAUAAAACAUGCUUUAGUUAAGGAGUUAUUGAUACUUCAAGUGCAAAAUGAUGAUAUAAAACCUUGAUAAACAUGCACUUUUAAGUACUAAUCACACCCCCAACCAGCUUAUUACUAGUCCCUAGUAAUCUAAAGCGUUAAAAUAGAGAAACAAUUUGCAAGUUCCACAAAGCAAGGCAUUCAUCAUUCAACUUCCAUUAAUCUAUCCAGAUAAACAAACUCUCAUUAAAUUUAUAUUCCUGCUUCAUACUUCUUAAACAAGAUAUUAAUAAACCUUCUUUUUAUGUGCUCAAUAUAUGAAAACAUAGAUGAUGGGGCUUUUGUUGGAAGAAAACAAUAUUAUGUUCAAAUGUUUAAGGUGAACUUCCUUGGGUUGGGAAUUUUUUUUUUUCUUCUUUUUUUUUUCUCUUUUUUAUAUAUAUAUACAUACAACUUAAAACACAAACACAAUGUAUCUUUAACCCAUGUAACGAGUUUUAGGCUAAUGACUCCCAGACCAGUUGGUCUUAGGGCAUUAGGUGUUGAGACACCCCUACGAGCUUAACAACUCGGGUUGCAGAUACUGAUACGUAGAUAGUGCAAUGUUUGAUUCCCUUAAGCGUUUCUCCUUAACCCGUGUAACAAGCUUUGGGCCAAUAGCUCCCAAGUUAGUUGACUUUAGGGUAUUAGGUGUUAAAACACCCCUUCGAGCUUAAUUGUUUAGGUUAGGGAGGUUACGAAACCAAACUUAUCCACGUUUUAUUAUCAUCAAUACUAUCUUUUUUUUUUUUUUUUUUUUGCAAAUUAUAUACUAUCCUUUUCCCUUAGUUGUUACCUUCAACAAAAGAACAUAAUUAAUGUAAUAAUCCAAUGUGCAACCCACAAUCAUAUGUUAAAGUGUGUGUGUGAAAAUGAAGGUUUAAUAAUACUUGUUAAAUGAGUAUAGGAGCAGAAUCAAGUGAUAACAAUGUGAGAGUUUGUAAACCUGAAUAUUUCAAGAAGUAUUAUGAUAGACCUUGUAAUGAAAUACUUAGAUUCUAAGAUGCGUCUCUAAGUCAAUAAUUCCAUACUCUGCCAUCCUAAAUAACAAUUUUGUCAAAUGGUUUUAAUAAAGCAAAAACAGUUAGCAAGUUAGUUUUUUUUUUUUUUUUAAACUACUACCCUCUCCCCCCAACCAAAACGAGACAUUGUCCUCAAUGUUCGAAGGUAGAAAGAUAGAGUAUAGAAGACAUCACCUGAAACAGCGAACAAUGACAAACCUGAAACACACUUAAACAAACAUAAGAAGUAACAAAACAAAAUAAUAUGCUAUUAAUAAAACCAAAAGACACAAGGUUUCACAGAUGAAGGCUCAAAUCUAAUCUAAGCUUUUUACGGCUUUCCUUAGUUGACCAAUCUAGACGACUCAUGCAGGGAUCAAUGACAGGGAUGAAAGAUUGUAGUUGGUCAAUCAAUUGUUCAGCAGUAGCAGCAGAGAUUAUGAUUCGUCGUGCCGAAGAUGUUAGAAAUUCCUGUUCCACAGCUUGAUCAAGGAAAGACAGCAACUUAUCAUAAAAACCAUUAACAUUUAACAAACCUAUAGGUUUAUGGUGAAUGUGCAGUUGGGCCCAAGAUGAAAUAUGAAAGAUCUCUUCCAAUGUGCCCAGACCACCUGGUAAGGCAAUGAAGGCAUCAGCAUGGUUAAACAUGGUAUUCAGUCGGUCAGACAUUGUUGGGACCUGUAGUUCCUCUCCAAUUGUUUUUCCAAUGAUGUCCCCAUUUGCUAAAGCUUUGGGGACAACCCCCAAAACUUGACUGCCUCCUAAAAAUGCAGCCAUUGACACACCUCCCAUUAACCCAAGGCUGCCUCCCCCAUACACUAAAUGAAUCUUUCUCUCAGCUAGUACCCGACCAAGAUGAUUUGCUGAUUCUAAAAACUCUUUUUCUUUCCCAGAACUGGAUCCACCGAAAACACAAAUAUUUCUUAUAUGAUGACUUGAGGAACCUGCCAUUUCUACACACUUCUAUAUUUGAUGAAUAUAUGGGAUGAGUAGAAAUGAAGGGAAGGAAGAUAAGAAUUUAUAGAAAAAGUGAAAAUGCAAUCAUACCACCUAUAUGUAGGCCAGCUGUAGUCUCACAAACUCACUCUCUCUCUCUCUCUAUUUAUUAAUUAUUUAUUUUUGAAAAAGCAUGUAUGUACAGGUAGUUGUGAUUGUGGCUCACAUCUUCCCUUGGUUUUACGUCCAAGAAUGGCUUAAACACCCUCUAUGGGUCGGGGAUAGGCUUCCCAUCCAGUUUUCUUAAAAACUGGCAAACAGGGUCUUUUUUAGUCAGAUUCCCAAGACUAAGUCGAUCAUGUUCUUUAUGGAAUUGUGGCCAUAAAUCAUGAAUUACACGAUGCACAUCUCCACUAGGAUGCGUCUCAAGGGUCAACAAAAGAUUAUCUAAAGACCUCUUACUCAGGCCAUCCUUAAUGAAUUGUAUUUUAUCUUCACGGUUUACAGAUACCAUUCCUAAAGAACUACAUGUCGCAUUACAAGUCCAUCUGGCACAUCUGUGACAGACUUUCAAUCGUUUUGCACGACGUUUCAUUGCAAAAGUGCUUUUACCUGUUCCAGGCAUGUGUGAAAUGAAAGAAUUGGAGGACUCACCUGAUAAGCGGACCUUUGCUUCAAUUAACCAGCGAAUAUCUUCAGGAAUUUCAUGAUUCAUUAAUAACCUCAAUCUUGCACACCUAGCACGGUAAAUUUUAUUAAUCGCAUUUGGAGGCAAAGAGGGAAAAUACCUUUUCAACUUUUCAAGAGUGUUGCUACCCAUUUUUUGAUCCAUGUUUUGAUAUAUUUUCAAAAAAUUCAAAAAUAGAGAAAAACAAAGAAAAUCCAAAAAAAUAUGUUUUUUUAAUAUAUUUUCGUCAUUUUAGCAUUUUUAACGUCGUCUAAAAAAUGAUUUAAAUUUUUAAGGGUCUUUUGAACGCGUUCGACUUUUCACCCGUCAUUUUAAAAUCUUUGAUUUUCCUCAUCGAGUCGACGUUGAUAUUGCUCGUUUUCAAAAAUACAAAAAAAUUAAAAAAAUAUCAAAUUUACAAAAAAGAAAGAAGUUGAGAGACCAAGUUUGAAAACUUGGCAACAUUUUUACCUAUAAAUACUGGUUUCCAACACUUGCAAAAGGGGGGGGGCAAUUUUGAAAACACCAGAAAAUACAACAAAAAAACCCUAAACCACAAAAAACCUAAAAAAAACCCAAUGACAACCGCCUCCCCCAGCUGGUUUUUGAAUUUUUCUCCCCAAGUUUUGUUCUCCUGAAGCCAAGACAGCAGCCACCCCACCCUUGCAUUUUUUGGACACCGGCCAAACAGCCCCUCCCCCAAAUAGCCGCUCAUUUUUUCUCUUCUCCCUCACCCGGCAGCAACAUCGGAGCUUCUUCUCUCUCAGCCGACAACAAACCCACGGCACGCAGCAGCCACUCCGUCCCUCUUCCCCUCUCGUCUCCAGCUCCUUCUCCUCUCAACCAUGGCCUCCCUCAUUCUCCAAGACACAGCAGCUUCAUUUUUUCUCUCCAAGACGACCCAACAACCUCAUGGCCGGCUUUUACAGCAUCUCCUUCCCCAUUAAUCAUGUUUUCUUCUCAAAUCGGUCCGCCGCUGCACCUCCAGCCCCCACGCCGGACUAGCUCCCCUCUUCCAGCCGCUCCUCCAGCGCCCACAGACCCAUCAACACCGAAGCCUCUCCCUUCUCGGCGGCAUCUUCUUCGUUGGUCUUCUCAACAGUAAACAAUCAAAUCAGCAGCACCCACGGAGCUAUCAACGCCGUCCACAACGUCAGCCACGGCCACACCACCCGAUCUGCCAUCCUAAGCAGAGGAGAAGAAGACGAACAAGUAAACCGAUCUGCAGCAAAGCAGAUCAAAAACAGACCCGAGAACAGAUCUGCAAAGGAGAAAAGAAAAUUAAAAUCGACUUCUUUAUUGUGUUUUUGGUGGUUCUUGCAGGUCACCGCCGGCGAGAAAAGAAAGGGGAGAAGAGGCUGAAGCCAGAUCCCCGCGUUUCCAGUUUCUGCCUUGCGGCAGCGCGUCAACCCACGCGCCGCCAGUGACGGUGGCGCGUGGAGGAGACGCGCCACCACCGCCCCACAGUUCCAGAAGUCAUCUUGUGCAGCUCCCGGACAUUUUAAGGAUCUUUUUGUAAUUUGUUACAUGUUUGAACAUGUAUUUAAUUAUUGUUGGGUUUGUUUAAGUAUUAUUAUUUUGUAAAUAUAAAAAGAAAAGAAAAGAAAAGAAACAAAAAUAGUGAAAGUGUAUGAUUGUGUUUGUAUUUUGUUUUAUUUAUUUGUAUAUAUUUUUUAAUGAUAAAAUUGCAAAUAUAUUAAAGAAGAAUUUAAUAUUUUGAUCGGAUCACGGUUAAGAAUUAUUAACUUAUACGUAAGUGAUAUUUCUAAUUUCCGAUGAAAAGACAAUUAUUAAAACUUCUUUAACACAUCAAAUUCGCGAAGCAGCUUACCUCAGGUAGGGUGCGUUAGGGUGCUAAUACCUUCCCUAACCACAACCAAUCCCUUACCCGCGAGUCUCUGACAAGAUCAGUACAUCCGGUUUCCUAAUAGCCUUCAAUAAAUUACUAGGUGGCGACUCCAACGAACCAACGAAUUCAAAGCAAACGCAACAACGAAAGAAAAGAUCGCCAGCCCGAUGCCGCGCGUGGAUUUUUCGACGGGCGACAAAGAGUGGUGUCCAUUUUCAAAAGAGAGUUAGAGAAGAGAUUCAAAGAAGGGAGAAAGAGCUAAGAAUUGUACAAAUAUAUACAGAUAUCAAUUAUUUGGGAAACUGAAAGAACCGACUUAAGUCAUGGAGUACCGUUAUCCGCCAUUUGACUGGGGUGAAAGAGAGACUAGCAAAACAAUAGAUACAACAAAACACAAAACAAUGUGAGAAAAAGAAUCAAUCUUUAUAUACAGGAUCACUCAAUUCAAUAGAGUCAUUUUCAAUCGAAAAAUUAUCAAAAUAAACUUUCAAACGAUGCCCAUUUACCUUGAAAACAUUGUCAUUCUUUGGAUUCUCAAUAUCACAGGCCUCAUAUGGAUACACAUGUUUCACAAUAAAAGGACCGCUCCAUCUUGAUCUUAGUUUUCCAGGAAAUAAAUGGAGUCGAGAAUUAUAAAGCAAGACUUUUUGACCAACAUUGAAUGUUUUUCUCAGUAUUUUCUUGUCAUGAAACUCUUUAAUUCUUGCUUUAUGAAUUUUCGAAUUGUCAUAUGCAUCAUUUCUUAUUUCCUCAAGCUCAUUUAUUUGCAAUUUUCGCAGCUGGCUAGCAUCAUCAAGGCUUGAAUUGAAAGCUUUAAUAGCCCAAUAAGCUUUAGAACUAUUGAUUUGUUGACUAAUUGAUGAGUGGGUGGCCACAUCUUGACUUGGUGACAAUCCUUAUCUUCUUGUCUGAACAAAACGUCAUUGCUAACAUCAUAAUUUGCCCAGAAUCCUUAGGAAUGUUCUAGGAAAUUGUCUCAGCUUUCCAACAAAAAAAAGAUGAGGUCAUUUGGACUUCUAGAACUCAAGAUAUGGGUUGAACACUAAAUAGUGUUUGGGCUGCAGGACAGCUUCGGACUUCUUCGUUGUUCCUUCAAUUUGGACUUCAAAACGGUCUUUUUAAAUCUUGGGCUCCCCAUGAAAGUUGUAGGCUUUUGUCUUACGUUUCCAUCCAUAUAAAAUGGACCUAAAUCUAAGAUCUAGAGCUUCAGAUAUGAUCCAAUUACCAAGGAAUGUUCCGGUUUGGACUGCAUCGGCAUCUCUUUUCUAAGUUUGGCCAUCUCUUUGUCCUUUCACUUUCAAUACUUAAACUCAUCAAUCAAUAUUUUCAUUUAUGUGAUAGACCUGCAUUUAAGAUGAGCAUUUACCAUAAAUUAAGGUAUCUUAUAGUAUCAAACUUGUUAUUAUAAAACAUGUUUUAGUUAAGGAGUUAUUGAUACUUCAAGUGCAAAAUGAUGAUAUAAAACCUUGAUAAACAUGCACUUUUAAGUACUAAUCACACAUCACUCCUAGUCUUGUCUAGCCGGUCAUCCAAUCCAUCAAGGAAGGUAUACACUUGAUCUUCCUAUAAGGUUAAAUUGUAUUUCUGAAUGUCUACAACACAGUCCACUAGGUUAGGACGACAAAACUCUAUUUCUCGCCAUAAGCCUUGAAGAUUAUUAUAGUAUUUUUCAAUGGAUCCACCAGCUUAUUUCAUUUAAGUCACGACGGUGGAGGUCAUAAACUUGAGACAUAUUUGUCCCAUAAAAACAGGUUGUAGCAGCAGAAUCCCACACUUGUUUUGCAGUUGGGAAGCGAAUAAAAAUAGCGACUAGGGAGGGGUCCAUUGAAUUAAUUAGCCAUCCCUUUACGAUAGCAUUUUCAAUUCGCCAUCUUCUGAAUGCUAGGUCGGUUUCUUGAGGCUGAGGAGAGUCUCCAUUAAUAUAUCCCAACUUGUCUUUGCCAGAGAUGUACAUCUCAACAACUUGGGACCAUAAGGAAAAAUUAGAGUCUAUCAAUUUGAUGCUGAUUGGAGUAGUCGAAGAAUCACUAGGUGGUGGGUGUUGGGAGGUCUGCGAUCUAGAAAGAACUUCUAUCAUCUUGGUCGUCAGGCUGGUAAGGAUUGAUUCGUUUUGGGGGUUGAGCAGUUCCAUCAGUUCGGUUGAUUCUACCAUGGAAUCUAGGCCGUUUAAGUGUUUUUUCUAGUCACAAGGUGGGUUGAGCAGAGGUCCUAGAAACCUGCCGCUUUGAUACCAUGUUAACUUUAGAAGAGUGUCUUUAUUGUUCUCUCUAUUCUCCUUAACCUUCAGAACAUAGUAUCUUUAGGUUUUAUACAAAGAAGGAUUUUAGUUUUCCUAUUCAAUACAAUCUCUUUUUAUUUUUUUUUGGUAGAAAAAGGAGCCUAAGCCUAGAAGAAAUAGAAGAAAGAGAUUACAUAUAUGUGACAGAAAUGAGGUAAAGGCAGGCCAGACGUGUAAGGUUUGGAGAUUAUAUUGCCUAAUGUGAUAAGGUCAAGAGAAAGAAACUACGCGAAAGUGCUUCCAUAACGGUUCUAAUUUAGACGGUUUGUAUGAGAAAAAUGGAACAGGAAAUUAAACAAGGGCUAAAGAUGGUCUCCAUCGGGAACGUAAUGCAACUCUGGAAGUUACAUGAUCCCAAAAGAUAUUUUGACCAAAUUAAUUAAUUUUAUGCACAAUAAAAUGAGUGUUUUAUCUAACUUUUACUGCAGAGUAAUUAUAACUGUGGAACGAUGAUUUUGCUACUAUUAACACAACAUAAUUUGCCAACGGAACAAGGUUAUAACAGUCAUUAUAACAGUUAUUUUAUUAUUUACACAGUAAAAUGAUUAACAAAACUUUCGACUUUUUCUUUUUAAUUGUACAGUAAAAUAACUCAGAAUGCCUUUAAAUCAUAAUUGUCUUUGCCUUGGGUUGAGGAGUGUUUUAUCUUUUCUUUUUCUUUUUCUUUUCCUUUUCCUUUUUUGUAACCAUGGAGCUUCAUCCAAGGCAAUUUAAUAUUUUUGCAUAAAUAAAAUAAUAAUUAAUCUCAAAAGUCAGGUGCGCGUGUACAUGACGCAAACGCUUCCUAGGUUUUUCCGCACUCUUAGGACGAUGCAUACGACACCAUCUAGCAACAAAACUCCGGCUUUCAUAGUGGCAUUUUAAUCUUUGCAGCUUCGCCUCCUUUCUGAGCAGCGUGUAAAAUAUAUUGGGUUUUGCAUUGGCGGUCAUUUUUUUUUUCUUCUUUCUUUCCUCAAUUUCCUUCUCGAUUUUAGAGCUCACCUUUAUUUAUUUUCAAAACAGCCUUUUAAUUUAUUUUUCUUAUAAAUUUGGUCUAUGUUCUUUUGUUGCUAUUUGUUUUAUUUUAAACUAUAUAUAUAAUUGAAAUUUUCUUUUAAUUUAAUUCACCUUUUGUUUUUUCACCUUUCAGAUUUGAUCUUUAUUCUUUUAAUUAUUAUUUUUUAAUUAUUCAUUUAAUUAAAUUAUCUUUUCAAUUGUAUCCCUCAAUAUUUUAUGUCAUUCUUUUAAUUCAAUUAUUUUUUCAAUUGCAUCCCUCAAUACUUUAGUUUAUUUUUUAUCAAAUUUGGUCCUUAUAUUUUAGAUUUCUAUUAAUUUUAUUUUUAAUAUUUUUUUAAUGAAACUUUUCUUUUUUAUUUCAUUCCUCAAUAUUUUAUUGAUCGGAAUUUUGUUACUUUUUUGGGUCAUGAAUUCGAAAAAUUGGACCGGGUUGGUUUAGAAUUUUUGUUUAGGUCAUGUCAAAUCAUAGUUAUUAUAGUUAUUUUUUUGUCAGUACAAGCAGGGGCUUAUUCCAUGAAUAAUGUUGGAAGAACCCAAAAUAAGAAAAUUUUUGGGUCUUUCACAAUAUUUGUCUCCAAAUAAGCACGUAGGCACUUGUUAAGUGAGAUCAACAAAAGGGUGUAUUGAUGUCCACAAGGAAAGAGGACCUUGCCUCCAUUUUAUUGUGUUGUUAUCUUUAGAUUUGAUGAUCCUGCCACUUCCAUCUUUUUAUUUCUUCCAUUUAUUGUGUAUUGGACUUUGCGUGCUAAAUUAUUACUUAUAUACUAAAACGCAUAUGAUUUUUACUGUAUAUAUUGGUCAUUGUGUAAAAUUUUGUUUUUUUUCUUAGUUUGGUUCUCAAACUUUGUUUUUGGGCGAUCAAGUACUAUUUAAGGAGCAAUUAAUUUCAAAUUCUUAUGAAAUGGUGAGAUUAAAAGAGGGGGGACCAAAAUGAAAACUCCGACACACAUAGGUGACGUACCAUAAAUUUUGAAAACAUUCACUUUGGUCCUCCAACUUAAACAAUAGCACAAAUUAUACAAUUGCGGUCUCUCAAAAUUGUUUCAAUUUUAUUUUGGCACAGAGGUUUAUUUUUGUUAUUUUGUGGUCCUUGGUUGAGAUAGGAGAGAAAGAAGGGUUGAUGGAUUCUGGCGGUAGAGAGAGAAAAUUAUCGUUAACACCGAUUUAGGCCACCAAAAUAAGGGAUUUUGUGUCAAAUUAUUCCAUUAGAUGUGGGGAGUUCAUAUUAUAUGUUCUUAUACCUUAAACGUUCAUGAAAAAACAUAUAUGAGCCCAGGUUGAGUUUUGAUUUCGGGUUGAGUUCGGAUUUUGGGGCCUUUUUUUGGACCAUGAAUGGGGUUUUCAUGGUUUAUAUGAUAUUUUAUAGAUGUUUUGGGAUAAAAAAAAAAAAAAGGUGGCAAAACAAGUUUUUAGGUCAAAAGAGCAUAGGUCCUGAUUUUACAGCAACCAUAGUGGGCGAAAUCUGGGUAAAACAAACGACACGUCGUUUGCCUCGACAAAGAACACGUUGUCUGUUGUUGUCAUGGAUGUUAGACCCAAAGUGAUUAGGUCUAACAUAGUUGCCAGAUUCACUACGUUUGGUCUGGAAUAACUGCGAAACCCAUGAGCCGUACGUCUGGAAUGGCUGUCAGACCCAACAAUAUGGGUCUGAGAAUACUACCAAAACCAGGUGUUUGGAUUUGGCAUGGCUACUAGACUCAUGAGCCUUGGGUCUAGCGUGAAUGUUAGACCUAAGGCUCUUGGAUAUGGCGCCAUGUCAGGCCUAAGAGCCAGUUAAAAAAUUAAAAACAAAAAAAAUGAACAAAACCUCCUCUUUUCUAAUUUGUUCAGAGAGCCUUUUUUAAAUAAUAUUAAGUUUUUUUAUUGUACGUUUAAUUUUCUGAGAAGUUUUUCUAUUCAUAUAUGGUUUUGUUUUUAUCUUUUAUAUAGAUAAACUUUUUAUAAAAUAAAAUUAUUUAUUUUUAGAUGAUAUUUUAAAUGUGUAGCCUUACAUGUUGUUCCUCUAUUUUAUUUUAUUUUUAUUCAAUCAAUUUAAUAUUCUAUUUUUCAAGAUUAAAUAUCUUGAUCUACAUCUAUAUCUUGGUUUUUCAAGUUUUAUUUUUAGAUGUCAUUAAUGAUUUUUUAUUUAUUUAUUAGUACACACAAUUGUUAGUUUAUUUGAUUAGAUGUAUGCUUAAACUUUUUGAUUUGUUAUAUAUUUUGAAUUAUAAAAAUACAUUGAAAAAACAUAUAUAUAUAUAUAUAUAUAUAUAUAUAUAUAUAUAACCAGUAAUAGAGCACGGAUCACAUAGAUUGUUAUGCAUACACAAUAAGACAUCAUAUUCCAACUCGAUAGCCAAAUACUUUAAUUAUUCGCCACUAGCAAAGAAUCCAAAACACAUCACCACACCCACCAGACCACCUUGCAAUGCAUGAUAAUAUGACUCUAAUUCGGAAGCUUCCAUGAAUAAUUUAAGAUUAGUCAGGCUGAAUAAUUUAAAAUUGUGAGCUACAAUCUCAACAGGAGUCUUUCUCAUCAUCAUCCCUCUUCAAACGCAUCCCCAUCGUGACCCUGCUUUGUCAGAAACAUCGCACAAAACUUUUCAGUGAUAGGAAGUCGAAUAUGAAAUCAUAACUUGUUAAGUUUUUUUAAUGUUCUUAAUUGUAUGAAUUUUGUUGUUUGAAUUUUUUUCAUAUGAGAAAAUUUUGUUGGAAAUUAGUUGUUUUGUUUUUCAACUUUGUUUUUUCAUUAAAUUAAAAAAUCCAAGGACAUAAUUGAACUUUAAAAAAGUUUAAGUGGCUUGAUCAGGAGCUAAAAUGAAAGAAAAAUAAAGUUUAGAAGUCAAUUUGUUAGAAAUUAGAAGAAUCAAUAAGUCUAGGGACUUAAUUGAAAUUUGGUUUAUGUUAAUUAAUGCAGCUAGGGAUUUAAUUGAAGAAAAACCUAAGUUUGAGAAUCAAUUUGUGUCAAGAUUGCAAUAAUUAAAGGUUCAAAGACUAAAAUGAAUGGGUGUUGAAGUUUUGAGAGGCAAAUUAAUUUAAUCAAAGGUUAAAUCAAAAGAAUUAAAAGUAUAAAGGGGAAACUGGGGAUGAAAUUAAAGAAUAUCAAAACCAAGGACCACAUUGUAAAAGACACUAAGUGCUCAAUCAAAGAAAUCAAGUGACAUAAUUGAAAAGAUUAUUAAAGAGUGUAACCAAUUGAGGGUUUGUUUGUGAAAUAACAAGAAAAUAGAGACCAAAAUUGACUUUCACUUAUUAAAAACAUUUUUAGGUAAUUAGUUCAGAAUUAAACUCCUUUAUCUGCAAUUGGCUAAUUAACAUAUAAUUUGAAACAUAAUAAAGGUUGCCCAUUAAAUAUAUGCAUUAAUAGAAAUAAAUUAAGGAAAAAAAUCUUAAAACUAGGUCAAAUACAAGUUGAGUGAACUCUUCACUCAAGGGAAACAAAUUGAAUAAAAUCAAUUGGUUUGUAGCAAUCUAAUUUAAGUUAUUUUCUCUUGUAUAGAGGAGGUGUUGCUAAUUUAUUUUUAAAAAAUAGAAAUGGUUUAUGAUAUCUUAAUUUUUUAAUUUGUGUAGAUGUUAAAGGGAAAGUCAAUCGCGUGUUAUAUGAACAUUAUCAUUGCUAGUUCUUCUAGUAACGCUUCUGACGACCAUGAAUUAUUUGGUGCCAACCAAGAAUAAACACCUGAAAGAUAGACAUCCACUUACAACGCAAGCUCAUUGAGUACUUUCAGAGUGAAAUUUUAAAUGAAAUUUUUAUUAUUUAUUUAUUUGGUCAGAAAUUUUUGAUAUUACAUAUUUCAUCGCUAUCUAUGUCAAAAAUAAAUGGCAUAAAUUUUCUAGAAUAUUUUUUGUAGGUAUUUUCAUAGCUAUUUGCUAGUUUUCUAUUAAUUAAACGACUAGAAAAGAAAAAUUGCAUUAGUCCUAAAUGUUAGGAGUAAAUUGAAAGCAAUCCCUAUUUGUUUUUAGUAUGAUCAGAUAUCUUUGCUCAACUACUUGAAAGACAUUUGAUACAAUACGUUUUGGUCUAAACCGAAGACAAUAUUGUUUUUUAUUAAUUUACCACUUACAACUGCUUGUUGUUUGGUCUACUAACGAUGUUUUAUGAAAUUUUUUUUUUUUUUUAUAAAAAAGCAUGUGAGGUCAGAGAAACUGAUUGGAAUAUACAGGAGAUAUUUUAGAAAAAGGCAAUUAGACGUAAUGGAAAACUAGGAGAAAUUAAUGGCAAACAGAUAUAAAAUUUAGGGAUUUAAUAUUAUGUUAUUAAAAUAAAGGGAUUAACUAAAUAAUAAUUAGCCAUGGCAAACAGAUAUUAUGUUAUAUCAAUUUUAAAACCAUUCGCCCAUGUCUUGGGCCCAGUUGUAGACUUGCUCUGAGGACACAUCUAAAAUAAAUUCCGGGUAACUGCGUGAUCCAAUUAACUUUAAGUCAAUUAUUUUAUAAAAAUAAAAUAAUUUUAUUUUUUGUUUUAAAAGUAAUUAUUUGAUGUUGAUCCCAUUCAGUUUCAUUGGAAGUAAACAAGAUUUAGUUAAAUUAAUAUUUUUUAGUUAAAUUCCGGGUAACUGCGUGAUCCAAUUAACUUUAAGUCAAUUUUUUUUUUUUAAGGUUUAGAGAUUUUUAAAUAAUAAAAUUAAAAACUUUUUGGUAAAAAAUUGCAAUCAAUACUAGAUAAAAAUGAACGUACUCUAAUAAGGAAUAUUGCACUGGAAGCAGUAAAAAGCACUGUAAAAGAAAUUAUACACAUCAAUUAUAUAUAGUUAAUUAUACCCAUGGUGCUCUAAAUAUAUGUGGGAAGAAAAAUCCUUAAGAACAGCAAGGUCAUGAAAGAAACAGAAAUGAUGUUAAUAGCCAUAAAUUUCUCCUCUUAAUUAGAUUUUUCUAACUUGAUUCUUACUUCAGAAUGUCACUAGCCAUCAACUUCUGGAGUUUAUUUUCUAACUUGAUUCUUACUUCACCAUGUCAAUAGCCGUCAACUGGUCAAAAUUUUCCAUGCAUAACUGGUCAAGCCUAGACAUUCCGACUUUCUGCUUCCGCCAUUAGCCAUGGAAAAUUCAGUGUGCAUUUGUAUAAUCAAAUAGAUUAGUGAUUAUAUUCAACAUCCAAGUCUUGAUCAAAAUAAAACCAAAAAAGUCCACACGCGGAAACAUUCCAUACCAUAGAGAGAGUGGACUUACCUUAAAUUUACAAUGAACUCUUUCUCUCUCAAUUUUGAGCAAAAAAAAAAAAAGGUCCAUACCACAGAGACUUUUAAGGUUGAUUUAAAAGCAGAAAAUUGAUGAACUGAUAAGAGAACAUCAGCGAAGGGAAAGUGAAGAUUGCAGGUAACUCUGCUUAUCUCUUUUAGUAUUAUGUUAUAUUGUGGAAUGUAACUCAUCAACCGAUUUUGUUGGUUCAGCAUAGAGAUUUAAUUUAUCAUAUGUACAAAUAUUUUUCUGAAAGGGCAUGAAGGAGUUGAUUGCUGGGAAAUAACAUGAAAAUUGUUUUGAAGAUAAAGUAAGAUAAUAAUAUAUGAAUACUUCAGCUUAUUGGUGUGCUGUCGAUCUUGAACUACCGAGAUUAAUCCUGCAACUCCUUUUUUUUUUGUUCAGAUCUUUGAAAAGUCUUAUCUUUGCUAGAAUCGGAAUGGCUGCUGGGAAAUAUCAAGAAUCCUUCUCUUCUCUGUUUUCUAAUUGUAAAUAUCAAGUGUUCUUGAGUUUUAGAGGUGCAGACACCCGCAAGAACUUUACCGAUCACCUCUACAAGGCCCUAAUUCAAGCAGGGAUUCACGCAUUUAGAGAUGAUGAUGAAAUUCGGAGAGGAGAGAAUAUAGAUUUCGAGCUCCAGAAGGCAAUACAACAAUCAAAAAUAUCGAUAAUCGUGUUCUCCAAAGACUAUGCUUCCUCGAGAUGGUGCCUCGAUGAACUUGUAAUGAUCAUGGAACGGAAGAGGAAUGAUGACUGCAUAGUUUUGCCAGUAUUCUAUGAUGUGGAUCCAUCCCAAUUCGGACGUCAAACAGGGAGUUUCGCUGCAGCAUUUAUGGAACAUGAAAAGAGCUUCAACGAGGAGAUGGAGCGGGUGAGUGGGUGGAGGAUUGCUUUGAAAGAAGUUGCAGAUUUAGCUGGAAUGGUUUUAGGAGAUGGGUAAGUUGUAUCUCUUGAUGAAACUACACGUAGCAUAAGACUAGAAUGCUAGUCGUGAACUCUUAAUUUCUUUCAGUUAAGUGUACUGAGAAGAAAAAUAAAAUAAAAUACUUAAGAUUUCUUCGUAGUUUUUUUUUCAAUCACGAUUUGGUUUUAACUAUCAAAUCAUUGACACACAACCUGCUUUAAUUUCUUAGCUAAAUGUUGUUUAUUUCUAUUACUUAUAGAGAGACUACUAAUAAUCGCACAUUUUAUUUUACUUUUGGAUAUAGGUACGAGGCACAGUUUGUCCAAUCUAUUGAGGAGAAGGUCUCAAAGAAAUUGGAUCAAAAAAUGUUUCAUUUACCCCUUCAUUUCAUUGGAAGAGAUCCUCUAGUGAAUUAUAUCAACUCAUGGUUGCAAGAUGGGUCCCAUGAUGCUGGCAUUGCUAUGCUCUAUGGAAUUGGUGGAGUUGGGAAGACAACCAUAGCAAAGAGUGUUUUUAAUCAGAAUAUUCAUAAAUUUGAAGGAAAGAGCUUCCUAUCAAAUUUUAGAUCAAAGGAUAUAGUUUGCCUACAGAGACAACUUCUUUCCGACAUCCUAAAAAAGACUGUUGAUGAGAUAAAUGAUGAAGAUGAAGGAAUUUUGAAGAUUAAGGAUGCAUUAUGUUGCAGGAGAACUCUUAUUGUUCUAGAUGAUGUGGACAAAAGAGAGCAUUUCAAUAAAAUCAUUGGCAUGCAAAACUGGCUUUGUAAGGGAAGUAAAAUCAUUGUAACAACCAGAAAUAAGGGUUUGUUUUCAGCUAAUGAUAUUGAGUGGGUCCGGUGCAAAGUUGAACCGCUAGAUAUUGAAAAAUCACUUGAGCUUUUCUGUUGGAAUGCCUUUGGACAAGCUGACCGUGUUGAUGGUUUCAUCGAAGACUCUUUGAGAAUAGUACGUCAUUGUAAAGGACUUCCAUUAGCCUUCGAGUUAUUGGCUCUUCCUUAUCCGGAAAAGGAAGAGAAAUAUGGGAAAGCGCAUUACAACAAAUGGAAGUGAUUCCUAAUUGUGAAGUUCAAAAGGUUCUUCGAAUAAGUUACGACUCUCUUGAUGAUGAUUACCAGAAGGGUUUAUUCCUUGAUAUUGCUUGUUUCUUCAAUGGAAUGGAUGUGGAUGAUGCAGUUAGGAUACUGGAUGGGCUUGAUAAAGGUGCAAGAUUUGGGAUUGACAAUCUCAUCGAUAGAUGUCUUGUUGAAAUCAACAUUCAUCAAAGGUUGUGGAUGCAUCAACUAGUAAGAGAUAUGGGAAGGGAAAUCGCUCGUCAAGAAUCACCCAAAUGUCAAAGAAUAUGGCGCCACGAGGAUGCUUUUACAGUUUUGAAAGGAACUACUGUAAGUAGCUCACUUUUUUAUAUGUCUACUUAAAUGGUUUGUAGUGCCUUAACAUAUUCUUUCAUUUACUUUCCGUUCUCAUGUACUUUUAAUAUUAUUAUGCAGGAUGCUGAAAAAUUGCGUGGCCUUACCAUUGAUAUGCAUGCAUUAAUGGAAGAUAAUUAUGCAGAAGUUAUAUGUACUGAUUCAGUGGUUCACUGCAAGCGCCGCAGGCUUAACUUCUUUCAGCAAUGGUUUUCUGACUUUUCCGAUGGGGAAAAAUUACAAACUAGCCAAACAAGUUUGUUUUCCAUCCUCAGCACGGAUGCUUUUAGAAAGAUGCCAGAUGUUAAAUUUCUCCAGCUAAACUACACUAAUUUUCGUGGAAGUUUUGAGCACUUCCCUAAGAAUUUGAUAUGGUUAUGUUGGCAUGGAUUGUCUUUGAAAUCCAUACCAAAUCACGUAUGCUUGGAGAAGCUGGUGGUUCUUGAUCUAUCUAGAAGUUGUCUAGUUGAUGCUUGGAAAGGCAAACCGGUAUGUAUCGAGUCUCUCUCUCUAUAGCAAUAUCUCUCAUUUUCAAUUCAUAACAACUAAAUUCAUGUAUUUUCGCAGUUUCUUCCAAAAUUGAAAAUUCUUGAUCUCCAUCACUCUCUUGAUCUCAUUAGAACCCCAGAUUUCUUGGGUCUCCCAGCCCUUGAAAAGCUAAUACUUGAAGACUGCAUCCGUUUGGUUCAAAUUCACGAAUCUAUUGGUGAUUUACAAAAAUUGUUGAUCUUAAAUCUAAGAAAUUGUACAAGUCUUAUGGAGCUUCCAGAAGAAAUGAGUAGAUUGAUAUCACUUCAAGAGCUCGUUUUAGAUGGUUGCUCAAAUCUUGAAAGCCUGAAUAUGGAGUUAGUGCAUCAUCAGUGGCGCAGCUUACUUCAAACCGAUGGAGUUGUUGCAAGUACAUCAUAUAUUACAUCUCUUCCAUUGAAGCUAUUCUUUCCCUCUAGGUUUUCAGCAAGGAAAAUAUUGAGAUUUACCUCGUUUUCACUGCCACGCUCCUUAAGGAGACUAGAUUUAAGUGGAACAACAAUGCGUUCUCUUCCAGAAAGCAUCAAGUAUCUUGGUCUACUCAGAGGCCUAUAUUUAAGAAAUUGCAAAAUGCUUGAGGCAGUCCCAGAGCUUCCAUCCCAUUUGUGGUCGUUAGAUGUGUCCUUUUGCUAUUCACUGCAAAGAGUUUCAAAUCUAAACCCUUGGAAUAAAGCAGAUGGUUGUGAUCAAUUAGUCGAGUUCCAAGAUGUGAUGAAGCAAGAAUUAAUCCAAAAGUUCGACUCACACAUGUUCAGAAUAAUAGAAAUAGUUAGUGCUCAAAUACAGCCAUCGAGAUUUCAGGUCCUCCCUCGCCCAUGUUAUUUUCUUUGAAAUCUACAUUUGAAUAUUUUUCUUUUGCUCAUUUUAUAGACAUUGUUUUGGUGGUACAGAUAACAUUUAUAGAUGGCAUAUUCAACGUUGUUGAUGAAGAUGAGAUGUUAAGGGGGUUUCAUGAGGAUAAAUGGCUAAUUCAGAAUGAGUUUGUAGAUAACUUUUCAUUCAAAAUAUCCUCACCUCCUCCUGCGCACCGGAUAUGUGGCUUUAAUCUAUUCGCAAGGUUUUGUAUGACGUCAGAGUACAGUCACAAUGAUCCUUUUUAUAUUGAAAUCAGAAACAAUACCAGUGGUCGAUCCUUGCUUUGUAAAGGAUACAAGCGUGGGUAUGACGUGAAAUUCCAAUCGCUAAAGCUGUUCGGUGGUCCAAUCGGUAACGCUGUACUCCAAUCGCUAAUGCACACGAAAUUAGGGGUCGAUGAUCCUACAUUUGAUAAUGGUGAUGACGUGAGUAUUUCAGUGCUUCAGGAUGAUGCAGCUAUUCAAAUAAAGACGAUUGGUGUACAAUGGUUGCAUGAAGAGGAAGGAAAGGAUGAUAAUUUUAUCCAAUCAAAGGAUGAAGUUAUCAAUGCCCACAACAGUAGCGAUGAUGAUGAUGGUGAUGCAGCACACGUAGCCAAAGUAGAAAUAGCUUCUCAUCUAUUUAGAAAAUAUUAUUGUGCUUUCCGUACUGAAUUUUAUGAUGGCGAUUGUUGUAACCUAUUUUUGGGUCCCCAAAUAAAUGACAUAAAAUAAAUUUUGAGGAGAAAAGCCCAAAUUUGGAUGUUUAUGGACUUGAUUGGAUUUUUAUUUGAAUUUAUAGGAGUUUUGAUUGCAAGAAAAAUUGAUUUUUAAGUCAAUUUGGGCUUUAAUUGGAAGAAAUUUAAGUUCUGGGGCCAAAUUAUAAUUUUAGGAAUUUAUUAAGUCAAAUCAGGGGCUUAAUUGCAUAAAUAUUGAAGUUUAAUGGCCAAUUAGGGACUUAAUUGAGAAAAUCCGAAACUAGGGACCAAUUUGGAAAAGGUGCCUUAAAUUACUGUUCACUUUCUUCCUCAAAAAGCUGCCUGAGUGGCUGCUUUCCAGGCGCGUUUUCCGGCUCGUGUGGCCUCCAAAUCCGACACAACAUACACCAACAUGUCCACAUGAAAACCCCUUUAUCCCGAAGAAUGAUCAGGUCGGGUCGAAAAUGUCAUAAACGGCUCCGGUGAGUGGCUCAAAGUGGCCACCUCGGGCAGUUCACAGCCUGGAGCUGCCAAAUUUGGCAGCUCGAGGUGCACACUUUGAGCCAACGGUUGAGAUGCUUCCCAACUGAAUCAAGGGCUGAAAUUUUUCCCCAACGUAGACAAGAUUGCCCUCUUCCACAGCCUAUAAAUAGAGUCGGAUUUGAUGAUCUGAGGGUUGAAAAUUCAGGUCCAAAGUCAGCCAAAAACCAGCAUUUUCGCCCAAUUUCUGCAGAUUUUUCUUCUUCUUCUUUCUUCCUCUGCAACAGGAAACCGACGCCGUCUUCCUCCAACUCCACCGCUGCAACCACCGGCUGAACCACCUCAUCGCAGCAGCCACAACCUCUUCGGCCAAGUGAGCCCCUCUUCCUUUCCUCCUCCUUCCUUUUCCUUUCCUCCUUUUCUUCUUCCUCCCUGUCUACUGUUCACUGCAUGAACAGUAGGCGUGAAAUAUAAUUCACGUCCUACUGUUCACGCAGGACGUGAAUUAUAUAUAUAUAUGUGUGUGUGUAUUAUUAUAUUAAUAUUAUAUAAUUAAUUAUAUAUGUAUAUAUAUAUGUAUAUUUUUUCUUUAAAAAAUAUAUUUUGAAAAAUCUUAAAAAAUAUUGUUGAUUUUUCUGCAUGUUUUUGUCAAAGUGGUUUAAUGUUGGUUUGUAUUUUUAUACCGUAAAGAUACAAAACCAGUGUUAAAAAUACCCGGUUUUCGUCAAAAUAUCAAAGAUUUUCAGAAUAAAAAAUGUUUUUGCUUUCAAAAAAAUUCUAAAAAGUCCCUAAAAAUGUUGUUGAUUUUUCUGCAUAUUUUUAUCAAAGUGGAUUAAUAUUGGGUUGUAUUUUUAUACCGUAAGAAUACAAACCCAGUAUUAAAAUACCCGAUUUUUGUUAAAGCAUCAAAAAAUAAAUAUUUUCCAAAAAAGGGUUUUGUUUUCAUGCAUACGGCCUAGUCUCUCCAAUAUAUAUAUAUAAAUAUUAUAACAUCAUAUUUUCACACAACAAAGAAAAUUUUCAAAACAAUAUAUGUAUUAGCAUGCAUUUUGGCUUUAAUAACCAGUUUAUUUAAGCCAUGAGAACUAGGCCAAUAUUUCAAAAAUUCAAAAAAAUCUUUUUUUGUUUUCUUUUAGUAUUUGGGAUUACGAAUUUAUACGUAAAACGUAUUCCUAAAUAUUAUUAAUGAAAUUUUGGUAUGGACGUUAGAACGGUUAGGAUUUUACCCGAUAAGAUAAAGUCUUUCUUACCGAGGAGGAUUUUUCUUGAACCAUAGACAGACCAACAACUAGGAAAACACGAAAAUACCUUAGUUUUAUCAGACAAUAAAACAAUGCAGCUUACCUUAGGUAGGGCGUAUUUGGGGUGCUAAUACCUUCCCUUUACGCAACCAGUCCCCGUACCCGAUCUCUGAGACCAGUUAGGGUUCCUAGUGACCAAAAUACUAGGUGGCGACUCCCAUUCCAUUUUCUACCAAUAAAAGACAAUAUUUUUUUUAUCCCCAUAGAUAUAGAUAGAUUUACAUUAUAGAUUAAGAAAAUGGAAAAACUAUGUUUUUUCGCCGCGACGCCGCACACGUGCGACAGAAUGGCGACUCCACUGGGGACCUUGUAGACUAAGCUUUGUUUUUGUCUGAUUUGUUUGUGUUUUUAUGUGUUUAUUGUUAAUAUGCCUUUCCGUUUAUUUGCAUAUUUUUUUUAUUUUACGCAUAUUAUUCAUGCAUUGUAUAAAAUUGUCUCAUGCAUCACUUGCUUUUAUUUUUGAGAAGCACACACAAGCUUAAGUUAAGUGGGGAAUUAGCGAUUUACCCUAAGACUAUCGGUCAGGGUUUAAAUGCGUGAAACACCCAACUCAUAUCCGAGUGCCUGCUUGGUAAUGGCGAACAUACGUGUCUUAGCUAUUCCUUGCAACGCCCCCAUACUGUCUUUACGAAGAACGUCACUGGGCAGAUAUGAGAACCUUCCAGACUAGAUAGAAAAACUAUCCACUCUCACUUAUUAAAUAGAGCUUGUCCUUAGGUUAUGUAUCUUUUUUGCAAUAUUAUACUCAUUGUGCAUCACUUAUGCAUCACAUUUUCGUCACACAUUUUAUUUUUAAAUUAUCAUAUGCAUUUCAGAUCGUGAAACAUAGGUCCCACACCCAGAGUCCAUCAAACCCGUUUAAGAUCAAGAAUGGAGAAUGAAGAGAGGGCCAUCCUAGAAUCCCGCUACCAAAGUGAAUUGGAAGCCGUAAGGAAUGAAGUGUCUCGAAUGACCAAUCUACUUGAGCAACUUUUAAGAGCCAAGAACGGGGAGGGAACGUCUACCCAACCACCUAUAGGAGCACCGUCAGUUCAUGUCCCGGGGGUAUCUCAGAACUUGGGGGCAGAUUCAGUGACGGGGCAGCACUUUGCGCCUACCAUUCCCAUUCAGCCCCCUCAAGCUCACAUCACAGCAGAUGGGCCUUCCGAUAAUAGGUCCACUGGAUUUAUGAACGAUGACAAGAUAUCAGCCUUGGAAGAAAGGUUAAGAGCAGUCGAGGGAAAUGACUGGUUUGACCCCAUGCGAGCGUCUGAAAUAUGCUUGGUACCAAACAUCACGGUACCAAAAGAUUUUAGGAUACCGGAGUUUAUAAAGUACACUGGGUUGGAAUGCCCAAACACUCACCUUCGAUCUUAUUGCAAUAAGAUGGCUGAGGUGAUUCAUGACGAUAAGUUACUGAUCUACUUUUUCCAAGACAGUCUAUCGGGGUCGGCGUUAAGUUGGUACAUGAGGCUGGAUAAUGCCAGGAUUAAGAAAUGGAAGGAUUUAGUUGAGGCUUUCCUUAAGCAAUACAAGUUUAAUUUGGAAAUUGCUCCAGAUCGAACAAGCCUUAUGUCAAUGGAAAAGAGAAGCCAAGAAUCAGUAAGGGCUUAUGCGCAAAGAUGGAGGGACGAGGCCAUGCAUGUGCAACCCCCUUUGAUAGAAACGGAGAUGGUGACUUUGUUCGCCAAUACAUUCAAGGCACCCUACUAUGAGCAUUUAAUGGGUAGCUCAUCUCAACAUUUCUAUGAUGUGUACGCAUAGCGGAAAGAAUAGAGCAAGGGAUUAAAGCUGGACGCAUAAUUGAGCCAUUGGAGACAAAGGGUUUUUUCGGAAGAAAAAUGAAAGGUCCCGUUAACAACUUCGAAAGUGGGUCCAAUGACAAGAUAGCAGAUUCAUAUAACCCACAAAUACCUACCUCUCAUGUGGCCCACAUAAACUUUAACAAAUCUUUUUCCCCUAAUCGAGCAAAUAACCAGUCAAACACCCAAAACAACCACCAAAGACCAAACACAAGAUACAUUUCAGAACAACUACCGCCAUUACCCAUGCCUUUGAAGGACAUGUAUGCCAAACUACUGAGCAUUGGACAAAUAGCUCCUAUCCCUACAUUACCACUACAGCCACCAUUCCCCAUCUGGUAUAAGCCCGAGUUGACUUGCGAGUACCAUGCUGGUAUUCCCGGACAUUAUCUUGAAACGUGCUACGGUUUCAAGAACAAGUUGUUGAAGCUCAUCAAGAUAGGAUGGGUGUCAUUUGAAGACACACCCAAUAUCAAUUCAAAUCCAUUGCCUGGUCAUGACAAAAGUAAUAGGGGAUAAAGGUUGGAAAACUUUGGUCAAGAAUCGUCAAUAAUGAAGAAGGCGAGAUCGAAGGAGAAGACAAGGAAACGCAAGUGGGGAAGGAAGAUGAAGCAUUGCCUCGGUUGACUUUCCACACACUAGAAGAACUUUCAGAACGGGUUGACCCAAGAACUUCUCGUAGUUUUCAAAAUGUCAAACAACUUUAUUUGCCUUAGCAUGUUUUUGUCAUUUGCUUUUGUCAUUGCUUUUAUUUUCUCUAAUAAUAGGCAAUCAGGGCUCAUGAUGUCAGCCAUAUUUUGUGUUUGUCUUUGAGCCUACCUUAUCUUUAAAUAAAUGAUGAGAUUAUGCACUUUUUGAACAAGUUUGAGUGGUUACAAAUAAAGUAUCAUAAAAUGGUUUAAUAUGAAAUUUAAGAAAAGCUACAUUUGAAAUACAACCUCACCUCUGGAUAACAUAAUGAAUUGAUACAUCACUUGUAAAUUUUCUUUCAAGAUAAAAAUAGAGUUUAUCAAUCCUAACAAUGUGCAUUUUUUUUUUAAAAAAAAAAUAUUGUCCUUUCACUCUCUAAAGAGUUUUUUGUUGGUGGUUUUGUUUUGAGUCGAAAUGAGUUUCUUCUCUAUAUAAAAGCCCAGACUAGGAUCGCACCCCUACACUGGGGGCAAGACGAGAUGUUUUAUGAAAAGUUUUACGAAAGCCUAUAGAUUUGAAAACCAAGCUAAAGCAUUUGACAAAAGCAUGACAAAGAGGCAAAUACAAGUCAUACAUUUUGAGAAAAGGACUACUUGAAGAAAGUCAAAGACUUCUUCUCCAAGAAUAUGAUAGGCAACACAAGAGAUAAAUCCAGCAUACGACUUCAAAAGCAAGUUCAUGUUAAGAGGGAGUCUCAUGAACUAGAAGAAGAGGCUGGGACCUAUGUUUCAAAACCAGGUAUAAAUGCAUGCAUUGCAUCUAAUCAUAAAUCAUUGCAUAUAUGUUUUUUUGGAUCGUUACAGGAGGAGAUCUUAGCGUAUUCCAACAAGAUUAUGGACGAAGAAAGAAUCAUUAAGUUGAUUCUAGAACAACAAGAAGAGAAGAUAAUGGUUUUCAAACCCUGCUAGCAGGAAUAACGACAUCGAUAGCAUUCGGUAUAAAAGGAAUCACCAGAUGGGAUUCCAAGUUGUUUGAGAUCGCUAGAAGGGACCUCAAAUUUCAGCUUUGGUAUAAAAGGAAUCGCCAGAUGGGAUUCCAAGUUGUUUGGCUAAAGGAGAUCGCCAGAAGGGAUCUCAUAUUUCGAUGAAGGUCGCCAGAAGGGACCUAAUAUUUCAGCUUUGAAUAAAAGGAAUCGCCGGAUGGGAUUCCAAGUUAUUUGAGAUCGCCAGAACGGAUCUCGUACUUCGACAUUCAUCAAGGAAGGUCGCCAGAAGGGACCUUAUAUUGAAACCAUUUCUUAGAAAAGCAUGGAGUUUAGUAAGAAUUCUCCCCCCUGGGUAGGUCACCCAUACAAUGAGACCAUCAUUUUUCCUGGGUAGGUCACCCAUACAAUGAGACCAUCAUUUUUCCUGGGUAGGUCACCCAUACAAUGAGACCAUCAUUUUUCCUGGGUAGGUCACCCAUACAAUGAGACCAUCAUUUUUCUGGGUAGGUCACCCAUACAAUGAGACCAUCAUUUUUCUUGGGUAGGUCACCCAUACAAUGAGACCAUCAUUUUUCUGGGUAGGUCACCCAUACAAUGAGACCAUUUUUUCUUGGGUAGGUCACCCAUACAAUGAGACCAUCAUUUUUCUGGGUAGGUCACCCAUACAAUGAGACCAUUAUUUUUUCUUGGGUAGGUCACCCAUACAAUGAGACCAUCAUUUUUCUUGGGUAGGUCACCCAUACAAUGAGACCAUCAUUUUUCUGGGUAGGUCACCCAUAAGAAUGAGACCAUUCUUCAUCUUUUUUUACCUGGGUAGGUCACCCAUAACAAUGAGGCCAUUCUUCCCUCUGGGUAGGUCACCCAUAAUAAUGAGACCACUCUUUCCCUUUUCCACUCGGGCAGGUCACCCAUAAUAAUGAGACCACACACGCAUUUUUGUAUUUGGUUAUGGGUAAAGGAAUCGUCAGAUGAGAUUCCAAGUUGAUUGCGAUCGCCAGAAGGGAUCUCACAUUUCGAUAUUGGUCAAAGGAGGUCACCAGAAGGGACUUCAUAUUUUAGCCUUGGUUAAGAAGAAUCGCUAGAGGGGAUUCCAAGUUUUUGGGGUUAAAGGAGAUCGCCAGAAGGGGUCUUGAGAUGACUAAAUUUUGAUCAUAGUUUUGGGUUGAGGAGGACUGCUGUAAAGACAAAGUUUUAGAGCAAUCGAACUCCGGCCAGAUCAGUUUCAGGAGCUCAGUUUUGGUUUAUCUUUAUAAAACUUACUGCGCAAAACCUCUGCUCCGUAAGCUUUAUAAAGAGGGGGCAUCUGUUGUAACCUAUUUUUGGGUCCCCACAUAAAUGACAUAAAAUAAAUAGCCAAAGGAGGUUAGAAAAAUAACAGGAGGCAGAAGCGCUCAUCAAAUGGUCAGAAAAAUCGGUCAAGGAGAUUAAACAUACAAAGAGGGAUUUUUGACAAUAUAUUCUUGAAUGAUGAGAGCCCUAUUGAGAAGGAAAAUUUGAAUUUUGAGGAGAAAAGCCCAAAUUUGGAUGUUUAUGGACUUGAUUGGAUUUUUAUUUGAAUUUAUAGGAGUUUUGAUUGCAAGAAAAAUUGAUUUUUAAGUCAAUUUGGGCUUUAAUUGGAAGAAAUUUAAGUUCUGGGGCCAAAUUAAAAUUUUUAGGAAUUUAUUAAGUCAAAUCAGGGGCUUAAUUGCAUAAAUAUUGAAGUUUAAUGGCCAAUUAGGGACUUAAUUGAGAAAAUCCGAAACUAGGGACCAAUUUGGAAAAGGUGCCUUAAAUUACUGUUCACUUUCUUCCUCAAAAAGCUGCCUGAGUGGCUGCUUUCCAGGCGCGUUUUCCGGCUCGUGUGGCCUCCAAAUCCGACACAACAUACACCAACAUGUCCACAUGAAACCCCUUUAUCCCGAAGAAUGAUCAGGUCGGGUCGAAAAUGUCAUAAACGGCUCCGGUGAGUGGCUCAAAGUGGCCACCUCGGGCAGUUCACAGCCUGGAGCUGCCAAAUUUGGCAGCUCGAGGUGCACACUUUGAGCCAACGGUUGAGAUGCUUCCCAACUGAAUCAAGGGCUGAAAUUUUUCCCCAACGUAGACAAGAUUGCCCUCUUUCACAGCCUAUAAAUAGAGUCGGAUUUGAUGACCUGAGGGUUGAAAAUUCAGGUCCAAAGUCAGCCAAAAACCAGCAUUUUCGCCCAAUUUCUGCAGAUUUUUCUUCUUCUUCUUUCUUCCUCUGCAACAGGAAACCGACGCCGUCUUCCUCCAACUCCACCGCUGCAACCACCGGCUGAACCACCUCAUCGCAGCAGGCACAACCUCUUCGGCCAAGUGAGCCCCUCUUCCUUUCCUCCUCCUUCCUUUUCCUUUCCUCCUUUUUCUUCUUCCUCCCUGUCUACUGUUCACUGCAUGAACAGUAGGCGUGAAAUAUAAUUCACGUCCUACUGUUCACGCAGGACGUGAAUUAUAUAUAUAUGUGUGUGUGUAUUAUUAUAUUAUAUAUUAUAAUAUAUUAUAUUAUAUAUGUAUAUAUAUAUGUAUAUUUUUUCUUUAAAAAAUAUAUUUUGAAAAAUCUUAAAAAAUAUUGUUGAUUUUUCUGCAUGUUUUUGUCAAAGUGGUUUAAUGUUGGUUUGUAUUUUUAUACCGUAAAGAUACAAAACCAGUGUUAAAAAUACCCGGUUUUCGUCAAAAUAUCAAAGAUUUUCAGAAUAAAAAAUGUUUUUGCUUUCAAAAAAAUUCUAAAAAGUCCCCAAAAAUGUUGUUGAUUUUUCUGCAUAUUUUUAUCAAAGUGCAUUAAUAUUGGGUUGUAUUUUUAUACCGUAAGAAUACAAACCCAGUAUUAAAAUACCCGAUUUUUGUUAAAGCAUCAAAAAAUAAAUAUUUUCCAAAAAAGGGUUUUGUUUUCAUGCAUACGGCCUAGUCUCUCCAAUAUAUAUAUAUAAAUAUUAUAACAUCAUAUUUUCACACAACAAAGAAAAUUUUCAAAACAAUAUAUGUAUUAGCAUGCAUUUUGACUUUAAUAACCAGUUUAUUUAAAUCAUGAGAACUAGGCCAAUAUUUCAAAAAUUCUAAAAAAUCUUUUUUGUCUUCUUUUAGUAUUUGGGAUUACGAAUUUAUACGUAAAACGUAUUCCUAAAUAUUAUUAAUGAAAUUUUGGUAUGGACGUUAGAACGGUUAGGAUUUUACCCGAUAAGAUAAAGUCUUUCUUACCGAGGAGGAUUUUUCUUGAACCAUAGACAGACCAACAACUAGGAAAACACGAAAAUACCUUAGUUUUUAUCAGACAAUAAAACAAUGCAGCUUACCUUAGGUAGGGCGUAUUUGGGGUGCUAAUACCUUCCCUUUACGCAACCAGUCCCCGUACCCGAUCUCUGAGACCAGUUAGGGUUCCUAGUGACCAAAAUACUAGGUGGCGACUCCCAUUCCAUUUUCUACCAAUAAAAGACAAUAUUUUUUUUUUGUAUCCCCAUAGAUAUAGAUAGAUUUAUAGUAUAGAUUAAGAAAAUGGAAAACUAUGUUAUUUUCGCCGCGACGCCGCACACGUGCGACAGCGAUUUCUCUUGGUGUUUUUUGGCAAAGAAAGGUCUUCAACCUGUAUUAAUAUAGGAUUCAUUCAGUAGAGUUUGUGUUUUUAGAUUUCAAACAUAAAUAAUAAAAAAAAAACUUAUGAGAGAUUUUUUUUUUUUCUAAAAAACCUUAUCAUGAAAAGAGUUUUGUAUCUCUAGUAAUCUUCCAUCUUUCUUUCUUUUUUUUACCUUUUAUUUAUAAAUAUUUGUAAAGGCUUUUAAAUUUUUUUUCAAAAUCACAUAAUAUCAUCUGAUUAUCAAAAUUAAAAAUUUAAAGAUCAAUUUUGAUUGAAAAUUAUCAAAUAAAAAGAUAGACAGGUAGAAAUAAAAUUCAAUAAUCAAAAAGUGAAAAUCCUGAAAUUUUCACUGAGACUCUUUCUUUUCAUAAAAAAUAGGUACUUUGAGAUCUUGGUUCGAAAGUCUCAAUAUCCUGAAUUAAAAGGUGCAAUUUAUUCAUGAUUUCGAUUAACGAUCGAUGAGAUAUGACUUGAUUUAUUGGAUACCGCCUGUAAAGAAGAACCGUGAGAGUUGAUGGGGGCUAGGUUUAGCAGAUGGCCCCAACUGAGGGAUUAUGUCUCAUGUCCCUUUUGGUAAUUAUAACAAGAAUUACUGGCCCUAGUAAACGCGUGAUAAAUGAUUCGAGCAAAUAAUAAAAAAAAGUCCUAACAUGGAAAUGGCUCCACGGUUAUGUCUAUUUUUAUAUUUCAAAAAUAUUUUUAAGAAAUUUAAUAGUUAUUAUUUUUUUUAUUUUAAAUUUUUUUAGUAUGCUGAUAUAAAAAAAUAAUUUUUUAAAAAUAAAAAUAAUAUUAUUUUAAUAAUUUCUUUAAAAACAGAAAGUUGGUGAGCUGAUUAGAGAACAUCAGCGAAGGGAAAGUGAAGAUUGCAGGUACUCUCGCUCUCUCUCUUAUCUCUUUUAGUAUCAUGUUAUAUUGUGCAAUGUAACUCUGCUGUAACUGAGAAUCACUUAAAUUAAUUCACUGUUAGAAACUAAUUAUUGAUGAUCUCAUCAACCGGUUUUGUUGGUUCAGCAUAGAGAUUUAUCAUAUGUACACAUAUUUUUCUGAAAGGGCAUGGAGGAUUUGAUUGCUGGGAAAUAACUUGAAAACUGUUUUAAAGAUAAAGUAAGAUAAAAAUAUAUGAAUACUUCAGCUUAUUGGUGUGCUGUCGAUCUUGAACUCCUUUUUUUUUCUUAAGAUAAAGGAUCCUGGUCUACUCAGAGCCCUGCCUUUAAGAAAUUGCAAAUGCUUCAGGCACUCCCAGAGCUUCCAUCCCAUUUGGGUUCGUUGGAUGUGUCCUUUUGUUUUUGACUGCAAAGAGUUCCAAAACUAAUCUGGUGGACUAAAGCAGAUGGUUGUGAUCACUUAGUCGAGUUCCAAGAUUAGAUAAAGCAAGAAUUAAUCCAAAAGUUUGACUCACCCAUGUUAAAAAUAAUGGAGAUGGUUAGUGCUUAAAUACUGCCAUCGAGAUUUCAGAGUUUUAUUGUUUUUGAAAUCUAAAUUUGAAUAUUUUUCUUUUGCUCAUUUUAUAGACUUUGUUUUGGUGGUAUAGCCAGCUUUCUAUAACCGCACAUUCAGAGUUGUCGUAUAUUUGUUUUUGGAUAGUAAACGAGAGAAUUAUAUAUUAAGCAGUCCAUCAAGUAGGUGGUGAUGCAACCAUAUUAUUCGAUAGUUUCACCCACAUUUAACUAGUGUUUUGCCUAUGUUUUAUAUAUAAAAUAUCUUGAUAUUCUUUAUUUUAUGUUUUGAAGGCACUUUUGGAUGAAAGAUGCAAAAAGGAGUAAAUUGGAGGUAAUUGGCAGAUUUGACCUUCAUUCGAUGUUUUGUGCAGAGCGUGAGCUCUAAAGGUCAAAAUGAAGUGAUUUCAGUGGCAUUAAAAAGCUAACAUCCAUACCUUUCUGGAUAUCGAAGGAAAGAAAAUAAAAUAAGGAAGAGCAUGGAAAUCGCAGCCUUCAAAGUCAAAUCUCGCAAUCUGCUAGUGUUGACCUUCGUCCAUUCCAACUUGAAUAUCUAGAGCUACAGAAGUCCAAAUGAUGCAAACUCAAUUUGGUUGGAUGCCUGACUCAAAGAGAUAUAAACGCUCCAAAUUGAAGCAAAAAACGAUAUCAUAUGAGGGAGAUAUGAUUUUUCAAAUAUGACAACUGAAUUCUACUAGCAAACAGGUUUCGUGAAGAAACGAGUCCAAAUUACAUUCCGAAGCAUCUAAACCGAUAUCCAAGUUUUUAUUCCAGCAAUUUAGCUCCUCUAAGUCAAAGCUUGAAGAUUUCAUGCAAGGCUAUUUCUUCUUUUUUAGGAAAAUAGUUAUUGAAGUACUUAAAUGUAAACAAUCUACUUAAGGGAGGACUAUUUUGUAAAAUAGAGACUAGGGUUUCCUAUGAUAUAAAAAGAAUGAGAGGAGAAGGGGGGUAGCCAGCCAACAAGAGAAAAACACCCCCUCCUCUAAGAAACCCUAAAUCAUGCAUUCUUCCUUCUUUUUUAUUAGUUGUUCGACAAACAUGCAAGGCUAAACUCGUUUCUUGGUUGCAAGGACAUGGAAACCUUCGGAUUUCAAGAACUGUGAGAUUUAUUUUAUCUUUUCUUUUUAGUUUAUAUUAUGAAUAUGUUUGUUCUCCUAUGCUUAAUUUUCAUAUGAUUAUUUAUUUUAAUUGCUCGAGCGGACUCUAAGUUAUUAUUGUAGACAAUCUAUUGCUAAGUUUGAUAUCAAAACCGGAGUUGUGGUAUAUAAACUUGUGAAGCAACUGAGUUUAAUAAUUGUGGCGGAUCUACGUUAUUAAUCUUAGGGAGAACAUUCAAUCAAAUCAAACAUAGACUGCGGACAGUUAUAUUUUCUUGAUUAAUCAACUUAUCCAGUUCUUAAGGCUGCCAUUGAAUUAAAUUACUAGUGCGGACACUGUGAUUGUUUGAUGAUUAGGGUUAGUUAUACGGCAGAUCCGUUAACUAAACAAUGUUAAGAAGAGAUAAAUAUUCAGAAUAUAAAUUCCUGAGCUCCAUAAUCAGAUUGAGAAUUUAAGGAAAAGACUUCGUGAUGAGAGACAUCACAGAAACGACUUGGAGAGGAGAAACCAAGAGCUCAAUGCGCGUGUUGACUUUUGGAGGGAUUAUGUGAACACACGACACCUCUAGUUCGAGGAACAGAUGGAGCGCAUAAUUAACCAGUUUGAGGAAUUUCGAAUAAUGAUGGAUCAUCAUCGAGAUGAAAAUAUCCCUAAUCGUCCUCGUAGUGUUUAACGUUUGUACUUGUAAACCAUUAUGCCCAUGAAUAAAAAUCCAUCGUUCUCGUCUUCAUUUAUGAAUUUUGCUUUUGUGGAAUUGCCAUAUUUGAUGUGAUUUAAAAGAACUUCAUUUCAUCUGAAUCUUGUUGGAUCCCGUUAGGAAUUUUGUGUUGUGAAAUAUCUGCAAAACAAAUAUGUAAUGCUCGUGGAGUUAGAUGAUAUGCAAUGCAUCUUACCUGUUUUUGAAAUAUAGAUCCCCGUUCAUCUUGUUUAAAGAUCUUGACUUUGAGUGAGCUCUUUUGAUUUACACGUACUUCAAAUCUACUCAAGCCGACCCAUGUUGUUCAUUCUUCGAAGAUACGCUUUGUUUGAGUUUCCCAACAAUCACUGCACUUUUCUCUAUUGGUAACUUCACUGAGAGAAUUAACUUCUCCCUAGCCCGAUAUUGUUCUAUAGGCAACAUUCCCAUUAUUGAAGAUUCUUUAACCAAUUCAUAUGGUCAAUAUAAGAGGAUUAUCCCGCUUCACCUGGGAUUUCAUAUAUUUCUCUUACUGAAGAUGCGUCAGUUAUCUUGUUGUCUAACUGAUCAUAUUGUGAGAGUCAACAAUCUCCUUUCAUGGAUACUGCAAAUCAUACUAUUUCAGCCCUCAUGCUGGAAGAAGUCCACAGUUUUAUCAUGCUGGAAGCAAAUUUCUUUGUGCCAUUAAGGAUCUGGUAACCGCUUCUCUGCCCCCUGGGAGAAUUAACUGCCUCAUUCAUUUCCUCCUUUCUUUUGUUCAUUAGAAUCUCUGAUUUUCUAAUGGUGCCUCUGUAGUGUGCCAUAUAUUCAUUUUUCUUACAAAGAAAACCUUUUUUCAAAAAUGAUUUUUCAAAAGAUCUGUUUUGUUCUCGAAAACUGAAACUCUCAAUGUCUGUUUAUAACAAUGUUCAGACAACUCUAGGGCUUUAGUAAAUCUCUUGGUAAAAGUAAUCUCAGAUGAAGGUAAGUGAUGAGAUGACCUUCUGCUUUGGUUUUCAAAGUGUUCAAGUGAUUGCUUGAGGUAUUUUCAGAGAAAAGAAACAAUUUGCCUUUAUCUUUAGAAACACUCUUUUUAACAGCAUGAAUAAUAACGAGUAAUUAUUUGCUAUGCCAUGACUCUUUAUGGAAAAGUCUCUUAUAUUUUGAGAACGCCGUUUAUUGAUCCAGGUUGCUUACUUGAUUAGAAAGGACUUCAAAGGCACGUAAUGUAUUUCAUGGCUCAAGGCUAUAAAAGAAAGAGUAUUCCAUAAGCUCAAAAAAGUGUUUAAGGGCUUAUAAACUAUAGAUCACUAUUAUCUUGUCUUGGCAUUUUCUUUUGCUAUCUUGACAACAAAAAUGAUGAUAAAUAUUCCAAAUGAGGAACUUCUUUUUUUUUUUUUUUAUUCCCAUCUUUGUUAGGAAUUCAAUUGUUUGGAAUUUUAUUGAAUUUCUGUUGUCAAACUUUCUUUAAGCUCACAUGCCUUUAAGAAAUUUCUUAAUCAUAUUUCUCUGUUUGCCCCCUAGUGUAGGGUGUGAUCUUAGUUAAGGUUCUUGUGAAAAAAAAAGGCUUUAAAUAGACUCGGCUCAAAUUGGGACUGCAAAGGAUAAUUUUAAAGAAAGUGAAAGGAAUAUCAAAGAUGGCCUUUCCUCAUUUCAAGUAAGAUCAGUUAAAACCAAUAAACUUUGUCCACAUCCAAUGUAAUGCUUUGGAUUUGUAAGAGACCAUGUUUUGGAGUCCAUGACAAACUAAUGUACUACCAACCAUUAUUCAUGCUGAUAAAAUGUGGAUCAAGCAUAAUUUGGGUGAUAGUUGUUCCAAUUGCAUGUUUUUUUUUACUUGUUUGGUCAUCUCUUUCAAGGGAAUUGCUCUGAACAUUAUUCCAAACAAAACAUUGAUUUAUUUCAUUGAAAUCACAAACAAAAUCAGUUCUUUUAAAACCUCAUUUAAGAAGAAUGGAUUCUCCUGUAAAAAGAGUUUGAAAGAUCGAAUUGUUGAGUCAUUGAGAUCAUGCAUGGGUUUUUUUUUGGUGAUAUAAUGCAAAGAGAAUUUCCUGGCCAAAGCUUCAUUGAUUUGAUUGGAUGAAACACAUCAUACAUAAUACUUCUUCACAGAGUCAGAGUUCACAGGCCUAGGUAAAUCAUCUCCAUCCAUCCUAGUUAACAACAGAGCUCCUCCGGAGAAUGCUUUCUUCACUACAUAUGGGCCUUCAUAGUUUGGUGCCCACUUGCUUCGGUCUUCACUUGGCAAUGGUAAGAUUUUUCUCAGUACAAGAUCCCCUUCUUUGAAUUCUCUUGGUCGGACUUUCCGGUCAUAUGCUUUGGCCAUCCUUCUUUGGUAUAGCUGGUGAUGACAAAUUGCAGUCAACCUCUUCUCAUUUAUCAUGUUUAGCUGCUCAUAUCUCACUUUAGCCCAUUCAGCUUCUUCUAGUUCAGAUUCUAUUAGUACUCUCAAAGAUGGAAUUUCUACUUCCAAAGGCAUCACUGCCUCCAUCCCAAAUACUAAUGAGUAAGGUGUAGCUCCAGUGGAUGUCCUUACUGCUGUACGAUAUGCAUGCAGGCAAAGGGAAGCAUCUCAUGCCAAUCCUUAUAAGUGACUACCAUCUUCUGGAUAAUCUUCUUGAUAUUCUUUUCGCAGCUUCAACAGCACCAUUCAUCUUUGGUCUGUAAGGAGAUGAGUUUGAAUGUUUAAUUUUCCACUUCACACAUAAUUCUGUGAUUAUUUUCCCAUUAAAGUUCUGGGCAUUGUCGGUCACUAUCUUCUCAGGUGAACCAUACCGACAUAUCAAAUCUUUCUCAAUGAAGCACUUGACCACUUUUUGAGUUACAUGAGCAUAAGAGCUGGCCUCCACCCACUUUGUGAAGUAAUCAAUGGCUACUAAGAUAAAUUGAUGCUUAUUGCUGGCCUUUGGGUUAAUUGGCCCAAUCACAUCUAUUCCCCACAUUGCAAAUGGCCAUGGUGAUGUCAUAUUAAACAGAGGAGCUGGAGGUGCAUUUAUUUUAUCACUAUACACCUGACAUUUAUGCAUUUUCUAACAUAAUCAAUGCAAUCUUUCUCCAUGGUCAUCCAGAAGUACCCAUCGUUGCAUUUGUCUAGCCAUCAUGUGCCCACUUGCAUGAGUUGCACAAAUUCCUUCGUGAAUCUUGCAAUGCUACCUUAGCUUCGAUUUCGUCUAGACAUCUUAGUAAAGUUCCAUUGAAUGAUCUUUUAUAUAGAAUUUCUCCAUCCAGGUAAAAUUCCAUGGCUAACCUUCUCAAGGUCUUCAUAUCUGCUUUAGAUGCCCCCAAGGGAUAUUCUCGAUAUUGGAUAAACCGCUUUAUAUCAUAAAACCAUGGGUUCCCAUCUAUUUCUCCUUCAAGUGAACAACAAUGAGCUGGAAAAUUUUUAAUCUCAAUGUGGAUUGGUUGUACCCUGAUUCCGUAAUCAAUUUUGGCCAUAGAAGCUAAGGUUGCCAAAGCAUCAGCAAACUGGUUUUUGUCUCUUCCCAUAUGGGUAAAGUCUAUCUCAUCAAAGCCCUCAGUUAGUUUUGAGAGAUAUUGUUGAUAUGGGAUCAAUUUUUCUUCUUUGGUCUGCCAUUCGCCUUUCACUUGACAGAUUAUUAACAUUGAAUCCCCAUAAACAUCAAGCUUCUUUAUUUUCAUCUCUAAAGCAGCUUCUAACCCAAGGAUACAAGCCUCAUAUUCAGCAGUAUUGUUGGUACAUUCAAAUUGUAGUUUGAUUGAGAUGGGAUAUUGCUUCUGGUCAGGUGAGAUUAUCACAGCCCCUGCUCCAUUGCCAGAUACAUUCACGCCCCAUCAAAAUACAUAAUCCACCAAUCAUUCUUCUCUUUGUCUUCUUCUACUAUCAACACAUCCUCAUCCGGGAAGUCAAAGUUCAAAGGCUCAUAAUCUUUGAUAGCAUUAUCUGCCAAAUGAUCAGCAAUUACACUUCCUUUUACGGAUUUUCUUGUCUUGUAUACAAUGUCAUACUCGACCAACAUUACUUGCCACCUUGCUAUUCGACUUGACAAGUAAGGUUUCUCAAAGAUGUAUUUAAGAGGAUCCAUUUUUUAGAUCAACCAGGUGGUAUAAUACAACAUAUAUUGUCGAAGACGCUUCGUGCUCCAUACAAGAGCACAACAUAGCUUCUCAAUCAUAGUAUAUCUGGAUUCAUAAUCAGUAAACUUCUUACUCAGAUAAUAGAUAGCUUGCUCCUUUCUUCUAGACUCAUCAUGUUGUCCCAACACACAACCCAUUGCUUCCUCAGUUACUGUCAAAUACAAGAUCAAAGGUCUUCCAGGCACAGGUGGCACUAACAAAGGUGGAUUCUGUAAGUAUUGCUUUAUUUUAUCAAAAGCUUCUUGACAAUCUUUGUCCCAAGUACCAGGAUUCUUUUUCCGAAGCAAUCGGAAAAUUGGCUCACAUGUUGCUGUUAACUGAGAUAUGAAUCGUGCAAUGUAAUUCAAACGUCCCAAGAAACCUCUUACUUCUUUUUCGGUUUUAGGAGCUGUCAUAGCCUGAAUUGCUUUCACUUUAUCAGGAUCGACCUCUAUUCCUUUGUUGCUUAUCACAAACCCUAGCAACUUUCCAGACUUCACCCCAAAUGAGCAUUUUGCAGGAUUCAAUUUCAACUGAUACUUCCUUAGUCUAUCAAAUAAUUUUCUUAGAAUCUGAACGUGAUCUUCUUCAUUCGUAGACUUGGCAAUCAUGUCAUCCACAUACACUUCAAUCUCUUUGUGUAUCAUAUCAUGAAAAAGUGUCACCAUUGCCCUUUGAUAUGUGGCUCCAGCAUUCUUUAACCCGAAUGGCAUCACUUUGUAGCAAAAUGUUCCCCAUGGUGUGACAAAAGUGGUCUUCUCUUUAUCUUCUUCAGCCAUUUUAAUCUGGUUAUACCCGGAGAAUCCGUCCAUGAAGGAAUAAGUUGAGCUUCUAGCAGCAUUGUCUACCAAGACGUCUAUGUGAGGCAAAGGAAAAUUAUCCUUUGGACUAGCUUUGUUUAGAUCCCUGUAGUCCACACAUACUCUGAUUUUGUCAUCCUUCUUUGGUACUACCACUAUGUUGAUACCCAUUGAGGGUAUUUAAUGACUUCUAGAAAACCAGCAUCCCAUUGCUUCUUUAUCUCUGCCUUGACCUUGAGUAGAAUAUCUGGGCGAGUUCUUCUCAAUUUCUUUGACAGGUUUACAUCCUUCUAUCAAAGGCACUCUGUGUACUACAAUAUCAAUGUCUAAACCAGGCAUAUCUGCAUAAGACCAGGCAAACACAUCCAUAUACUCUUGUAGUAAUGAGGUUAAACUGCAUCUUUCUUCUGUAGUAAUCAGAGUUCCAAUCUUUAACUCUCUUUUAUCUUGCUCGGUGCCUACAUUUAUCACCUCUAAUUCUUCUUUUGCAGGUUUCCAAGCACUCAGACUGUUCUACCUGUCUAGUAAACUCUUUCAUAUAAUCUUCAUUCCAUUCUUCUUCAUCCAUUGCAAUCAUAUCCUCAUCAAAGUUUGGCCAUUCAUUUUCAAUGCAAUAUGUUUGUGGAUUUAUGGAGGAUUCGCUUUCAGAACUCCUGAAAGCGAGAGGUGUUUUUAGUGUAAAUGCGUAUCUUGUGGCCAAACAAAAUAAAAAAGAUAACAAUAGUUGAAGAAAAUGCAUGAUCUCAAUAUUAUUUGGAAAGCUGACUCAAUAAUUAUGAAAAGACCUUAUGUUGACAUCUUGGACCAAGAUUUCCAACUAGGUACAAAACACAAAGCAAACUACAAAGCAAAGCACACAAAUACAUAAAAGCAAAUAUAAGCAGACGCUUAUUCAUUACUUCUUGAAAACAACUGGGGCUUCUUCAAUCUCCCAAUUAUGGAAUACUUCGUCAACCGCAAGCUUUCGCACAAAGGCGUUGGUUGGAACCUCUUCUAGAGAGUGGACAGUUAACUGAGGCAACAAUUCAUCUUCUUUUGCUGUUUUUGGCUCGUCAUCAGAAUUCCAGCCUUUUCCUUCACCUUCCUCUACAUUGUUGAUAUCCAUGAAAGCAAGUUUCUGUCCCAAGACUUCCAUCAUGUUUUCAGGUUUAUCACAUAUGCUGACUUUGGGAAAGAAACAUGGAUGGGUGGGAUUACAAUGUCUUCUUCUUCUGGCUUUCUUCCUUCCAUUCGGCCAACCUUCUUUCUCGCUUAAUCCUAGCAGCUCUCUGGUAAUCAUCUUUCUUAGGCUUAAAGCCAAGCCCAAACCUCUGAUCAGCAGCCUUAAUUUUCAUUCUGUUGACUCUCUGAGAUUUCCAGCAAUUGGAUUAUUCUGGAAUGGUAGCCCAUGUUUCAAAAAGCACUUAGCUAUCAUUCGGGCAGUAUCGGAAAUCAUUGGUCUUCUUAACACCGUGUUCUCUGGUACCCAUUCAGUAUUCACAACCUCGAAGGCAUGGAGAUUUCCAUCUUUGCAAUCUUCUGUUUCAAUAUAAGGGACCGACACAUUCCUCAUCAUGGACAAGGUUUCUUCUGCCUUAACUUUACUAGAGUACCAUUGAUAAUGUACUUCAAACAUUGGUGUAGAGAUGAUGUCACAGCCCCAGCGGCAUGUAUCCAUGGCCUUCCCAAUAACAUACUAUACGAAGGAUGGAUGUCCAUCACUUGUAAGGUUAUCAAAAACAUCUGAGGCCCUAUAAACAAUUCAAUGUCAAUGGCCCCUAUCACCUGUCUAGGGAACCAUCAUAUGCUCUAGCUGUUAUUGUGCUUGGUCUCAUGUAAGUAGCAUCAAUUGACAUCUCAUCUAUCAUAUGCUUUGGUAACACAUUCAACGUUGAACCAUUGUCCACAAGCACUUUGCCAAUCAAACAGUCUUUACAUUUCAUGGUGAUGUACAAAGGCUUGUUAUGCCCAGUCCCUUCCGGGUCUAGCUCAUUCUUCCCACCAAAUGUUCCAUCGUAUCUUGAGUAAUAUCCUGCGGCACAUAUGCUUCAUUCAACACCUUUUGCAAUGCUUUACGGUGUAACUCAGAACUCAAGAUAAGUGACAUUAAAGAGAUUCUAGCAUGAGUUUUCUUCAAUUGAUCAACCACACUAUACUCACUAUGCUUCAUCAACUUCAAAAAUUCAUUAGACUCGUCUUCACUUAUAGGUUUGUUCACUUCCAUGCCUUUAAAAACAUCAACUAUUUCUUUUCCUUUAGCUUUCCUCUGCCUCUCUAACUCUUCCGGUGUAAAACACCGACCACUUCGAGUUAAACCGCCGAUUUCAGUGUGAAAGAUAGGAGUAGGAUUCUUAAUGUUGAAAGAAUACCUAUAAUUGUUAGGCAUUGUGCCAUAACUUUCACUGUUUGUGCAUACAGGCUUGGUCAGGAUUAGUUUUGGUGGACCACCCACAGUUGGUUGGAGUCUACAAACUUCCAUUUUUGUCUCCUGACGGCCUAUCAUCCCAACUUCACUACUCUCUUCUUCACUCUCUAUCCUUAACAUGCCGAAAGUCAGCAUCCUUUUCACUUCUUGGUGAAAUUCUUCACAAUCAUCAAUGUGAUGUCCCACCUUGCCAUGAAACUUACAGUAGUUAUUUUCAUUCAUCACUGGUUCAAACUCAGAUAAAUAACCAGACUGUACCAACAUACCAUACAGUCUUUCCAUGGAAACCUUCAAAACUCUUUCCUUCUUACCCUCCAUUCCUACAGCAUUCACUCCUCCACUGCUUGUGGCAUGAUUGGGCAAAGGAUUGGAAUUUACAUUCGGUGAAUCAUCAAAAGUUAUCCAUCCAGCUUUUAUCAAUUGUAGAAGCUUGUUUUUAAAUGCAUUACAACUUUCAAUGUUAUGCCCUGCCACGCCAGCAUGAUACUCACAUUUCAGAUCUGGCUUAUACCAAUUUGGAUAUGGAGGUUGCAGUGGGGUUAAGGGAACAGGGGCUACUUGCCCAAUACUCAACAACUUUGAGUACAUUUCUCCCAAGGGAAGUGGUAAUGGUGGCAAUCGUUCUUGGGUUCUUUGAAAAUUCCUUCUUGGAGGAUUAACAAUAUGGUUACUUUGUUGGUCAUUUGGUUGGCUUUGUUGGUUGGUAGGGAAAGGUUAAGUGAAGUUUACACUUGCAACUUGUUGGGUAGAUAUUUGGAAGUUAUAAUGAUGGUAAUUUUUUAUCUUACCCUUAUACUGUCCUUCCACAUUAUUCACAUCGAGAUCCUUCUUUUUCCCAGUAAAGCCUUUCUUCUUAGUAGGCUCUGACAUUCUCCCCGCUCUUAUCGCUUGUUCUAUUCUCUCAGAGAUAGUUACAUCAUCAUAGAAAUGCUGAGCUGAACUACCCACCAGGUGUUCAAAGUAGGGAGAUUUUCUUUUUCUAACAAAGAGGGUUGCACAUGAGAUGCUUUUUCACUCCAUCUCAAAGCGUAUUCUCUGACAGUCUCUUUGUUGCCCUUCUCCAUGACUAACAAGCUUGACCUGUCUAGGGCUACCUCCAUGUUGAAUUUAUACUGCUCCAUAAAGGCUUUUACCAAAUCUUUCCACUUUCUGAUCUUAGUAUUAUCCAGCCUUGUAUACCAGCUUAGUGCCGAUCCUGAAAGACUGUCUUGAAAGAAAUGGAUGAGAAGUUUCUCAUCAUUCACUACUUCUGCCAUCUUAUGGCAGUAAGAUUUAAGAUGAGUGACUGGGCAUUCAGUUCCAGUAUACUUGAUGAAUUCUGGUACCCUAAAUUCUUUGGGUACGGCUACAUUUGGAACUAAACACAUUUCUGCAGCAUGAAUAGGAUCAUAUAAGUCUGCCCCUUCGACCGCCUUCAAUCUUUCUUCCAGAGCGGUCAAUUUAUCAUAAUCGACAUAUUUAGAGAAUUUCAUCCUAUGUGGGUCAUCAGUUGCCAGGUUUACAGUAACUGGCACUUGUGCUGGUGGAACAUUGGCAAUGAACUAUUGUUCAAAUGAAGAGGGAUUUGCCCCUAAAUUUUGAGAUGUGAAUACAAAAGGAGCUGCUAGCACAGAUACAGAUGGAGUUGCAACUGCUGGCUGAGUAGAGGUAUCUUCCCCAGACUUGGAUACUAGGGCCUGCUCGAGUAGACUUGUAAGUCGUGUAAUAUCGUUUUUCAUUUUCUCCAACUCUUUUUGAUAAUGAGCCUCUAGAUCAGCCCUUUCUUCGUUCUCCAUUAUCUUCCUUCGUAGUCGAGUGUAAUGAAUUUUAUGGUCUUUUGGGGGACCUAUAUUUCAACCUGAAUGAAUGCAAGUAAACUAAAUGAAAUGCACAAAUGGAUGCAAAAUGCCAUAUGGUUUAUGCAUGCUUGUUAUUGGUUUCAAAUUUUCUUUUAACUUAUGACGAGGAACAAACCAGAUCAGAUUCUCUUAAAAAAGUUCUCACUGAGGACUCCAAACCUACAGGAACUUGAACUGAUUUAGGGAAGAAAUUUGAUGCCAUGUUCUGAUGGCAAACAAUCCCCUUCAUCAUGUUGGUUCAAUUCUGAUCUGGUAAAAAAUUCCUCAAUAGUAAUGGGUUUUUCAAUCUCACACUUCCUAUGAGGAUCGGUGGAGAUUUGAUGAGAAUAUGAAAUGUAUAUAAAAAUGAAUGUGAAUGUGUUGACAUUUGUUUGUGUCCUAAAAGGUAUAUCUUAAUUGAUAGGAUGUAGCUCAUAAGAUUUGGCUCAGUUUAUUCUAAUCUUAAAGAUUUUCUUUGGUUCUUAGAUUGCCCGAAUUACCAAUGGAGUAAUCGGCCUCUUAACCUUAAACAACAUGAGUAUGGGAAGAAAAUUCCACAAUACCCGUUGCAUAGGGUGAGUUACAAUCCAAGCGAAAGUCCAAAUGAGCAUCAGUGGACAUAAGUCACACUUGCCACCUGAAUCUUUCUUUUCUAAUCUUAAAAAGGACGAGCUCGGGUCCAGAGCUUUUAUGGGUUCACCGUGAAGUGUGUGAAUACAUAAAUAAAUAACAUGCAUGCAUUUUCAAUCUAAAAAAAUUGAAAUGAUUUACAAUUGAUAUUGCAUAAAAUAAAUAGUGCGAAUAAAAUAAAUGCUCAAAAAAUAAAUAGCAAUAAAAAAACAAAUGAAAAGCACACACAAACAGUUGGUUCAACACUGUCCCCAGUGGAGCCACCAUUUUGUCGAUACACGACGUCGGGCGACGACUCUGCUUUUUUUAUUUGUUUUACAAAAAUAUUUUUUUUUUUUAUUGGGGGAAAUGAAGAUUUUAUUGGAAUCGCCAUCUAGUAAGAUGAGGGAACUAGAAAUCCCAAAUUAGACACUGGUCCCAGAGAUUCGGGUACUGGGUUAGUUAUGAUUAAGGGAAGGUAGACACCACCCUUAAAACAUCAUUUCAAGAGAAAGGUUACCCUUACUUGUGUGUUUUUUAUUUGUUUCAAAUAAUAUUAUAUUUUGAGCUUAUUUGUAAUUUUUUUAAAUGGUUAACGUCGGUCCCUAAAAAUAGAAGACACGUUAAAAAUGACAUCAGUCCUUAAAAAUAGGAGACUCGUCUAAAAUAUCGACGUUUAACCCUAAAAAGGAGAUUUACGUCUGAGUUACCAAAAAAAAUAAAUUAUGGACAUAAUCCAUAUUUGUUUGGUAUUUAAACUUUUUUUUUUGACAUCCGUCCUUUUCUAUAAAAAGAGACGUGUCGACAAACAAUAUGUGUUUAUAAAGAACAAAUAUUUUGAUGUCAUUAAAAAAUAGGUAUAAUUAUUCUUGAGAAGUUGGGCUUUGCGCCCACGAUCGAUAAUAUGAUAAGAUAAGUGUUGGACCCGUUUCGUUUUUUUAAUAUUUAUUUUUGUUUUUUUACAUGCAAGAAAAUUUAUAUUCAAAAUAAAAAAAUGUCAGAAAUCUCAAAAAAAUUACCUGAGUGCCACUGUAUAGGUAAAAGAUUAAAAUACCCUUGGAUUUCUCGAAAAAUUACGAAAAUGCCACUGGCGGCGCAUGUGGCUCAUGCGCAAUUACUGUUGGCGGCGGAGAAAUUUUCCGGCGAGAUCUAUGGCCAACCGAUGGUCGAUUCUGGUAGAUCCUAGGUCGAGGAUUCUUUGCAGCAGGGGAGAAACUUUAUGUGGUGGUGCAGAGGCUUGAGAUGGGCGAAAAGUGGAGAUCGGAUGAGAGAGAGGGAGUCGCCGGCGAGAGGAGAGAGAGAGUCUGAUAUUACGCUACAGUGUGAACGCGUGCACGGUACACCAGUACCACUGAACACUAUGAGCCGCUGGAUCUCGGAUGAAAUGAUCGGAUGGGUGUGAUUGGCUAGAUCUGCAUGUUGAUCGGACGGUUCGGAUGAGCUGAGCGUUGAUCUGGUGUGGCGCGGUGCACCGAAAGAUCGGUACAUCGGGUGACGUGGCAAGAUGGUAUCAAAGGUAAGAUUAUUUCAACGGCUGAGAUGGAUUUGGGUUUUAAUCUAGUGUGGUAAGCCCUAUUGUAUCCUAUUAAAUCAAAGGUCUAGAACUGAUACUAUUAGAUCUAACGGCUAGGAUAUUUUUGGUAUGUUUCAAAUUGUUCAAAAAUGACAGUUUUGACCGGAAAUGACGGUUUUGACCCGAAACGUCAUGAAAACUCAUUUUUUACCCUGGACGACAUGGUUUGACCCGUACUGACCUGGUGGACUUGGUUUUGGUAAAAAAUUACGGUUUUGACCAAAAAUGACGAUUUUGACCCGAAACGUCAUGAAAACUCAUUUUUUACCCCGAUCGACAUGGUUUGACCCGUACUGACCCGGUGGACUUGGUUUUGGUAAAAAAUGACGGUUUUGACCCAAAACAUCAUUAAAACUCCUUUUUUACCCCAGUCGACAUGGUUGGACCCGUAUUGACCCGGUGGACUCGGUUUUUAUGAAAAGAUGCGGUUGACUUGAGAAAAUAUAUUUUUGAAUUUUAAAUUUUUUCUUAAUUUUUUUGAUUUUUAUGAAUAAUAAUAGAAAUAAAAUAACAUUCAACAAAAUCUUGGUGCAUCCAAAAUUGGGUUACAACACAUAUUAUUGGAGGACAAUGUGAAACCAACAAGGGAAAUGCAAAGGAGGUUGAAAUCACCUAUGAUGGAGGUAGUGAAAGCUGAAAUUUUGAAAUUGUUAGAUGCAAGAGUCAUUUAUCCUAUCAUGGACAGUAAAUGGGUGGCGCCAAUCCAUGUGGUGCCUAAAAAGACUAGAAUCACGUUGGUGAAAAACAAAAAUGAUGAGCUCAUUCCUACUCGCAUCUCAAGUGGAUGGAGAAUGUGUGUUGAUUACAGAAAGCUAAAUCUUGCUACACGCAAAGAUCAUUUCCCAUUACCAUUCAUGGAUCAAAUGCUUGAAUGCCUAGCAGGUAAGUCUUUUUAUUGCUUUCUUGAUGGAUAUAGUGGAUACAAUCAGAUUGUUAUUAAUCAUGAGGAUCAAGAAAAGACUACAUUUACAUGUCCAUUUGGCACAUAUGCAUAUAGGAGAAUGCCCUUUGGUCUAUGUAAUGCACCUGCAACUUUUCAAAGAUGUGUCAUAACCCAUUUUUGGGUCACUCCUAAAUUAAUUUUUAUUUUCUCAAAAAAAAAAAAACUGCACGGUGCCGUUUUGAACGGCACGGUGGUGCUUUUUCUCCCUUGCGAGACAAGGGAGAAGAAGAUUUUUGAAAUGUUUUCUUCCCACUUUCUCUCUCCACCCCACUUGUCCAAAAAUCCCGCAUAACCCAUACCCACAGAACCAUACCCUGCAACUAUUAUGGAAGAAACAUGAGACAUACAGAGACCCAUGCCUUGCACUUGAACAGGCAUGGUGACCCUCUCCCCCGGCUGGCUAUAAAUACAUGGGAAUUGAAGAAGGAAAGGGGAGGGGGUGGAAGGUUUUGAAAGGAGAAAACGAGGGAAACAUUUGAAAACAAAGAAGGAAGGAGAGAUUUGAGAAAGAACUGGAGACGCGAACCGCUGCCAUUCUCCAUCACCACCAGCACCGUGAGCACUACCAACGCCAUUAUCAUUCUUCCUCAGCCUCUCACCAUCCUCCUCCCCCUGCUGCAGUACCCUUGAAGAAGAAGAAGAAGCCUGCACCUCUUCACAAACAAGAAGAAUAGCAGCAACAUCGUCAAUGCCAUUGCCAAGUCUUGGAAGUGAAAAUGAAGAAGGAGAGAAAGGAGGAAGAACCACCGGCUGCUAUCCGCAUAGCCACCACUCGCGCCACCCUAGAGCCACUGCCAGCUACUGUCGUCCUCCCCGUCGUUGAUAACAGCCCUGCACCGUGAGAAACAAAAGAAGAAGAAGAAACAGAGACAGACAGAGGAAAAGCAGAAACAUAGGAGAAAGGAGGAGAAGCUGCCGCCUGGAACCACCAUCUGCAGCCACAUUCGGCCACCACCGUCACCACCAGCACUGUAAGCAACAACAGUUGCUACCACAGAAAUAGAAGAACAGCAGAGGGAAGGGGCAGAGAACCCAAAGCAGCAGGGAGAAGAAAACAAAAGGGAAAACAGAAACCGCCAACUGCCACCAACCGCCAACUCCACGACUGUUUCCACCGCUGACUUCAAGUCAUCCUCCCCGUCCAGCCAGCCAUCACCGCCACGCCAGGUGAUCCACCCCUCUUCCUUCUUCUUCUUCUUCUACUUCGCUGCAUCAUCUCCACUAUUCAUGUAGCAUGUGAACAGUGGAGAGUGCUCCACUGUUCACUGUUUUGGCCCAGCCCAAAAUGAGUGGGCUGGGUCCGGUCCAGUCCCAAAAAAUUUUUAAAAUUUUUUUUUUUUAAUAAAAAUUUGUGAUUUCCCCGCAUAUUUUUUUUACUAAAUUUUGCUUAAUAUUGGUUUGUAUUUUUAUAUCGUAAAAAUAAAAAUCUGGUAUUAAAGUACCCGGUUUUCUUCAAAACUUUGAAAAAAUGUUUUUGUUUUCAUGCAUACGGCCAAGUCUCUCAAAGAAAAAAAAAAUACAUCAUAUUUUCAUACAACAAAGAAAACUUCAAUAUAUAUAUAUAUAUAUAUAGCAUGCAUUUUUGGCUUUAAUUACCAGUUUAUUAAAGUCACGAGAACUUGGCCAAUAUUUCAAUAAUUCCAAAAAAAUUAUUUUGUUUUCUUUUAAUAUCAGGGAUUAUGAAUUUAUACGUAAAACAUAUUCCCAACGUUUGAAAGUGCGAGAGACAAAAAAAAAACCUCAACAUUUGAAAGUGCCCAAACAAUACUAGGGGGCAUGAAAGAAAAUUCUCAAUCAUCAAAGCUGCCCACACAAAGCUGGGGCAUGAAAAAAUAAAAUCCAAAAGAUACAAAAGAUUUGAGCUUCUCACAAAAAUAACUGAGAUGAUGAUGCUCAACCAAGUGAAGAAUAAAAAAUGAAUGAGAAAACCAAGCCCAACACUGGGGGGCACGAUAGACAAUUUUUGAAAGACAUUUAAAUGACAAAAGGUCAAGAAACAAGCACAAGUGAUUCUUAGUCUUAAAAUCCCUUAAACACCUUUUGAGCCUGCAAAAUAUUCUUUUCUUCAUAACCAAGAGCCUAAACCUACAUUACGUGCCUAAUCAAGCCCUUUUUGAUCAAAGGCAAGCAAUCUGGAUCGGUAGGCAGUGCUUUCUCAUGCGAACCAAAUCAUUAUUCAUGCAAAUAAAAUAAAUGCUUUGAAAAUCGGUUCUCCGUAACCUUCAAAUUGAAUUUUGAACCGUAUUUGACCAACCAAAUGUCACUUCAUAUUUUUCACCAAAAGCAAACAAAAAGUUUUCAUCACUUUUGAAAACCUCUCCAUAGGAAUCACUUGAAUUUCUUCAGAAUAAGUUUGCUUUGAAUCGAUGUCAAGAUGAUUUUUGUGUCUAGAAUAGCUUUGAAAUUCCAAAAAUUCUACAUGAAAACAAUUCUUUGUCAAACCUUUUUUUCAUCCCUAAAGAAAACACCAUUCGAAUACUUGGGGGCAUGAUUAAGCUGGGGGGCAAUCAAAAACUCCUGGUAGGGCUGGCUUCAUGAUUCCCUUUCUAAGAAAAAUGUCGGGCAAAAUUGGAAACCCUUGAGAUAAAUGGUAGAGGACAAAGAAGUAUGAUGAUAUCAAGUCUUUCCUAGGAGUCAAGAUCACAAGAGAUGACUCGAGUAAGCAAGAGCGAAAAGGCCAUUGAAGUUCACUACCAACACUCCAACUUUUGAGAAAAGAGAGACACCAUGAAGAAAUUAGGGACCUAUAUUUCUCAGGUAAGUAUACAUGCAUAUCAAUCAUAAUGCAUUGCUUUCAUCAUUAACAGAUCGAUGUGACAUCUUCUUUCGAGCGCGCCUUUGAGCCCUCACUUCUCAGGUAGUGCGUUUUCUAACCCUACCCCCUUUCGAGUGUGCCUUUGGGCCCUCGCCAUGUUUUUUAGCUGGGCAGGUCACCCAUUACAAUGAGACCAUUCUUUCACCUGGGUAGGUCACCCAUUACAACAUGACCACUCUUCAUUCAUUCCAUUUUUGGGUUGGUCACCCAUUACAAUGAGACCAUUCUUUCACCUGGGUAGGUCACCCAUUACAACAUGACCACUCUUCAUUCAUUCCAUUUUUGGGUUGGUCACCCAUUAUAAUUCGACCAUUCUCCAUGUUCUUUUAUCUGGGUAGGUCACCCAUUAUAAUGAGACCAUUCCUCCAUUUGGGUAGGUCACCCAUUACAACACGACCACUCUUCCUUUCUUCCAUUUCUGGGUAGGUCACCCAUUACAACACGACCAAUUCUCCAUGUUUUUUAGCUGGGUAGGUCACCCAUUACAACAUGACCACUCUUCAUUCAUUCCAUUUUUGGGUAGGUCACCCAUUACAAUUCAACCAUUCUCCAUGUUCUUUUAUCUGGGUAGGUCACCCAUUACAAUGAGACCAUUCCUCCACUUGGGUAGGUCACCCAUUACAACUCGACCACUCUCUUUUUUUCUCAUCCUGGGAAGGUCACCCUUUACAACUCGACCAUUCUCCAUGUUUUUUUAUUUGGGUAGGUCACCCAUCACAAUGAGACUAUUCCUUUACCUGGGUAGGUCACCCAUUACAAUGAGACCACUCUUCCUUUUUCUACUUGGGUAGGUCGCCCAUGAAAAUAGACCAAGACCAGUGUGAGUUUGUGCGGGUAGAUCGCCCAUGAAAAUAGACCAAGGUAAGUGUAUGUGGGCAGAUUGCCCCUGAAAAUAGACCAGUGUGAGUUUGUGUGGGUUGGUCGCCCAUGAAAAUAGACCAGUGUGAGCGUGUGUGGGCAGGUUGCCCAAGAUAAAUCAGAUCAUUUUAUUUCCUUUUGUUUUCUUUACAAACUUACUAUGCAAAGUCUUUGCUCCGUAAGCAUUGUAAAGAGGGGGGCAACUAUCAAAACCCAUUUUUGGGUCACUCCUAAAUUCAUUUUUAUUUUCUCAAAAAAAAAAAAAAAAAUUGCACGGUGCCGUUUUGAACAGCACAGUGCUGCUUCUUCUCCCCUACGAGAUAGGGGAGAAGAAGAUUUUUGGAAUGUUUUCUUCCCACUCUCUCUCUCCACCCCACUUGCACAAAAAUCCCGCAUUACCCAUACCCACACAACCAUACCCUGCAACCAUUAUGGAAGAAACAUGAGACAUACAGAGACCCAUGCCCUGCACUUGAACAGGCAUGGUGACCCUCUACCCCGGCUGCCUAUAAAUACAUGGGAAUUGAAGAAGGAAAGGCGAGGGGGGUGGAAGGUUUUGAAAGGAGAAAACGAGGGAAACAUUUGAAAACAGAGAAGGAAUGAGAGAUUUGAGAAAGAACUGGAGACGCGAACCGCUGCCAUUCUUCGUCACCACCAGCACCGUGAGCACUGCCAAUGCCAUUAUCAUUCUUCCUCAGCCUCUCACCAUCCUCCUCCCCCUGCUGCAAUACCCUUGAAGAAGAAGAAGAAGCCUGCACCUCUGCACAAACAAGAAGAACAUCAGUAACACCGUCAAUGCCAUUGCCAGGUCUUGGAAGAAACAAAAGAAGAAGCAGAAACAAAGACAGACAGAGGAAAAGCAGAAACAGAGGAGAAAGGAGGAGAAGCUGCCGCCUGGAACCACCAUCUACAGCCACAUUCGGCCACCACCGUCACCACCAGCACCGUGAGCAACAACAGUUGCUACCACAAAAAUAGAAGAACAACAGAGGGAAGGGGCAGAGAACCGAAAGCAGCAAGGAGAAGAAAAAAAAAGGGAAAAGAGAAACCGCCAACUCCACCACCGUUUCCACCGCCGACUUCAGGUCAUCCUCCCCGUCCAGCCAGCCAUCACCGCCACGCCAGGUGAUCCACCCCUCUUCCUUCUUCUUCUUCUUCUUCUUCUUCGCUGCAUCAUCUCCACUAUUCACGUAGCAUGUGAAUAGUGGAGAGUGCUCCACUGUUCACUAUUUUGGCCCAGCCCAAAAUGAGUGGGCCGGGUCCGGUCCAGUCCAAAAAAAAAAAAAUUUAAAAUAUAUUUGAAUACAAAUUUGUGAUUUCCCCGUGUAUUUUUUUUACUAAAUUUUUCUUAAUAUUGGUUUGUAUUUUUAUAUCGUAAAAAUACAAAUCUGGUAUUAAAGUACCCGGUUUUCGUCAAAACUUAGAAAAAAUGUUUUUGUUUUCAUGCAUACGGCCAAGUCUCUCAAAGAAAAAAAAAACUACAUCAUAUUUUCAUACAACAAAGAAAACUUCAAUAUAUAUAUAUAUAUAGCAUGCAUUUUUUGCUUUAAUAACCAGUUUAUUAAAGUCACGAGAACUUGGCCAAUAUUUCAAUAAUUCCAAAAAAAUUAUUUUGUUUUCUUUUAAUAUUAGGGAUUAUGAAUUUAUACGUAAAAUGUAUUCCCAAUAUUGAAAAGGUAGUUUUUUUUUUAUUGACGUUAGAAUGGUUAGGUUCUACCCAAUUAAGAUAAGAACCUCCUUAUUGAGGAGGGCUUUUCUUGAAUCUUAGAUAGACAGGACCAACAAUUAGAAAACACGACCAAACCUUAGAUUUUGAUCAGACAAAUAAAACAAUGCAGAUUACCUUAGGUAGGGCGUAUUUGGGGUGCUAAUACCUUCCCUUUACGCAACCCGUCUCCGUACUCGAUCUCUGAGACCAGUUAGGGUUCCUAGUGACCAUAAUACUAGGUGGCGACUCCAUUUCCUUUUCCCACUGAUAAGAGACAAGAAUUCUUUAUCUCCCUAUAUUUUCUCUGAUACCACACUUAAGUGAGGGUGGACGAUCGUCGCGACGCCGCACACGUGCGACAAGAUGCAUGAUGAGUAUUUUUUCUGACUAUGUUGAAAUAAUAAUUGAGGUUUUCAUGGAUGAUUUCACGGUGUAUGGUGAUUCUUUUGAUAAAUGUCUAGAAAAUUUAUCUUUGAUCUUGAAAAGGUGCAUUGAAACUAACCUUGUCUUAAACUAUGAAAAGUGUUAUUUUAUGGUAGAACAAGGAAUAGUUCUUGGGCAUGUUGUGUCUUCACGUGGAUUAGAGGUUGAUAAAGCUAAAAUAGACGUUAUUUCAUCAUUGCCUUACCCCUCCUGCGUGAGGGAAAUUCGCUCUUUUCUUGGCCAUGUAGGUUUCUAUUGAUGCUUUAUCAAAGAUUUCUCGAAGAUUACAGCACCCUUGUGUAAACUAUUAGCCAAAGAAGUGGAUUUUGUGUUUGAUCAAGGAUGUAAAGAUGCCCAUGAUGAGCUUAAGAGGCGUGUCACAUCUGCCCCUAUCAUUCAACCACCAAAUUAGGAUGAGCCUUUUGAGAUAAUGUGUGAUGCGAGUGAUUAUGCGGUAGGGGUUGUCCUUGGGCAAAGAAUAGGGAAGAAUUUGCAUGCAUGUUGGACGGAGCACAAUGCAAUUACCAUACAACCAAAAGGAACUUUUUGCAGUGGUGUUUGCUCUUGAAAAAUUCAGGUCAUAUCUACUUGGUACAAAAGUCAUUGUUUUUACUGACCAUGCAGCUUUAAGGUAUCUUUUGAAGAAAAAGAAGUCCAAACCAAGAUUGAUUAGGUGGAUCUUGCUUUUACAAGAAUUUGAUCUUGAGAUGAAAGACAAAAAAGGUGUCGAAAACCAUGUGGCUGAUCACUUGAGCCGACUGAGGACUGAGGAUAUACAAACCAAAACAAUACGAGAGACAUUCCCCGAUGAGCAGUUGUAUGUGUUACAUUUCUCUACAAGACCAUGGUAUGCUGAUUUGGUGAAUUAUUUAGUCAUCAAAGAAUUCCCACCAUGGUUUGUCUACAUCCCAAAAAAACAAGUUACGAGCUGAUGCUAAAUAUUAUUUUUGGGAUACUCCUUAUCUGUGGAAAUUUUGUGUGGAUCAAGUAAUUAGGAGAUGUGUACCACAAGAUGAAUUUCAUUCCAUUCUUACUUUUUGUCAUUCUCAUUCUUGUGGUGGACAUUUUGGAGCAAAAAGAAUGACCCAUGAGGUACUUGAAAGUGGUUUUUAUUGGCCUUCUAUUUUUAAGGAUGCAUAUCAUUUUUGCAAAUCAUGUGAAAAAUGCCAAAGAACAGGUAAUAUCACUCAUAAGAAUCAAAUGCCUUUAACGAAUAUUCUUGUAAGUGAAAUUUUUGAUGUUUGGGGUAUUGAUUUUAUGGGUCCAUUUCCUUCUUCGUUUAGCAAUCUUUAUAUCCUUCUUGCUGUUGAUUAUGUGUCCAAAUGAAUUGAGGUGAAAGCCACACGAACUAACGAAAUCCUUAGGUAAAUUCAACAUUAACAAUUACAAUUCAAAACAUUAUUCAAUAAUUAUGCCAAUACAACAAACAAUAAAUUCAAAAUAAAUAGAAACAAUUAAACACAAAUCAUCCAAUAAUAGAGUAAAAUUAAUAAUUCUUCCAACAUAUUCAAUUACUAAUUCUAAGGUAAAUUCAACAUUAACAAUAUUAAUUCAACAAAUUAUUCAAUAAUUAUGCUAAUACAACAAUAAAAUAUAUUCAAUAAAUUAAAAAAGAAUUAUAGCCUAACAAUUAAAAUCAAUGGAUACAAUUAAACACAAAUCAUGCAAUAAUAUAGAAAAAUUACUAAUUAUUCCAACAUAUCCAAUUACUAAUUCUAAGGUAAAUUCAACAAUAACAAUUAUAAUUCACAAAUUAUUCAAUAAUUAUGCCAAUACAACAAUAUAAUAAAUUAAAAACAAUUAUAGACUAACAAUUAAAAUCAAUUAAAUUACUCAUUAUUCCAACAUAUUCAAUUACUAAUUCUAAGGUAAAUUCAACAUUAACAACAAAUAUUCAACAAAUUAACUAAUAACAAUUAUGCCAAUAAAACAAUAAAAAAUAUUCAAUAAAUUAAAAAAAAAAAAACUUUAGACUUGAGGGAAGAAAUAUGCAUACCUUAAUAAUGUGUUGAAUUCAAAACGUUAUCUACAUUACAAAAAAAUACACCAAAACAAAAAACAUAACAAGAAUAAAAAUAACUAAAAAUAAAAUAAAAUGAAAUAGAAAAAAAGACAUACAUUUUAAUGUGAUAAAGAUUCACAACAAAGCUUGCUAGAGAUUCUAGGUGAAAGCCUUGAACAAUUGAGAGGAAAAACGGAGGAGAAGAAAAAAUGAACUGAAGGGGCGGUCGUUGGAACUUAUAGGCAGUUUUACCGACGGAUUCACCGAUAGAAAUAAAAAAUUAUUAUUAUUUUAAUUAAAUCCAUUAGUAAUGUGUUAAAAAUACGUCGGUAAUUUUUGAAUUUCACACCGAAAUUUUUUAUUACCCUCAAUAUUUUUCGCAGUCCGUCGGUAAUUCCGUUGGUAAUCGGACACAGUCAGAGGUGCAUUCAAUGCAUACCCUUUGGAAUUCGCAUAUUCCGUCGGUAUUUUUGUCGAUAAAAUUUGCUCACCGACAAAUUACUGAUGGAUAUGAUUACGUCAGGAUGGACGUCGGUGAUUGUGGCAUUCUAUUGUAAUUAUUAUCGAACUCUCUAUGAGAUGUCGACAGACAUAAGUCCGUUGGUAUGGCCGUCGGUGAUUGUGGCAUUGUGUUGUAAUUAUUUUUCAACUCUCUGUGAGAUGCCGACGGAUGUUAUUCCUUUGGUAUGGAUGUCGGUUAAUCCAUCAGGAUGGACGUCGGUGAUUGUGGCAUUCUAUUGUAAUUAUUUUUGCACUCUCUAUGAGAUGCCGACGGACAUAAGUCCGUCGGUAUGGACGUCGGUGAUUAUGGCAUUCUGUUGUAAUUAUUUUUGAACUCUCUAUGGGAUGCCGAUGUCCGUCGGUAUGGACGUCGGUUAUUGUGGCAUUUUGUUGUAAUUAUUUUCCAACUCUCUGUGAGAUGUUGACGGAUGUUAUUCUGUCGGUAUGGUCGUCGAUAAUUGUUGCAAUGUACAAGAAAUGUUGUAUUUGUAUUUCCUAUUUACCUUCCUGCAAAAACUUCAAUGAUAAACUGUCCAUCGCACAAAACAAUAACAACAGUGCUUAAACAAUAAAUAUAUAUUUCAUGUUACAAAAUAUAUCAUCCAUAAUGUAAAUUACAUGAAGAAAAGGGUUUUACACAAGGAUUCGUUUUGAUAGUUAGUCAGAAUUUUCUUCUUCUUCGUCAUCAAUUGAAUAGUCAUCACCUUCAUUGCAAUCUUCAAUAUGGAUAUCAUCUUCUUCAUCGACAUUUGCUUGUCCGCUAGAGAUCAAAACAAUGUUCAACUCCUCUACGUCAACAUCAACAAGUCUAUCAUCAUAAACACGAAAAUUUGAAUUUUCUUCCAAUUCAAUCGAAGGAGCAACUCGAUAUGGUUCAACCAACUCACUAACUUGAAAGACUUCAUCCUGCACACUUGUGUCUUCAUUCUCAUCCUGAACAACCUCGACACGACCUCGUGGUUUCGUUUUUUAAAUGGACAACCAAUCAACUCUUGAUCGAUCCUUUCUAAAUAAAGGGGUGUAUGUGUAAUAAACUUGUUGACAUUGCUUUGCGAAAACAAAAUACCCAUUGUAGCAUUUAACUUUUCUUUCAGCCCGAGGCUUAGUGAAGACAAUGACUUAGGCGCACUCCUUUCCAUUUGAUAAACCUUGUAUAUAUGUAAUGUACAUCAAUAAACAGUAAAUGAACGAGAAUCUCGUAAUGACAUGCAUACAUACAGUAAUUUUGCAGUUAGAAUGAGUCAGCUGUGAGUUAUUGGAGAGCAAAUAUUGUCGAUGCUACCUUCAAGUGAUAAUGAGUGUAUGAUAUUACAAUAUAUAAUUAACAGUAUAUUACUGACAAAGUUUAAUUAGUAUUACACAUAUAUACACUUACUGAAUAAAAGGUCUCAGCUCAUCACAGUUAAAUAGAACAUAGUUGUGUGCUUGUUUGAAUUCUAUUUCCAACAAAUAUCUUCCUCUUACGGUAUUUUUAGGUGUGGGUCGUCCAGUAUUGGAGAAUAUUGACAAGUUCCCACUAGAAGGCACUUCACCGCCAUCAUCAUGCCGUGGAAUGCGAUUGAUUCUUGUUCUCAGAUGAGGUUUGAAAUAGUACAAGAUAAAUGUUGAGAUCUCCUCAACAAUAUAGGCCUCACAUGUCGAAGCCUCAACAUGCGCCUUGUUCUUAACCUUUUUCUUGAGAUUAAACAAGUACCUGCAUUGAAUUACAAUUCAAGUAUUUUCAAUUAAGAAAAACAUAGAAAAUACUUUUAUAUAUGAAUCACAUUGCAACUGUAAUAUCUAACCAUUCAAAUGGGUACAUCCAUCUAUACUGGACCAGUCCUCCAGCUUUUGCCUCGAACAGUAGAUGUAUAGGGAGAUGCUCCAUUGAGUCAAAAAGUGAUUGAGGGAAUAUCAUCUCAAGUUUGCAUAGUGUCUCAAUGAUAUUUGUUUGAAGCCUCUCAAUGUGCUCAACAUUCAACUUGCUGGAGCAUAUAUCUCUGAAGAAAUGACUCAUCUCCGUCAGUGCAUCCCAUAUUCCCUUUGGCAACAAAUCACGAAAAGCUAAUGGGAUGAGUGUUUGCAUAAACACGUGGCAGUCAUGACUCUUCAUUCCAUACAAUUUGCAGUCCUCUAUAUUAACCGGCCUUGAUAUGUUCGAUACAUGUCCAUCCGGAAACGCAGACUCUUAAGCCAUUUAUAAACUAGCAGUUGUGUGUUUUUCUCUAACACGAAGCUUGCCCUUGGUUUUGCGACCCGUGACUCAUCAUAAACCAACUCCAUAUUUUUACGGUUAUAGUAAAAAGCUAUAUCCAAUCUAGCCUUGAUGUUGUCCUUUGUCUUCCCCUUCACAUCCAUGAUGGUGUAGAAAAUGUUCUCAAACACGCUCUUUUCGAUGUGCAUGACGUCAAGGUUAUGACGGAGCAUAUUGGUCUUCCAAUAAGAAAGCUCCCAAAAGAUACUUCGCUUGACCCAAUUAUGGGUCAAACCAAAACCAGGAAACUUUUGCUUACCUGAUUGAAUGCCAAACACAAUGUCACAGUACUCUGAUACAACAUGAUGCAAUUAUUCACCAGAAAGAUGCGGGGAUGCAACAUCUUUUUCAACUCUGCCAACAAAUCUUUUAUGUUCUUUCUGUACCUGUGAUUAAGUGGCAAGAAGCAACGGUGACAGUAAAAAGAAGAAGCUUUACCUCCAUUUGCUAACGUGAAUGCCUUGUUGUUUUCCAUGCAGUAUGGACAUGCGAGUUUCCCAUGUGUGCUCCAACCAGAAAGCAUUCCAUAAGCUGGAAAAUCAUUGAUAGUCCACAUCAAAGCCACCCUCAUAAAGAAAUUUUGUUUUCUCGAUAUAUCAUAAGUCAUAACUCCGGAGGACCACAACUGCACCAACUCAUCAAUCAACGGUCGAAGACAAACAUCUAUAUUUCGCCCCGGGCUACUUGGACUGGGUAUGAUAGUAGAUAAAAACAUGAACUCCGGCCUCAUACACAUUCCCGGUGGCAAGUUAUAAACUGUGAGUAUGACCGGCCAACAAGAAUAGGGAGCAGCAAACGAUCUAAAUGGGUUGAAUCCAUCUGUACACGACCCAAGACGCACAUUCCUUGAUUCACCUGAAAAGUCAGUAUGCACACUGUUAAAGCAUUUCCACGCUUCACCGUCAGAAGGAUGCACCAUCACACCAUCAACCGCAUCAUGUGCUUGGUGUCAUGUCAUGUGCUCAGCAGUCCUUGGUGACAUGAAUAACCUCUGUAGUCUAGGUGUGAUCGGGAAGUAUCUAUGUUUUUUAUAUGCCACUAGAGUCUUUCCCAUGCCAGUUUUGGGUUUGUAACGGGAAUGCCCGCAUGUCAUACAUGUCGCACGUGUACGAUGGUGUGGCGAUCGUCCAUCCCCAACCCUUCAUGAGGGUGUAGUAUGUUGUCUAUUUGGCAUGGAAAAUAUGGUGAGACAAGGAGUUCUUUGUCUCUAAGCUAAAAAAUGGACAGGGAGUCGCCACCUAGUAUUCUGGUUACUAGGAACCUUAACUGGUCUUUAGAGAUCGGGUACAGAGACUGGUUGCGUAAAGGGAAGGUAUUAGCACCCCAACUACGCCCUACCUAAGAAUUAAAUAUCCAGAAUAUGCAUUACGUGUAAAGUCAUACCCCGGAUACUAAGAGACAAACAAAAUAAAAUUUUUGUUGUUUUUGAAAUAUUGGCCAAUAUUCUCUUGACUUUAAUAAACUGGUUAUUAAAGCCAAAAUGCAUGCUAAAACAUUUUUUUUUUGGUGUUUGAAAAAAUACAAUAUGAAUUUUUAGCUUUGAGACACUUGGCCGUAUGCACAAAAACAUUUCUUUUCUCUUUUUUUAAUUUUUUUGUAUUUUAUGGAAGUUUUUGAUGGAAACCGGGUAUUUGAAAAUCAGAUUUUUGUAUUUUUAACAACAUAAAAAAAAUACCACCAAAUAUUAAUCAAAAUGACAUAAAAAUUACGCGGAAAAAUUAUAAAAUGCUGAAACACAUAUUUUUGAUUUUUUUCUUUGAAAUGGGCCGGAUUAGGCCCAAAUAUAUGGGCUGGGCCGAACCUGGCCCAAAGAAUGGGCUGGUUACUAUGCACCUAGUAACCGGGUUACUGUGUGUACAGUAACCAGAGAAUUAAUCUGUGGGUUACUGUGCACAUGCACAGUAACCGUGAAUUAAUUAGGGAGUUACUGUGCACAGCACAGUAACUCGCUAAUUAAUCUUCAUCUGCUGCAGAACGUAAACGUUCUGCAUGCAGAUGAAGCUGAACCAAAAAAAAAAAAACGACGGGAAAGGCUACCUGGAGCGGUGGUGAUGUUGGCAGCAACUGAUGUGGCAGGGGUGGCGGCGGCGGAACUGGCUGUUCGCGGUGGCCGGCUGUGCUGUUUUCCUCUCUCUCUCUCCUCUGUUUUACUCUCUUCUCUGCUUCUUCUUCUUCUUCUUUUAUUUCGUUCUCUCUCCCUUCUCUUCUGCUUUCUUCUCUCUGUCUCUCCCUUCUCUUCUCUUCCCCCUCUCUUUCGUCUCCUCCUGUUCCUCCUCUAUUUAUAGAGCCCGUGAGCAUGUUUUUUCAUUGUGGAGCCAAGGAACGGGUCAUGCGGCGGCUGGUCGGGCGCGACUAUCCAGGCGUGCCUCCCUCGGUUUCGGUCGGUGGGCUAGAGGGACCGGCGGUCGGUGGGCUUGAGGGACCGAUGUCAUUAAAUAUGCAUUCUUUUUCCUUCUUUCCUGCUGUAUGCUCGGUGGGGAAGAAAGGGGAACAUUGCCGUUCAAAAAUGGGGACCCAAAAAUGGGUUACAACAGUUGCCCCCCUCUUUACAAUGCUUACGGAGCAAAGAUUUGUGCAUAGUAAGUGUUGUAAAGAAAAAAUAACAUUGGUCUUCCGAAACUAGUCGUCUCAAAAUUUGAUUGACCUAAAACUUCAACCGGACCCAAAGUCCUGUGUAUGGUUGGGCUAAACUGAGAUUCCUUUCGCCAAUCCCCUUUAACCCGAAAAAAAAGAAAGAAUGUGAAGUGUGGUCUCAUUGUAAUGGGUGACCUACCCAGAUAUAAAACAUGGAGAAUUGGUCGCAUUGUAAUGGGUGACCUACCCAGAAAAAUGUUGGCGAGGGCUCAAAGGCGCACUCAAAAGGAGGUAGGGUUACAAAACGCUCUACCUGAAUGGUGGUGGCUCAAAGGCACACUUGGAAUGAGUUGAGGGCUCAAAGGCACACUUAAAAGGAGGUAGGGUUAGAAAACGCACUACCGAAGGGAUGAGGGUUCAAAGGCGCACUCAAAAUGGAGGUGAGGGCUCAAAGGCGCACUCAAAAUGGAGGUGAGGGCUCAAAGGCACACUCAAAAUGGAGGUAAGGGCUCAAAGGCACACUCAAAAGGAGGUAGGGUUAGAAAACGCACUACAAAGGGAUGAGGGCUCAAAGGCGCACUCAAAAUGGAGGUGAGGGCUCAAAGGCGCACUCAAAAGGAGGUAGGGUUAGAAAACGCACUACCAAGGGAUGAGGGCUCAAAGGCGCACUCAAAAUGGAGGUGAGGGCUCAAAGGCGCACUCAAAAGGAGGUAGGGUUAGAAAACGCACUACCAAGGGAUGAGGGCUCAAAGGCGCACUCAAAAUGGAGGUGAGGGCUCAAAGGCGCACUCAAAAUGUAGGUGAGGGCUCAAAGGCGCACUCAAACGGAGGUAGGGUUAUAAAACGCACUACCUAAAAGAUGAUGUUGAAACAAUGAUUGUCAAUGUUGAAAAGCAAAUGCAUUAUGAUUGAUAUGCAUGUAUACUUACCUGAGAAAUAUAGGCCCCCAUUUCUUCAUGGUGUCUUUCUUUUCUCUCAAAAGUUGUAGUAUUGGUAGUAAACUUCGAUGGCUUUUCCACUUUUGCUUACUCGGGUUACAUCUUGUGAUCUUGACCUCUGGGAAGGGUUUGAUGUCAUCAUACAUCUUUGUCCUUCACCCAUUAUCUCAAGAGUUACCAAUUUUGCCCGACAUUUUCCUUAGAACAGGAAUCAUGGAGCCAGCCCUACCAUGUGUUUUUGAUUGCCCCCCAGCUUGAUCAUGCCCCCCAAGUGUUCAACUUGGGUUUAGUUUGGGGUGAGGAUAUGUGAAAAUGGGUUUUUUGGUACAAUGAAAUGUUUUCAUGCAAAAUGUUUUGGAACAUCCAAGUUAUUCCAAUCACAAAAAUGAUUUUGACAUUGGUUCAAAAUAAACUUGUUCUAAAAAUUCAAGUGAUUCCUAUGGACAGGUUUCUUGAAGUGAUGAAAGCUUUUUGCUUUUGGUUUAAAGAUGAAGUGACAUCUGGUUGGUCACAAAAGGUUUAAAUUUCAAUUUGAGGGUUAUUGAGAACCGAAUUGAUUCAAAGCAUUUAUUUUAUUUGCAUGAAUAAUGAUUUGACCGCACGAGAAAGCACUGCAUACCGAUCCAGAUUGCUUGCCUUUGAUCAGAAAGGGCUUUAUCAGGUAUGUAAUGUAGGCUUUGGCUAUUGGUUACGAAGAAAAUGGAUAUGUUGCAGGCUCAAAAAGUGUUUAAGGGAUUUCAAGACUAGGAUCACUUGUGCUUGUUUCCUGACCUUUUGUCUUUUGGAUUUGUUUUUUUUUUAAAAAUUGUCCUGCCCCCAGUGUCGGGUUUGGGCUUUUCUCUUUGUUUUCUUGUUUUUGUUUGGUUGAGCACAAUCAUAUCAGUUGUUUUUAUGAGAAGCUCAAAUCUUUUAACCAAUCGCUUUUUCUUCACUGUUUCAUUUAGAUGAUAAUGAAAGAAAAACAUUACAUGAUCAAUUCCAGCACCCAUCUUCACUGCUUUGUCUGGAUGGUAAAAACAACAAAACUCUCUUAUUUUGCCCCCCAGUGUGGGGUGUGAUCCUAGUCAAGGUUAUUUCCAAAAAACAUUACUAGGCUCAAAAUGGGACUGCAAAGGAUAUUUUAGCCUUGUGAAAGGAUUAUCAAAGAUGGCCUUUCCUCAUCUCAAACUCAUGCAUUGAGGAUCGAUAGGUCUUGCUUUCAUGCGCGUAUGCAAAGUGAUUUAUUCAGUCAAAUAAAACUCAGCUUUUGAGUCACCUCAUAGUGUUGUUUGUCUUUGUUGUCUUUUUUUCUUUCAAGUUUUCUAGGUAUAUGUGUACCUAUUUAAGGAAUCACUUGAAUUUUCAAAAUGCAUUUGUUUGGACAAAUAUCAACACGAUUUUUGUUUUUGUACUCACUUUGGAGGUCCCAAAAAAAUAUCCUUGAAAACAUAUGAGAUUAAUGUAUGGGUUUGGAAGAAAGGAACACCAAAGGAUUCUUCAUGUUGUAGUGUUGUGAGCAAAGUUGCGCUCAAAAUGUUAUUUACAUGUAAUAACAACAAAGAAGAGUGUGAUGUGAACACAAGAAAACACAUGAUCUUAUUUCACAAGAGAAGCUCAUUAACAGAGAAAGUCUUAUUCAAAAGCAUUAACAAAAGGCAAUAACAAGGCAGGCUUCAUUCCUCUAUUUUGGCGAAUCUGUUCAUAGGCUAACCUCCUCUCAAAAGCUCUGCGUAGAGGACUCAAAGACAAUGCGGAACAACACCACGGUCAAAAAUUCAAGCUAUCAUGCUGGACCAUUGAUGCUUUCCAAUUCCCCAAACAUUCCAUCCUAAUAUGCUUCAAGCAUGAUUAGGCAACGGGUUCGUAUUCACAUUGGGGGCUUCCAACUCUAUCCAACCAGCCUUGAUUAAUUGCAGAAGCUUUCUCUUGAAGGCGUUGCAGGUAUAGAUGUUAUGCCCAGUAAUACCGGCAUGGUAUUCACAUUUGAGUUCUGGCUUGUACCAAUUAGGAUAAGGUGGCUGCAGAGGUGUUAGAGGUUCUGGAGCUAUUUGCCCAAUGCUCAAUAGCUUUUGAUACAUCUCAUUCAGGGGUAAUGGUAGUGGAGGCAGUUGUUCUUGAACCCUUUGAAAAUUUCUAAUUUGGCUUUUGGCUUGAAAGUUUUGGGGUUUAGGUUUUUAGAUGUUGGCAAUUUGGGAUGGAGUAUGGUAAUUUUGGGAUGUAUUAUUUUUACCCAUGUAGCCAUCUUCAAUAUGGUGAACCUCUUUUCUUUCGAAGCCUCUUUUCUCGGUUGGUGCAGAAAUUCUACCACUCUUGACACCUUGCUCUAUGCGUUCACAUACUAUCAUAGCAUCAGUGAAUUGUUGGGUUGAACUACCCAUCAUAUGUUCAUAAUAUGGUGCUUUGAGUGUGUUGGCAAAUAAAGAGACCAUCUCUUUGUCCAGAAGUGGGGGAUGUACUUGAGCAGCUAAUUCUCGCCAUCUUUGAGCAUAUUCCCUUAUGCUUUCUUUAUCCUUUUUCUCUAUAUUGGACAAACUGGUUCUGUCGGGCGCAAUGUCCAUGUUGUAUUUGUAUUGCUUGACGAAAGCAUCCACAAGAUUUUUCCAGUUGCAAAUUUUUGUGUUAUCCAAUCUCAUGUACCAACUCAAAGUUGCCCCACUUAAACUGUCUUGGAAAAAGUGCAUUAGUAGUUUUUCAUCAUGUACUACCUCAGCCAUUUUAUUGCAGUAGGACUUGAGAUGAGUCAUGGGGCAUUGUGUUCCACUGUAUUUGAUGAAUUUAGGAACACGAAAUUUCUUUGGGAUAACCACGUUUGGGACCAAACACAUCUCUGCUGCCCGUACCGGGUCAUAUAAGUCUACCCCUUCAAUGGCUUUGAGUCUGGCUUCCAGCGCCUCUAUCUUAGCUUGAUCAAUGCUAUCAGAUGACUUAGCCUUGUGGGACUCAUUAGCAGAUGCCUUCACAACUGUUGGGGAUGGUGCAGGUGUCGUUGACUGCACAAAUGUUGGAUUUUGCUGAGGUUCUUGACCAUGUUCGCUCAUUCUUUCCUCAGGCUGAACUGAAGUAGGAGCCGGAUCAAAGGUGAUCGGUUGAUUAGAAGGACCUUCAUCAGAGGUAUUUCUUAGUGUUUGCUUGAGUAAGCUUCAAGAAGGGCUUGCUCGGAUGCAAAACAAUGUAUACGGAGCAUACAUCCUAAAGGCAGGUUCUAAUCUUUUUAAGUGAGACAAAAGGUAGGUUUACUAUUUGGUCUCUAAAAAAGGACUCUCGUUGUCCCAGUGAUCGCCCUCGUGGAGGCAAUAUAGGGGCUUGUAGGCAGUGAGAUGGCACGUGUCCAACUAUUACCAGUCUAAGCACUCAACGAAGAGUUGGGGUUUACACAAACUUAAACCUUGACUAAAAGUCAUAAGGUAAGCUGCUAGUUCCCCCCUAACCUGAAGCUUGUGUGUGCUAAAAAAAAUUAACUAUGUGAUGCAUGAGAUAAAUAUGUACAAAAAUUAAAGCGCACAACUAAAUAUGAACAAAUAUAUAAAGAAAAUGCAUAUUUAAAAAUAAACACGCAAACCACAACGAUAAAACACAAUCAUCAGACAAAAACAAAGCUUAGUCCACAAAGUCCCUAGUGGAGUCGCCAUUCUGUCGCACGUGUACAACGGUGCGGCGAUCGUCCACCCCCAACCCUUCAUGAGGGUGUAGUAUGUUGUCUAUUCGGCAUGGAAAAUAUGGUGAGACAAGGAGUUCUUUGUCUCUAAGCUAAAAAAUGGACAGGGAGUCGCCACCUAGUAUUCUGAUUACUAGGAACCUUAACUGGUCUUUAGAGAUCGGGUACGGAGACUGGUUGCGUAAAGGGAAGGUAUUAGCACCCCAACUACGCCCUACCUAAGGUAAGCUGCAUUGUUUUAAUGUCUGAUAAAAUCUAAGGUUGUGUUGUGGUUUUUUAUUGUUCGGAAUACGCAUUACAUGUAAUGUCAUACCCCAGAUUCUAUUGUCCAAAAAAAAAAAAAGAAUUAAAUAUCCAAAAUAUGCAUUACGUGUAAAGUCAUACCCCGGAUACUAAGAGACAAACAAAAUAAAAUUUUUGUUGUUUUUGAAAUAUUGGCCAAUAUUCUCUUGACUUUAAUAAACUGGUUAUUAAAGCCAAAAUGCAUGCUAAAACAUUUUUUUUUUUGUGUAUGAAAAAAUACAAUAUGAAUUUUUAGCUUUGAGACACUUGGCCGUAUGCACAAAAACAUUUCUUUUCUCUUUUUUUAAUUGUUUUGUAUUUUGUGGAAGUUUUUGACGAAAACCGGGUAUUUGAAAAUCAGAUUUUUGUAUUUUUAACAACAUAAAAAAAUACCACCAAAUAUUAAUCAAAAUGACAUAAAAAUUACGCGGAAAAAUUAUAAAAUGCUGAAACAAAUAUUUUUGAUUUUUUUCUUUGAAAUGGGCCGGAUCAGGCCCAAAUAUAUGGGGUGGGCCGAACCUGGCCCAAAGAAUGGGCUGGUUAUUGUGCACGUAGUAACUGGGUUACUGUGUGUACAGUAACCAGAGAAUUAAUCUGCGGGUUACUGUGCACAUGCACAGUAACCGUGAAUUAAUUAGGGAGUUACUGUGCACAGCACAGUAACUCGCUAAUUAAUCUUCAUCUGCUGCAGAACGUAAACGUUCUGCAUGCAGAUGAAGCUGAACCAAAAAAAAAAAAACGACGGGAAAGGCUACCUGGAGCGGUGGUGAUGUUGGCAGCAACUGAUGUGACAGGGGUGGCGGCGGCGGAAUUGGCUGUUCGCGGUGGCCGGCUGUGCUGUUUUCCUCUCUCUCUCUCCUCUGUUUUACUCUCUUCUCUGCUUCUUCUUCUUCUUCUUUUAUUUCGUUCUCUCUCCCUUCUCUUCUGCUUUCUUCUCUCUGUCUCUCCCUUCUCUUCUCUUCCCCCUCUCUUUCGUCUCCUCCUGUUCCUCCUCUAUUUAUAGAGCCCGUGAGCAUGUUUUUUCAUUGUGGAGCCAAGGAACGGGUCAUGCGGCUGCUGGUCGGGCGCGGCUGUCCAGGCGUGCCUCCCUCGGUUUCGGCGGUGCGGUAGGUGGUCGGCCAAUGUCUUCGGUCGGUGGGCUAGAGGGACCGGCGGUUGGUGGGCUUGAGGGACUGGCGUCAUUAAAUAUGCAUUAUUUUUCCUUCUUUCCUGCUGUAUGCUCGGUGGGGAAGAAAGGGGAACAGUGCCGUUCAAAACGGCACCGUUUAGCCUUUCAUUUUUAUUUUUUUUAUAUUUAUUAUUUUUUUAUGGGGACCCAAAAAUGGGUUACAACAAUACACUGGGUCAUCUCAGCAUUUUCAAGGUAGUAUAACAUGCAGAAGUUAGGGCAUAUGUCAAUUUCUGGUAUCCUAAAUCGAGGGGUUUCAUCAUGGACUUCGCAGCAUAGAAGUUCUCUUUCAGCUUGUUCCCUUCAGGUAAAAUGCUUCUCGCCCAUUCAAUAAUUUUGUCAUACCCGGCCUCAAUCAACCCGUGAUCUGACUUGAUGAUGAACACUUGUGCCACGAUCAAUAAUUUACGAUGGUUUGUGCAGCCAUCCCAUAAUGGUUCGUUAUAAUCUUUUAAUAAAUCAAAAAGCCUAGCUGUAUCUACAUUAGGUUCUUCUUCUACGAUUGCACAUUGAAUGACAUUACCUUGAUUCAUUCUCAUUGCAUCCAUAACCAUAUUUCAGUAAGGAUUAGUGUUGUCAUUUGCCGCUUCAUGCACAUUGCUAGCACUAGAAGUUGACCCAACCACCGUUUCUCCCAUUCUCCUCUUACUAACAAAUACUUCUCCAUGUGCAUACCAACACUGGUAAUUCUCCAUAAACCCUUUAUGUAAAAGAUGCACCAUUACAACAUCUGGAUGUAGAUACUUUUUAUUUUGACACUUCCUGCAUGGACACCUAAUACCGCCUACAGUAAAAUUUCUGGGAAUAGAUGUUGCGAAAUUAAUAAAACCCUGAACCUCGUUACAAUAAUCCAUCCUCCGCAAUCCUUGGGGUGAAUCUCGAUACAUCCAUGAACGAUCAUUCAUGACUUAUAUAUAUCGAACCUCUACAAAAUUAUGAUGACAUCAUGUGUUACUUAACUAAGUUAGGUAAAUAAACUUGCAAAAAUAUUACUUUACCUCGAGAUUAUCCAACAAACCAAUCACAACUUAUAAAAAUUAAAUAUUCAUUAUGAUCAUUUAUUUAACGUCCAUACGUACAAAUUAAUAUAUAAAAAUUUACAAAAAUUACCACACCUCAAUACCAUUGCUAAAACUUAAAACGGACCCAUUAAGCAAGCUAUUAAUUAUUUCAAAACAGCACAUGUAAUUCGGUAAUUCCAUAAAGUUUUAACGAUUUACAAACAAAUACAAUCUUACAAAAUCUAAAACAAACCAUAACAGGUAUAAAAUUAUACAUUCAUAUACUACAAGUUUGUUUGAGAAAUAACAAUAAUACAUGUACAUCUACUAACAAAAUACAUAUACUAAAAAAAAAAACAAAAUUGACAUUUAAAUGUUAAAAUUUUUAAACAUAGAAUUACUUACAAAAAUUGAUAAAAUCCUUCGGAAAAUCAAAACACGGAUGCUGUGACCACAAAACUUCAAGAAAUAUAACUUGUUGUGCUGAGAUGAGGGAGAUUUUUGUUUGGGUAUUGGCUAUUUGCAAAUGGGGAGAGUUAGGAUUAGGAAGAAGAAGGAGAAAUAAGGGAGGAGAGGGUCGGCAGCAGGGAAUCAUAUUAACUUUUUUCGAUGGUUUCACCGACAGAAAUAUUCGUCGGCGUUUCUGUUGGAAAAAUAGCCACGUCACAAUACGGAUCAGCCAUUUCAAAUCUGUCGGUAUUUUCAAUGGUGAACCGGUUGCGUCACUGUAUAGGCCUGUCAUUUUGAAUCCAUCGAAAAAAACCUCCCCACCAAAACCUCUUAUGCAACCAUAUUAUUCGAUAGUUUCACUCACAUUUAACUAAUGUUUUGUCCAUGUUUUAUAUGUAAAAUGCCUUGAAAUUCUUUGUUUUAUGUUUUGAAGGCACUUUUGGAUGAAAGAUGCAAAAAGGAGUAAAUUGGAGGUAAUUGGCAGAUUUGACGUUCAGUCGAUAUUUUGUGCAGAGCGUGAGUUCCAGAUAUCGAAAUGAAGUGAUUCCAGUGGCAUUAAAAAGAUAACAUCCAUACCUUUCUGGAAAUGUAAUGCAAGAAAAAUAAAAAGAGAAAGAUCAUGGCAAUCACAUCCUUCAAAGUCAAAUCUCGCAGUCUGCCAAUGUUGACCUUUGCCCAUUCAAAAUUCAAUAUCUGGAGCUUCAGAAGUCCAAUUGAUGCAAACGCAAUUGUUUUAGAUUCCUUACUCAAAUAUCUAUAAACGCUCCAAAUUGCAGCCAAAAAAGAUGUCAUAUGAGGGAGAUAUGAAUUUUAAAAGAUGGCAACUGAAUUCUGCCAGCAAACAGGUUUCGUGAAGAAACAAGUCCAAAUUACGUUUUGAAGCAUCUAAACCGACAUCCAAGUUUUUAUAUCAACAAUUUAACUCCUCUAAGUCAGAUCUUGAAGAUUUCAUGCAAGGCUAUUCUCCUUUUUAGGAAAAAUAGUUAUUGAAGUACUUAAAUGUAAACUACCAACUUAAGGGAGGACUAUUUUGUAAAAUAGAGACUAGGGUUUCUUAGCAUAUAAAAAGAAAGAGAGAAGGAGGCAGCAGCCAACAAAAAAAAAAAGAGGGAGAGCAGAAGGAGGCAGCAGCCAACAGAGAAUAAACACAAAUUCUCUCCUCUACAAACCCAAAAUCAUGCUCUCUUCAUUCUUUAGGAGUAGUUGUUCAAUAGUUGUGCAAGGCUAAGCUCUUGUCUUGGUUGCAAGAACAUAACAAACCUUCGGAUUUCAAGAACCGUGAGAUUUAUUCUUCCUUUUAUUUUUAGUUUAUGUUAUGAAUGAUUAUGAUUGUUUUCCUAUUCAUAUUUUCUAUGAUUGUUGUUGAUGAUUGCUAGAGCGGACUCUAAGUUAUUGUUGUGAACAAUCUAUUGCUAAGUUUAAUAUCAAAACCGUAGUUGUGAUAUACGAACUUGUGAAGCAACUAAGCUUGAUAAUUGUGGCGGAACUACAUUAUUGAACUUAGGGAGAACAUUUAAACAAAGUGACACAAGCUGCGGACAGCUUGUAUGUUCAUCUUGAUGAAAUUAUCUAGUUCUUAAAGCUGCCAUUAAAUUGAAUCAUUAGUGCGGACACUUUGAUUGUUUGUUGGUUAGGAUUAGUUAUACGGCGGAUCCGUUAAUUAAUCAACGUUAAGAAAAGAUAAAAUUUCAAAACAUAAACUGCAAUUUUCGUUUCAAGGAUCAGUUUUUGAAAGAGCCCCGGCAAUGGCGCCAAAAACUUGACACGACCAAAAGCUUGAUGUCUUUUCCCAAGUGCAGGAGUGUCGAAGUAAUAAAUAACCCGGCAAGACGUGUUAAUUGUAUAAAUUAUAAAUAACAAUACAACAACAACAACAACAAUAACAAUAACAAUAACAAUAAUAAUUAUUAUAAUACUCAGUACGUGGCGUUGUUAUACCUGAGAAUGAUCUAAAAGAUUGGGUCACAGGUUUCCAGCCUAUAUACUGAGUUUAUGAAAAGAUCAAAGAUAUAUAUUAUAUAAUAUAAACAGAAUGUAAAUAAUAAUAAUAAUAAUAAUAAUAAUAAAAGCAAAAGAUGAAGAAAUUAAUGAGAACUUUGAGAUGAAAGAUUAACGUAAGGAUUAAACAAUGAUAAAAACACAAAUGUCAAGGUUAGAGGAUCCACUAAUGGUACUUCAAACAAGUAUAGUAUAAACUCUUAUUACUCAAUUGGAAACCACACAUAAAGGAGGUUCCAAUCAGAUUAUAAAUUGUUAACAUGAUUACAUUAGUUAUCUUAUUCGAAUAAAGCUAAUACUUGUAAAUGUUGGCAGGCAUUCAUGAUUAUAACUUAUGUUAACAACAAAUCAAGUUCCUUUCAUAGCUUAGGUGUUGGUUAUACCAUACAGUAUGGGCUAUGAAAGUGCCAAGUAUUUGUUGUACCAAGUGUUAUACAACAUAAAUCUAGAUUAACCAUUUAACAAACAAAGUAUUAAAAGUGAACAAGAUAACAAAUAUAAAACAUGUUAGUAUCCAACAUUAAGGUCCAUGUUAAGUUUAUAUUAUACUUAUUCUUACACCAUUAGUGUACCCUUUUCACCUUGACAUAAUUAACUUAGCUAAACAUAAUGAAAGAAAGAAACAUAAAUGAACAAGAUAAGAACAAGUAAAGGAAAGGAAAUGAAGUGCAUAAACUUGAUAUUGUUGAAAGCAAAACAUAAGCAAUACAAAGAGAGAAAGCAAGAGCAUGAUCUUGAUCUGGAAACCAAGAUGCCUCAAUACAUGGUAAGUGCCUCCUUUUAUAGGCCAAAAUUUGGAACUAUUGAUUUGUUGACUAAUUGAUGAGUGGGUGGCCACAUCUUGACUUGGUGACAAUCCUUAUCUUCUUGUCUGAACAAAACAUCAUUUCUAACAUCAUAAUUUGCCCAUAAUCCUUAGGAAUGUUCUAGGAAAUUGUCUCAGCUUUCCAACAAAAAAAAGAUGAGGUCAUUUGGACUUCUAGAACUCAAGAUAUGGGCUGAACACUAAAUAGUGUCUAGGUUGCAGGACAGCUUCGGACUUCUUCGUUGUUCCUUCAAUUUGGACUUCAAAACGGCCUUUUCAAAUCUUGGGCUCCUGAUGAACGUUGUAGGCCUUUGUCUUACCUUUUAAUCCAUAUAAAAUGGACCUAAAUCCGAGAUCUAGAGCUCCAGAUAUGAUCCAAUUACAGAGCAAUGUUCCAGUUUGGACUGCACCAGCAUCUCUUUUCUAAGUUUGGCCAUCUCUUUGUCCUUUCACUUUCAAUAUUUAAACUCAUCAAUCAAUCUUUUCAUUUAUGUGAUAGACCUGCAUUUAAGAUGAGAAUUUACCAUAAAUUAAGGUAUCCUUAUAGUAUCAAACUUGUUAUUAUAAAACAUGCUUUAGUUAAGGAGUUAUUGAUACUUCAAGUGCAAAAUGAUGAUAUAAAACCUUGAUAAACAUGCACUUUUAAGUACUAAUCACACCCCCCAACCAGCUUAUUACUAGUCCCUAGUAAUCUAAAGCGUUAAAAUAGAGAAACAAUUUGCAAGUUUCACAAAGCAAGGUAUUCAUCAUUCAACUUCCAUUAAUUUAUCCAGAUAGACAAACUCUCAUUAAAUUUAUAUUCCUGCUUCAUACUUCUUAAACAAGAUAUUAAUAAACCUUCUUUUUAUGUGUUUAAUAUAUGAAAACAUAGAUGAUGGGGCUUUUGUUGGAAGAAAACAAUAUUAUGUUCAAAUGUUUAAGGUGAACUUCCUUGGGUUGGGAUUAUUAUUUUUAUUACUUUUUUUUCUUUUUUUUCUUUUUUUUAUAUAUAUACACAUACAACUUAAAACACAAUGUAUCUUUAACCCAUGUAACGAGUUUUAGGCUAAUGACUCUCAGACCAGUUGGUCUUAGGGCAUUAGGUGUUGAGACACCCCUACGAGCUUAACAACUCGGGUUGCAGAUACUGAUACGUAGAUAGUGCAAUGUUUGAUUCCCUUAAGUUUUUCUCCUUAACCCAUGUAACAAGCAUUAGGCCAAUAGCUCCCAAGUCAAUUGACUUUAGGGUAUUAGGUGUUAAAACACCCCUUUGGGCUUAAUUGCUUAGGUUAGGGAGGCUACGAAACCAAACUUAUCUACGUUUUUAUUAUCAUCAAUAUAUAUAUAUAUAUAUAUUGCAAAUUAUAUACUAUCCAUUUUCCUUAGUUGUUACCUUCAACAAAAGAACAUAAAUAAUGUAAUAAUUCAAUGUGCAACCCACAAUCAUAUGUUGAAGUGUGUGUGUGAAAAUGAAGGUUUAAUAAUACUUGUUAAAUGAGUAUAGGAGCAGAACCAAGUGAUAACAAUGCGAGAGUUUGUAAACCUGAAUAUUUCCAGAAGUAUUCUAAUAGGCCUUGUUAUGAAUAUUGCAAAUAACCAUUAAAAUUUUUACUAAGAUGCGUCUCAAGAAUAAUUCCUCUUUACUCUGCCAUCCUAGUAAUAACAGUUUUGCCAAAUGGUUUUUUAAAAACAAAAACAGUUAGUUGGUUAUUUUUUUUUUUUAAACUACUACCCUCUCCCCCCAACCAAAACGAGACAUUGUCCUCAAUGUUCUAAGGUAGAAAGAUAGAGUAUAAAAGACAUCACCUGAAACAACGAACAAUGACAAACCCGAAACACACUUAAACAAGUAUAAGAAGUAACAAAACAAAAUAAUAUGAUAUUAAUAAAACCACAAGACACAAGGUUUCACAGAUGAAGGCUCAAAUCUAAUCUAAGCUUUUUACGGCUUUCCUUAGUUGACCAAUCUAGGCGACUCAUGCAGGGAUCAAUGACAGGGAUGAAAGAUUAUAGUUGGUCAAUCAAUUGUUCAGUAGUAGCAGCAGAGAUGGGUCGGCAGCAGGGAACUAUAGUAAUUUUUUCGAUGGUUUCACCGACGGAAAUAUCCGUCGGUGUAUUUGUCGGCGUUUCUGUCAGAAAAAUAGCCACGUCACAGUACGAAUCAGCCAUUUCAAAUCCGUCGGUGAUUUUGUCGGUAUUUGCAAUGGUGAACCGGUUGCGUCAUUGUAUGGGCCUGUCGUUUUGAAUCCAUCGAAAAAAGCCUCCCCACCAAAACCUCCACGUCAGCGACCAAACUUUUUUUUUUAAUUCGGACCUUUCUGUCUGUAAUUCAGUUGGUAACCACCAACGGACUCUAUCCAUCGGUGGUUACCGACUAAAUUACGGACGGAUAAAUUCCGUAGGUAAUUUCAACCUCAAAUUACUAACAUAAAUAUUUCGUCGGUAAAUCAGUUGCUAUUAAGCGAAUCUCUGGUAAUGCUAUUAGGGUUCUAUGUUUUCUCCAAAAUCUUUUUGAUCUCCCUAUUAGCAAGCUCUACUUGUCCACUUGUCUGAUGGUGAUAAGGGGUGGCAACUUUGUGUGUGAUUCCAUACUUCUUCAUUAAAGACUCAAAUGGUUUAUUGCAGAAAUGUGUUCCACCAUCACUUCUCAUGGCUCGAGGGAUUCCAAAUCGACUCAAAAUAUUUUAUUUCAAGAACUUUAUCACUGUUCUGUGGUCAUUGUUUCGACAUGGAAUUGCCUUUAUCCAUUUUGAAACAUAACCUACUACGACUAAUAUGUACAAGAAACCAAAUGAUGGAGGAAAUGGACCCAUGAAAUCUAUACCCCAAUAGUUAAAGAUCUCAAUGACAAGAAUAGGAUUUAAAGGCAUCAUGUGACGUUUCGAAAUAGAUCCCAACUUUUGACAAUUUUCACAAGUCUUACAGAAUGCAUGUGAGUCUUUGAACAUGGUGGGCCAGUAAAAUCCACUUUGUAAGAUUUUUGCAGUUGUCUUUCUUGAUGAGAAAUGACCCCCACAUGCCUCAGAAUGACAAAAUUUAAUGACACUACUUACCUCAUUGUCAGGAAUGCAUCUUCGAAAUAUUUGAUCAGGACAAUAUUUGAAUAAAUAAGGGUCAUCCCAAUAAAAGUUCUUCACUUCGUUCAAGAACUUUCUUUUGUCUUGGGUACUCCAAUGAGCUGGCAAUUGUCCUGAAACAAGAAAAUUAACAAUAUUAGCAAACCAAGGCAUCGUAGAGACAGAAAAUAAAGAUUCAUCAGGAAAGUAGUCAUCGAUUGGUGUGAUGUCAGAUCUCGAAUCGGUUGUCAAUCUUGACAAAUGAUCCGCGACAACAUUUUCGGUGCCUUUCUUGUCUUUGAUUGUGAUAUCAAAUUCUUGAAGUAACAAAAUCCACCGCACCAAUCUAGCCUUAGAAUCUUUCUUAGAGAGAAGAUAUUUCAAUGCUGCAUGAUCACUAAAAACAAUAACAGGUGAGCCAACAAGAUAAGAUCUGAACUUGUCACAUGCAAAUACUACUGCAAGUAAUUCUUUUUCAGUGGUAGUGUAAUUCAUUUGAGCACUAUUUAAAGUUUUACUUGCAUAGUAAAUCACAUAAGGUUUCUUAUCUUUUCUUUGUCCCAAGACAGCACCCACGGCAUAAUCACUAGCGUCACACAUUAUUUCAAAAGGUAAUGACCAAUCAGGAGGUUGAAUGACAGGAGCAGAAGUAAGCAAGUUUUUAAGUUUAACAAAGGCUUCUUCACAAUGUUCAGUCCAUUCAAAAAUAUUAUCCUUUGUUAGAAGGUUACUCAAGGCUUAGAUAUUACACUAAAAUCUUUGAUGAACCUUCUGUAAAAACCAGCAUGUCCUAAGAAUGAUCUAACAUCUUUAACAGAUUUUGGUGUUGGUAAGUUGGCAAUUAACUCGAUUUUAGAUUUGUCAACCUCAAUUCCUUUCGAUGAAACAAUGUGACCAAGUACAAUGCCGUUUGUUACCAUAAAGUGACAUUUUUCCCAAUUCAGUACAAGAUUCUUCUCUUCACACCUGCUCAAAACCUUUUCUAAGUUAGUCAAACAAUCAUCAAAUGAAUCACCAAAAACAGAAAAAUCAUCCAUAAAAAUUUCAAGAAAACGUUCAACCAUAUCACUAAAUAUGCUAAGCAUGCAUCUUUGAAACGUGGCUGGUGCAUUACAUAAUCCAAAAGGCAUCCUUCGAUAUGCAAAAGUACCAAAUGGACAUGUGAAAGUAGUCUUCUCUUGAUCUUCCAAUGCAAUUUCAAUUUGAUUGUAACCUAAAUAGCCAUCUAAGAAACAAUAAAAUUCAUGACCUGUAACUCUUUCUAGGAUUUGAUCCAUGAAAGGUAAAGGGAAAUGAUCUUUUCUAGUCAUUGAAUUAAGUUUUCUAGUCAAUGCACAUUAAGUUUCCUAUAAUCUUUUCUAGUCCUAGUUGGAAUUAACUCAUUUUUCUCAUUUGUUAUCUCAGUGACUCCAGACUUUUUGGGUACAACUUGGGUAGGACUUACCCAUUUGCUGUCAGAAAUAGGAUAAAUGAUUCCAUUAUCUAGAAGCUUAAUGACUUCAUUUUUCACUACUUCUUUCAUAUUAGGAUUAAGCCUUCGUUGCAUUUCUCUAGAGGGUUUAGCAUUUUCCUCCAAAUAAAUCCUGUGUGUGCAAAUCAAAGGGCUAAUUCCUUUUAUGUCAGCUAUGGUCCAUCCUAAUGCAUUUUUGUGCAUUUUAGAGUCUGUAAUAACUUACCUUCUUGAUGUGCAUUAAGUUUGGAAGAGAUUAUUACCGGAAAAGUUUCAUUUUCUCCCAAAAAUGAGUAUUUGAGAUUAAAUGGUAACGGCUUCAAUCAGGUUUUGGUGGUUGAACACUUGAAGGUAUGGGCUCAAUUGAUCGUGGUGGCAAUUCUUCAAUUUGUGGUCUCCAAUUAUGCCUUUGAUUCUUCCUGAAAGUAACCAUUUGCAAAUCAUCAGAUUCAUCAAUCUCAGUUUCACUAGAAGUGGUUUGAAAUUGAUCAUGAACUAAUUUUUCAAUAAAGUCCACUUCCUGUAAAUCAUUAUCAUCUCCAGGUUGCUUGUAAAUGUUGAAAAUAUUCAUCUCCAAUGUCAUGUUUCCAAAUGAUUCAUUAGUCCAUUCCUACAAUUAAUCAAUGCAUUAGAAGUGGCAAGAAAUGGACGUCCUAAAAUGACAGGAAUUGAAUUACAUGCUUCAACAGGUUGUGUCCAAGACAACAAAAAUCCAAGGAUAAAUGAAUUUAUCAACUUGUACUAACACAUCUUCAACUAUUCCUCUAGGCACUUUUACAGAUUAGAGUAAGAGUUGAUUUUAACUCACCUAGAUUGAGACUUGAAAAACUGAAUAUGGAAGUAAAUUCACACUAGCUCCAAGAUCAAGUAAGGCUCUUUCAAUUUUAUGUUCUCCAAUAAAGCAAGAAAUUGUAGGACAACCAGGGUCUUUAUAUUUCAAAGCAUUAUUGUUCUGAAGAAUGGCACUUACUUGUUCGGCUAAAAAGGCUUUCUUUUUCACAUUCAGUUUUCUCUUCACAGUGCACAGAUCUUUCAAAAAUUUAGCAUAGGAAGGAACCUGUUUAAUAGCAUCCAACAAAGGUAUAUUGAUCCUUACCUGUUUGAAAAUUUCAAAGAUUUCAGAGUUGUGAUUGACUUUCCUUUGUUUGGUCAUGGCAUGAGGAAAUGGAAGUGCUGGCGGAAUCAGCUUUUCUUUGCAAUGUUCAGGUUCAACCCCUUCCUUACCCUCAGAGAUAGACUCAUCAUCUUUCUCACAAGGUUCAAGAAUGGGUUUUUCAAUAACCUUACCACUACGAAGAGUGAUGACUGAUUUGACUUGAUCCAUGUGUUGGCUUCCAGAACUACUUGCAUUUGCAUUGUAUUGCCCCUUUGGAUUUUGCUGUGGUUGAGAAGGAAACUUACCUUUCUCUUGGAAACUGAGAGCAGAUGUUAAUUUUGCAAGAGCAUCUUUAAAAUUUCAUGCUUUGAGCAAGUUGAGUGUUGAUUGUCUCCUGCUUUUCAAUGAAUGCAUGCAAUGUUUCCUCAAGAUUUCUUCUAGGAGGUGGAGCAUAAGGAGGUGCAUAUCCAUGAGAAUUUUGGAAAUUAUGGUGUGCUUGAAACGGUGGUGUGAAGUUUGUGCAUUGUUGCUAUCACUCUUCCAACUAAAUUUGGGUGAUUUCUCCAACCAGGGUUGUAUGUUUGUGAGUAUGGGUUAUGGUUGGGCCUUUGGAAACUGUUUAAAGCAUGGGCUUGUUCAUGGAGGCAUUCCUUGAAAGAAGGCAAAGUUGGACAAUCAUUUGUUGAUGUUCAUUGUUUCACAGAUUUGACACACAAUGUCUUGAACAGAUUUUAAUUGACCACUCUUUUUCAAUUCUAGUGCCUCGACUUUUCUAGCUAAAGAUGCAAACUUGGCUUGGAGGUCAUGAUCUUCCCUAAGGUUGUGCAUACCUCCACUAGAUGUAUGAGGUUGAGUUUUACUUGGUGCCUCAUAAGUACCUGUGGUGUCCCAAUUUUGAGCAUUUUCAGCUAGCAAGUCUAGGUACUCCAUUGCUUCAUUAGGGUCUUUAUCUUCAAAAGUUCCAUUGCACAUCAAUUCAACCAUUUGCCUAUCUCUAGGUGUUAAACCCUUCAUAAAAAUGUGAAACCAAUCUCCAUGUUUCAAAACCAUGAUGAGGGCAAGUAUUAAGCAAAUCUCGAUACCUAUCCCAACAUUGGUAAAAUGUUUCUCCUGGCUUUUGAGUGAAAGUGAUGAUUUGUCUUUUGAAAGAGUUUGUUCUGUGAGAUGGAAAAAACUUCUUUAAAAAUUGUUGUUGCAUUUCAUCCCAAGCACGAAUGGAUCCUGGUCUCAAAUUUUGUAGCCAUGUUUUAGCUUUAUCUUUUAAUGAAAAAGGAAAAAGCUUAAAUCUAAUGGCGUUCAUGCUAUAAUUUGAGUCAUUAUAGGUGUUACAGACCUCCUCAAAUUCCCUUAAAUGCAAGUAUGGAUUUUCUAGGUCUAAGCCAUGAAAAGAAGGUAAAAGUUCAAUAAUUUCUAGCUUAAAAUUAAACUGAGAUGCAUCAGGAGAGAACACUAUGCAUGAGGGUGCACUUGUUCUUGUGGGAUUCAUGUGGUCUCUAAGUGUUCUCACACGGUUAUUCUCAUUAUUCUCACUAUGAAGCGAUUGGUUAUUUUCUUCAGCCAUAUUUUUUGAAAAUGAUGAGGAUACCCAACAAAGUCUACCACUUAAUGUACGUGACCAAACUCUCAUGCAUGUAUAAGAAGAGAAUAAAAGGAAGAAAAGAAAUGAAAAGAAAAUGACACAAAACAAAAGAAACAAAAGUUAGAUAAAAUGUAAAGUGAAAGAGAAAAGAGAAAAUAAAAUAAAUAUUAUAAUUUAUACAAGAAUUUACCUCCCCGAAAACGGCGCCAAAAACUUGACACGACCAAAAGAUUGAUGUCUUCUCCCAAGUGCAGUAGUGUCGAAGUAAUAAAUAACCCGGCAAGACCGGGGUCGAACCACAAAGAGAAGAACUAUAUAAAUUAUAAAUAACAACAACACAACAACAACAACAGCAGCAACAACAAUAGUAGUAGUAGUAGUAGUAAUGAUAAUAGUAAUAGUAAUAGUAAUAGUAAUAGUAAUAAUAAAGAGGACUUUGAGAUGUAAGAUUAAUGUGAGGAUUAAACAAUGAUAAAAAUAAAUGUCAAGGUUAGAGGAUCCACUAAUGGUACUUCAAACAUGUAUAGUAUAAACUCUUAUUACUUAAGUGGAAACCACACACAAAAGAGGUUCCAAUCGGAUUAUAAAUUAUUAACAUGAUUACAUUAAUUAUCUUUUUCGAGUAAUGCUAAUACUUGUAAAUAUUAUCAGGUAUUCAUGGUGAUAACUUAUGUUAACAACAAAUCAAGUUCCUUUCAUAGCACAGGUGUCGGUCAUACCAUACAGUUGGGCUAUGAAAGUGCCAAGUAUUUGUUGUAUGAAGGGUUGUUCAACACAAAUCUAGAUUAACCAUUUAACAAACAAGGUAUUAAGAGUGAGCAAGAUAAUAAAUAUAAAACAUGUUAGUAUCAAGCAUUAAAGUCCAUGUUGAGUUUAUAUUAUACUUAUUCUUACACCAUUAGUGUACUCUUUUCACCUUGACAUGAUAAAAUUAGCUAAUCAUGAUUAAGAAGAAAACAUAAACAAACUAGAUAAGAACAUAGUUAUGAUGAAAAGCAUAAACAAGAGAUUAAUGAGAGCAAAACUUAAACAUUACAAAAAUACAAAGAAAGAGAGCAGGAGCAUGAUCUUGAUCUAACUUAAAAAUACAAACUUAAUUUUUUUGUCUUGUUGUUGCAGCUAAAUGAAAGAAUCAAAUAUUUUUAUCUCCAAGCUUACACCACUGAAUUCUUGACUUCUAAUGCCAGGCAGACUCUUGAGCUCUAUAUAGGAUUUUGAGUUGGGAGGCAAUGGUAUUACUUCUAAUCAGUUUAUCAGCAAUCAAGACCCUGCACUCGUUUUGACGAUCCAUUGAGUCAGCUUCAAGUUCCAGUUCGUUAAUUCUGUUAUUCAUGCUUCCCACAACAGCUUUACUCUACUGCCGACAUCUCUCUUUCAACAUCUUGAAAGCUGGGACCAUUUUUCUUUUACCAGAUUUUGAAAUUGAGAUUGAGCUCCAAAAGCUCUUAAUCAUAAUCCUGAAAUCAGACGCAAGCCACCAACAAUUCAUGAAGCGAAAAGGUUUCAGGCCCCAAUUUGUAGAGUCUAGCAACAGAUGAAUAUUUUGAGAGACCGAAUAAAGUAGAGGAUGGGAAAGCCUGCAACCAAUCCCUCGAUAAAAAUAUUCUAUCAAUGCGGCUCGCCGCAUUACCUCGAGACCAUGUAAACUUUCUCCCAUUUAAGGGGAGCUCCAUAAGAUUACAACCAUCAAUGCAAUUUUUAAAUCUUGUCAUGGAAGAUGUUAUUUUUUAGCCGCCUUUCCUAUCUGAUGGGAAUAAGGUUUCAUUAAAAUCACCCGCAAGACACCAUGGCUUGCUAACACUAUCCCUGAAUGUAACAAGAUAACUCCAAAGCUCAUCCUUCAAGUUCCCAACAUUCGGAGCAUAUACAAAAGAGACUAGGCAAUCUAGAUUGGACCGAGUGAAGGUGCCUUCAAUAUGCAAAAUACAGCCAUUCAUAGCAACAGAAUAGCUAGAGACACAAAAAAGAUCUGGAUUCCAUAUACAUAAUAUCCCCCCUGAAAGGCCUAAUAAGGGAACUGCAUACCAAGCCCUAGGAUGACGACGCCAUAUAGCAUUAAUAGUGAAAUCAUUCAAAUUUUCCAAUUUUGUUUCCAAAAUACCCAGGAUAUCAAGAUUAAAUUUUCUACCAAGAUUCCUCAAACGUCUUUUUUUUUCUCUGCCCCCUAAGCCACACACAUUCCAUACAAUUAUACUACCCAUAGAAGUGAUUAUAGAGACCAUACCUUCAUACUAUUUACAAAAGCAAAUCACGUCUUCUUCCUUAGGAUCCACUCUUCCUGCUCUCGGUCUAGGAAUCCCUGUAGUGUCUAAGUCAUGAGUGUGCUAUCGUCAUGCCCUUGGAGAAUAGCUUUCCCAACUUCCCAGUAAGUAGUGGCUUCAGCCUAGUUAUCAGAAUGUGCAGGCUCAUUUGCUUCAUUACCAGCAUUGGUGUCGGGUCUGUAUCUUGAACUACUUGCCUCAUCCUCACCAAUCGAUUCCUUACCAGCUUUGAUAAUAGCAUUUCUAUUCUUGAUCCCAUUAUCAGAAACUGAGUAUUCAACAAUUACGGUCUCUGAUUGCUUACCGUUGUGAUUUCCCAUUUGACGUGAUUUCCUCCUCUUAAGAGAUUGUGUUUUGCGUGUGAGCUUUUUUGCUUUUUUUUCUAUGAGAUUUCUUGUUUCCUACUUCCAGAGCACAAAGCUCAUAUGGAUCAACAAUAGGAGUGAUGAAGGUUGUAAAAGAUGGCCCAAUGCUUGUUGAGUCAAGAUUGGUUUCCGAGCCUAUGCUUGAAGAUUUCUGCUUUUUCUUACGACCCAUCUUCUUUAGGUGUCCACUAUCAUAAUCUAUAUGCUGAUCCAGCCCAUCCUUAGUAGUAAAGCAAGAAACUUGUUGCACAUCUACCUCUUUGCAUGCAACUGUAUCCACCUCGACAUAUUCGUAAGGUACCAAGGCUAACCAGUUAUCGCCUUCGUACGUACGCUCAUCAGAUAAAACCACAUGUCUGCAAAUUUCAGUAAUUUCUGGGUAGAGGUACAACGGUGAAACUUUAGACGUGGUGAGUGUGCUAGCAAUCUGAGUUUGGGUGCCCAACAAACUGGUGAACUCAGAUUCAAAUUCGGGUCUUUGUUUUGUCUCUAUAUGAGUCGUUUAUGCUCUAUUAGUUUCCUCACAAAAAUCAUCUUCAUUGUCAUCGGAUAACACAGAUGUUGUACACAAUCAUACUUCCAUGGAGUGUUUGACUGUUGUGAGAGAGGGGAUAAACUCACCUUUGAUUUCUUUCAAACUGACCUCAACCUGCACUCCAUCGAGCUGAAGUAACACUUGAUCAUGUAAAGUUUCCAGCUUUGUUGUUCGAAUAAGAACCCUAAUACCUGAUAUGGAACCCAGACUAAUACAGGAAGUGUCGUAUCCUACAAUAUUUCCCCAGCUCUGAAGCAAAAUAUUAAUACAGUUUCUGUUCCACCCUUCCAUUGGCAAACCAAAUAUGGAGAUCCAAGCAAAUUUGUCAUAUGCUCUAGUCCUUGUUUCCCACUGUCUGAGAUUGCUGAAUAGUGAAUGCAGCACAUAUACUUUAUUCCUUUGUUCUUGCACUGAGGCUAACUGAUCCACAUAGGUAAUAAUCACCUGGCUAGCUCCCAAAAAACGAAAGCUCACAGCUUUGUCACUUGAUUUUAAAACCGUUGCCUCUAGUGUUGCUACAUCCAUAUUUGGCAAGAUAAUUCCCACUAAGCUCCUAUGCAACCAUUCAUUAUCCUUGUUGUUAUCUAUUUUUGGGUUCCCAUACAAAAAAUAAGAAAAUACAAAAAAAUAUUCGGAAGGAAUAAAAAAAUAAUAAUAAUAACAGGAGUGAGAAAAGGAUGCUGGAACGCCCAUAAAAUGACUAGGAAUUGGCCGAGGAGGUUCGAAAAUACAAGAAUUUAAAUUUGACGUUAUAUUUUCUACUGAUGAGAGCAUUAUGAACAAAAAAAAUUCAAGUUGAGAAAGAAAAAUAAAAAAUAAGAUGUUUAUAGACUCAAUUAAAUUUUAUUCAAGGUUUAAUUGAAUUUAUGUAGGGUUUAAUUGCAAGAAAAUUGAUUUUUUAAGUCAAUUUAGGCUUUUAUUGGAAGUAAUUAAAGUUAUGGGGUCCAAUUACAAUUUUGAAGAGUUGAUUUGGUCAAAUCAGGGGUUUAAUUGCAUAAUUAUUGAAGUUUGAUGGCCAAUUAAGGACUUAAUUGAAACAAUCCAAAACCAAGGACUAAAUCGGAAAAGGUAAUAAAAUCAAGGGGUCUAAUUAUAAUUUUUCUGGGGGCUUGAUUACAAAAUUGUAGAAAACAUCCAAGGAUCAAAUCAAAAAUAUUCAUUUUGAAAUUUUAAAACGGCGCCGUUUCCUUAAAGAGCACUGUUUAUUGUCUCCUUCAAAGUCGUUUUCAGCAUUAAACCAGAGAUAUGUUUUGCAUCAAAUUGCUCCAAUUAUGGGGCACGUUUUAUGGCUGCUAUCCCGUUGACCGUUACCACUGCAAUGCUUUCGUUGGGCUAUAAAAGCCAGAGGAGGAACCGACACCAGAAAGAAGAGAGAGAAAGAAAAACAGCAGGGGGGGAGAACGUGAUAAAAACAGAGGGGAACGAGACAGGGGGGAAGAAAACUAGAGGGACAACGGACAGAACAGAAAAAACAGAGAGAAAGGGGGGGGAAGAGGAGAAAAACAACGAGACAAAAAGGAACUGAGAAAGUAGAAGACGAGAAAGAUAUUAAAACAGGGAAGAGCUUGUUUUAAAACAGGGGAAGAACCGCUGCAAUUCUCCAUCACAACUGCACCAGCACUGCACAACAGAAAGGAGGCAGACGAGACAGAGAAAAGAAAGAAAGAAAGAAAGAAAGAACAAAAGGAGGGAAGACAACGAGACAGGGAGGGGACGAUAGAGAGAGGAGAGCAGAACAGAGGAGGAAAGACGAGAGCAGAACAUAGGAAAAAAAUAAAGAGGAUAGGGGAGAAGAACGCAGAUAGCAGAAGAAGAAGCCUGCAUCACCAUCGUGUUAAUCUCUCCAGUACCAGGUAUGUUCAAUUCCUUCCACCGUCCCUGUAAUAAAAACUUCGCCUGUGUCUUAAGCAUUUUUUUGUAAGAAGAAGGGUGAACAGUCGCACUGUUCCGCGUGCAUGGACUAACCAGGUCACUGGCCCAGGCUGGGUGGCUGGGUCCAGCCCAGCCACAUGGGCCGGGUUGGGGCCAGUCCAAAAAAUAAAAAAAAUUAAAACAAUUCUUUUCAAAAAUCUGUGAUUUUUCGCAAAUAUUUUAUUGCAUUUUGAUCAAUAUUGGUUUGUAUUUUUAUACUAUAAAGAUACAAAUCCAGUAUUAAAUACAUGGUUUUUAUAAAAACAAAUAAUAAAAUAAAAAAUAAUAAAAUCAAAUAAAAUGUUUUGUUUUCAUGCAUACGGCCAAGUCUCUCUAAUAUAUAUAUAUAUAUAUAUAUAUAUAUAUAUAUAAUAAAAAAAUCAUAUUAUAUCUUCAUAUAUAAAAAAAAGUUUUAGCAUGCAUUUUGGCUUUAAUAACCAGUUUAUUAAAGUCUCGAGAACUGGCCAAUAUUUCAAAAAUUCCAAAAAAAUUAUUUUGUUUUUUUCUUUUAAUAUCUAGGAUUACGACCUUAUACGUAAGACGUAUUUCAAAUAUUAAAUUAUUUGUUGACGUUAGAACGGUUAGGUUUUUCCUAAUAAGAUAAAGAUUUCUUUACCGAAGAGAACUUUUUCUUAAACACAACAAAACUUUAAAUUUUAUCAGACAAUAAAACAAUGCAGCUUACCUUAGGUAGGGCGUAUUUGGGGUGCUAAUACCUUCCCAUUGCGCAACCAGUCCCCAUACCCGAUCUCUAAGACCAGUUAGGGUUCCUAGUGGCCAAAAUACUAGGUGGCGACUCCCAUUCCAAUUUUUCAUUGAUAAGAGACAAGAAUUCCUUGUCUCCUAAUAUUUUCCAGAUCGAUAGAAGAUAAUACAAAAAUUUAAAGGGUGGAUGUUCUCGCCACGACGCCGCACACGUGCGACAAUCCUCAUCUGUGGAGUUGUAUUGUAUCAUUCUCGUCGUCUUUGUGACCAUUUGUUGUGGUUUGGAUGUGAGUACCUCAGCAAAGGAUUUGUUAUGUGAAGCCUGAGAAUAAAGUAUACAAAAAAAGGGGGGGAGUUUAUAAUAAUUUAAAAGUGUUGUUAUAUAUAUAUAUAUAUAUAGAAGGGGCUAAAAUAAGAAAAAGGGAGAAAGAUGGGACCAAAAUGAAUUAAGAAGAGAUGGGACUAUAAAUACCCAUCUCUUCUCUCAUUCAUGACCGGGGAGGUAACAAAAAGAAAAAAGGAGGGAAAUUUUUCAGAUUUUCCUUCACCAAGCCUAGGAGAAGACACCUAAAUUUCUAUACCAACACAAACCUUAGAAUUUCUACAUGGGAAGACAAACUUGGGCAGGAGAUUUGCAAGAAGAAAAGUGACAUAAUUUCUAAGAGAAGAGGGGGUGGGAGGCUGGCUGCCUGUAGAGAAGAAAGGGGUUAUGAAACUUUAAUCAAAUCAGAAAUCAAACCUAAAUUUUCCUCCAGGUAUGAAGUUCUAAACCAAUUGGGAAAGAUAAAUUAAAUUCAUGCAAGAAUUGUGCAUUAAUUUGAAGUUUGAAAGAUUAGGGUCCUUGAGUAAAAUUUGGGGAAAUGUGGAAUUGAUUGGAAUUAAAUGAGUUGAGCAGCAUAGGUUGCCUAAAAAGGAUAGAAUUAUGCAAAGAAGAUUUCAACAAAAUCAAAGAUUAUGGGGGAAAUAAUGGCCGACCAUGGGAUUGUAAGAAAAGAAAGGAAAUUUUGAUAAUUUGCAUUGUUUUCCUUAUUGCAAAAAUUAAAACAGGUUUCAGGAGGUGAAUAAUAAGGAAAUGUGGUGAUUGAGUGUGUGUGUGUGUGUAAAAAAACAACAGAGAGAAGGAAUUGAUUUAAGGACCGAUCACUGGAGGGGAAGGAAAAACAAAACAGGGGAGGUGAACAUAUGACUCCCCUGUUAAUUAAUUAAGUGUGCUGAUGUAGUGUAGUUACAAAUUGUAACUUAUAAGGGAGAGGAACCUACGUUCCAGGUAAGGAAAACAUGGCUGAAAUUGAUGGGAAGUAGGAUUGGAGAUAAAAAUUAUAGGCACCUUCUCUAUUGACAAAAGAGGGCAGGUUCAUUUCCCUGGUUCUUGAGGGAAUCUGGACCUGAAGAUGAUAGAAUUUAGGGAGGGUCCAUCAUAGAAGUUGUAGCUGGGAGUGUUAGCUUUUCAACGAGUCCGACCCCGCCUAAUUUGGAGUCCUGGAACUCCGGAUACAAAUGAAAAUCUGAGGAGAGGUCAAGCUGCCACCUCGGUUGGCAGUUUCGGCAAAGUCGAUAAAAUGGCAAAAUUUAGCCGUAUUAAGGGUAAAAUUUGUUUUCUCUCCCUUCAUAAAGUGUCUUAAUCUUAAAAAAAAGAAGAAGAAGAAGAAGAAUAAAACUGUGAUCAAAAUUGAAUUUAUGAUGUCCACACAUGUUGUAACCCAUUUUCAGGGUCCCCACAUAAAAAAUAAUAAAAUACAAAAAAAUAUAUUAUCAAAAAAAUCUAACAGUGAAAAAAUGCCAGAGCGUCCUAAAAAUGCUCAAAAAUUGAUUAAGGAUGAUCAAAAAUAUAAAAAUUAAAAUUUGACAGUAUAUCAUUAACUGAUGAGAGCCCCGAUGAUAAAGAAAAUUCAAUUUUAUUAAAGGUUUAAUUGAAUUUUUGGAGAGUUUAAUUGCAAGAAAAAUUGAUUUUUGAGUUAAUUUGGGCUUUAAUUGGAAGAAAUUAAUUUUCUGGGGUCAAAUUAUAAUUUUUGAAAGUUAAAUUGGUCAAAUCAGGGGCUUAAUUGCAUAAAUAUUGAAGUUUAAUAGCCAAUUAAGGACUUAAUUGAAGAAAUCCGAGACCAGGGACCAAACACUGCAAAACGCGCGCAAAUUGAGGGUCUGAUUUGAAUCUAGCACGUUUUGGCGCCUUUUCCUUUUAAAUGAAACGGCGCAUUUUGACCAAAACGGCGUCGUUUCAUACACUGUUUAUUAAAAAAAAAAAAAGGAAAACUCAAAACGGUGCUGUUUUGGAACGGCACCAUUGUCUUCUUCCCUGCGCACGCAGAGAACAAGGGAGAAGAAGAUUUUUUCUUCUACACUUUUCGCCUAAUUUCUUUCCCAGUUUUUGCGCAAUAAGACGCCUACCAUUCGAUGCCCACUUGCCUCCUUUUUAUCCAUUGAACGGAUAGUGGAGGGGCGGCCAACAGUGGCCGCCCCACCAUUCGCCCUCCCCCCUAUUUUUGCCUAUAAAAACAGGGGAAGGGGACCGAAGUGAGAAGAAGAAAAAAAGACCGAGGAAGAGAGAAGAGGGAGACGAACCGAGAGAGGAAAGAAGGCAGAGAAAAGAGGAAGAAGCAGAGAAGAAAACGAAAAAAAAAACACAGAGGAGAGAGAGAGAAGGAAAACCGCCGGCCACCGUGCCCCCACCAUCGCCACCGUGCCUCCGCCGCCAGCAACACCGCCUCGACGCCACCGCAGGUAACCUCUCGUUGCCCCGUCUCCUUCUCCUUUUGCAGCUCCUUUUUUUUUUCAUGCAGAACGUGAAUUAAUUCACGUUCUGCAGCAGUUGAAGGAGGUUGGUUACUAUGCUUAGGCACAGUAACCAGCCCAUUUGGUAAUGGGCCGGGUUGGCCCAGCCCACUGAUAUGGGCCGGGUCCGGCCCAUUUCAUUUUAUUAUUAUUAUUAUUAUUAUUAUUAUUUUUACAAAUUUUCCAGCACAUUUUUUUACAAUUUUGCUUAAUAUCGGUCUGUAUUUUACAUCGUAAAAAUAUAAAUAUGGUAUUAAAAUACCCGGUUUUCGUCAUGGCACUGUUCAACAUUCAGAAAGAAAAAAAUCAAAAAUAAUUGUUUCAGCAUUUUAUAAUUUUUCCGCGUAGUUUUUUAUGUCAUUUUGAUUAAUAUCGGACAGUAUUUUUACAUCGUAAAAAUAUAAAUCCGGUAUUAAAAUUCCAAAAAUACAAAAAAAAUAAAAAAAAAGAUAAAAAAAUGUUUUUGUGCAUACGGCCAAGUGUCUCAAAUCAAAAAAAUCAUAUCGUAUUUUUCAUAUGUCAAAAAACAAUAUUUUAGCAUGCAUUUUGGCUUUAAUAACCAGUUUAUUAAAGUAAAGAGAACAUUGGCCAAAAUCUCAAAAACAACAAAAAUAUUAUUUUGUUUGAUUUUAGUAUCAGGGAUUAUGAAUUUAUACGUAAAUCGUAUUCCUGAUAUUAAAAAAAAUAUAUAUAUAUUUUCUUUUGACGACUUUGAAUAGUUAGUUUUUUACCAGAUAAAGAUAAGGAUCUCCUUACAGAGGAGGUCUUUUCUUAAACCGUAAACGAACCAAUAAUUAAAAAACCACAACACAACACGAUUUUAGAUUUUUAUCAGACAUUAAAACAAUGCAGUCUACCUUAGGUAGGGCGUAGUUGAGGUGCUAAUACCUUCCCUUUACGCAACCAGUCUCCGUACUCGAUCUCUAAAGACCAGUUAAGGUUCCUAGUAACCAGAAUACUAGGUGGCGACUCCCAGUCCAUAUUUUCACUUGUAGAGACAAGAAUUCCUUGUCUCUCCUUAUUUGCCAGGAAUAAAUAUUUCGAUUUUCCCUUGAGGGUGGACGAUCGCCGCGCCGCCGCACACUUGCGACAACACAAAUGGGUUGAAAAUGUAAAAGGAUAAUAAUGAGGAAUGAAAGUGAGAAAGAAAAGAUUGAUAAAAGAGAAAUGAAUAUUAUUGCCAUUUUUGCUGUUGUGCUGUGAUAUGUGGACUAAUAUGGAAUAAUGAUGGGUGUUUGUGGUUUCAGGAGGAACCGCGGGAGGAGUAAAACAACAACAGGGAAACGCAAGUUGAGGGUCUACAGCAGGUAGUUACUCGGUACCUAUAUCUCCUCUUGCUAAUAAUUGUUUUAGCUAAUUAUUGAACUAUAUAUAUAUAUAAAGACUUGGUGCAUAUGGAUAAGGAAAAGAAAAAGGGGGAAAGGAAAGGCUAAAUGACGGGAAAAUAGAAAUGGAGGAGUAAAUUUAAUUUUAUGGUUCCUUUUGGAGGAAAUGAACUGUGACAACAAAUUUCGAUUGUUUCUCUUUUGGAGGAAAUGAUUGUUUCUCAAAAUUGAUUAGCAUGUCCCUGAUAUGGGAGGCUAAUGAUGUGUAGCCAAGCUGGUUAACAUCGGCAUUACUGGUACGUGGGGGGAGAAAUAUGAAACUUGAUUAACUAUUCGGGUUCAGAAUAGUUAAUGAUAUCGGCGGGUGACGUCGAUAUCAGCAAAAUUUAUAGACUUGAUUAACUAUUUGGGUUCAGAAUAGUUAAUGAUAUCGGCGGGUGAUGUCGAUAUCGAAAAAAUUUAUAGACUUGAUUAACUAUUCAGAUUUAGAAUAGUUAAUGAUAUCGGCGGGUGUCGUCGAUAUCGGCAAAACUUAUAGACUUGAUUAGCUUUUCGAGGUGAAAGGUAAUGAUGUCAAGAAUCCUUGACAUCGGCAUACCUGAGGACCUCCUUAGGUAGCAAAGAACAGUGAUUAAUUAUUUCGGUCCAAAAAUAUUUAAUGACACCAACUAUCAUGUUAGUGUCGGCAUUUCAUGAAUCUGAUUAGUUGACCACAGGAUGGACAACUAAAGACACUAAUGGAGGUCGUUAGUGUCGAUAUAGUCUUCCUAAGGUGGGGAGAAGUAGUUAAAGGAAAUAAACUGGAUAAUCCUCAAAAGGGAUGGUGGUGGUGUAUUGAAAUUGCAUAUGACUUAAGUAGGUAGAUGUGCUAUAUAAUUUUCUUCCGUGAAUUGUUUGUAUUUUAGUUAUUUUUAAUUUUAUGGAAAAUUUGUGUUUUGCAGGUCCCUCCCAUUCACGUCAGGAGUAGAAUUUAGGUUACUUAUCCCUUUUGUACAAGUUAGGAACUUAAGGAUCUUUCAUGUAAUUUUGUUACGCAGCAAACAUGUAACCUGAAUUGAAUAGUAUGCUCCUUAUAUUAUUUUGUUUUUGGAAUAUUAAUGUAUUAAUCUAUACUUGGAGGAAAAAAAAUUAUAGCGUAAUAGCUUAUGUUCAGAACGCUAAACUGUGUUGUGAUUAUAUAUUAAAUUUUAGUGCUUGGAUGGUCCUCUUAAUUACUAAUUUAUGCAUGUGAUAUGAGAUGGAGAUUGAGAAUGAAGAAUUGUCCUAAAUAUAUUCUCAAAUGAAUAAAAUGAUUGAAUGUACCAAUCAUGGAUGUGAUUAUGGGUGGGAUGUGAUUAUAAUUGUGUGCAGGAUAAAUUAUCGAUAACUUGGGAUCUCCUGGUAUAGGGGAGACUCUGCCGAAAUUUCUAAAUUUCGGUGAAUUUAAAAAAAAACUUUUGUUGACCACGCGUAUGCAAUGUUAGGAUUUUUUAGGUUUUUCUUGAAAAUUUAGGGGGCGAGAGAAAAGGCGAAGAAAAAGAAAAAUGACAACUAGAGCUAUACCAUGGACUCACCGAUGAAUUGUGCUGCCCUAGGAGAGAGAACCUCGUCAUGAUGAUUCCAAUGCUGCCUAUGAAAGUCGCGAACGGAUACUAGAGGAAGCAUCAUGCACCAUGUUGUGUCAUCAGACUCAUCACCUCAACCAUGAAAUUAUGUUUCUCAAUUAUAUUCCUAAUCAACCAAUUUUUAUUUGAUUUAGUAACUAAUUUUUUCAUAAUGUUUUUUAAAUUUUAGUCCCUAAUUCUUAGAUGUUUCUUCAAUUUAGACCAUAUUUUAUCUUACCGAGAAUAAUUAAGACCUGACAAAGGAGGAAAGAUAAGAAGAUAAAUGAAUGUGAUCAAUUGUCAUAUCAAAUUAUAAAUUUAAAAUGUUAAUUUGAAUUAACUGAGAUUAAUCUAAUACAGUGUUUUCUCUUUGUUUUAAUUCGUAAUCUUUUUUUUUUAUUAAACUUUAUUCUUUGGGGGUAUAUUUUUUCCCAAUUUUGUCUUAUCAUGUUAGGCAAACGUUAGAACAAUAACAAACUAAAAUUAUUUUGAGAGCCGAUUUGAGUUUUGAAUGGAGCGAUCUGGUCGCAUUUAAGCUAGCUCAAUGAAAUAGACCAUGCUGAGUAAACUCUAACAUAGUUGGAGUUGAAACCUGGACCAUGCAAGAGAUCAUGACAAUGUGCGAACCUGAAUAAAUAAAAAGCAUAUGAAAUAUGUGAAUUCUUGGUUUAGUUUUUUUUUUAAUAAAAUAUUGAUAUAUAAUUAAAUAAAAAAUGCUAAAUAGCAUGAUGAGUAGUGAUUUUUUUUAAUUUUCAGUCUUCAUUUAUAACUAAUAAUUUUUUAUUUAUUUAUUAAUACAGAUUAAUUUUGUUAAACAGAUAAAGCUUUAGUUAAGCAUUUGAGAUUUUUUAUUGCAACAAAAAAAUUAAAAGUUUCCCCGUGUUUGUUUUACGUUAUCCAGGCCGCAAGAAAUUGAUAACUACUAAUAAAGAGGAGACUGGCCUACCUUAUCCUAGUUGUAUAAUCUGUCUUCGAAUUUUGACCUAAUGUAACACAUAAUUUUCAUUAAAAGCCUAACUUAAUUGGUUCAGCUUGUGUUUGAUAAGAACUCUCAAGGCCGUUGGAUAAGACCACUCCACUAAUAGCACACAACAUGAGAAAUUAACCAUGUAAUUUCCCAUAAUCAAAGAGAAAUCCAGCUCCUUUAAUUUCUUCUCUAUAAAUACCUCCAUAAUUCUCUAUCCUUCUCCAUGCAAAUCAUUUAUAUCUAUAACACUCUCCUAAAUCAAUACUCACAUUAUAAAACAGGACGUGAACGCAGAUUUCUUUUUAAUAUUAACUCGGCUGUGUACUCGGUUAAGAGCCAUCAACGCAGAUUUCUAUUAUACUGCAUCAGAUUAUCAGAUUUAUGGCUCUCAUCUGAUGGUCUUGUGAUUUGGAUCAAUGUCAAAAACAAUAGACCCCCCUUAUUCUGGAAGCCACCUGAUGUUCUUACAUUAAAAUGGAAUGUUGAUGGUUCUUCAAAAGGAAAACAGGGCCUGCAGGUAGAGGAGGGGUAUUAAGGGAUCAUAGGGGGAUUGUUAGAGGUAUCUUCUCUUAUUCAGUGGGCAACAAGGACUCCAAUAAAGCUGAGCUGCUAGCAGUGGUUAAAGCCAUUGAUCUGUCUUCAUCAAAGAAUGAUUUUGUUGGGCUCAAUUUCUUGGUGGAAUCUGACUCUGCUUCAGUGGUCAGUUGGAUGAACAAUCCCUGUUCUAGACCUUGGAAGUUCCAUGAGCUUUUUGUUAAAUUUUCCAGGUUUUCUUCUGGACUGGGUAACAUUUCCUUCUGCCACACGUUUCGAGAAGCGAGCUCCAUUUGCAAAACAAGGGGUGAAUAGAUUGGUGGAUCUUACAUCGUGGACUUGAGCUUACUGGAAGCCUUGAAUAUAAGUUUCUUCAGCUUGAAUUUUCUAUAGUUUUGAGCAGGGGUUUGUGUGUGGAUUGCUAUUCUGUUCAGGAUAGCCUCUGGAUUCUCUGAUGGAAGAAGCUUUAAGAUUUUUAUUACUAGACUGAAGCUUCGGUUUUUUAUAAGCGUUUGUAUUCAGUUUUUGAUGGUUCCUUUCACGCUGCUUGAUUGCUAUUCUGUUCAGGAUAGCCUCUGGAUUCUCUGCCUGUCUUUGGCUUAUCAUGUCUUUGUCUAACAAUAACAAGAAACAAGAAAUGCAGUGCAUGUGUGUAUGGGAUGUGUAGUUAUGCAUAAAGAGAAAUCGUGCCAUGAAUAUUGUUUAGGGUAAGCCAUUCACGCAUGUAGCUAGUAGUAUUGUUAAUUUUGUCAUAAUUCAAUUUUUUAUUUUUAUUUUAUGUAAAUAAAAAAAAUGAAAUGAUGAAUGAAAUGGAAAAAAUGGAAUGAAUGAAGAAAAAUUGAGAUUUUGACCAGACAACACCAAUUUAAUGUUUUAAGGAUUAAUCUAGAUGGAAUUAUAAAUGGCUCCGGCCACAGCAGAUCGAUCACCACACACAGGCCAAAUUCAAGGCCACAUUGUCUACCCACAGAACCCCUAGGAUUUAGUUCGGCAUCCUUCACCCCCACGACUCUUCCCAGACGCGAAGAUAAGCUCCAUCAACAGUCCAACAAUGGCAGGACUGUUAAUGCUUUAAGUCCAUCAAACGCGGAGCAAACAGGGAGGCUGAUGUUGAUCCUGGGAGAAAAGGAACGAAUUUUGACCCUAUAAAAUAAAAACGAAGGCAGAGAACAGGGAGGACAAAAGGAGAGGAACGCAAAAAAAAGAAAAAGAAAAGAGAAAGAACCCAGAACAGAGGAGGGAAUAAAGGACAGAGAGAAAGAGCAGAGAGGCCCAGGACGAACAGAGGACGAACUGAGGGGACACAGAAUAGAGAGAAGAACAAAGAAGGAAGAAGAACCCUUGUCCAGACGUCUUCGCCCCAGGCCACCAGCUCCAGCAGCACGCCCAGGUAAGUCUUCUUUCUCCUGCCCUGUUUUGCAUUUUCAAAUUCACAAUACAGAGGGAAGGUAAUUAUAAUUACCUUAUAUUUUUCUUUGCAUGUUUUUUUAUUUUUUUUGCAUGUUCAAUUUACAAACCAUUACUGUUAAACACAAACAUGUAGUGAAAUUAUUUUUCUCUCUUCUUGUUUAAAAAGAAAAAAAAAAAGUAACAAAAAAAAGCAUAGAAAAAUUGUUUUUUAUUUAUUUAAAUUCAAAUUUUACAGAUUUAUUCACUAGUAUAAAAGUCAGGAACAUCAUACUUUUUGGGUUGUGUAAUAUUUACGAAUGUUAGAGUUGGAAAUAUUGUAAGUAAAUAUUCAUUGACGCCAGAGUCAGGAAUAUUAUAGAAAAAGUAGAAAAGAGAAAAACAAAUUCUUAGCAAUUUUAUACAAAACCAACAAUGUAGUUUGUCUCAAGUAGAACAUUUAAAGGGUGAUAAUAUCUUCUUUUUUGCAUAAUCAAUCCCAUACCAUAAAAUAUUUGUUGACUAGUUAGAGUUCCUGGUGACUAUAAUACUAGGUGGUGACUCCUUGAACUAGACAUUUUUCUCUAAAAAACAAGAUGCUAGAUAUAUGUUCUUUUUUCUUUAAAAAAUUUUAAUUGGUCAUUGUAAUGUCUAGAAGCGUGUUUGGCAGUGUGGUAGCGGUUGCUUUUCAAAUAACUUUUCGUGCCGAAAUGCAUGCCAAUGAUGUUUUUUCAUUUUUUAAAAAUUAUUUUUGACAUCAAAACGAUCCAAAACAUACAAAUAGUAUUAAUUUUUUAUAAAACAAAUUAAAAUUUUUUGGGAAUGCGGUGAACGCUACCUAGGUGUGACAAAAUAACGACUCCACUAGGGAAUUAUAAAACUAGGCUUUGCCUUUUGUUUGUUAAUUGCUAAAAAAUGUUUGUUAUAUUAUGUUUAUAUGGUUAUCACUUUUUACUGCUUUAGCACGCAUAUUUAUUGUCAUGUAUCAUUUCAAGAGAACACACCUUAACUUUUAGGAUAGGUGGAGAAGUAAUGGUACUUCAACGACUAACCUGAGCAAAACAUAUGAAACCUUUCAGCUCUCGUUUGAUUGUUUACUUGAUAGUAGUUGGUACGCCAAUCUGAUAUUACUAAGAGUCUCUAUCUUCACACUACUUGUAAGCCUCAUAUCGACUUUUCGAGGACGAUCACUGAGCAUGUAAAAAACAUUUUGAGACCAGAUAGUAAUCUAUAUCUUAAUGCACUUAACGACUAGAACCUCCCUACUAAGUUGUAUCCUGUGUAAUCCCAUUAUGACAAGCCCAACAUGUAGCAUCUUGAAUUCUAAGACCAUUGGGUUGCAAAAGGUGUUGUAAUUCAUUUUGGGUCCUUGCACAAAAAAGGAGAAAAUACAAAAAAAUAAAAAAUAUAUGUUCGAAAAAACCCAAAAAAUAAUAACAAUGAAAAAAGAAAGCCAGAACACUAAGAAAAUGGUCAAAAAUUAGUUGAGGAGGUUUAAAAAUAAAAAAAAUUAAAAUUUGACAAUAUUUCAUUUACUGAUGAUAGCCUUGAAGAAGAAAAGUCCAAAAUCAGAUGUUUAUGGACUCAAUUAAAUUUUAUUAAAGGUUUAAUUGAAUUUAUAGAGGUUUUGAUUGCAAGAAAAAUUGAUUUUGGAGUUAAUUUGGGCUUUAAUUGGAAGAAUUUAAAGUUCUGGGGUUAAGUUAUAAUUUUUUAGAGUUAAUUUGAUCAAAUCAGGGUCUUAAUUGCAUAAAUAUUGAAGUUUGAUGGCCAAUUAGGGACUUAAUUGAAGAAAUUCAAAAACCAAGGACCAAAAUGCAAAAGCGCGCAAAUUGAAGGCCUAAUUUUGAAUCUGACGUGUUUUGGUGCCAGUUUUCGUUUAAAUAAAACGACACAUUUUGGGAAAAACGACUUGUUUCAUACAAUUUUUUUUAAGAAAAGAAGAAUAAAAAAUGGUGUCGUUUUGAACAACACCACAUGUCUUCUUCUUCCCCUACCUUCUUCUUCCCUUGGACACGUGAAGUAGGGGAAGAAGAAGAUUUUUCUUCCUCUAUCACUGCCAUCUCUCUCUUCAAAAAGACACUGACACCACUUGCCCAAAGCUUUCCACGUGUUAGAGAAGAGGGAGGAGAUAUGCUCAGAUAGUUUUUGGGGCGGCAUCACAGUAGCCACCCCAGCAACGUCCCUCCUCUGUUUUUGCCUAUAAAAACUGUCGCACCCCAAAAAAAAUCAGCGCGCGACAUCGGCUGGCGAUUUAAGUCUCGUAUGUUGUGUCGCGUUUGCUUUGAAUCGGUUCGUUGGGAGUCGCCACCUAGUAAUUUAUUGAAGGCUACUAGGAAACCGGAUGGACUGGUCUUGUCAGAUAUUCGCGGGCAAGGGACUGGUUGUGGUUAGGGAAGGUAUUAGCACCCCUAACGCACCCUACCUGAGGUAAGCUGCUUCACGAAUUUGAUGUGUUAAAGAAGUUUUAAUAAUUGUCUUUUCAUCGGAAAUUAGAAAUAUCACUUACGUAUAAGUUAAUAAUUCUUAACCGUGAUCCGAUCAAAUUAAAUUCUUCUUUAAUAUAUUUGCAAUUUUAUCAUUAAAGAAUAUAACAAAUAAAUAAAACAAAAUACAAACACACACAUUCACUUUCACUAUUUUUAUUUCUUUUCUUUUUCUUUUCUUUUACAUCCACAAUACAAAUACAAACACAAAUUCAAAACAAAUAAAUAAAAAUUACAUUAAUUAAUUUAAAAUUUACAAAAAUAACCCUAAAGCUCUGAAAUCAAUUUUGGGAAGCAUUAUCGGUCUGCCUGAACAGUGGCGGCGCGUUUGCCCACGCGCCACCGCCACUAGCGGCGCGUGGGUUCACGCGCCGCCAUGAAAUCCAACAGCGUGGAGGUGCUGUAAUGCCUUCCUCCCAUCUUCACUUUCCUGCUGCCCGUGAGGACCCCAUCCCCUGCAAAUCUAAGAAAACACAACAAUGGCAGUUGAUUUUAAGCAUUUUUCUUCCUGUUUUUGGAUCUGUCUCAUCUCUCUCUAUCUUCUCCUUUAGAUCUGCUUCAUUGUAGAUCUGCUCUUGAAUGGGUUUUCUCGCCUUCCCCUCUGCUACGGGUAGCUGGCCGGUUGAAGAUCUGGCGGUGACCGGCUUUGUUUGUUGGGUGGAGAAGGCAGGUCUGGCGGCGGUUCUGUAGGCUCUGAUGAGGGAGGAAACGCUGCGGCCCGAUGAGACUGAGGGAAGGCCAAGAGGAAAACAGUGGGGGCUGCCGCUGGGUUCAGCUUGAGGAGGAGAGGAGGAGCCGCGGGGCUGGUUCGUUCGGCUGAAGAAAAACCCAAAUCCAAGGAUGGCGGGGCGCCGUUUCUCUUUUCGUUUGGCCGGGUGGAGAAGAUUAGAGGAGAAAGUGGGGGGUGCGGAGGAGGUUGCUCUGGCCGGUUGGUUGGAGAUCAACGAAGAUGAUGGGGAUGGAACCGGCUGGGAGAGGGGAGAGAACAAUCGGCUGGUCAGUGGGGUUCGGUGAGGAAGGGAAAAAAUCGGUUGUGGCUGGUUGAAGAAGAAGAAAACAAAAAAUCAAAAGGGGGAGUGUGGGGCUGGCCGAUCGGUUGAGGGAGAAGAGAAAGCUCCCGAUGAAGGCUCCGGUGUGGGGGCAGUGAAAGGGAGUUCUAGUCGGGGAGAAGGAGGAUCAAGUGUGCGGCGGCGAUUUCCAAAAAAAAGUUCAAAACCGGGAGGGGGAAAGGCAGUUGUGAUUUAGGGUUUUUUUGUUGUAUUUUGUGUUUCCAAAAUUAGCCCCAUGGAUCAAAAUUCCCCCCCCCUUUUGCAAGUGUUGGAAACCAGUAUUUAUAGGCAAAAAAUGUUGCCAAGUUUUUCAACUUGGUCCCUCAACUUCUUUCUUUUUGUAAAUUUUGAUUUUUCUUAUUUUUUUGUAUUUUUUUGAAAACGAGCAAUAUCAACGUCGACUUAAUGAGGAAAAUCACUUAUUUUAAAAAUGACGCGUGAAAAGUUGAACUUGGUUGAAAAUCUUUUUUUCUUAAAUUUAAAUUCUUUUUUUUAGACGACGCUGAAAAUGCUAAAAUGACAAAAAUAUAUUAAAAAACAUAUUUUUUUGGAUUUUCUUUGUUUUUCUCUAUUUUUGGAUUUUUUAAAAAUAUAUCAAAAACAUGGGUCAAAAAAUGGGUAGCAACAGACGCCCCCUCUUUACAAUGCUUACGAAGCAAAAAUCCUCGAUGUUUUGCAUAGUAAGCUUUGUAAAGAAAACAAAAGAAAAAUGAUUUCAUUAUCUUGGGCGACUUGCCACACACUAACACUGGUCUAUUUUCACGGGCGACCUGCCCACACAUACUCAAAGUGGUCUAUUUUCAGGGGCGACCGGCCCACACACUCACACUAGUCUAUGUUCACGGGCGACCUGCCCACACAUACUCAAAGUGGUCUAUUUUCAGGGGCGACUGGCCAACACACUCACUCUGGUCUAUUUUCAGGGGCAACCGACGCACACUCUCACACUGGUCUGUUUUCACGGGCGACCUGCCCACACAUACUCAAAGUGGUCUAUUUUCAGGGGCGACCGACCCACACACUCACUCUGGUCUAUUUUCAGGGGCGACCGACCCACACUCUCACACUGGUCUGUUUUCACGGGCGACCUGGCCACACAUACUCAAAGUGGUCUAUUUUCAGGGGCGACCGACCCACACACUCACACUGGUCUCUUUUCACGGGCGACCUGUCCACACAUACUCAAAGUGGUCUAUUUUCAGGGGCGACCUGCCCUUUUUUAUUGGGUUUACUUGAGAUCCCAUCUAGCGAUCUAACAAGAACAAAAACCGGUGUGUAGCUCGGUUAACCUGAAAUCCCAUCUAGUGAUUCCCUUUAACCCAAACUGUCUGUGUGGUUAGACUGAACUGAGAUCCCUUCGUCGAUCCCCUUCAACCAGAACAAAAAUCCUUUCCAAUUAGGUUAAAUUAAGAUCCCUUCGUCGAUCCCCUUUAACCAUAACCAAGGUCUGUGUGGUUAGACUGAAUGGAGAUCCCUUCGUCGAUCCCCUUCAACCAGAACCAAAAUCCUUUCCAAUUAGGUUAAACUGAGAUCCCUUCGCCGAUCCCCUUCAACUAGAACCAAAAUCCUUUCCAAUUAGGUUAAACUAAGAUUCCUUCGUCGAUCCCCUUUAACCAUAACCAAGGUCUGUGUGGUUAGACUGAACUGAGAUCCCUUCGCCGAUCCCCUUCAACCAGAACCAAAAUCCUUUCCAAUUAGGUUAAACUGAGAUUCCUUCGCGAUCCCCUUUAACCAUAACCAAGGUCUGUGUGGUUAGACUGAACUGAGAUCCCUUCGCCGAUCCCCUUCAACCAGAACCAAAAUCCUUUCCAAUUAGGUUAAACUGAGAUUCCUUCGCCGAUCCCCUUUAACCAUAACCAAGGUCUGUGUGGUUAGACUGAACUGAGAUCCCUUCGCCGAUCCCCUUCAACCAGAACCAAAAUCCUUUCCAAUUAGGUUAAACUGAGAUUCCUUCGCCGAUCCCCUUUAACCAUAACCAAGGUCUGUGUUGUUAGACUGAACUGAGAUCCCUUCGCCGAUCCUUUUCAACCAGAACCAAAAUCCUUUCCAAUUAGGUUAAACUGAGAUCCCUUCGCCGAUCCCCUUUAACCAUAACCAAGGAAUGUGUGUAGCUCGGUCAACCUGAAACCCCAUCUGGCGAUUUCCUUUAACCAAAGCUACAUGAGAUCCCAUCUGGCGACCUCAUUCAACUGGAACAAAAGAAUGUGUAAAAAGUGGUCUCAUUAUAAUGGGUGACCUACCCAAGUGGAAAGGAGGAAGACUGGUCUCAUUCUUAUGGGUGACCUACCCAGGGGGAAGAAUGGCCUCAUUCUUAUGGGUGACCUACCAAGGUAAAAAAAGAUGGAGAAUGGUCUCAUUCUAAUGGGUGACCUAAGUCGCACGUGUGCGGCGGCGCGGCGAUCGUCCACCCUCAAGGAAAAAACGGAAUAAUUUAUUCCUGGAAAAUAGGGAGAGACGAGGAAAUUCUUGUCUCUACAAGUGAAAAAAUUGGAAUGAGAGUCGCCACCUAGUAUUCUGGUUACUAGGAACCUUAACUGGUCUUUAGAGAUCGGGUACGGAGACUGGUUGCGUAAAGGGAAGGUAUUAGCACCCCAACUACGCCCUACCUAAGGUAGGCUGCAUUGUUUUAAUGUAUGAUAACAUCUAAGGUCGUGUUUGUGGUUUUUUAAUUUUAUUGUUCGGAAUACGCAUUACAUGUAAUGUCAUAUCCCAAGUUCUAUUAAAAAAAAAUAUAAAAAAAAUUAAAUAAAUAUCCGGAAUAUGUAUUACGUAUAAUGUCAUACCCCGGAUAUUAAAAGAUAAACAAAAUAAAAUUUUUGUUGUUUUUUUUUUGAAAUUUUGGCCAAUAUUCUCUUGACUUUAAUAAACUGUUAUUAAAGCCAAAAUGCAUGCUAAAACAUUGAUUUUUUUUUUGUAUGAAAAAUACAAAAUAUUUUUUUUUUUGUUGAGACAUUUGGCCGUAUGCACAAAAAAACAUUUUUUUUUUAAUUUGUUUUUGUAUUCUUGAAAGUCAAAAACCGGGUAUUUCAAUACCGGAUUUGUAUUUUACGACAUAGAAAUAUUGUCCCAUAUUACAUAAAAAUGACAUAAAAACGACAUAAAAACUACGCGGAAAAAUUAUAAAUAAAACAAGUAUUUUUGAUUUUUUCUUUUUUUUAUGGGCCGGAUGAAUAGUACCGUAUGAACAGUAACCAGCCACGCUGCAUUUUGCAGCAGAACGUGAAUUAUUCACGUUCUGCAUGCAAGUGCAAGCCGGGGCAGCAGGAGAAGAAAAUGAUCGGGGAGCAGGAGGGUACCUGGGGCGGCGUCGAGGCGGUUCUGCUGGCGGAGGCGGUGCUGCUGUCGCGGUGGUUCCAACGGCGGUCCUCCUUUUUCCUCUUUCUCUCUGUUUUUUCUUUUCUUCCCUCCUCUGCCGCUUCUCUUUCUUCUUCCUUUUGUUCUGUUUUUUUUCUUUUGUUUCUCUCGUCUCUCUACUCUCUUUCUAUCGUUCAAUCCUUCCCCUUCUCCCUCUCUUUUUCUUUUUUUUUUUUUUGUUCGGUCCUCCCCUGUUUUUAUAGGCAAAAACAGGGGGGACAAUGGUGGUGGGGCGGCCACUGUUGGCCGCCCCUCCACUAGCCGUUCAACGGAUAAAAAGGAGGCAAGUGGGCGUCGAAUGGUGGGCGUCUUAUUGCGUAGAAAUGGGGAAAGAAGUUAGGUGAAAAGGGAGAAGAAAAAUCUUCUUCUUCCCCUGCCUCGCGCGUCCAGGGGAAGAAGAAGACCUACAGUGCCAUCAAAACGGCGCCGUUUUGGGCUUAUGUUUUUUUUUUUUUUUUUUUUUUUUUUUGCAACAGUGAAUGAAACGGCGCCGUUUUGGUCAAAACGCGCCGUUUCAUUUAAAAGAAAAAGGCGCCAAAAUGCGUCAGAUUUCAAAGAAGGCCCUCAAAUUGCGCGGGUUUUACAAUUUCGUCCUUGGUCUCGGAUUUCUUCAAUUUAGUCCCUAAUUGGCCAUUAAACUUCAAUAUUUAUGCAAUUAAGCCCUGAUUUGACCAAAUUAACUUCCAAAAAUUAUAAUUUGACCCUAGAAAAUUAAUUUCUUCCAAUUAAAGCCCAAAAUAACUCCAAAAUCAAUUGUUUUUGCAAUUAAAACCUCUAUAAAUUCAAUUAAACCUUCAAUAAAAUUUAAUUGAGUCCAUAAACUUCUAAUUUUGCAUUUUUCUUCCUCAAAUUGAAUUUUCUUUAUCAUCUGGGCUCGCAUAAGCCAAUGAUAUACUGUCAAAUUUUAAUUUUAAUUUUUUUGAACAUCUUCAAUCAAUUUUUGUAUAUUUUUAAGGCGUUCUGGUAUUAUUUUUUUCUUUCUGUUAUAUAUAUAUUUUUUUAUAAUGUAUUUUUUUUGAAUUUUUGUGUAGUUUUAGGUGAAGACCCAAAAACGAGUUAUGGGAAUGUGCGAUACGGGUGAACUCGUAGAUGGCUGGGCGGAUGUUCCCUCCCCGCUUUUUGCUUUUAACAGUUGUUCAAGCAGAUUAGACAUCCGUGACACUUCACUUUUCACUGAUUCUAGCUCGCUCUGGUAGCGGGAUUCUAGGUGAGCCCUCUCUUCGUGUUCCAUUCUUGUUCUGAAUCUGGUGUAAUGGACCUUAUGUGGGGGACCUAUGUUUCAACUGCGGUAUGGAAAAAUGUAAAUGAAUGUAUGGUAAAGAACAAUACAUGAUGCAUAUGUAAUGUGAGUUUGCUUCUUUUUUUUUUUUUUUUUUCAAAACAAAAAAAAUCGAUUGAUGGCCGACAUUUCUUUUUGUGUAAUGGGUAUGGACUCUUUUUUUUCACAUUCCUUAUUAGGAGUAGUUUUGCUCUAUGUUGCUGCUUUGGUAGGCUUAUCCUUACUCUAUAGGAGAUUUUCUUCAACAAAAGAUGGGUCAAGGCCCCUUUUCAUUCAUAAUAUCGGCUAAUACAACCUCUUGAAAAGAGGAUAAACAAAAAGGAACAAAAUACAUCAAUCUUCAUCUUCAUCCAUAUCUCUAGCCACCAGUAGGAAAGCAAGGCCUCGAUUCUCAAUUUUUUCUAAGAAUGCAUCUGUCUCAGCCAAGCUUUGUCGAUAACGAAAGAUGUCUCUCCCCACCCUUCGAGCAUUGGCUCUAAUGAUCCGUGCAUGAAUAGCAGCUUCAUCCAUUUGCUCGUCUACUUUGGCCAUCUUCUCCAUAAGCAACAUGUUGUUCCGAUUCAAUGUAUUGUUGUUGGUGUCGAUCUGUUCUUUAUGUUUUUCUGAAGCUUUCAACCUUUCGGUCAACUGCUUUACCUUUUCUCGUUCUUUGUCAAACUUCACCUUCAACAUCCUAAUUUCAUUUUUCUUAGCUACCAAAUCCACCUUAACAAGCUCCUCCUCUUUCCCCUUUCUUUCAAACUCUUGCAGUUCAACUAGCCUACUUUCCAUCAUCACAUAUUUCUUGUUUAACUCAUCAUACCUCUCAAUUCGGUCUAACAACUCUGCUUGAACAUGCAAGAAUUUGUCCUGAUGGAACCCAACAUUCUCUUGAUAGUCGUUGAAGUCGGCUUUCAAUGCUUCCAAUUCAGAAUUUAGUCGUUGAAGUCGGUUUUACAAUUUCGUCCUUGGUCUCGGAUUUCUUCAAUUUAGUCCCUAAUUGGCCAUUAAACUUCAAUAUUUAUGCAAUUAAGCCCUGAUUUGACCAAAUUAACUUCCAAAAAUUAUAAUUUGACCCUAGAAAAUUAAUUUCUUCCAAUUAAAGCCCAAAAUAACUCCAAAAUCAAUUGUUUUUGCAAUUAAAACCUCUAUAAAUUCAAUUAAACCUUCAAUAAAAUUUAAUUGAGUUCAUAAACUUCUAAUUUUGCAUUUUUCUUCCUCAAAUUGAAUUUUCUUUAUCAUCUGGGCUCGCAUAAGCCAAUGAUAUACUGUCAAAUUUUUAUUUUUAUUUUUUUGAACAUCUUCAAUCAAUUUUUGUAUAUUUUUAAGGCGUUCUGGUAUUAUUUUUUUCUUUCUGUUAUAUUUUUUUUUUUAUAAUGUAUUUUUUUUGAAUUUUUUUGUAGUUUUAGGUGAAGACCCAAAAACGAGUUACAACAACCUACCCCGAAAAAAAUGGUGGUCUCAUUGUGAUGGGUGACCUACCUAGAUGGAAAAGAGGAAGAGUGGUCUCAUUCUUAUGGGUGACCUACCCAGGGGGAAAAAUAUGAAGUGUGGUCUCAUUGUAAUGGGUGACCUACCCAGAUGGAAAAAAUAUGAAGUGUGGUCUCAUUGUAAUGGGUGACCUACCCAGAUGGACAAAAUAUGAUGAAGUGGUCUCGUUGUGAUGGGUGACCUACCCAAAUAGAAAGAAUGUGAAGUGCGGUCUCAUUGUAAUGGGUGACCUACCCAAAUAUGGAAAAAAUAUGAAGUGUGGUCUCAUUGUAAUGGGUGACCCAGAUGGAAAAAAUAUGAUGAAGUGCGGUCUCAUUGUCAUGGGUGACCUACCCGGAUGGAAAAAAUGUGAAAAGUGCGGUCUCAUUGUCAUGGGUGACCAACCCAACUGGAAGAUGUGAUAUGACAAGUGUGAAAAAUAGGACUUACCUGGCGAAGUCUUUGAGGGGAUGACAGAAGAAGGGCUGGAAAACUUGGUGCUUCCUGAUAAUUCCCGAUCAUAGGAUUUGAAAACUCGGUGUUUCCUGACUGCAAGAGUUGAAAACUCGAGGCUUCCCGAUUGCAAGGUUGAUCUUUUCAUUUCUUUGGGAUUUUCCUAAUGGCAGGGUUCAUCCCAUCGUCCUUUUAUUCCAUGAUCAAAAUCGAUUCUUUAUUAUCAUCACCACAAUGCUUCUUUCUUUUUCCAACAUCUUGCUAGACCUCAUUAAGGAUUUUCCUGUAACAAUUAAAAAAUAUGUGCAUAUAUUUUUUUUUUUUUUUUGAGGUUAGAUGAUAUGCAUGCAUCCUUACCUGAUUUGAAAUAAUAGGUCCCCAUUUCUUCAUGGUGUGUUUCUUUUCUCACAAGUUGGAGUGUUGGCAGUGAACUUCGAUGGCUUCUUCGCUCUUGCUUACUCGAGUCAUCUCUUGUGAUUUUGACCUCUAGGAAGAAAUUGAUAUCAUCAUAGUUCUCUUUCCUCCGUCCUUUACCUCAAGGGUUGCCAACUUUGCUCGACAUUUUCUUAGAAUGAGAAUCAUGGAGCCUGCCCUAUCAUAUGUUUCUUUAUUACCCCCUAACUUGAUCAUGCCGCCAAGUGUUCAAUUCAGGUUUGUGGACGAGGCUAUGUGAAAGAAGGUUUGACAAGGAGUUGUUUUCAUGCAGAAUUUUUGGAAUUCCAAAGCUAUUCCAAACACAGAAAUCAUUUUGACAUCGAUUCAAAGUAAGCUCAUUCUGAAGAAAUUCAAGUGUUUCCUAUGGAGAGGUUAUCAUAAGUGAUGAAAACUUUUUUUUUUUUUUUUUUUGGCUUUUGGUAGAAAAAAUAUGGAGUGACAUCUGGUUUGUCAGAAAAGGUUUAAAUUUCAGUUUGAGGGUUAUUGAGAACCGAGGUUCAAAGCAUUUAUUUUAUUUGCAUGAAUAAUGAUUUGGCUCACAUGAGAAAGCAUUGCCUACCGAUCCAGAUUGCUUGCCUUUGAUCAGAAAGGGCUUGAUUAGGCACGUAAUGUAGGCUUGGACUCUUGGUUAUGAAGAAAAUGAUAUUUGUAGGCUCAAAAGGUGUUUAAGGGAUUUGAAAACUAAGGAUCACUUGUGUUUGUUUCUUGACCUUUUGUCAUUUGACUGUCUUUUGAAAAUUGUCUAUCGUGCCCCCUUGUGUUGGGCUUGGGCUUGUUCUCUUUGUUUUUGUUUUCUUCAUAUGGUUUUGAGCAUCAUAAUAUUGUUUUUUUUUUUAUGCUCAAAACUCUUGAUCCUUUGGAUUUUUCUUCAUGUCCCUCUAGAUUUGUUCGGGCACUUUUGAUGAUUGAGAAUUUUCUUUUAUGCCCCCUAGUAUUGCUUGGGCACUUUCGAUCAUUGAGGUUUUCUCUAUGUCAUCGCACUUGCCCCCAGUGUGGGGUGUGAUCCUAGCCAAGGUUAUUUAUCUCAAGAAAAGCAUAAGGCUCAAAAGGGGAUUGCAAAUUAUAUAUUUUAGCCUCGUGAAAAGAUUAUCAAAGAUGGCCUUUCUUCAUUUCAAACUCAUGCAUUUAGGAUCGGUAAGCCUUACUUUCAUACGAGUAUGUAAUGUAAUUUCUCAUUAUUCAUUCAAAUAAAACUCAGCUUUUGAAGUCACUUCAUGGGUUCUUGUUGUUUUUUUUUCUUUUCUCUUUUUUUUUCUUUUUUUGGGUUUUUCUAGGUGUAUGGUUACCUUUCUAAGGAAUCACCUGAAUUUCCAGAACUCGUUUGUUUUGCACAAACAGCAACAUGAUUUCAGUUUCUGUACUAAACUUUGAAUUCCCAAAAAUCCUUGUGAACAUGUGCGAUUAUGCAUAGUUUUGAAAGAAAGGAAAACACACCCAAAGAUUCUUGGUGUGAUGGUUUCAUGCUUAAAGAUUAUGCUCAAUAUGUUAUUUGCAUGAAACAACAACAAAAAUGAAGGUAUGUUAUAAACACAUGAUCUUAUUAACAUGAAAGGCUCAUUUGAGAAGGAAAGUGUUGUGGAAUUUUGAGCCAAGUUACCAACAAAAACUGGAAUAGGUUGAAACAAAAAUGAAGAAAUUUUGCAGGCAUGAUCAAACAGAGGUUUUUUUUUUUUUUUUUUACAGAACAAGAAUAGGCUCCAUUAUGCACUGGUGGUGCAAUCCCCUUCGGACAGCCUUCCCACCAAACCUUGUACAGAAAUACAUGAUUGUGUCGAGGCUCUUGACCAUGUUUGCCCUCAAUUUCUUCAGGCAGAGUAGUUGUUGAGUUUUGAACAAAGAUGAUAGGUCAGUUGGAAGGAACUUUCCUAGAGUUAUUUUUCAGUAUUUGCUCGAGUAAGCUAGAGGCGAGCCACACAUGUCUUCAAAAAUUACAACAAGCAUACUCUUCAUCUUCCGUGGUUUUCUUCAUUCAAAAUCGGGUGUUGUAGACUCGUAGGGGACCUACUUUUCAUUCUGGUGCAUGCAUGACAAAUGUAUGAACAUGUAAUCUAUAUGAUGAACUUGCCCUUCGAGGGGUGACAAUAUGGUCGUAACUCUUGUAUGAUGGAGCAAGAAUCGUGAUUUUUGCCCAAACUCUACAAUGAAAAUUUUCGGAGUGACGGCCAAUAUGUCACCCACAAGUUCAAGAUGCUUCAAGAAGGGUUUGCCAUGAUGCAAACAAUGAUAGCACAUACAACUUAAGGACAUGUUAUAUUUAUUAUAUGAACAUGGGUAAGUUUUCUAUCUGGUCUCAAAAGGGUUUCAUAUCUGCCCAGUGACGUUCUUCGUAAAGACAGUAUGGGGACGUUGCAAGGAAUGGUUAAGGCACGUAUACCCACCAUUACCAAGCAGGCACUCAGAUAUGAGUUGGGUGUUUCACGCAUCUGAACCCUGACCAAUAGUCUUAGGGCAGAUCGCUAGUUCCCCACCUAACCUAGAAGCUUGUAUGUGCUUUCAAAAAUAAAUACAGGUGAUGCAAGAAACAAUUCUAUAAAAUGCCUGGAAAAAAAAUAUUAACAAAAAGAUAAAAAUGCAAAAAACUUAAACACAUCAAAUACACAAAGCUUAGUCCAAUAAUGUCAGAAACAGUACCUUCCCAAGUGGAGUCGCCAUUCUGUCGCACCCCAAAAAAAAUCAGCACGCGGCAUCGGCUGGCGAUUUAAGUCUCGUAUGUUGUGUCGCGUUUGCUUUGAAUCGGUUCGUUGGGAGUCGCCACCUAGUAAUUUAUUGAAGGCUACUAGGAAAUCGGAUGGACUGGUCUUGUCAGAGAUUCGCGGGCAAGGAACUGGUUGUGGUUAGGGAAGGUAUUAGCACCCCUAACGCACCCUACCUGAGGUAAGCUGCUUCACGAAUUUGAUGUGUUAAAGAAGUUUUAAUAAUUGUCUUUUCAUCGGAAAUUAGAAAUAUCACUUACGUAUAAGUUAAUAAUUCUUAACCGUGAUCCGAUCAAAAUAUUAAAUUCUUCUUUAAUAUAUUUGCAAUUUUAUCAUUAAAGAAUAUAACAAAUAAAUAAAACAAAAUACAAACACACACAUUCACUUUCACUAUUUUUAUUUCCUUUCUUUUUCUUUUCUUUUACAUCCACAAUACAAAUACAAACACAAAUUCAAAACAAAUAAAUAAAAAUUACAUUAAUUAAUUUAAAAUUUACAAAAAUAACCCUAAAGCUCUGAAAUCAAUUUUGGGAAGCAUUAUCGGUCUGCCUGAACAGUGGCGGCGCGUUUGCCCACGCGCCACCGCCACUAGCGGCGCGUGGGUUCACGCGCCGCCAUGAAAUCCAACAGCGUGGAGGUGUUGUAAUGCCUUCCUCCCAUCUUCACUUUCCUGCUGCCCGUGAGGACCCCAUCCCCUGCAAAUCCAAGAAAACACAACAAUGGCAGUUGAUUUUAAGCAUUUUUCUUCCUGUUUUCGGAUCUGUCUCAUCUCUCUCUAUCUUCUCCUUUAGAUCUGCUUCAUUGCAGAUCUGCUCUUCAAUGGGUUUUCUCGCCUUCCCCUCUGCUACGGGUAGCUGGCCGGUUGAAGAUCGCCCGAUGAGACUGAGGGAAGGCCAAGAGGAAAACAGUGGGGACUGCCGCUGGGUUCGGCUUGAGGAGGAGAGGAGGAGCCUGCGGGCUGGUUUGUUCGGCUAAAGAAAAACCCAAAUCCAAGGAUGGCGGGGCGCCGUUUCUCUUUUCGUUUGGCCGGGUGGAGAAGAUUAGAGGAGAAAGUGGGGGGUGCGGAGGAGGUUGCUCUGGCCGGUUGGUUGGAGAUCAACGAAGAUGAUGGGGAUGGAACCGGCUGGGAGAGGGGAGAGAACAAUCGGCUAGUCAGUGGGGUUCGGUGAGGAAGGGAAAAAAUCGGUUGUGGCUGGUUGAAGAAGAAGAAAACAAAAAAUCAAAAGGGGGAGUGUGGGGCUGGCCGAUCGGUUGAGGGAGAAGAGAAAGCUCCUGAUGAAGGCUCUGGUGUGGGGGCAGUGAAAGGGAGUUCCAGUCGGGGAGAAGGAGGAUCAAGUGUGCGGCGGUGGCUUCCAAAAAAAAGUUCAAAACCGGGAGGGGGAAAGGCAGCUGUGAUGGUUUUUUUUUUAGGGUUUUUUUUGUGGUUUAGGGUUCUUUUGUUGUAUUUUGUGUUUCCAAAAUUAGCCCCAUGGAUCAAAAUUCCCCCCCCUUUUGCAAGUGUUGGAAACCAGUAUUUAUAGGCAAAAAAUGUUGCCAAGUUUUUCAACUUGGUCCCUCAACUUCUUUCUUUUUGUAAAUUUUGAUUUUUCUUAUUUUUUUGUAUUUUUUUGAAAACGAGCAAUAUCAACGUCGACUCAACGAGGAAAAUCACUGAUUUUAAAAAUGACGCGUGAAAAGUUGAACGCGUUUGAAAAUCUUUUUUAAAAAAAUUUAAAUUCUUUUUUUAGACGACGCUGAAAAUGCUAAAAUGACGAAAAUAUAUUAAAAUACAUAUUUUCUUGGAUUUUCUUUGUUUUUCUCUAUUUUUGGAUUUUUUAAAAAUAUAUCAAAAACAUGGGUCAAAAAAUGGGUAGCAACAAAAACAGUGGAGGAGAAGAAAAAAAGAGCACAAGAGAGCAAAGAGGCUUGAGAGACUGAAAAAGAGAGAGAGAGAGAGAGGUGAAGACCAAAAGAAAACAAGAAAGGGGAAUAAGGCAGUAAAGAAAGAAAAACAGAGAAAACAGGGGAGAGGUUGCCACUGUCACCGUCGCCACUGUCAUCGCCGCUAACAGCCACGCUCAGGCUGCACCACCCCGAGGACGAACAUGGGACGAACUGAGGGGACACAGAAUCGAGAGAAGAACAAAGAAGGAAGAAGAACCCUUGUCCAGACGUCGUCGCCCCAGGCCACCAGCUCCAGCAGCACGCCCAGGUAAGUCUUCUUUCUCCUACCCUGUUUUGCAUUUUCAAAUUCACAAAACAGUGCGAAGGUAAUUAAUUACCUUCUAUUUUUCUUUUGCAUGUUGUUGUUUUUUUAUUUUUUUCAUGUUCAAUUUACAAACCAUUACUGUUAAACACAAACAUGUAGUGAAAUUAUUUUUCUCUCUUCUUGUUUAAACAGAACAAAGAAUAAUAAUAAAAAAGAGGGGAAAAAAAAGGCAUAGAAAAAUUGUUUUUUAUUCAUUUAAAUUUAAAUUUUAUGGAUUUAUUCACUAGCACCAGAGUCAGUAGUAUCAUACUUUUUGGGUUGUGCAAUAUUUACCAAUGCUAGAGUUGGAAAUGUUGUAAGUAAAUGGUCAUUAACGCUAGAGUCAGGAACAUUAUAGGAAGACUAAAAAAGAGGAAAACAAAUUCUUAGCAAUUUUAGACGAAACCAACAAUGCAUUUUGUCUCAGGUAGAAUGUUUAAGAGGUGAAAAUAUCUUCUCUUUCGCAUAAUCAGUCUCAUACCAUAAAAUAUUUGUUGACUAGUCAGGGUUCCUAGUGACUAUAAUACUAGGUGACGAAUCCUUGAACAAAACAUUUUUUCCUAAAAAACAAGAUGCUAGAUAUAUGUUAUUUUUCCUUUGAAAAUUUUUAAUUGGUCACCGUAAUGUUUAGGUGUGACAUAAUGAUGACUAUCCACUAGGGAAUUCUAGGAAUAGGGUUUGCCUUUUGUUUGUUAAUUGCUAAAAAAUGUUUGUUAUAUUAUGUUUAUAUGGUUAUCACUUUUUACUGUUUUAGCACACGUAUCUAUUGUCAUGUAUCAUUUCAAGAGCACACACCUUAAAUUUUUGAAUAGAUGGAGAAGUAAUAGUACCUCAACGACUAACUUGAGCAAGACUCAUGAAACCUUUAAGCUCUUGCCUAAUUGUUUACUCGAUAGUAGUUGGUACACCAAUCUAAUAUUAUUAAGAGUCUUUAUCUUCACACUAUUUGUAAGUCUAAUAUCAACUUUUUGAGGAUGAUCACUGAGCAUGUAAAAAACUUUUUGAGACUAGAUAGUAAUCUAUCUAUUAAUGCACUUAAUGACUAGAACCUACCUACUAAGUUGUAUCCUAUGUAAUCUCACUAUGACAAGCCCAACAUGUAACAUCUUGAAUUCCAAGACCAUUGUGUUGCAAAUGGUCGUCACAUAAGAUACAAAGAGUUUGAGUUGUUACAAUUGAUAAAAAAAAACUAACUUGAAUUGAAAGCUGAAAGGUUUAUCAAAAGCUCAAACUUAAAUAAGAUUGGACAAGGAUCCCCUCGUUGGCAUGAUGACGACAUCGGGUCCCUAAAAUCCAUGAAUAAAUGACCAUUGCCACCCCGUGAAGGGUGAGUCCAGAUUAAAUCUGCAUUUUCCUUGUUGAUAACAUUAUUACUUGUGCAUGAUUGCAUAAUUUUUUGAACUAGUUCGAUAUAGAAUUUGUGUGUCGGCGAUUCCAUUAGGAAAUUCAUCGGGGAUAAUAAAUCAAUUAUUGACGGUUAGUCUGUUAGUGAUCCAUCGGUAAUAUUUACCGACGCAUUGGUUGACAAAAAAAUAGUCAGCAAAUAUUUGUUUUUUGUUGUGAAUAUAUUCUGUUAGCUAAUCUCCCGAUAGGUAACUUUACCGACCGAAUUAUCAAUAGAUCUAAAAUCCUCAAUGAGAAAAUCUCCUAUGAAAAAUCAUCAUCGGUAAUUUAUAUGCCAACAAAAAUAUAGCUUAAACGCAUAUGGAAUAUUCCGUCGGUGAAAAAUCAUUUUUGAUCGUGAUUUGACUUCAACAAUUAAUUAAUAAUAAUAAAACUUGAAUUUUGACAACUCUGUAAUAAAGACUUUUAUUUCCUUUAUAGCUUAUCCCCUUGCAAUUUUAAAAACCCAAUAAUAAUAAUAAUAAUAAUUAGUAUUAUUAUUAUUAAUAAAAACAUGAUUAUUGGAAUAUCUCAAGAAACCAUGUUAGUCUUCUUUAAAAAAGAGGUGUUAGUACUGGGAGUUGGUUUUUUUUUUUUUAUUAGUCGUAUUAAAGUGUUUAAAUUGGAAAGGAAGUUGAUUCCUUUAUUAAAGAGAUAUUAAUGGACGAUAGUAGAGUAUUUCUUGAUUAAUGCCAUUCUCUUACUAUCAUGCCAAAAUAGCUUUACUUGAUAAACUAGCCAUUGGAAUUUAUUCUCUAACUUGUUUCUUACUUCUGGAAUUCAAUAGCCAUCAACUUGUGGAAUUUAUUUUUCUAACUUGAUUCUUACUUCAGAAUUAAUGCCAAAAGCCAUAAAAAUUUGGCACUAAGUUUCUACGCGUAAUUGGUCACGCCUCGAUAUUCCGACUUUCUUCUUCCGAUUCGAGUCAAGAGUCAUCAACUUGUGGAAUUUAUUUUUCUAACUUGAUUUUUACUUCAGAAUUAAUGUCAAAAGCCAUAAAAAUUUGGCACUAAGUUUCUACGCGUAAUUGGUCACGCUUCGACAUUCCGACUUUCUUCUUCCGAUUCGAGUCAAGAGUCAUCAACUUGUGGAAUUUAUUUUUCUAACUUGAUUUUUACUUCAGAAUUAAUGUCAAAAGCCAUAAAAAUUUGGCACUAAGUUUCUACGCAUAACUGGUCAUCCCUUAACAUUCCGGUCAAGAGCCAUCAAUCUGUGGAAUUUAUUUUCUAACUUGAUUCUUACUUCAGCCAUAACUUUCUGCGCAUAACUGGUCAUCCCUUAACAUUCCGGUCAAGAGCCAUCAACCUGUGGAAUUUAUUUUCUAACUUGAUUCUUACUUCAGAAUGUGAAUAGCCAUAAAAUUUUCUAUGCAUACUGGUCAUGCCUGGACAUUCCGACUUUCUGCUUCCGAUUUGAAUCAAGAGCCAUUAGCCAUGGAAAAUUCAGGUUGCAUUUUUCGGACUUGUGUCCAUAGAAAUUACAAUUCUUCAACAUGUCUAUAAAUUCCAGUAUGCUUCGCAUUUGACUUCAACAAUUAAUUAAUUAUUAUUUUUAUUUUCACUGUUUGAUUGUUACGAUGCAUGACUACAUGUCAUUUUAUUCAUUCAGAUCAACUUGACCCCCAAGAAAUAGAUUAGCGAUUAUAAUCAACAUCAAGUCUUGCAGAUAAAGCCAAAAAAGUCUUCAGGUGGAAACGUUCCGUACCAUAGAGACAGUAUAUAACUGGUGUCCCGUUGAUCGUGAACUAUCCACAUUAAUCCUGCAACUUUUUUUUGCUUUUCCCUCAUUUGUUCAGAUCCUUCAAAAGUUUUAUCUUUGCCAGACUCGAAAUGGCUGGUGGGAAAUAUCAAGAAUCUUCCUCUUCACGGUUUUCUAAUUGUAAACAUCAAGUGUUCUUGAGUUUUAGAGGUGAAGACACCCGCAGGAAAUUUACCGAUCACCUCUACACGGCCCUAGUCCAAGCAGGGAUUCACACAUUUAGAGAUGAUGAUGAGAUUCAGAGAGGACAUAAUAUAGAGUUGGAGAUCCGGCAAGCAAUACAACAAUCAAAAAUAUCGAUAAUCGUGUUCUCCAUUGACUAUGCUCGGUCGAGAUGGUGCCUCGAUGAACUUGUUAUGAUCAUGGAACAUAAGAGGACUACUAACUCCAUAGUUUUGCCGGUAUUCUAUGAUGUGGAUCCAUCCCAAGUCAGAAAUCAAACUGGGAGCUUCGCUGCAGCAUUUGUGGAACACGAAAAGCGCUUCGAGGAGGAGUUGGAGCGGGUGAAUGGGUGGAGGAUUGCUUUGAAGGAAGUUGCAGAUUUGGGAGGAAUGGUUUUAGGAGAUGGGUAAGUUAUAUCUCUUGAUGAAACUACACAUGGCAUAAGAUUAGAAUGCUGGUUCUGAACUCUUAAUUAAUUCAGUUUUUGCAUUUAAGUAUUUAAACGAAGAUUGAUAAUACACUCCUAAUCCAGACUACUAAACCACUCCUAAUCCAGAGAACAUAUAAGAAAAAUAAAAUAAAAUACUUAAGAUUUCUUCAUUGUUUCAUGAUUUUUUUUUUCCAAAUUUAACCAUCAAUCAUUGACACACAACCUGCUUUAAUUUCCUAGCUAAAUGUCGUUUAUUUCUAUUGCUUAUAGCUAGAGAGACUACUAAUUAUCGUACAUUGUAUUUUACUUUUCUGAUGUAGAUACGAGGCACGGUUUGUCCAAUCUAUUGUGGAGCACGUCUCAAAGACUUUGGAUCGAAAAAUAUUUCAUUUGCCCUUUCAUUUCAUUGGUAGAGAUUCUGUAAUACAAUAUAUCAACUCAUGGUUGCAAGAUAGGUCCCAUAGUGCUGCCAUUGCUUUACUCUAUGGAAUUGGUGGAGUUGGAAAGACUGCCAUAGCCAAGAAUGUUUAUAACCAGAACUUUUAUAAAUUUGAAGGAAAGAGCUUUCUUUCAAAUUUUAGAGAAAGGUCAAAGGAAUUCAAGGGUUUAGUUUGCCUACAGAGACAACUUCUUUCCGACAUCCUAAAAAAGAGUGUUGAUGAGAUAAAUGAUGUUGAUGAAGGAAUUUUGAAGAUUAAGGAUGUAAUAUGUUGUCGAAGAACUCUUAUUGUUCUAGAUGACGUGGAGGAAAGGGACCAAUUCAAUGCAAUCGUUGGCAUGCAAAAUUGGCUUUGCAAAGGAAGUAAAAUCAUUGUAACGACCAGAAAUAAGGGUCUGCUUUCAGCUAAUGAUGAGUGGGUCAAGUGCAAAGUUGAACCUCUAGAUAACGGAAAAUCACUUGAGCUUUUCAGUUGGCAUGCCUUUGGACAAGCUGACCCUGUUGAAGGUUUUGUAGAGGACUCUUGGAAAAUAGUGAAUCAUUGUAAUGGACUUCCAUUAGCCCUUCGUGUUAUUGGUUCUUCAUUAUCUGGUAAAAUUCGAGAAGUAUGGGAAAGUGCAUUGCAUGAAAUGGAAGUGAUUCCAAAUUGUAAAGUUCAAAAGAUUCUUCGAAUAAGUUACGACUCUCUUGAUGAUGAUUACCAGAAGAACUUAUUUCUUGAUAUUGCUUGUUUCUUCAAUGGAAUGGAUUACAAUUAUGCUGUUAGGAUACUAGAUGGGCUCGGUAUAGGUGCAAGAUUCAGGAUUGACAAUCUCAUCGAUAGAUGUCUUGUAGAAAUUGUUGAAAUCAACACUGAUAAAAGGUUGUGGAUGCAUCAACUCGUAAGAGAUAUGGGAAGGGAAAUUUCUCGUCAAGAAUCACCCCAGUGUCAAAGAAUAUGGCAUCACAUGGAAGCUUUUACAGUUUUGAAUGAAACAAGUGUAAGUACCUGUUUUUUUUUUCCUAUCUGCAUGGUAUUUAGGCGUCUUAAAAUGUUCAUGCUUUUACUAUAUUGAAAGAAACUACUGUAAGUACCUCAUUUUGUUUAUUCUUUUACUUUCUUUUCUCAUAUACUUUUAAUAUUUUUGAAGCAGGAUGCUGAAAAAUUGCGUGGCCUUACCAUUGAUAUGCAUGCAUUCAUGGAAGAUAAUUGUACCAAAGCUAUCUGUGGUGAUGCAAUGGUUCACCACAAGCAUAACUUCUUUCAACAUUAUCGUCUUCCUACGUUCCCCUCUCGAGAAUGGCUUUCUGAUCUUUUCUUCGGGGAACAAGUACAAAGUGGUCAAGCAAGUUUGUUGCCUGUCCUCAGCACGGAUGCUUUGAGAAAGAUGCAAAAUGUAAAAUUUCUCCAACUAAAUUACCUGAAGUUCCAUGGAAGUUAUGAACACUUCCCUAAGAAUUUGGUAUGGUUAUCCUGGCAUGGAUUCUCUUUGAGAUCCAUACCAAACCAAUUAUGCUUGGAGAAGCUUGUGGUUCUUGAUCUAUCCAGAAGCAGUCUAGUUGAUGCUUGGAAAGGAAAAUUGGUAUGUAUCUGGUCUCUCUCCAUAGCUAUCUCUUUUAUUUUCAAUUGAUAGCAACUAAAAUCGAGUGUUUUUGCAGUCUCUUCCAAAAUUAAAAAUACUUGAUCUGCGUCACUCACAUGGCCUCAUUAGAACCCCAGAUUUGUCAGGUCUGCCAAGACUUGAAAAUCUAAUACUUGAAGACUGCAUCCAUUUGGUUCAAAUUCAUGAAUCUAUUGGAGAUUUACAUUGUCUCAUGAUGUUAAAUCUGAAGAAUUGUAAGAGUCUCGUGGAGCUUCCAGAAGCAGUGAGUCGAUUGAAUUCACUUCAAGAGCUUUAUUUAAAUGGUUGCUCAAAUCUUGACAGCCUGAAUAUGGAGUUAGAGCAUCAUCAGGGACACAGGUUGCUUCAAAGUGAUGGAUUUGUUGCUAGUACAUCAUACAUUUCAUCUUUUUCGUUGAAGCUAUUGUUUCCCUCUAGGUUUUCAGCAAGGAAAACUUCGAGAUUUACAUUGCCACACUCCUUGACGAGACUAGAUUUAAGUGGAACUCCAAUUCGUUUUCUUCCAGAAAGCAUUAAGGACCUCAGUCCACUCAUAGCCCUGACUUUAAGAAAUUGCAAAAUGCUUCAGACCCUCCCAGAGCUUCCAUCCAAUUUGUCUUCGUUAGACGUGUCUAGUAGUUAUUCACUGCAAACAGUUCCAAAUCUAAUCCCUUGGACUGUAGUGUAUGAUUGUGAUCAAUUAGUUGACAUCCAAGAUUCGAUGAAGCUAGAAUUAAUCCAAAAGGCUGACUCACACAUGUUCAGAAUAAUGGAAACGGUCAACGCUCAAAUACAGCCCUGGAUAUUUCAGGUCCUCACACACCCGUCUUAUUGUAUUUAAAAUCUACAUUUGUGUACUUUUCCUGGAAAAUUCUUCCUUUGCUCAUUUUAUAAUGGACAUCGUUUUGAUGGUACAGGUAACAGUUUUUAAGGGCGUAUUCAACGUUGUCUUAGCUGAUGAAGAUGGGAUGUUUAAGUUCUAUGAGGAGGAAGAAGAGGAGUGGAUAAUUCAGAAAGAGUUUGUGGGCUGCCUGUCAUUCCAAAUAGCCUCACCUGCUGCGCACCGGAUAUGUGGUUUUAAUCUAUUCACAAGGUUUUGUACCACGUCAGAAACCCUUCUCUGUGGUUCUGUUUAUCUCGAAAUCAGAAACAAUACCAGUGGUCGAUCCUUGUUUUGUCCCGCCUCUUUCUUUCCUAGUGGCUACAAGCACGGGAAUGCUGUACUCCAAUCGCUAAGCCACUGGAAAUUAGGGGGCGAUGAUCCUACAUUUGAUAAUGGUGAUGACGUGAGCAUUUCGGUGCUUCCACUUGAUCCAACUAUUCAAAUAAUGAUGGUUGGUGUCCUAUGGUUGCAUGAAGAGGAAGGAAAUGGUGGUGAUGAUGAUGAUAUCCAAUCAAAGAAUAAAGUUAUCACAUCCCAAAGUAGUAGCUCAUCAUACAGGGAAUCUAUCACAACCCACAACAGUAGCGAUGAUGAUGAUGUACAUCUAGCCAAUGUAGAAACAGCUACUCAUAUUUUUGGGAAUUAUUCCUGUGCUGCGCGUUAUAAUCCUGGCAACUUGGAAGUAUGUUCGUGGUUAUUUGAAAAGAAAGGUGAGAGGGUAUUAAUAAUCUAUUAUAUUUUAAAGCUAUUAGAUAUUUGGUAUUAUAUUUUAAGGCUUUAAUAGUCAAGGCUUCCUCACAAAGUUCAUGUCAUUAUCUAGUCUUUUUUUUAUUGUAACCACUGUUGAUUAGACUCUGCAAUAUUCUUUUUUGUUUUUGUCAUUUGAUAUUGAUGAGUUUUGAGCUUAUUUUUCUCGGUAGGGAUAUUGGAAGAAAAAGGGAGGCAUCUUUGUUUAGCCUCUUGCAUGGUUGGUGGCGCUGUAAGAGAGAGGGGUUGAUUCUUUCGAAUUGCGGAGGAGAUCAGCGAGCAACAGAUUAUCUCGUGACACAUUUGUCUUCACUCAGGUCUGUCUUAUUGUUUUUGCAUUUCAACUUAUUUUCUUCGAUGUGAUUGUUUGAAGAUUCUUUCAAGGCUUUUUUAGGCUUAUUAUAUAAUGAGAUAUUCUUUUGGAUGAGAUUAUAUGAGAUUAAUUCAUUUGCCAUGGCACGAAAUUGUUUAUUUUCAGCAUUUUUGUGUUUGCUGUUAACGAAAUCAUGGUCAUUGUCUUUUUGGUGUUGGUUCCUGGUUUUUGUAAGAUAGUCUGUUUUAAUUAUCUGUAAGGCUGUAAAAAAGAAAGACAUGUUUAUGGUUUUCUUGGUUUUAGAAAAUAUGAUUUUAUCAAGAUAAGUCUUUGAAAAAUAAGGUGUGGCUGCCACCUUCUAAUCACUAGAUUUUCUUUUAUGGGAUAAAAAAACAGUAAAUUACUCCAUAGAGUACAUGGUAAUGAUUAACGCGUGUUAAGGGUGUAGUUGUUGGGGUCUCCAUUGACAAAGCCACCAUGGUGGUGAUGAACCUUGAUGGUGAAAGUGUUUCAAGAUGAUAAUGACAACACACAGUAGCCAAGUGACAUGGAGGAUGGAAAGUUGGUGAUGACUUUGGAAAAAAGGCAGAGCUUUAUUUGUGGCAGUGUAUAGUGCUCGACCAAGUGUUUCAUGGCUCUGCUUCUUCUUCAUGAUAGCAUUGAUGUUCAUCAUUUGUCCUCUACUUUUUCAGGUCUGGUAGCUGCAGUUUUUCUUGCUUGAUUUAGAGAGGGGCUGCUGGAUUAGUGUUUGAGUGUUGCAGCUUUCCUUCUUCAGUUUUCUUUUUUCUUCCCCUGCUUGCUUCCUCAUGGGUUCUGUUUUGUUGCUCCAAUUUUUUUCUCUUUGGUUUAAUCUAUGUCUUUGUGGUUUGCUCUUUUUAUGAAAGAUUGAUGACUUUGCUUUUGCCUUUUUCUUUUUUCCAGUUUAUUUUAUCUUUAACAGCUUCCAUUCUUCCUUUGGAGAUGUUGCUUAGGUUUCUUUGUUUAAGUUGGAUCUCUAUAGGCAGAUUCGCUUCUGUUUUUUUUCUUGCCUUCUUUUUUCCCCCUCCCAUAUGUUUAUGCCCAAAUUGAGGCAUUGUUUGCUGUAUUUUCUCUACAAUGUUUGUUUAAAUUUAGGAGAUGGUUCGUGUUUAUAUAGAUUUUUGUGUAGGAAUUUCUUCAUCCCUGUCGUGUUAAAUAAUUUAUGGGUUUCAAACUCUUUAUAAUUGAGGAGAUGGUUCGUGUUUAUAUAGAUUUUUGUGAAGGAAAAUUUCCCACCUGCUACUGUGGGAAUUCAAUAACAAUACUUUUGCUUGAAUGUCAUUUAUGGUUGAUGACUUCUUUUUUGCCUUUUUCACAGUUUGGGUGUUAGAUUGGAAGGCAGCAACACACCAGCUUUUUGGAUAUAGUCGCCUUGAUGCCCUACUCUCGAUUCAGUUCAUAUGGCUGAUUUCUAUAGUUUUAAUCUAUGAGCAGUUUAAAUGCAGUAAGUGCAAAGUGUUCUUCAACCAAUACUACCAGUAGGUGUUUUUAGCUUGAACAUUGUGAAAAAUUAGAAAUCAGUUCUGGAUUAUGCAUUAAGUGAAGGUCUGCUUAGAAGUUGAGAUGAGAAGAUGAAGGCUUAAGCUGAAGCAGACCAUGGAAAUGUACAGCAGUACAGCUUGCAAAGAAGCACUUUCUGCAAAAACGAAACUAGUUCCAUUUCAUCAUCCUGCAUUUGAACAUGGACUCAGCUGGCUGCUGAGUGUCAGGAAGGAACUUAACUGAAGAUAUCAACGUCUCCAAAGAUUACCCCUGCGAAGUGCGGGCAUCAUAUCUUGUAUUCGUCUUGGAAGUAAUAGAUGAUACAAAAGUUGAUUAAACAUCAGUUUUUGUCUUAUUUGUGAGCAUGCUGGUUAUGCAGUGUACACUGAUGAAAUGGUGCUGAAUAUCAGCAUAAUAAUACAAACAUUGAUAUCACAAGGAUUCAACUUUUUUGCGAUGUAUAAUGUACAUUUUGUUAAGUUCUAACUUGUAUGUAUACUAUUUUUAUCUGCUGUUUUGGUGAAAAGAGCUAGAUUUGAAUGUGAAAAAGGCUUAAAUAUAGGGAAGGUGGAGCAAAUGAGAGCAAUGGAACGAAAUCUCAUAGGGAUGGCAAGAGAAAUGGAAAAGUUGCACAUUGAUGUCUUGAAUGCUGAUAACAGUGCACGCGGCAACUUUUUUUUUUUUUUUUUUUUUUGAUUAACCUGGGGUGUCCAGGCCAGCUUGCGCGCACCACGACUAAUCCCCAGGGCCUAACUGAACACCCUGCAAGCCCAGAAGGCAGGUAAGUCACCGCGGGGAUGGCAGGAAGGUAUACAAAGGGGUUCCAACCCGUGCGGUAUAGAGAGGGAACAAACGCCUCCCCCACUAGCAGAACCCCCAAGUACAUGGGUGAGCUUGGGAGUCGAACCCAGGCAACUGAGGAGACUUCUGUCUCCCCAGCCGCUGGGCUGGGACCUCCCGCUCAACUUUUUCUUGCAUCUGAAUGUGGUGGUUAUAUCAUUCAAAAUUUUCUUUCAUUUUUAUCUAAUUCUUUUGCUCAUAAAAUUUUCUUCACGUACGGCUCAUGAACUUUUUUUCAUUCAAACCCGCUGGGGCCAAAAGCCUAUCAUGGACCCACAUUGUUAUUGUGUGUGUAUAUAAAAAAAAACACGAUGUUCAAGCAUUGUCAGCAUAUUUUGAAGCAUGAAAAGUUUUUUGCUACCCAAGUCAUAAAUCAUUUUUUAUCCAAUAAAAUGGUUUAAUUUAAUAUCUGAUAAAAAAAAACAACGUUAAUAAAUUUAUUAAAUCCAAAGAGAAAAGGUGAUAACAAUGACUUGCAGAAAAAAAAAAUUCCAAGAAAAAAAAUUAUAAAACUGAAUUAAAAAAUAACUCAAUAUCAAAAGAAAAAAUAAAAAAAUAAAAAAUAACAAAAAAAUAUAAUUGAAUCAAUUCGAGUUAACAUGACCGAGUCAUGAUGUUGGGCCAUCCUUAUAGAAAAUAAAUAAAAAUAAAUACAAAGGUUCAAUUUUAAAAAAAUCAAUAUUGAAAGAUGAAAUUAAAAAUUAGAAUUGGUGUAAAAAAGAUAAAAAUAAAAUAUCGAUCUCAAUUCAGGUUAAUAUUGGAUACCUUGAUCCAGGUUAAGAUAACAAAAUGAUAGCAUUGAAAAAAAAUUAUAAAGCCCAAUUCUCAACAAUCAAAUUGAUCAAGAAUAAAUAAAAAAAAUUAAUUUAAAAAAAAAGCAAAAAAAAUAAUUGAAAUGAAUAAGGACCAAAUAUGUAACAAAUAAAAUAAAAUAAAAUAUUGUAAAACGUCUGAGUCAAUCUAAGUUAGCAUGAUAAAUUUACCCUAGAUCAUGAUGUUGGCUUAUCCUCAUAGAAAGCACAUCAAAAAAAAUAAAGAAGUUCAAUCAUUAAUAAACCUAAUAUUGAAAGAUAAAAUUAAAAAUAAAGAUUGUUGUAUAAAAAAGAGCAAUGUCAACCCAUAUUAACAUUUAAUAUCCAUGACCUAGGUCAUAAGUCAAGAUCAUUGCACUGAGAAAAAUCACACAAAACCAAAAUAUUAUCAACCAAUUCAAUGUUAAAAGACAAAAUAAAAAAAAAUCAAUUUCAAAAAAAAAAUCCAGAGUUAUAAUAAAAAAAUCCAAAGAAAAAAUAAAAAUAUAAGGAUGAAAUUUGACUUAAAAAUAAAAUGAAAUUAAAUGAUGGGGGAUUAAAUUGAAAAAAAAAUCAAUUAAGAAAAGGAUAUUAAAAAAAUAGUAAUCAAAAGAAUGAGGAUCAUAUUUGAUAUAAAAUCAAAUAUAGCUAAAUGAUAAGAGAUGAAAUUAUAAAAAAAAAUUCAAAAAAAAUAAAGACCAAUAAAAAAAAAAUGAUGGUUACAAUUGAAAGAACAACAAAAUGGGAGGAUAACUUUGAGUUUUUGCUUUACUAAUACGAAUCUCGAGGAGAUGUGAGAGGAAAGAAAGAGGAGGAGGAAAACAAAUUCCAUUACGGCCAAACCGUUACGAAUCACACCAUAUGCAUCACCUCAUCGGUUGCGCCACCAUUAAUGCUUUAGAGGACAUGGUGGUUGCUUGUUUUUUACUAUUGGAAAACACCACACACUGCCUAAAUGGUGCGAGUGGUGUCCACUUGAUAGCGCAUUUAUUGUGUGUGUUAGCCAACUUUUUUAUUAAUAUUUUAUAUUUAUUAAGGGAUUAAUUUGUUCCUCUUUCAAAUUGAUUAUUAAAAAAAAUGAUAAAAUAUAUUAAAAACCUUUGACGACAGUUUUUAUUUUUUUUUAUUUUUUAAAGCAAUGCUGUCAUUUUACUAUGGUAGAGAAGGGUAUGAAAAUUGAAAAGCCCCUGAACCUCGAUUUUUUUUUAAAAUAUCUUUAAGUGUAAUUAAGUUAUUUCAAUAAACAUUAAAAAUGUUCUAAGACCUAUAUUUGCUCUCGAUUAAUGUGAUAAUAACAAACGUGUUCCAUAAAAAAACUAUCUUAUCCCUAAUAUAUAAUCACACUGUAGCAAAUAAUGGAAUCCAUAGGAAAAAGGCUAUUUUAUUCCAAUGCAUGCUUUUAUAUUUGUAGUUUAAUUUUAAAUUUGUUUAAUUAAAAAUAUCUGACUAAUUAAACUUAAAAUAUCUAUUUUAAAAGUACUUUUUAACCAACUCUCAAAUCGCAAUUUCAUGAUUCAUUUGUGCUCUUAAUCUUGAAGUUACCUUUCUUAAUUUUGGAAAAAAGAAUUUUCAAAACAGAAGUUUAGAAAUAAGCCUGCAGUAUACGUAAGUACACAGGCAAAUACGUAAGCAUAAAGUGUGGCAACCAAAAUGGUGAACAUAUUUAUUGGACAUCCUGGGUACAUAGUCUAAUGUUUAAAAUGUGAAGCUAAUUAAUUUAAUAAAAUCAAUAUUCUCAAGGUCAAGUGAGGCAGUGCUUUUGUAACGGUUUGUCAAAGACGAAGUACUUGCUUGAGAACAUGGAACGAUGAAACUUGUGCCAAACACGUUAAUUAGAUGAAUGAAAAAGAGUUGAAUUUGUAAGAAUAUGUUUAUUUUAAUUUAUAUUUUAAAAAUAUUUUAAAUAAUAAUUAUUUUAUUUUAAACUAAUAUUUUAGUUUUUAAAUUGUUUCGAGAUGUAUAAAAUAAAUUUUAAAAUUAAAAAUAAUAUUAUUUUAAUAUAUUUUUAAAUAAAAAACUUAUUUUACUAUCUCCGACUAUAAUACUAAAUAAGCUAUAAAUUAUAAAUUUAAGAGGUAGAGAGAGAGAGACUAAGUAGUAACCCUUAGUAUGAAUUGUAGGAAUGAUAUAGUUUACUAGGAAAAAGGAAAUUGCUGGUAUGCUGAAGGGGAGAUUCACCUACACGUUAGUUGUCUAUUUUUGUGUUUUUUCUUCCAAACUUUACCUAAUUAACUAUUUGUAAUUUUUUCAAAGCCUAACAUGGUUUAAUUGAUUUGGAUUAUAAGGCCGUAUAUACUGAAUUGGACCGCUCCACUAAUAUCUAGUAGCUGUACACAGAUUAUAAUAUGAAACCAUGCAAUUCCCUCCAAGUUCAACUUGUUGAUUGCCCAUAAUCUUGCAUCCUUCGUCUCUAUAAAUACCUCUUUGAGCCCUCUUUUCUUCUCCACCCUAAGCGUUCAUAUUAUCACUAGUUGAGUCUCCUCAAUCUCGCAACUCUUUUACUUUUCUUUCUUACUAAUUUACGCAAACAACAUGAAGUCUCUUAAGAUAUUCUUGUUGCUAGCAAUGCUCAUGGCCUUAGCUUAUACUCUAUCUGCUACAACUGAAGAAGACUCGUUCGUGGCCAUCGAAAGUGAUGAUGAUUCUGUAAAUCGAAUAAGAAGAGAUUGAAUCUGCAAAGUUAUAUUUUAUUGAACCUUUGGAGAGAAAUAUAUACAGAUGAUUACAUGCUUAUCUCUUCCUAUAAUAAAGCUAUUCAAUGCUACAAUAAUGCAGAAUUCUAAGGGAUUUGAUUUACAUUCAAUGAAUCAUAAAAGGAAACAAAUACAUGAACAAUAACUGUUAAACAUAUUGCAGCAGAUUAACCUUCCAACACUCCCCCUCAAGUUGGAGAGUGGAUGUCUUGCAAUCCCAACUUGCGGACCAUAGGAAUGAAGAAUUCCUUUCCCAAUGGCUUAGUCAAAAUGUCGGCUAGCUAAUUUUCAGAACUCACAAAUCUUGUUUCUACAGAACCAUCUUGAAUCUUAUCCCUUAUAAAAUGACAGUCCAUUUCUAUAUGUCUCGUCCGUUCAUGAAAAAUAGGAUUCGCUGCAAUGUGUAUCGCGGCCUUAUUAUCACAAUACAAUAAUGCUGAUUGUUGAUGCAACACACCCAAAUCUUUAAGUAAGCAACGAAGCCACGUUAAUUCGCAACAAGCUCCUGUCAUAGCACGAUAUUCUGCUUCAGCCGAAGAUAGAGACACUGUCUUUUGUCGUUUUGAUCGCCAUGAAAUCAAUGAGGGACCUAGGAAUGCGCAGUAUCCUGUGGUCGAUCUUCUCGUAAGUAGGCAUCCUGCCCAAUCAGAAUCAGAGUAAGCUCGCAGUCUGAGAUCACUGGUUGCGGAGAAGAAGAGGCCUUGACCAGGCGCAGAUUUCAGAUAUCUCACCACCCGUAAAGCUGCUUCCCAAUGAUCCUUUCGGGGUUGGUGCAUAAACCUGCUUAAUAUGUGAACAGAAUAUGUAAUAUCUGGCCUUGAAAUCGUGAGGUAUAUCAACCUCCCAACCAAUCGCCUAUAUCGCUCUGGAUUUUUGAGUAACUCACUUUUGUCAGACAAUUUUAGGCUGCGUUCCAUAGGAGUAUUGAUGGGAGCUGCUCCCAGCAAACCUGCAUCCUUAAUAAUUUCCAAUGCGUAUUUUCGUUGAGAGAUAAAAGUAACAGCUUUGGAUGUGGAAAUCUUAAUACCAAGGAAAUAUCUCAGUUUACCAAGAUCUUUAAGAUGAAAUUUUCUAUGCAGGAAUUUCUUGAUAUCAGCUAUGCUCACAGGAUCAUUACCAGUAAUUAAGAUAUCGUCUACAUAUAUCAAAAGAACAGUAAAUGACUUGCCUUGCUUUCUGAUGAAGAGAGAAUAAUCGGCUUUUGACUGUUCAUAACCAGCUGAUUGUAUGGCCUCAGAGAAUUUGGCAAACCAUUGUCGUGAUGCCUGCUUCAACCCAUACAAUAAUUUGUGUAGACGGCAGAAUAAGUGUUCCUCCCCCUGUCUCCGAAGCCCAGGCGGUGGAGACAUGUAAAUUUCUUCGUGAAGAUCACCGUGGAGGAAUGCAUUAUUGACGUCAAGUUGAUGAAGAUUCCAUCCACGGGCAGCAGCCAGAGCUAAUAGACACCGAACUGAGAUGAUCUUGGCUGUUGGGGAGAAAGUAUCCUGAUAAUCAAUGCCAGCCAAUUGUGUGAAACCCUUCGCCACAAGCCGUGCCUUGAACCGUUCAAUUGACCCGUCUGAGUUAUGCUUGACCUUGAAAACCCAACAGCAACCAAUCGGGGUCUUACCAACUGGGAGAGGGGUGAGUGACCAAGUGCCAUUGGCUUGAAGGGCUUGUAGUUCGGUCUGCAUGGCUUGUUGCCAUUCGGGAUGAACAGCGGCCUCAGAGUAUGAUUUUGGUUCCGUGACAGUUUCAAUUUUAGCCACAAAAGAGUGAUAAGCAGGGUUAUAUCUGUGGUAUGAAACGAAAUUGGACAGUGGGUAUCGUGUACCUUUGAUCGGAGCUGGAACGAGGGAGGUCGAUUGAUCGGAGUAAGCAGCGGAGUAGAAGUAAUCGGCGAGUUUAAUUGGAGGAACAAUUUGGCGGCUGGAGCGACGUGGGGCUGCUAGAGGUGAAGUUGUAGGUACUAGAGAGGUGUGGGUUGGGUCAGGUUCAGGCGAGAUGAGGGAUCGGAGGGUUAUUGGUUCAAGCGGUGGAGACGAAGAUUGUGGAAUUGGAUUUGGGGAAGUUUGUGUGGAUGACAGGUCGUUGGCUGGAGAGGGCGUGGACUCGGUUUGGAUAAGUGGAGAGGGGCUGGGCUGAAGGUGAUGAUGUAAUGGAUCGGGAGGUGAGGCUGAGUUGAGGGGAACUGGGCUGGGCCGAAGGUGAUUUUGUAAGGGAUCGGGAGUUUGAGCUGAGGUGAGGGUUUCUGGGCUGGGCCGAAAUUGAGGCUCAAAGGGAUCAUGGAGCGGGGCUGGAAGCGGGAGGGGUCCAGAUUUGUGGGUUGAUGAGUUUUGGGCAGAAUAAUGGGUCACAUGGGAAGGGUUGACCGUGGCAUAUGGAAAAAUAUUUUCAUGAAAUUUUACAUCCCGGCUAGUAAAGACCUUUUUUGUUGAUAAAUCAAAUAACUUGUAUGCCUUUUGACCGAUUGGAUAUCCAAUGAAAAUAGAAGGAAUUGCACGUCGGUCAAAUUUAUGAGAAGUGUGAACAUUAGUGGCAUAAGUGAGACAACCAAAAACGCGAAGAUGAGAGUAUAAGGGUGGUUUGGAAUAGAGAAGUUCAAAAGGUGUUUUGAAAGAGAUAACCGGUGAAGGUAGCCGAUUAAUUAUAUGGACAGCCGUGAGGGCACAUUCUCCCCAAAAUUGUGAAGGGAGUUGAGCAUGGAAUUUUAAAGCACGGGCAACUUGUAAGAUGUGUCGGUGUUUGCGUUCCACUACCCCAUUUUUUUGAGGAGUGUAAACACAAGAAGUUUGAAAAAUGACACCUUUAUCUUGAAAAAAAGAUCGAAGUGAGAUAAAUUCUCCACCAUUGUCACUUCGAAAAAUUUUAAUGCGAGAUUCAAAUUGAGUGAAAAUAUAACUGAAGAAAUGUUGUAAAAUUGAUUGUGCUUCAGUUUUGUGACGCAUUAAAAAUAUCCACGUAAAACGUGUAUAAUCAUCAACAAUGGUGAGAAAAUAAUUAGCGCCAGAAAUAGAUGAAUGUCGAUAACGUCCCCAAAUGUCACAGUGUAUAAUAUCAAAAGGCUUGGUAGAUGAAAUAGUACUAGUACCAAAAGAUAGACGACUUUGCUUAGCCAAAGGACAUAUGUGGCAAGCAUUUUUUGACUCAACGGAAAAAUUCAAAAAAAAAUUAGCGAGAAAACUUAAACGGGAAGGUGAGACAUGUCCUAGACGAUUAUGCCACAGGUCGGUAGAGGAAAGGGUAAGGUAGCAUGCAUGAUGAUUUGUGGUUGAGGAAGGUUUGGUGAGGUUUUUUUUUGUCGCUAGUGCCACCAAAUAGUAUAGCCCGUUUCGCUGUUUACCCAAACCAAUCGUCCUCCUCGUAGCCAGAUCCUGCAAAAUACACCAAUAAGGGAAAAAAGUCACUGAACAGUUCAAACUCCUUGUCAAACGACUGACUGACAUCAAGUCGACUUUGAAUGUAGGCACAGAUAAAACAUCAUGCAGAUAAUAGACUGAAUUUAAGGGUAAAGACCCUUUCGCAAUAAUAUCUGCCUUGUCUCCACUAGGUAACAGUACAGGUGGUAGUGAGUAGUCCUUAUUUUCAUUCAACAAUUCAGAUGAAGAUGUGAUAUGGUCAGUAGCCCCACUAUCAAUAAUCCAGUUAUGGUUAUCAAGUUCAGACAAACCUGGCUUUGUUACUGCAUUGGCUUUUGAGCUAGAACUGUCCUCAUGAUUAUUUAGGAGUGACAAAAGUUGCUUGAGUUGAAUUUCUGACAACGAAACCGUGGGCCUUACCUCAUCUUUAUGGGACAUUUCAGAUACCUGGUUAGCUAAGGGAAAACCAUUGUGCUGAUUUCCAAUUGAGUGCUGAUUUCCAAUCGGGCUUUGAUUUCCAAUCGGGUACCCAUUCAUCCUUGCUUUAGGGUGUCUCGGUGGAGACCCAUUUAACUGGAAACACUUUUGCACCCAAUGCCCCAUUUCUCCACAAUGGGUGCACUGGGAUGGUGGAUACCCAUUUAACUGGAAACACUUUUGCACCCAAUGCCCCAUUUCUCCACAAUGGGUGCACUGGGGUCAUCCCCUUCCUGACCCAAAACGGCGCCGAUCCUGGUCAAAACGGUGUUCUCCUUGCGGUCGAGUAUCACGAGGCUGAGAGAGGCGAUUCACGGAGUGUUGUGGGCGAUCUGUCUCUGAGACAAAAUUUCUUUUUCCUUGAUUAUUAUAACGUACUGCCAUGGCAGCACUCCUACCCAUCUCUGUUUGUGCAACGCUGAGAAAUCGUUUCUUUUCUUCUUGACAUACCGAAGAAUAAGCUUGGCGAAUGGAUGGCAGAGGAUUCAUCAACAAAAUUUGGCCUCGAAUUGCAGAGUAAGUGUCAUUUAAACCCAUUAAGAACUGCAUUAAUCUUUGUUGGUCUGCCUGCGUUCCAUGUGUUGUGUCUGUGUAUGAAGCCAAUUCAUCCCACAAACCUUUCAAUUUCGUGUAAUAUGAGGAGAUGGAGAGCUGCUCCUGUCGAAGAUAUGCAAUGUCCCUCUGAAUUUCAAAUAUGCGAGGCGCAUUGCUCUGUGAAAAACAUUCCUGUAAAUCUUCCCAGACUUCAUGUGCGGUGGGAUAAUAGAUUACACUAUCUGCAAUUUUCGGGUUCAAUGUAUUGAUGAUCCAGGAAUGGACCAUAUCAUUACAUCGUGACCAGGUAGCAUAGCCUUCAGAAUCAGUCUGUUCUGAAGGAAUUUCAAUUGAGCGAUUGAUAAAACCGAGUUUGUUCUUGGAGUUUAGGGCGAGAGUCAUAGCCCUUUUCCACCCAGAAUAAUUAUCUCCAUUCAGUGAUUUGGAGACAAGGAUGAGGCCUGGAUGAUCCGAGUGAUGGGUGAAAUAUGGGUUUGAGAUGUCAGAUUUGCAGAAGUUUGAUGCAAGGUCUGAUUUGGACGAAUCAGAUGGAGCAGCGAUGGUGCUGGGACUUGAUAGAUUGAUUUCUUCAUUGGCCAUGACAGUGAAGGCAAAAUUUCGUGAGAAUGUUUAUGAAGGAUUUUGAAUGCAGAAUUUUGAUUUUAGAAUUUCAAUUUACGUGUGCUAUGAUACCAUGUAAAUCGAAUAAGAAGAGAUUGAAUCUGCAAAGUUAUAUUUUAUUGAACCUUUGGAGAGAAAUAUAUACAGAUGAUUACAUGCUUAUCUCUUCCUAUAAUAAAGCUAUUCAAUGCUACAAUAAUGCAAAAUUCUAAGGGAUUUGAUUUACAUUCAAUGAAUCAUAAAAGGAAACAAAUACAUGAACAAUAACUGUUAAACAUAUUGCAGCAGAUUAACCUUCCAACAGAUUCCACAAACGAGGAUGAAAAUACUGAUCUUCCCUGGCUUGGUACCCAAGAAACAACAUCUUCUUUGCGAGGGCCAAACCGGUUUCUAGCUCAGAAAACUCGGGCUGCCAUGGCAUGCAAUAAGUACCCUAGGGUUUGUCGUGCCAAGGGCAGCCCCGGGUCGGAUUGCUGCAAGAAGAAGUGUGUGAAUGUGCUGACAGACAGGCUUAACUGUGGAAUGUGUGGUAAGAAGUGCAAGUACACUGUGAUAUGCUGCAAAGGUGAUUGUGUGAAGCCCAUGUCUAACAAGAAGCAUUGUGGGGGUUGCAACAACAAGUGCAAGAAAGGGAAUGCAUGUGUGUAUGGAAUGUGUAGUUAUGCGUAGAAAUAUAGAGCCAAUACUGGAUCGAAUGAGCAGAAGGUAGAGAGUUAUCAGUUAAUUGCUGGAAAUGAUCAUAAGGAUUUCGAUAGGGAUUAUUUAUUGUUUUUAUAUGAUAUUAUAAUGUAUGUAAAUCCCAUAUAUAUCCAUCAUUCUUGAUUUAUUUAAAGUUUAUAUUGUGCUUGUUAGGUAUUGUGGGGGUUGCAACAACAAGUGCAAGAAAGGGAAAGGAUUCUGUGAGCCGAGCCAAGCCGAGUUGAGCCGAGCCGAGCCGCGAGCCGAGGGAAAGGAUUCUGUGCAGCAGAGUCUACGUGCAACCGGAUCUGAGAUUAAAUCUGAGCCGUUGAUCAGGCCAGAAUUGUUUUGAUCAAAACUUAGCCGUCUGAAGUGCGAUUUGGACAAUUCAAGACAUGUUUUCAGCUAAUUUGAUCAUUCCGGAUGCAAUGGUACGGUCCGAUCGUUGAGAUUCGAGACCAAAAAUGGCGGUGGUGAAUUAUUAAAGAGAGAUUGCCCGAUCAGGAGGCAUCUGAAGGUCAUCAUGGUGGUCGAUGGAGAUGAAGAAGAGAAAGGUGCACAUGUUUACCCAAUUACAUGUGCUGAACUAUUUAAUGGGGAAAUAUAAUGCCUUGAUGGAAGGAAAAAUUGGGACACUUUGGACACCCGGUCAUGUGGACGAUUUGAGGUGGAGAGUGGAAAUUGACGAAGACCAAUCUUGACGAAUCUAAGCACUGGUAGUCUCGCUAGAUGUUGAGAAAUCAUGUAUUAAACCUGUAUAUUCCAGAUCACUUGUAAAGCAAAGCCGCAACAAAGCUAGCAAAUGGUUGUAUAUACGGAGAGACAGUACGAUGGAUAGAUAUGGCCUAAGAAGUUCUGUCUAGGAGAUUGGGUUUUAAGCGGGACCGUUGUGACCCCUCCAAUCUUUCCUGGGAACUUGCUUAGUGGAAGGAUUAUCCAUACGGUAUUAUUUUCGUAUAUAUAGCAGUUUGUAAUGAAACAGUUGAAGACUAGCAGGAUGACGGCACAAGGGGAACAGUUGGGUUCCGCAUGAUCAAGGAUCUGAUGGAGUGGUGAUUUCUCCAAAGAAGGCAGAUUCGGUGACUGUGUUUUCUCGAAGGAAGAAUUGAUGAAGACCCUGAUAAUGGAAGAGAAAUACAGCAAGGGGAUAAAUAUUGGCACCCUAUUUUGACUUGGACAGGUGUUGUGACAGGAUGAGCUGCUGUCAAACAUAAGCAAGGAAUAGGGAGAAAUCUGGAGAACAGUAAUUGCACGAGGGCACACGAAGAUUGUGCAAGAGUACCCAAGGGAUCCAACGAGGUACUGUAAUGAGACAACAGGUGCAAGGAGAAGAAGUGUUCCCAGAUGAAGCUCAGAGCAGAGACUGUUAAAGUUUGUACAACAGGAAGUCUCUUAUGCUCUUGAUGAAGACAACAUGCGAGGACCUUUCAAUGCAUGCAAGGAUGGAAAGAUGAGCUGUUGCAGAGGCACCUAAUUAAGGGGGUGCAAACGCAUGUGAUAAAAGGCAACCGCCUAUGAUGAAAGGCGAAGCCACCAAAGAGAGUUGGUGUAGGUGGAGCUGUCAAGCAGAAAGGCAUAGAAGCUCCAAACAUAGAAAUCAAGGUGGAGGAUUGCGAGGAGUAUACCGCAAUUUUCUCUUUCUAUGUAGUCAGUGGCAGUAAUCUCUCCCAAGUUCACAUGGUGGUAGAGAAUCUUGAAGUCACUUAAGUCAUCCCGAUGAAGGAGGAUGAGACCGCUUCACGACGAGCGGAGACACCUCGGACGGAAGGUGUGAGGGCCAUGAUAUAAGCCCAGAUUUCAGACCGCCGCAUGAAGACGAGCGGAGACACCUAAGGAGAAGGUGUGUGGGCCACGAUAUGAGCCCAAUUCAGAACGCCCCAGAGCCAAUGUGAUGGCUAGAUAUGAGUGGACAGGUGGAUAGCCAAUGAAGUGGCUAUGAUGAGUAUGAAGACAAAUGCAGGAUUGACUUUCAUGGAUAUUGCCCCCAUGCUAAAGAUCAAUGAGCUAGAAGACAUUUGCCUUGGACAAUAAGUGGAUAACUUAUGGAGCAUUAAGACGCGGCUGCUAUGAAGGAGCAGAGGGCAUGCGCAGGUUCUGGAAACGAGUUGACUCUUGUCAAGGUGGUGAGCUCGGUGAUGGCAUUGUAAUACUCAGAGUAUGAAGACAUACAUGGAUCAACCUUUAAUGGGCUGCCCCCAUGGUUAAAGGUGGAGAGCUACCUGGACUCUUACGACUAAGAGCGAGAGACUCAUGGAGAAGUAAGGCGUGGUUCCUACGGUGGAACAGAGGGUAGGCGCAACUCCUGGAUGAGUAGACUCUUGGAAGAGUGGUGGGCUUGUGAUCAUAUUGAGAUACUCAGAUAAUGACUGUCGCACUUGGAAUAUCCGUUUGAGGGGGUGUUGUAAGCCUUGGUGUGAGGCUUGAUGAAUCAUUCCGGACCGAGCAUGGUUGAUACGCUCGAAGGGGAAUGUUCCCAGAGACAAGCGUUAACACUCUUUAGAUGUGAUGUGUGAGACCAUCUGGUUGAAGUGAUCCUUUGGUGUAAGCAAGGGUGUGCUUUGGUGACUCUGGUGAUUGAAAGGUUUGGCGAGUACCUGUAAACUUGGCCGGAGAUGCUCUCGGAAUGGUAAGCUUGGAAGAGCUGCAGGAUGCAAGAUUGUGCUGAAGAAGCAAGAGGACAAUUGCCCACAUAAAUGGCAAAGGAGGUGAUUGUUAGGUAUUGCCAUUGAUUCUACAUUACCACCAACCCCCACCAAACAUUGACCAGCAGCCUUUGUUGAAGAAGAUGGCAGCCACCAUUGACUGCAGCUGCAGCUGCUGGAAAGAAUAAGAGAAGCCACCAUCAUGCCUAUAAAUAGGCACCAUACAAAGAGAGCUUUGAGAGAGUUGUGAAUAACGUGAGUGUGAAGAGAAAAAGAAGAGAAAGGGCUGCUGCCCAUGGCAGCAGCCCUGCAGCUGAAGGCAGCGAGAGUGAGAUGGGAGUUGAGUGAUUAUAUCCUCCUCCAUGUAUUUAUUGUAUUCUUUCUCUACCUCAAAUAAUAUUGUCUCUCCCGUGGAUGUAGGCGGUUUUGCCGAACCACGUAAAAUAUUGUGUCUCAGUGUGCUUCCCCUCCGUUGAGCAAUUAUCAGUACAUCACCGGUCGCCGGAUUCCGGCCCAACAGUGCUUACAUUGCUUUGCGAGGUGUAUAUCGUUUAGUACGUUUAUGUACUAGCAUAUAAAAUUUCAAGUCAAAGCUGCCCUUUUUAGAGUACUUAUUUCAUGAUUCUUAGUAUAUUACUAGUGAAUUAAUAAGUGACUUGUUUUUAUAUAGAAUUAUAAAAAUUUAAUCGUUUUUUUUUAAAUGAGAUUUUUUAUAUAUAAUGCAAGUUAAAUUCCAUAGCUUUAAUGGUAAAUUGAUUCCAUCAAUAAUAUCUUGAUUAUUAUAAAGAAAUUACAAAUGAAAUUUAAAACUAUAUACAUUAAGAAUCAAGUAGUCCCUAUUAUUCUUGAGCAAAUAUUCCAUAAUUAGUUGUAGUUAUCUACUUCCAUGUGAUGUCAGUAUCAAAUUUACUACUUAAUUUUUUAUCUUGAUUUUGUUAUGGGGAAGAAAUACGAGAUAGAAGCUUGAAGUUUAAUUUAGACGAUUUGUAUGAGAAAAAUGGAACAGGAAAUUAAACAAGGGCUAAAGAUGGUCUCCAUCGGGAAAGUAAUGCAAUUCUGGAAGUCACAUGAUCCCAAAAGAUAUUUUGAACAAAUUCUGAAAGAUCUGUUUGGGGGGGUUUUAUGUUUAAUAUUGUCUGGACUAUAUGGAAUGCUAGGAACAACUUGAUAUUUGAGGAUCAAAAGCCAAUAUGGGAAGAUAUCCUAUGGCUUUUGUUUUACUUUGCUGCAGGAUGGAUUAGGAAUCUCAACUCUUCCUUUUGGUAUACUGGUGCCGAUCUAUACAGGAAUCAUGAAUGCAUUUCGGCAUGGUCUGCUUAAUUUCUGAUUUAGUGUGGGUUUGUUUUUUGCUUGGACUGAUAGUAGGGUUAUAGGUUUUCUUGUAUUCAUUUAUUGUAUGUAGGUUGAUGCCUAGGCUACAAUCUAUGUAGCUAAAGCUAAAGCCCUGCUCGCACUGUUUAUUCUUUCUUUUUUAUAUUAUAUCUAUUCUCGAUUUCAACAAAAAAAAACAUAAUUUGCCAACGAAGCAAGGUUAUAAUAGUCAUUUUAAAUUUGCACAAUAAAAUGACUGCUACGUCUCUAGAGACAAAACUUUCAACACUGGUGGCAAAAGGUAUUUUUCACCUUUUCAUUUCAGUUGUACAGUAAAAUAACUCGGAUGCAUAUAAAUCAGAAUUGCUUUUUCCCUGGGUUAAGAAGUGUUUUAUUUAUUUAUUUAUUUUUUUGUAACCAUGGAGCUUCAUCCAAGGCAAUUUAAUAUUUUUGCAUAAAUAAAAUAAUAAUUAAUCUCAAAAAGUUGGUUGCGCAUGUACUUGACAGUGACACAAACGCGCCCUAGGUUUUUCCACACUCUUAAGAUGAUGUGGAUGACGCUGUCUGGCAGUAAAACUCUGGCUUUCCCAAUAACAUUUUAAUCUUUGCAGCUUUACCUUCAUUUUUUAUCGAUACGUAAAAUAUACUGAGUUUUGCAUGGGUGAUCAUUUUUUUUCCUUCUUUCUUGAUUUUAGAGCUUAUCCUUGCAUAUUUUCAAAGUAACUUUUCAAUUUAUUUAUUUUUUCAAAUUUUUUCCUUAUUUUUUUGUUGUUAUUUGUUUUAUUUUAAAUUAUCCAUAAAAUUUGAAUUUUCUUUUAAUUUGAUUCACCUUCUGUGUUUUCACUUUUCAGAUUUGAUCAUCAUUCUUUUAAUUAUUAUUUUUAUUUUUUAUUAUUUAUUUAAUUAAAUUAUCCUUUUAAUUGUCCCUCAAUAUUUUAUAUCAUCUUUAAUUAGUUUUUUUUUUAAAUUUGGUCUUUAUUCUUUUGAUUUCUAUUUAUUUAUUUUUUAAUCUUUUUUUUAUUGGAACUUUCUUUUUUGAUAACAUCCCUUAAUAUUAUAUUGAUCAGAACUUUACGAAUCUUUUGGGUCAUGGAUUUAAAAGAUUAGACUAGGUUGACUUAGAUUUUAUUUUUUCAUGCCCUUUUUAGUAAAAUUUAUCGCAGUUACUUUUUUAUUGGUACAAGUAACUGUUUGUUUUUAUGUUGCAAAAGCGUUUUUUUAAAAACAAUAUAUUUUUUUUUUUACUUGAAAUUAUUAAUUUUUAGUGUUUUCAAAUCAUUUUGAUGUGUUGAUAUCAAAAAAUAUAUAAAAAAUUAAAAAAAAAACCGUAUUUUAAUGCUUUUCCGAAUAAAAAAAAACUUAAAAAAAAACCGUAUUUCCAAACACUCCUAUAAACAAUUUUCAAAGAACCCAAAAUAAGAAGAUUUUUGAGCGGGAUCAACAAAAGGGUGUAUUGAUCUCCACAAGGAACGGAGACCAUCGCCUGCACUCUCGUGUUGCUAUUUGGGUUUGAUGAUCCUGCCAGUUCCAUCUCUUUCUUUCUUCCAUUUAUUGUGUAUGGGACUUUGCUUGCUAAAUUAUUAUGCCAAAACAAGAAGACAUCAUCUUCCACGUCCAUACCCACAUACUCGCAUCUAGCAAAAAGAUUCCAAAACACAUCACCACACCCACCAGACCACCUUGCAAUGCAUGAGAAUAUGACUCAGAUUCGGCAGCUUCACUUCACUGCACCUGGAUAAACAAUUCAUGUUAUAGCAUACUUGGCGACCAAUUAUGCGGCGAGUACCAAGUUAUCUGGCUACAAUAGGCCUAAGCUCUCCCCAAUCGAGAAGGAUUUUGCUGGAAACAAAACCAUAACCCCUAGGUGGUCUAAAUGUAGACAAAAGUUAGUCAGGCUGAAUAAUCUCAACAGCUGUAUUUCUCAUUAUCAUCCCUCCUCAAACGCAUCCCCAUCGUGACCCUGCUUUAUCAGAAUCAUCGCGGAGAACUUUUCAGUGAUAGGAAAUUGAAUAUGCAAUCCAUCCUCCCCAGUAUUAAACCUUCCUUCCGAGAUCUAACCAUCCAAAAUUCUUCUGUAUGUCUUUCCCGAAUUUUUGCAUGCUUCUUUUUGUAGUUGUAGUACCAGUUUGAGGAAACCUACUUAUGUUUCUCAGCCUUAGAGUUCAAGACAGGACUCUGAGUUAAACACUCUGCAUUUCCAACAUGAGAAACUCUCUCUCUCUCUUGGCAUAAGUUUAUCUUCUAAAGACACCAGCGGAAAGCAAGUUGACUUUUGAUGGCUCGCUGAACUCCUCCACCAAUGAUAACAUGAUCAUCGCCAGCAUUAGCUAUACGGAGUGCCCACUAGCAACUCUUUGCCAAUAUAAUCAAGUCUGACAUGUAAAAAAAUUGUGGCACAAAUAUGAUGGCCGUGUGGCUCAGUCGUCUAUUAAAAAAUAUCUACCAGCACAGAGAAAAUCAAAAUUGAGUCUAUAUUUUUAUGGGUCGCACAAACCAUCUAAAAUCUGCUAUUUCAUUCCGAAAACAAUUUUUACUCGAGUGCUUUAUUUUUUUGCUGGUUAUUUUUAGUGUAUGUUUGAUAAUGAAAUGCAUAGUGUUUUUAUAAGAGUAUAAUUUCAAUUUAAAAUGCUUUCAUAAGAGUAUAUUUUAAAUUUAAAAUGCAUAAAAAUGAUGUUUUCUAGACAUCAAUGUAUUAAAAUUAUAUUAAAAAAUAAUCCAAAAGUUGCAUUAGUCCUAAAUGUUAGGAGUAAAUUGAAAGCAAUCCCGAUUUGUUUUUAGUAUGAUCAGUUUUCUUUGCUCAACUACUUGAAAGACAUUUGAUACAAUACGUUUUGGUCUAAACCCAAGACAAUAAUUGUUUUUUAAUUAAUUUACCUGUUGCUGUUUGGUCUACUAACGAUGUUUUAUGAAAAAAAAAACAUUUAUAAAAGCAUGUGAGGUCAGUGAAACUGAUUGGAAUAUACAGGAGAUAUUUUAGACAAAGGAAAUUAGACGAAAUGGAAAACUAGAAGAAAUUAAUGGCAAAAAGAUAUAAAAUUUAGGUAUUUAAUAUUAUGUUAUUAAAAUAAAGGGAUUAACUAAAUAAUAAUUUACUUCACAAAACAAUUGUUAAAGGAAUACAGUAAUACCAACCACGAAGCAAAAGAUUUGAGAAAAGAGAGAGAAACAGAAAUGAUGUUAAUAGCCAUCAACUUCUCCUCUUAAUUAGAUUUUUCUAACUUGAUUCUUACUUCACCAUGUCAAUAGCCGUCAACUUAAUUGUCGAGUUUAUUUUCUAACUUUUUUCUUACUUCACGAUGUCAAUAGCCGUCAACUCCCGGCACCAAAAUUAGUGAUUGUAUUCAACAUCCAAGUCUUGAUCAAAAUAAAACCAAAAAAGUCCUCACGCGGAAACAUUCCAUACCAUAGAGAGAGUGGACUUGUGGGGAUGACUUGUCUUAAAUUUACAAUCCACCCUUUCUCUCUCAAUUUUGAGCAAAUUAAAAAAAAAAAAAAGGUCCUAACGCGGAAAUGGCCCCUACCACAGAGACUUUUAAGGUUGAUUUAAAAGCAGAAAAUUGAUGAACUGAUAAGAGAACAUCAGCGAAGGGAAAGUGAAGAUUGCAGGUAACUCUGCUUAUCUCUUUUAGUAUUAUGCUAUAUUGUGGAAUGUAACUCAUCAACCCAUUUUGUUGGUUCAGCAUAGAUAUUUAAUUUAUCAUAUGUACAAAUGUUUUUCUGAAAGGGCAUGGAGGAGUUGAUUGCUGGGAAAUAACUUGAAAAUUGUUUUAAAGAUAAAGUAAGAUAAUAAUAUAUGAAUACUUCAGCUUAUUGGUGUGCUGUCGAUCUUGAACUAACGACAUUAAUCCUGCAACUCCUACUUUUUUUGUUCAGAUCUUUGAAAGGUCUUAUCUUUGCUAGAAUCGGAAUGGCUGCUGGGAAAUUUCAAGAAUCCUACUCUUCUCGGUUUUCUAAUUGUAAAUAUCAAGUGUUCUUGAGUCUUAGAGGUGCAGAUACCCGCAAGAACUUUACCGAUCACCUCUACAAGGCCCUAAUUCAAGCAGGGAUUCACACAUUUAGAGAUGAUGAUGAAAUUCGGAGAGGAGAGAAUAUAGAUUUCAAGCUCCAGAUGGCAAUACAACAAUCAAAAAUAUCGAUAAUUGUGUUCUCCAAAGACUAUGCUUCUUCGAGAUGGUGCCUUGAUGAACUUGUAAUGAUCAUGGAACGUAAGAGGAAUGAUGACUGCAUAGUUUUGCCAAUAUUCUAUGAUGUGGAUCCAUCCCAAGUCGGACGUCAAACAGGGAGCUUCGCUGCAGCAUUUGUGGAACAUGAAAAGAGCUUCAACGAGGAGAAGGAGCGGGUGAGUGGGUGGAGGAUUGCUUUGAAAGAAGUUGCAGAUUUAGCUGGAAUGGUUUUAGGAGAUGGGUAAGUUGUAUCUCUUGAUGAAACUACACUUAGCAUAAGACUAGAAUGCUAGUCGUGAACUCUUAAUUUCUUUCAGUUAAGUGUACUGAUAAGAAAACAUAUAAGAAAAAUAAAAUAAAAUACUUAAGGUUUCUUAGUUGUUUUUUUUCAAUAACGAUUUGGCUUUAACUAUCAAAUCAUUGACACACAACCUGAUUUAAUUUCUUAGCUAAAUGUUGUUUAUUUCUAUUGCUUAUAGAGAGGCUACUAAUUAUCCCACGUUGUAUUUUUAUUUUUGAUGUAGGUACGAGGCACAGUUUGUCCAAUCUAUUGUGGAGAAUGUCUCAAAGAAUUUGGAUCCAAAAAUAUUUUAUGUACCCCUUCAUUUCAUUGGAAGAGAUGCUCUAGUACAAGAUAUCAACUCAUGGUUGCAAGAUGGAUCCCAUGGCGCUUCCAUUGCUUUACUCUAUGGAAUUGGUGGAGUUGGAAAGACAGCCAUAGCUAAGAGUGUUUUUAACCAGAACUAUGAUAAAUUUGAAGGAAAGAGCUUUCUAUCAAAUUUUCGGUCAAAGGAUAUAGUUUGCCUACAGAGGCAACUUCUUUUCGACAUCCUAAACAAGACUGUUAAGAUAAAUGAUCCUGAUGAAGGAAUUCUGAAGAUUAAGGAUGCAUUAUGUUGCAGAAGAACUCUUAUUGUUCUAGAUGAUGUGGACAAAAGGGACCAAUUCAAUAAAAUCAUUGUCAUGCAAAAUUGGCUUUGUAAAGGAAGUAAAAUCAUUGUAACAACGAGAAAUAAGGGUAUGUUUUCAGCUAAUGAUAUUGAGUGGGUCAGGUGCAAAAUCAAACCGCUAGAUGAUGAACAAUCACUUGAGCUUUUCAGUUGGAAUGCCUUUGGACAAGCUGACCCUGUUGAUGGUUUUGUAGAAGACUCUUGGAGAAUAGUACGUCAUUGUAAUGGACAUCCAUUAGCUCUUGGAGUUAUUGGCUCUUCAUUGUCCGGAAAAGGAAGAGAAAUAUGGGAAAGCGCAUUACAACAAAUGGAAGUGAUUCCUAAUUUUGAAGUUCAAAAGGUUCUUCGAAUAAGUUACGACUUUCUUGAAGGUGAUUAUCCAAAGAACUUAUUCCUUGAUAUCGCAUGUUUCUUCAAUGGAAUGGAUGUGGAUGAUGCAGUUAGGAUACUAGAUGGGCUCGAUAAAGGUGCAAGAUUUGGGAUUGACAAUCUCAUCAAUAAAUGUCUUGUAGAAAUCAACAAUGAUCAAAGGUUAUGGAUGCAUAAACUAGUAAGAGAUAUGGGUAGGGAAAUUGCUCGUCAAGAAUCACCCAAAUGUCAAAGAAUAUGGCGUCAAGGGGAUGCUUUUACAGUUUUGAAAGGAACUAUUGUAAGUAGCUGAAUUUUUUUAUAUGUCUACUUAAAUGGUUUGUGGUGCCUUGAUAUAUUCAUUCAUCUACUUUCCUUUCUCAUGCACUUUAAUAUUAUUAUGCAGGAUGCUGGAAAAUUGCGUGGCCUUACCAUUGAUAUGCAUGCAUUAAUGGAAGAUCAUUAUGCAGAAGUUUUCUGUACUGAUUCAAUGGUUUGUCGCAAGAGCCGCAGGCUUAACUUCUUUCAACAAUGGCUUUCCGAUUUUUUUGAUGGGGGAAAAUUACAAACUGGCCAAACAAGUUUGUUUCCCAUCCUCAGCACGAAUGCUUUUAGAAAGAUGCCAGAUGUAAAAUUUCUUCAACUAAACUACACUAAUUUCCAUGGAAGUUUUGAGCACUUUCCCAAGAAUUUGAUAUGGUUAUGUUGGCAUGGAUUGUCUUGGAGCUCCAUACCGAAUCACGUAUGCUUGGAGAAGCUGGUGGUUCUUGAUCUAUCCAAAAGCUGUCUAGUUGAUGUUUGGAAAGGCAAACUGGUAUGUAUCAAGUCUCUCUAUAGCUAUCUCUCUCGUUUUCAAUUGAUAACAACUAAAUUCAUGUAUUUUCACAGUUUCUUCCGAAAUUGAAGAUUCUUGAUCUCCAUCACUCUCGUGAUCUCAUUAGAACCCCAAACUUCUCGGGUCUCCCAGCCCUUGAAAAGCUAAUACUUGAAGACUGCAUCCGUUUGGUUCAAAUUCACGAAUCUAUUGGUAAUUUACAAAGAUUGUUGAUCUUAAAUCUAAGAAAUUGUACAAGUCUUAUGGAGCUUCCAGAAGAAAUGAGUAGAUUGAAUUCACUUCAAGAGCUGGUUUUAGAUGGUUGCUCAAAUCUUGACAGACUGAAUAUGGAGUUAGAGCAUCAUCAGGGACGCAAGUUGCUUCAAAGUGAUGGAAUUGUUUCAAGUACAUCAUUCAUUUCAUCUCUUCCAUUGAAGCUAUUCUUUCCCUCUAGGUUUUCAACAAGGAAAAUGUUGAGAUUUACCUCGUUUUCACUGCCACGCUUCUUGGAGAGUCUAGAUUUAAGUGGAACUCCAAUUCGUUUUCUUCCAGAAAGCAUCAAGGACCUUGGUCUACUCAGACAACUAUAUUUAAGAAAUUGCAAAAUGCUUCAAGCACUCCCAGAGCUUCCAUCCCAUUUGGAUUCGUUAGAUGUGUCCUUUUGCUAUUCACUGCAAAGACUUGCAAAUCCAAACAGUUGGACUGAAGGAGAUGGUUGUGAUCACUUAGUCGAGUUCCAAGAUCGGAUAAAGCAAGAAUUAAUCCAAAAGUUUGACUCUCACGUGUUCAGAAUAAUGGAAACGGUUUGUGCUCAAAUACAGACAUCGAGAUUUCAGGUCCUCCCUCACCCAUUUUAUUGUUUUGGAAAUCUACAUUUGAAUACUUUUCUUUUGGUCAUUUUAUAGACAUUGUUUUGGUGGUACAGAUAACAUUUAUGGAUGGCAUAUUCAACGUUGUCGUCUCUGUAUUUGACAAAGAUGAGAUGUUUAGGGGGGUUUAUGAGGAGGAAGAGGAUAAAUGGCUAAUUCAGAAUGAGUUUGUAGAUAACUUUUCAUUCAAAAUAUCCUCACCUCCUCCUGCGCACCGGAUAUGUGGCUUUAAUCUGUUCAUAAGUUGUGUGACGUCAGCAUACCGUGGCUUUAGUUAUGUUUAUAUUGAAAUCAGAAACAAUACCAGUGGUCGAUCCUUUCUUUGUCAAGCCUUUGUCUUCCCUAUGAGAUACAAGCGUGAUGGUCGUGAAAUCCAAUCGCUAUUGCACACGAAAUUAAGGGGCAAUGAUCCUACAUUUGAUAAUGGUGAUGACGUGAGUAUUUCAGUGCUUCCACAUGGUCCAGCUAUCCAAAUAAAGGCGAUUGGUGUCCAAUGGUUGCAUGAAGAGGAAGGAAAGGAUGAAGUUAUCAAUGCCAAAGUAGAAAUAGCUUCUCGUAUUUUUAGAAAUUAUUAUUGUGGUUUCCAUGGUAAAUCCAAUGAUGGCAAAAUCGGUUGGUGGUGUUUUGCGAAGAAAGGUCUAGAACUUCUCAUUAAGUAGAGGUUUGCUUUUUUAGAUUUCAACCGUAAAAUGAAAAAAGCUGGAAAGCUUUUGACAUAGUUUUUUCUUUUUUCUUUUUUUUUGAAAUAGUUCUGUGUAUCUCAAGUAAUCUUCCUUCUUUCUUUGUCUAGCAUGAGAUCUUUUAUUUAUAAAUAUUUAUAAUGGCUUUCAUAUUAAAAAAUGUAAUAAGACAUAUUAAAUAUCUUAUUUUAUAUGUUAACCUUUUAUUGUCCAAAAUAUAUGUAAAUGUCUAUUUUUUUCAUGUUAUUUUGUCUAUUUUAUUUCAUUUUUUUAUGUAAAAAUAAAAAUAAAAAUAACACAUGAUAAAAUUUGAUUAGUAUUUUUUUUUUGUUUCUACAUAUACCCUAUUAAUAUAAUAAAAUGUAUUUAUAAUAAUAUUUAUUAUUUGUUGUUAAAUAAUUUUCAUUAGAGCAUCCUAUUAAUAUGUUAAGCAAAAAAAAAAAAAAUUCCUGGAUUUUCAUGUUAAAUUGAGAAUUUGUUCCGGAAUAAAAAUGGGGAUGUUACAACUUCUCUCUUUUUUUUCUCUCUCUCUUCCUCUUCUGCUAUUUAUCUCGGCAACCAAACCUCCCACUCUUUCUUUCUCUUCUCUCUCUCAUUGUCUCCCCGAGCAACGACCCUUUUUUCUCUAACAGGUAUGGCUUCUCCUUCUCUUUUCUCCUCGGUUUGUUUAAUUUUUUAUUUGUUAAUUAACUCAUAACAUGUCAUUUUUUUUUAUUCUCAGAAUAACCCAUAACUAAUAUAAGGUAAGAAUUCUCCUAUUUCUUCUCUAAGUUUUGUGUGUGUUUUUUUUUAAUUUUUUUAUGUUCUUAAUUGUUUGAAUUUUUUUCAUAUGAGAAAAUUUUGUUAAAUUUUAGUUUUUUUUUUUUAAUUUUUUUUAAUUAAAUUAAAAAAACAAAAAAAAACCUAAUUGAACUUUAAAAAGGUUUAAGUGGCUUGAUCAGGAGCUAAAAUGAAAGAAAAAUAAAGUUUUGAAGUCAAGUUGUUUGAGAUUAGAAGAAUCAAUAAGUUUAGGGACUUAAUUGGAAUUUGGUUUAUAUUAAUUGUCAUAGCCCAAUUUUUUACUCUUUUAUUCUUUUUACUUAAUUUUUUAUUUUUACCAUAUUUCUGAAUAAUAAUAAUAAAAAUGAUGGAAAAAAUAAUCAUAAAAAUGAUGAGAAAAAAGAAGAUAAAAAAUGAAAUAAUGAAAUAAAAAAAAUAAAUUCUAUGAAGAAUAAAUUGAAUUUGGGAUAAGACAACAUAAUUUGAAAGUUUGGGGACUUAAUUAAACUUUGAAUUAGUUUAAUUUAUCAAAUCAAGGGCUUAAUUGAAGAGUUGAUAAAUUUUGAGACUUAAUUGAACUUUAAAUUAGUUUAAUUAAUGAAAUCAGGAACUUAAUUGAAAAAAUACCAAAGUUUGGGGCCGAUAUGGGUCAUAAUUGCAUGAAAUUAAAAUCAAAGGAUUAUGUUGUAAAUGAUGUCGAAAUGUAGGGAUCCAAUUGUAUUUGAUCCGGGGACACAAUUGCAGAUAACCAUUUUAGUCAAGAAACGACUCCGUUUCUUAAUCUACUGUUCGUCCUUUUCAUCUCAUCAGGCGGGGAAGAAAAAAAGGGACGCCCCACGAAGCGUCGCCGACCGUUACUCCUGCAAUAACAGUCCCAUAAGCUCUUUAUUAUCUGGGUAGCCGCAUGGCAUUCUUUGGCUAUAGGGAGGGUUCUUUAAAAAAAAAAAAAAAGAAUAUGGAGGGGGAUCGAAGAGCAAGAACAGAGCAAACACAGUACAUGAAGGGAAGAGAGGCAGAAGGGACGAAGAUAAAAACAGAGAAGAGGGAGGAACGAAGAGAAAAAAAGAAACAGAGAACAGGGGGGAACGAACGAGAAGACUAAAAAAUACAGAGACGAAAACGAGAAAACACAGAGGAGGGCGCUUCCAUUCAACCAGCAGCACCUCACGCCUUCAUCACCAUCGUCUUCAUCCCGAGCAGAAAAACCAGAGAGAAAGCAAAAGGAAAGAAACAGUUAGAGUAAAGAAAGCGAAAGGAGGAACAGAGGAAAUAUUACAUAAAGCAUCAAAAAGUACAAAGUCAACAGAUGUUCUGCAAGAUGACACUACCUCAAGACAACUAAAGUAACAUCCAGAAUCAGAGCUCUGCAAAUUAAUGAAAAUUAUCACUGAGGACAUUACCAUCCCUAUUUUAUAUUCUCUCCAGCUGAUCAUCAUCCCCUUGUUGCUGCUCACCAUUUUCCAAGACUCUGAACUCCACAAACCCAUUUGCUGUUUUCUCUUAAACAACUAAAAAACGCUCGAGUUCUCUUCCAAUUUUCUGAUAAGCCAAGUCAACGGGAAACCUCACACGCUCUUUUGACAACAGAAUCCUAUAACUAUCACACCAUGGAACUUCCAUUCUUAUAGAACCCCCACUCAAUAAACCUCUAGCCAUCAGCACUUGUAAUCCCUGAUUCCCUAAACCCACACUAUAUAGCCGAAGACACCAAACAUUGUGCAGCUUCAAUGUCCUCCACUCCACAGCAAUACUCAAUGGCUCAAAACGGAACACCAGUCGGUAGCCGACCCGGUAGCUGAUUCAGAGUCAUGAUCCUCCACGUGCCUUUUUCUUAUUGGUGGGUAGUGUUGAUGCUGGUUUUGGAUGCGAGAGGAUAGAGAUACGGCCAGAGCAGGCGCACAGCGAGAGUGAAAUGGCUUUCUGAGUUGGAUUAUGCGGGUGUCUAAUGUCCCUUUUGGUAACUAUACCUCGCUAGGAAUGGCUUUCUGAGUUUUUCUUGGGGGAACAAGUACAAAUUAGCCAAACAAGUUUGUCUUCCAUCCUCAACACGGAUGCUUUUAAAAAAUUGUAAAAUGAAAAAUUUCUCCAACUAAAUUACAUGAAGUUCUAUGGAAGUUAUGAACACUUCCCCAAGAAUUUAAUAUAGUUAUGUUGGCAUGGAUUCUCUUUGAGAUCCAUACCACAACACUUCUGCUUGGAGAAGCUUGUGGUUCUUGAUCUAUAAACUGGUAUAUAUCUAGUUUCUCUCUAUAUAGCUAUAUCUCCUAUUUUCAAUAGAUAACCACUACAUGUAAUUGUUGUUAACAUGUUUCUAUUGUUUGCAUAUACAGAGAGGUUGAGUGAGAGACGAGAGAAAAUGAAAAACUUCUUAAUCUCCUUCUUUUCUGUUAUUCAAUUCAUUAUGUUUCUUAUAGUUAGUUAGUUAUAUAUAUACAUGCAGCUGUAACAACUUAACUGCAUGUAACUAACUUUUCUAACUAACUAACUAACUAACAGAUUUAUUAAUCAAGAUUACACUUAUCAUCAUCUUGUGCAUUGUACUCUAACAUCCCCCCUCAAGAUCAGACUUGCGAAGAACUAAGUCUGAGAUUGCAGCAAUGAGUACGAAAUAGAGGGGCACUUAACCCCUUCGUGAGGAUAUCAGCAAAUUGUUCCUGCGAGGAGACAAAUUGAAUUGACAAUUGCUUCUGUGAAACACGUUCACGAACAAAAUGCACAUCAACCUCAAUGUGCUUGGUUUGUUGAUGCUAAACAGGAUUAAAGGAUAGAGCAAUGGCAGAGAGAUUAUCAUAGAAAAGAACAGGAACAUGAGGUAAUGAAAUAUGCAGAAAAGCUAAUAACUGCUUGAGCCAAUCCACUUCAACUGUAGUAAAGGAUAAAGCACGAUAUUUAGCCUCUGUUGAUGAUCUGGACACGGUUUGUUGCUUCUUGGAUGACCAUGAUAUAGGAUUGUUUCCCAAAAGGAUCACCAUGCCAGUAGUAGAACGUCUAUCAUUAGGGUCCCCUGCCCAAUCUGCAUCACUGAACGCCUUUAACUGCAAAUCUCCUUUAGUGUAAGAAAUACCAACAUGCAGUGUGCCUUUAAGGUAGCGUAAAAUUCGUUUCACAGCAGUGAAAUGAGACACCAUCGGAUUCUGCAUAAAUCGGCAAACUUCAUGCAUAGAAAAUGCAAUGUCAGGUCGUGUAAAGGUUAAGUACUGUAGAGCCUCUACAAUGCUACGAUAUACUGUAGGAUUAGGAUACGGUGCCCCAUCUUCUUUAAGUAGGUGAUGAUAAGGAAGACAUGGAGUAUCACAUGGCUUAGCAUCAACCAUCUCAGAUUUAAGCAGCAAAUCCUCAACAUAUUUAGAUUGUGAUAGAAACAAGCCCGUAGACGUGUGAGUGGUCUGUAUGCCCAAGAAAUAAUGAAGAGAGCCUAAAUAUGUGAUAUCAAACUUAGUGGUGAGAGCUUGGAUAACCUGUAGAAUUGCAGCAAACGCACUUCCUGUGAGGAUAAUAUCAUCCACAUAGAGGAGCAGUGUAACAACCCGGCUUUUCUAGCCCAAAACAACAGUAUUUUUUUUUUUGUACUUGACACAAAUCGUGUCGGUAAUCGACAAACAUGUUCCCUUCACAUCAUCAAUAAAUAAUCCAUACAUCAACAACAAUCAACAUUACAUUUAAAAGUAAAUCUUACAUAAACUCAUAAUAUUAUGUUUGCAUGAUUAGAAGUUCGCAUUUAAAAUAUACAUGCAUAGUCAUGAGUUUGUAUUCUAUCCUACAAAUAGUCAUCACGAAUUUAAUCUAAAAGGAUCUAAUAAUAGUUAUAUAUUCAGUACAUUGAUUCAUAUAUAAUAAAUACAUCAUGAUUUAGAAUGCAACUACAUGAUUCCUUGCAAAAGUAGGUCCUCGUGUAUUGGGUUUCCUAGAAACCUUGCUGGUAUGACAUCCCUACUGCAAUACAAAACAUUUACAAGAAUGCAAUUAUUUAAUAAUAAUGAUAAUAAUAAUAAUAAUAAUAAUAAGAAAACAGUCUAGUAGUUUGAUGAAGCAUUAACAUUAUCUCAUGGUUAAAGCGUGACGUUUGUAGUUCCUUCAUGUUCUUGGUAUACACAACUUGCAGUACAUAUAUAUAUGCAUCAUUUCUUACAAUCAAUCAUAAUCUUUGUUGUAACCCAUUUUCGGGUCCCCACAAAAAUAAAAAUAAAAUAAAUAGCCAAAAGAGGUUAGAAAAAUAACAGAAGGCAGAAGCGCUCAGAAAAUGGUCAAAAAAUUGGUCAAGGAGUAUAAAAAUGCAAAGGCGGAUUUUUUGACAGUAUAUUCUUGAAGGAUGAGAGCCCUAUUGAGAAGGAAAAUUUGAAUUUUGAGGAGAAAAGCCCAAAUUGGGAUGUUUAUGGACUUAAUUGAAUUUUUAUUUGAAUUUAUAGAGGAUUUGAUUGCAAGAAAAAUUGAUUUUUAAGUCAAUUUGGGCUUUAAUUAGAAGAAAUUUAAGUUCUGGGGUCAAAAUAUAUUUUUUAGGAUUUUAUUGGGUCAAAUCAGGGGCUUAAUUGCAUAAAUAUUGAAGUUUAAUGGCCAAUUACGGGCUUAAUUGUGAAAAUCUGACACCAGGGACCAAUUUGGAAUUUCUUGCCUCUCUCUCCUCGCCCCCACCGAAGCCCCACAAGACCACCGAACGGGUCACUGGCCGACCAGCCGUUGCGUGAUUGAAGGCGCACUAGCAAAAGGCACACCUGCUCCUUUUUUUCCCCUUAUAAAUAGAGAGAGACCGAAGGAGAGAGGGAGACCCGAGGAUAGAGGGAGAAGAGAAAUAACGAGCGAAACAGAGGGGAGAGCAGAAACAAACCAAAAACAAAAAAACCGAAACCGAAAGCAGAGGAAAACGACUAAGGAGGAGAGGACCACCGUGAACGAAAGAAAACAGGGGAAAGGGGAGGAGGAAGAAAUCUCUCGCCGCCGUUAGGGACAACAACAACACCGCCCGGAGCCGCCGUCCACGAGUCACGCCACCACAGCAUCGCCAGCGACCACCUCCUCCACGCCAGGUAAAUUUUCUUCUUCCCCCUUCGUUUUCGUUGCAGGCGUUACCUCCUGCAUGCAGAGUUCUGCAUGCAGGAGGCGGGGGGAAGAAAAUUAAUUCUUUCCCCCGCUGGGCCGAGGGUGCUGGGCCAGCCCGAUGCUGGCCCAGCCUUGCAAGUCGGGGUCGGUCCUGGCCCAGACUAUAGAAGUUGUUGGGCCGAGAUCGGCCCAAUUUCAUUUUGGGCCAAGGUCGGCCCAUUUUUAUUUUUGGGCUGAGCCUGGCCCAUUUAUUUGGGCCGGCCCAGCCCCAUAAUAUAAUAUAUUAUAUAUUAUAUAUUAUUAUAAAUUAUAAUAUAUAUGUGUGUAUAUAUGUUAUAUAUAUAAAAAAAUAUUUAUAUUAAAAAAUAUAUAUAUUUUUUGAAAAAUCUUAAAAAAUAUUGUUGAUUUUCCUGCACACUUUUGUCAAAAUGGUUUAAUGUUGGUUUGUAUUUUUAUACCGUAAAGAUACAAAACCAGUGCUAAAAAUACCCAGUUUUCGUCAAAGCAUCAAAGAUUUUCAGAAUAAAAAAUGUUUUUACUUUCAAAAAAAAAAAUUCCAAAAGUCCUUAAAAUAUUUGUUGAUUUUUCCUGCAGAUUUGUUUUUAUUUUUUUUAUAUAUUGGUUUGUAUUUUUAUACUGUGUAGAUACAAAUUCAGUGUUUAAAAUACCCGUUUUCGUAAAAAAAAAAUGUUUACAAAAAAAAUGUGUUUUUUCUUGUGUGUUGCAUACGGACAAUACUCUAACAUGUUUUGAAUGUUCUUUUUUUACAAAAAAAUAUAUUGGAAGCUUUGAAAGUGUGUUUUCGCAUUGAUUUCUUAAACACAAAUUAUUUUCUUGCAUUUCUAGAUUUUACAACAUGUUUGUAAAACUCCAAAGGAUAUUGGCCAAUAUUCCAAAAACUAUAAAAAUCUUAUUUUUGGGGAGGAAAUUCAUUUAUUAUAUACCGCCAAUGUUUGGAUAAAGAAAUCCUUAAAAGGAUGAAUAUCCAAAAUAUUAUUGGGAGUAAUAAAUCCACACACAUUCCUGAAAGAAGCCUUGAUUAUAAUCGAGGACAUUUCAAAAUUUUAAUCUUUUUAUUCCACGAUUUACGAGUCGCAAACUCUUGAAAUACUAAGGGAAAAAUGAGCUUUCAAAGCACAUGGAAUCUCCUUAGAUUUCUAUACAAAAUCAAUUGACGAGACUAGAAAACACCAACACCAUAGAUUAUAAGAGCAAACCAAACACCAAGCAGCUUACCUUAGGUAGGGCGUAUUAGGGGUGCUAAUACCUUCCCUUUACGCAACCAGUCCCUUGCCGUAGAAUCUCUGAAAGACCAGUUAGGGUUCCUAGUAACCAAAUACUAGGUGGCGACUCCAAAGAACCAAAUCAGUAAAACAAAAUGAAAGUCGCCAGUCGAAUGUCACAAAACAAAAUUUUAUUUUUUUGUGGGGUGCGACAAUCUUAAAUCUGGCCAUUCUUUUAAGACAUCAUUUUUCGAGGUUAACUGUUCACUCACCCCAGCGAUCCCUUUUGAAUGCCAUCAUCCAAAACUAAUCAACCGUUUGUCCCGGUCAUCAUUUCGAAUGCCAUUAGCCGAAGCUAAUCAUUCAUUUGUCCUGGUCAUCCAUUCGAAUGCUAUUAGCCGAAGGUAAUCAAUCGUUUGUCCCGGUCAUCCCUUCGGAUGCCAUUAGCCGAAGCUAAUCAAUUGUUUGUCCUAGUCAUCCCUUUGGAUGCCAUUAGCUGAAGCUAAUAAUUUGUUUGUCCGGUCAUCCAUUCGGAUGCCAUUAGCAAAAGCUAAUCAAUCAUUUGCCUCCGUCAUCCCUUCGAAUGCCAUUAAUCGAAGCUAAUCAUCCACUUGUCAACAUUUAAGCAUUUGGCAAUCUGAUAUCUGAAUUAACACAAUACGGUAACGUUCAUGAUAAGGUAUUUCAUUGUUCAAGGUCAUCUCUUCAGAUGCCAUUAGCCGAAGCUAGUCAACCAUUUAUCAACAUUUAAGCAUUUGACAAUCUAAUAUAUGAAUUAACACAAUACGGUAACAUUCAUGAUAAGGUAUUUCAUUGUUCAAAGUCAUCUCUUCAGAUGCCAUUAGCCGAAGCUAGUCAACCAUUUGUUAACAUUUAAGCAUUUGACAGUCUAGUAUCUGAAUUAACACAAUAUAAUAACAUUCAUGAUAAAGUAUUUUCAUUAUUCAACAUUAUUUAAAAGAAAGGUGAAAGUCACCUACCUGUAGUAGAAGCUCUACUCGUGCUCCCCUGUUGCUGCUGUUGCACCACACCGAUGGUCCCUCCUGCAGUCACAGACUCAUCUCAUAAAUUUUCCUCAUUCAAGGAUAUGUUUUAUAAUAAUCAUAUCAAUAGCUAAUAAAUCUUUCUUUCAAUCAUUUCUUUCUUUACAUCUUACGUUUUUUUUCUCAUUACACCCAUUAAUGUUGUCAUCCUUUAUCCAACCAUAGUUAUCAUUCCUUUAAGCUGAUAUUAUAGAGAAUCCAUAUUCAUCCAUUACUCAUAUGUUACUUUCUAUGCAUGUUCAUGUCCUCAUAAUAACAUACAUACAUAUAUCCUAUAUAUUUUCAGAGUUAGUAUCUCAAUGUGUAAGUGUUCGUAUGACUCAAUUCUUUUAUAUAAUAUUCACGUGAAAGUCUACUGUUACUAUCUAACUUUGAACUGUUACUGUCUAACUUUGAACUGUUAUUGUCUAGACAUUUAAACUGUUAUUGUCUACACAUUGAACUGUUACUGUCUAACUUUGAACUGUUACUAUCUAGACAUUUGAAUUGUUAUUGUCUAUACAUUGAACUGUUACUGUCCAACUUUGAACUGUUACUGUAUAGACAUUUGAACUGUUAUUGCCCACACAUUGAACUGUUACUGUCCAACUUUGAACUGUUACUAUCCAACUUUGAACUGUUAUUGUCUAGACAUUUGAAUUGUUACUGUCCACACAUUGAACUAUUACUGUCCAACUGUUACUGUCUAACUUUGAACUGUUACUGUCCAACUUUGAACCGUUACUGUCUAGACAUUUGAACUGUUACUGUCUACAUAUUGAACUGUUAUUGUCCAACUAUUACUGUCUAACUUUGAAUUGUUACUCUCUAGACAUUUGAACUGUUACUGUCCAACUAUCACUGUCUAACUUUGAACUAUUAUUGUCUAGAUAUUUGAAUAUCGUGUUAAUCCAACGAUGAAAGGUAGAGUUAUAGUUGUCGAUUGAUCUGCCAUCAAUGUCUUCUCUCUAGCCUCUCUCUAAACUCUCUUACUCUUUCCAGUCCCUCCAAGAGAGAAAAUAGAAUGAUAUUUAUAGUUCUAACAUCUUGUUAAUUGCACAUUUAUCCCCACCCCUUUUUUAUCAUUUGUACAUAAACUCCCAACCUUCUAUUAUUUGAAUAUUGACCUCUCUUGAUCUUACGUAUUCAUUUUGUCCUCACAAAUAUUUUUCUUUUCAAUGAUUUAGUAUUGUAUUCACUUUUCAUUUCCUUAAUUUCACUAUUUUUAUCUUGAUUUAGGUUUCUUUAAUUUAAUUUAACCCAUUUUACUAUUGGUUAAAUUUCUCCUCUUUUAAUUACCUAGAAAAAUUAUAGCUAGGGGUUUACAAGCAGUACCACAAUAUGAGGACCAACAUGCUUGACAAACAAGGAUGAAUCAGAAUAGGUGGUGGCAAACCCCAAGGAAGGCAGAAACUGAGUAAACCGAUCAUUACAUGCCCUAGGUGCUUGUUUUAAGCCAUAGAGGGAUUUAUGCAGUUUGCACACAAGAUGAGGAUGCAAUGAAUCUUCAAAGCCAAGGGGCUAAGACAUGUAAACCUCUUCUUGAAGAAUAUCAUGCAGGAAUGCAUUUUUGACAUCUAAUUGUCGGAGAGGCCAAUUAAAAUAAGCAGCAAGGGCUAGAAUCAGGCGAACAGUGGCAGGUUUCACAACAGGACUAAAGGUGUCACCAUAAUCCAAGUCAGGUUCCUGACUAAACCCUUUAGUAACCAACCGUGCUUUGUGUCUAGUAAUAGACCCAUCCGAAUGACGUUUAAUCUUGAAAAUCCACUUGCAUCCCACUAGGUUCCUCUUUGCCGGUAAGGGAACAAGACUCCAGGUGCCUUGAGUGUGUAAGGCAUGGAUUUCAUCUUGCAUGGCAUGUAACCACACAGGAGCUUUGAUGGCAGAUUUGUAAGUAGCUGGUUCUAUCAAAGACAUAUCAACCAUGCUAGAAUCCUGAAUAUUGGCUAAGAAAGCCUUCCGUUUAUUAAUGCCACUUUUGCUUCUGGUUUGCAUGGGAAGCAAAUUUAGAGAAGGAAUGGACAGUACCACUACAAGUUGUUAGGAUUAAAAGCAGUAGAACUAAUACUGAUAUCAGGCGCCAUAUGAGGAAGAGAAAUAUUGAUAUAUAAUUAAAUAAAAAAAACUAAAUAACAUGAUGAGUAGUGAUUUUUUUUUAAUUUUCAGUCUUCAUUUAUAACUAAUAAUUUUUUAUUUAUUUAUUAAUACAGAUUAAUUUUGUUAAACAGAUAAAGCUUUAGUUAAGCAUUUGAGAUUUUUUAUUGCAACAAAAAAAUUUAAAGUUUCCCCGUGUUUGUUUUACGUUAUCCAGGCCGCAAGAAAUUGAUAACUACUAAUAAAGAGGAGACUGGCCUACCUUAUCCUAGUUGUAUAAUCUGUCUUCGAAUUUUGACCUAAUGUAACACAUAAUUUUCAUUAAAAGCCUAACUUAAUUGGUUCAGCUUGUGUUUGAUAAGAACUCUCAAGGCCGUUGGAUAAGACCACUCCACUAAUAGCACACAACAUGAGAAAUUAACCAUGUAAUUUCCCAUAAUCAAAGAGAAAUCCAGCUCCUUUAAUUUCUUCUCUAUAAAUACCUCCAUAAUUCUCUAUCCUUCUCCAUGCAAAUCAUUUAUAUCUAUAACACUCUCCUAAAUCAAUACUCACAUUAUAAAACAAGACGUGAACGCAGAUUUCUUUUUAAUAUUAACUCGGCUAUGUACUCGGUUAAGAGCCAUCAACGCAGAUUUCUAUUAUACUGCAUCAGAUUAUCAGAUUUAUGGCUCUCAUCUGAUGGUCUUGUGAUUUGGAUCAAUGUCAAAAACAAUAGACCCCCCUUAUUCUGGAAGCCACCUGAUGUUCUUACAUUAAAAUGGAAUGUUGAUGGUUCUUCAAAAGGAAAACAGGGCCUGCAGGUAGAGGAGGGGUAUUAAGGGAUCAUAGGGGGAUUGUUAGAGGUAUCUUCUCUUAUUCAGUGGGCAACUGUUGGGAAAACUAGGAACAACCGGACACUAAUUUAGCGGAUUACAAUUCACAAGUUCCAAUUCUUUUCCCUCUUUGUGCAGUAAAAACAGAAUCAAACAAUGACCAAAUAUAAUGCAAAUAAUCACACAAAUCAACACCAAGAUUUUUACGUGGAAAACCCGAUGCGGGAAAAACCACGGGACCGUAGUCCACCUAAAAACUUCCACUAUCAACAAUAAUGGGUUCACAAUUGUUCUUCCUCACAUUCAACUAAGGGAUACAACAUAUACAUCAUCAAGAAUAACUUAUUCUCGGAUUACAACAAGAUAUAAGAGAAUUAUUGGACAAAAAACUCACAAUACUGACAGCCUCGUUUUCUGUCAAAACGGCCCGUUUCCACGCCACCAAUCUUCAAUCCAACCGUCCAGAAUGAAGAUCAACGCGUCUAGAAGCUGUUGUCAAAAUUUCAGCCCGAUCCAACGGUGAACGAGCUGGAAAUCGAAGGAAGAGCACGGACUGCUCUGCUGCCUCUUCUUCUCUUUUUCUCUCGGUUUUCUCUUCUCUCUUGUUUUUCUUCUACUGCGUCUACAGUGGCAGCUCCAGCUUUUUAAUUAAGAGAGAGGCAGCCAACUGCCUCUCCUUUAAUUAAUGUGGUGGUCCCCCCAUCACAUGGUGCGGGACCACACACAACAAAUCUCCCCCUCACGCACCAUGUGAGGAAUUCGCCAUACUGGCGAUCAACAUGUAAGCUUCAAUUUAGGAGGCUCUGACAAGCCUGCUUCCCUUUUGCAAAACUCAAACUUCUCUCUCGGUAGAGGUUUGGUCAUCAUGUCUGACACGUUGUCAUCGGUAUGGAUCUUCUCAACAACAAAUGACUUCAUCUCCAUAGCAUCUCGAAUCCAUUGAUAUCUAACCUCAAUGUGCUUUGAUCGAGAGUGAAAAGUAGGAUGCUUACUGAGAUGGAUUGCACUUUGACUAUCACAGUGCAACACAAAGUUCUCUUGAACUAGGCCAAGUUCAUGUAAGAACUUCUUCAUCCAUAACAACUCUUUGCCCCCUUAGUAAGAGCAAUAUAUUCAGCUUCUGUAGUGGAUAAUGCAACACAUUUUUGCAACCUUGAUUGCCAUGAGACUGCUCCCCCUGCAAACUUCAUCAAGUAUCCUGAUGUGGACUUUCUAGAAUCAACAUCACCAGCCAUAUCUGCAUCUGUGUAUCCAUCCAACACAGGUUUAUUAUUACCAAAACAUAGGCUGAAACUAGAAGUACCUUUGAGAUACCUGAGUAUCCAUUUCACUGCUGACCAGUGUUCUUUACCAGGAUCGGAGAGGAACCGACUAACCACACCAACUGCAUGAGCUAUAUCCGGCCUUGUGCAAACCAUGGCAUACAUCAAGCUACCAACUGCGGAUGCAUAAGGAACCUUUUUCAUCUCAUCUCUUUCUUCAUCACUUGAAGGACACUGCUUAGAACUUAGUUUAAAGUGGCUUGCAAGUGGAGAACAAACCGGUUUGGAGUUGCUCAUGUUGAAUCUCUCAAGUACCUUUUGAACAUAUCUCUCCUGAGAUAGCCAAAGUUUCUCCUUCUUCCUGUCACGUGUGAUCUUCAUGCCAAGAAUCUGUUUUGCCGGUCCUAAGUCUUUCAUUGCAAAAGACUUGCUUAACUCUUCCUUUAACAUCUGAAUCUUCUUAGCAUCAUGGCCAACAAUCAACAUAUCAUCCACAUACAACAAUAGAAUAAUAAAGUUUCCAUCAGGAAACCUUUUCAUAAAUACACAAUGAUCAGAAGUGGUCCUGUCAUAACCAUGAUCCACCAUGAAAGAAUCAAACUUCUUGUACCAUUGUCUUGGAGCUUGCUUUAAACCAUAUAGGCUCUUUUUCAACUUGCAAACUAACUGCUCUUUACCUUUUGCUUCAAACCCUUCAGGCUGCUCCAUGUAGAUCUCUUCAUCUAAAUCACCAUGGAGAAAGGCAGUUUUCACAUCAAGCUGUUCAACUUCAAGAUUCAAACUAGCAGCUAAGCCAAGCACAACUCGGAUUGAAGACAUCUUGACCACUGGUGAAAAGAUUUCUUCAAAAUCAAUACCCUUCUUCUGACCGAAACCUUUCACAACCAAUCUUGCCUUGUACCUUGGUUGUGAGCAAUGUUCAUCAAUUUUCAACCUGAACACCCAUUUGUUCUUGAGUGCUCUCUUACCUUUAGGAAGCUUCACUAACUCAAAAGUAUGGUUUUCAUGCAAGGAUUUCAUCUCUUCUUGCAUUGCUUUCAACCACUCACUUUUCUUCUCAUGUGACAUAGCUUCAUCAAAGCAUUCUGGCUCUCCCCCAUCAGUAACCAGCACAUACUCAUGAGGAGAGUAUUUGGUGGAAGGUUGGCGAGGUCUAGUUGACCUCCUCAAUUGUGGCUCAUCUGGAGCUUCCUGCAUAACCUGUUCAGGAAUAACAUCAAUAUCAUCAUUAGUUGAUUCAGGAUCACCAACUAAUGGCUCAUUAAGAAAACCACCAUUAUCAUCAUUUUGCAAAUCUCCCCCGUGAUUAGCAGGCAUCAAAGGUAACUGUGGAGUAGGUAUUGGAUUUGAAUUAGAUGGGAUAAAAGUAGUAGACUCUGUUUUCUCCUUUGUUCAAAGUCUUCAAUGGUUUGAUCUUCAAAGAAGAUAACAUCUCUGCUUCUCACAAUUUUCUUCUCCUUUGGAUCCCAUAACCUAUAGCCAAACUCAUCAUCUUCAGAGCCCAAGAAAAUACACUGUUUUGUCUUGCUGUCAAGCUUAGACCUUUCAUCCCUUGGAACAUGUACGAAUGCUCUGCAUCCAAACACUCUCAAGUGUGCAUAAGAGACAUCCUUUCCUUUCCAAACUCUAUUUGGAACAUCAAAAUCAAGAGGAACUGAUGGAGAAAGGUUGAUCAUGGCAACUGCAGUCUUCAUUGCCUCACCCCAAAAGGACUUAGGCAGCUUUGCAUGAGAGAGCAUACAUCUAAUUCUUUCAACAAUGGUUCUGUUCAUUCUCUCAGCCACUCCAUUCUGCUGUGGAGUCUUAGGAACUGUCUUCUCCAAUUUGAUACCAUGUUCCCUGCAAUACUUCUCAAAAGGACCCCUGUAUUCACCACCAUUGUCAGCUCGAAUACAUUUCAGCUUUCUACCAGUUUCUCUUUCAACUCUGGCAUGAAAAUCCUUAAAGACAUCAAGCACCUGAUCUUUGGAUUUCAAACAAGUGGCCCAAAUUUUCCUAGAGUGAUCAUCAAUAAAACUAACAAAGUACAAUGCACCUCCAAGAGACUUAUCAAUCAUAGAGCAAACAUCAGUAUGAACUAAAUCAAGAACAUGUGAUCUUCUAUGUGAAGGUGAUCUUUGAAAUGCUACUCUAUGUUGUUUACCAACUAAACAAUGAGUACAUGUGUUCAAGUUCAUACCUUUUAAUGGAAGGUAGUUUUUCUUGGCAAGGAUGCCAAGACCUUUCUCACUCAAAUGUCCAAGUCGUUUAUGCCAUAAAUCAGUAGAGCAAUCUUCAAUUGCGUUCACCUCCCCUUUGAUCACCUUGGCUUGUGACAUGUAGAGACCUAUCUUCUUUCCUUUAGCAACAAUUAAGGAAUUUCUGGAGAGCUUCCAUUUACCAUCUCCAAAGCAGUUGUGAUAGCCUUCUUCAUCAAGAGUACCUGUAGAGAUCAAAUGUAGGCGCAUAUCAGGCACAUGCCUAACAUCUUUGAGUAGCAACUUGCACCCAGUAUUGGUUUCCAACCAAAUGUCUCCAAUGCCCACAACACUAGCCAUCCCUUGAUUUCCCAUCCUAACUUGACCAAAGUCACCAGCAGUGUAGGAUGUGUAAAAAUCACGUCGGGGUGUAACAUGGUAAGAAGCUGCUGAAUCUGCAAUCCAGGUGGUAUCCUGACAUGCAAGAUUAACACAACCAUCAUCACAAACAAUGGCAACAUCACCAUCAAAUACAACUGCAGCUGUACCAUUCUCUUCAUUCUUGUCUUCAUCUUUGCCCUUUUUAUCUCUUUUGUACUUUCUGCAAUCUUUUUGCAUAUGCCCAGGCUUGUCACAAUAAUAACACUUGAAACCCUUCCUUGACUGAGAUCUUCCUCUUGGCUUCCAUUUGCCUUUUCUAUUGCUGGAUUCUCUAUCUUGCUUGCUGUGAGAGAACCUGCUUGGACUUCUCCCCCGACUUUCUGUAACAAGUGCAUGAGACUCGGAAGUGCUUGUCCCUUUCCUCCUCUUCUCUUCGUUGAGGAUACAAUCCUUCACUGUUUUCAAAGUGAUCUUUCCAUUCGGAGUAGAAUUGCUAAGUGACACCACCAAAGUCUCCCAACUAUCCGACAAUGAACUCAAUAGGAUUAAUGCUUGCAUUUCAUCGGCUAACUCAAGAACCCUUGGAAUACAUUUAUAUGCACCGAAGCAUCUUCACCAUCUCUAUACUUCAAAUUCACAAGGUCUCUAAUGACAAAAACCUUGUUUUGUGCACUCUCCUUGGCAAAGGUUUCUUCCAACAUCUUCCAAACUGUAUAACAGUCAUGUUCUUGAGAAAUAUGAUUAAUGGACUUAGAAGAUACCCAUUUUCUAACAUUAGCGGUAACCUUUCUAUUAAGCCCGUUCCAUUUUGCAUCAUCCAUUUCAUCAGGCUUUAUUCCUUUACAUUCAAUCGGUAAAGCCAAAUCAUUGCAAUAUAAGUGAUCUUCCAUCAUUGUUUUUCAUAGAAAAUAAUUUGAGGAAGUGAGCUUUAUCAUGCCAGAAUAUUCCUUCUCCAUUUUAACCGCACAAAAAUUCAAUCUACACAACCAGUGCUCUGAUAUCACUUGUUGGGAAAACUAGGUGUCGCACCCCAAAAAAAAUCAGCGCGCGGCAUCGGUUGGCGAUUUUUCGUUGUUGCGUAGUGUUUGCUUGAAUUUGGAGUCGCCACCUAGUAAUUGAUUUCAGGCUACUAGGAAACCGGAUGUACUGGUCUUGUAAGAGAUUCGCGGGUAAGGGACUGGUUGUGGUUAGGGAAGGUAUUAGCACCCCUAACGCACCCUACCUGAGGUAAGCUGCUUCGUAGCUUUGACGUGUUAAAGAAGUUUUAAUAAUUGUCUUUUCAUCGGAAAUUAGAAAUAUCACUUACGUAUAAGUUAAUAAUUCUUAACCGUGAUCCGAUCAAAAUAUUAAAUUCUUCUUUAAUAUAUUUGCAAUUUUAUCAUUAAAAAAUAUAUACAAAUAAAAAAAACAAAAUACAAGCACACACAUACACUUUCACUAUUUUAUUUUUUCUUUUCUUUUCUUUUUUUUUCUUUUCUUUUACAUCCAUAUUUACAAAAUAUAAAUAAAAAUUCAAUACUAAAUAAAAAAAAUUACAACAACUCAAAAUUACAAAAUAAUCCCUAAAAUUCAAGAAACACAAAUCUGAAAAGCAUUCUGGGUCUGCCUGAACAGUGUUGAGGGAGGCUGCUAGGCGCGUGAACAGUGCUUGGACAGCGGCGGCGCGUGGGUUCACGCGCCGCCGCGAGAACGCCGGAAAAAGGGGUUGGCCAGAUUUUGCUUCUUCUUCCUUUUCCCUCCCCGCAGACGGUAAGAAGCCACAUCAUCUACAACAAAAAAAAACAAACGCACAAACAGUCGAUUUUAAGCUUUUAUUUCUUUGUUUUUUUUUUUCGGAUCUGAUUUUUUUGUUCUUUCUUUCUUCUUCGAUCUGCUCCUUCCUCUUCUUCAGGCGGGUCAAUUUGUUGUGGGUUUCAUCUUCUUCUCCUUUGCUUAGGAUGGCAGAUCGGGCGAUGUCUGUGGGCGGUGGCAGCCGAUCUAUGGACGGCGCUGCUGGGGUUGCUGCUGUAGAGGACGGCGUUGAUGGUCCGGAGGAGGAGGAGACACUGCUGAGAGGGGGAGGGUCUGGUCCUGGUCGCUGCGUUCGGGCAGGGGAGUGGGCGGUCCGUUCACGGUGGCUGAGAGGAGAGUGAGGCAGAUGAAGGAGAGGGGCUUCGGGUUUGUUUCGGGCUGUGAAGGGAGGAGAUGAUAAAAAUAGAAAAAAGGGUGGUUCGGGGGGAACUGGCAGCAGCUCUGGUUGAAAAGAAAAUCAAAGGGGAGGAGGCGGCUGUGUGUGGUUCCCGGCGGUUCAAGAAAGAAAACCGAAAACGUGGGGAGUGAAUUGAAGAUUAAAGUGUGCUAGUUUGGUCGGUUUUUUUGCUGCAACCGAGAGAGGGAUGAGGGGGAUCAGGCGUCUUGGCCAGGGAACAGAGUGGCUGCUCCGGUUUUAGGUGAGAAGGACGGAAAAAUUGGCUGAAGAGGAAAACCCAAAACGUGGGGGGGCGGCUCUCUUUAAAAAAAGAUGGUUUAGGUUUAGGUUUUUUUGUUUUUUUUUUCUGGUGUUGUCAAAAUUGCCCCCCCCCCUUUGCAAGUGUUGGAAACCAGUAUUUAUAGACAAAAAUGUUGCCAAGUUUUCAAACUUGGUCCCUCAACUUCUUUCUUUUUUGUAAAUUUUGACUUUUUCUUAUUUGUUUUGUAUUUUUUGAAAAUGAGCAAUAUCAACGUCGACUCGAUGAGAAAAAUCAACGAUUUUAAAAAUGACGCGUGAAAAGUCGAACGCGUUCGAAAGACCCUUAAAAAUUUAAAUUCUUUUUUUUUUUUAGACGACGUUGAAAAUGCUAAAAAGGCGAAAAUAUAUUAAAAACAUAUUUUUUUGGAUUUUCUUUGUUUUUCUCUAUUUUUGGAUUUUUUUGAAAAUAUAUCAAAAACAUGAGUCAAAAAAUGGGUAGCAACACUAGGAACAACCGGACACUAAUUUAGCGGAUUACAAUUCACAAGUCCCAAUUCUUUUCCCUCUUUGUGCAGUAAAACAGAAUCAAACAAUGACCAAAUAUAAUGCAAAUAAUCACACAAAUCAACACCAAGAUUUUUACGUGGAAAACCCGAUGCGGGAAAAACCACUGGACCGUAGUCCACCUAAAAACUUCUGCUAUCAACAAUAAUGGGUUCACAACUAUUCUUCCUCAGAUUCAACUAAGGGAUAUAACAUAUACAUCAUCAAGAAUAACUUAUUCGCGGAUUACAACAAGAUAUAAGAGAAUUAUUGGAGAAAAAACUCACAAUACUGACAGCCUCGUUUUUUGUCAAAACGGCUAGCUUCCACACCAUUAAUCUUCGAUCCAACCGUCCAGAAUGAAGAUCAACGCGUCUAGAAGCUGCUGUCAAAAUUUCAGCCCGAUCCAACGGUGAACGAGCUGGAAAUAGAAAGAAGAGCACGGACUGCUCUGCUGCCUCUUCUUCUUUUUUUCUCUCGGUUUUCUCUUCUCUCUUGUUUUUCUUCUACUGCGUCUACAGUGGCAGCUCCAGCUUUUUAAUUAAGAGAGAGGCAGCCAACUGCCUCUCCUUUCAUUAAUGUGGUGGUCCCCCCAUCACAUGGUGCGGGACCACACACAACAGCAACAAGGACUCCAAUAAAACUGAGCUCCUAGCAGUGGUUAAAGCCAUUGAUCUGUCUUCAUCGAAGAAUGAUUUUGUUGGGCUCAAUUUCUUGGUGGAAUCUGACUCUGCUUCAGUGGUCAGUUGGAUGAACAAUCCCUGUUCUGGACCUUGGAAGUUCCAUGAGCUUUUUGUUAAAGUUUCCAGGUUUUCUUCUGGACUGGGUAACAUUUCCUUCUGUCACAGCUUUCCAGAAGCUAACUCCAUUUGCAAAACAAGGGGUGAAUAGAUUGGUGGAUCUUACAGCGUGGACUGGAGCUUAUUGGAAGCCUUGAAUAUAAGUUUCUUCAGCUUGAAUUUUCUAUAGUUUUGAGCAGGGGUUUGUGUGUGGAUUGCUAUUCUGUUCAGGAUAGCCUCUGGAUUCUCUGAUGGAAGAAGCUUAAAGAUUUUUAUAAGCUUUUGUAUUCAGUUUUUGAUGGUUCCUUUCACGCUGCUUGAUUGUUAUUCUGUCCGGGAUAGCCUCUGGAUUCUCUGCCUGUCUUUGGCUUAUCAUGUAUCGCUUAUAAAAAAAAAAAAAAACCCGGAGAUUUGCUAUAAUGGUCAGUGUGUGAACCAAAUGUCUAACAAUAACAAGUUUGGUAUCCUUCACCCCCACGACCCUUCCCAGACGCGAAGAUAAGCUCCAUCAACAGUCCAACAAUGGCAGGACUGUUGAUGCUUUAAGCCCAUCAAACGCGGAGCAAACAGGGAGGCUGAUGUUGAUCCUGGGAGAUAAGGAACGAAUUUUGACCCUAUAAAAGAAAAACGAAGGCAGAGAACAGGGAGGACAAAAGGAGAGGAACGCAAAAAAAAAGAAAGAAAGAGAAAGAACCCAGAACAGAGGAGGGAAUAAAGGACAGAGAGAAAGAGCAGAGAGGCCCAGGACGAACAGGGGACGAACUGAGGGGACACAGAAUAGAGAGAAGAACAUAGAAGGAAGAAGAACCCUUGUCCAGACGUCGUCGCCCCAGGCCACCAGCUCCAGCAGCAUGCCCAGGUAAGUCUUCUUUCUCCUGCCCUGUUUUGCAUUUUCAAAUUCACAAAACAGUGCGAAGGUAAUUAAUUUCCGGACCAUUACUGUUAAACACAAACACGUAGUGAAAUUAUUUUUCUCUCUUCUUGUUUAAAAAGAACAUAUAAUAAUAAUAAAAAAAGAGGUAACAAAAAAAAAGCAUAGAAAAAUUGUUUUUUAUUCAUUUAAAUUUAAAUUUUAUGGAUUUAUUCACCAGCACCAGAGUUAGUAGUAUCAUACUUUUUGGGUUGUGCAAUAUUUACCAAUGUCAGAGUUGGAAAUGUUGUAAGUAAAUGUUCAUUGACGCUAGAAUCAGGAACAAUAUAAAAAGACUAGAAAAAAAAAAAACAAAUUCUUAGUAAUUUUAGAAGAAACCAACAAUGCAGUUUAUAGCUUAUCCCCUUGCAAUUUUAGAAGAAACCAACAAAAAACGCAUAUGGAAUAUUCCGUCGGUGAAAAAUCAUUUUUGAUCGUGAUUUGACUUCAACAAUUAAUUAAUAAUAAUAAAACUUGAAUUUUGACAACUCUGUAAUAAAGACUUUUAUUUCCUUUAUAGCUUAUCCCCUUGCAAUUUUAACAACCCAAUAAUAAUAAUAAUAAUAAUAAUUAGUAUUAUUGUUAUUAUUAUUAUUAAUAAAAAAAACAUGAUUAUUGGAAUAUCUCAAGAAACCAUGUUAGUCUUCUUUAAAAAAGAGGUGUUAGUACUGGGAGUUUGUUUUUUUUUAUUUUUUAUUUUAGUCGUAUUAAAGUGUUUAAAUUGGAAAGGAGUAUUUCUUGAUUAAUGCCAUUCCCUUACUAUAUGCCAAAAUAGCUUUACUUGAUAAACUAGCCAUUGGAAUUUAUUCUCUAACUUGUUUCUUACUUCUGGAAUUCAAUAGCCAUCAACUUGUGGAAUUUAUUUUUCUAACUUGAUUUUUACUUCAGAAUUAAUGUCAAAAGCCAUAAAAAUUUGGCACUAUGUUUCUACGCGUAAUUGGUCACGCCUCGAUAUUCCGACUUUCUUCUUCCGAUUCGAGUCGAGUCAUCAACUUCUGGAAUUUAUUUUUCUAACUUGAUUUUUACUUCAGAAUUAAUCAAGAGUCAAGGCAUGUCCAUUUAUGCAUAGAAAAUUUUGGUGCCGACAUUUUAUGGCUAUUGACAUUAAUUCUGAAGUAAAAAUCAAGUUAGGAAAAUGUCGGAAUACUGGUCAUCCCUUAACAUUCCGACUUUUCUGCUUCCAAUCAACCUGUGGAAUUUAUUUUCUAACUUGAUUCUUACUUCAGAAUGUGAAUAGCCAUAAAAUUCUCUAUGCAUACUGGUCAUGCCUGGACAUUCCGACUUCUGCUUCCGAUUUGAAUCAAGAGCCAUUAGCCAUGGAAAAUUCAGGUUGCAUUUUUCGGACUUGUGUCCAUAGAAAUUACAAGUCUUCAACAUGUCUAUAAAUUCCAAUAUGCUUCGCAUUUGACUUCAACAAUUAAUUAAUUUUUUUUAUUUCACUGUUUGAUUGUUACGAUGCAUGACUACAUGUCAUUUUAUUCAUUCAGAUCAACUUGACCCCCAAUAAAUAGAGUAGCGAUUAUAAUCAACAUCAAGUCUUGCAGAUAAAGCCAAAAAAGCCUUCAGGUGGAAACGUUCCGUACCAUAGAGACAGUAUAUAAUUGGUGUCCCGUUGAUCGUGAACUAUCCACAUUAAUCCUGCAACUUUUUUUUGCUUUUCCCUCAUUUGUUCAGAUCCUUGAAAAGUUUUAUCUUUGCCAGACUCGAAAUGGCUGGUGGGAAAUAUCAAGAAUCCUCCUCUUCACGGUUUUCUAAUUGUAAACAUCAAGUGUUCUUGAGUUUUAGAGGUGAAGACACCCGCAGGAAAUUUACCGAUCACCUCUACACGGCCCUAGUCCAAGCAGGGAUUCACACAUUUAGAGAUAAUGAUGAGAUUCAGAGAGGACAUAAUAUAGAGUUGGAGAUCCAGAAAGCAAUACAACAAUCAAAAAGAUCGAUAAUCGUGUUCUCCAUAGACUAUGCUCGGUCCAGAUGGUGCCUCGAUGAACUUGUUAUGAUCAUGGAACGUAAGAGGACCACUAACUCCAUAGUUUUGCCGGUAUUCUAUGAUGUGGAUCCAUCCCAAGUCAGAAAUCAAACUGGGAGCUUCGCUGCAGCAUUUGUGGAACACGAAAAGCGCUUCCAGGAGGAGAUGGAGCGGGUGAAUGGGUGGAGGAUUGCUUUGAAGGAAGUUGCAGAUUUGGGAGGAAUGGUCUUAGGAGAUGGGUAAGUUAUAUCUCUUGAUGAAACUACACAUGGCAUAAGAUUAGAAUGGUGGUUCUGAACUCUUAAUUAAUUCAGUUUUUGCAUUUAAGUACUUAGACGAAGAUUGAUAAUACCACUCCAAAUUUAGAGAAACUAAACCACUCCUAAUCUAGAGAACAUAUAAGAAAAAUAAAAUAAAAUACUAAACAUUUCUUCAUUGUUUCAUGAUAUUGUGUUCCAAAUUUAACCAUCAAUCAUUGACACGCAACCUGCUUUAAUUUCCUAGCUAAAUGUCGUUUAUUUCUAUUGCUUAUAGCUAGAGAGACUAUCGUACAUUGUAUUUUACUUUUCUGAUGUAGGUACGAGGCACAGUUUGUCCAAUCUAUUGUGGAGAACGUCUCAAAGACUUUGGAUCGAAAAAUAUUUCAUUUGCCUUUUCAUUUCAUUGGUAGAGAUUCUGUAAUACAAUAUAUCAACUCAUGGUUGCAAGAUAGGUCCCAUAGUGCUGCCAUUGCUUUACUCUAUGGAAUUGGUGGAGUUGGAAAGACUGCCAUAGCCAAGAAUGUUUAUAACCAGAACUUUUAUAAAUUUGAAGGAAAGAGCUUUCUUUUAAAUUUUAGAGAAAGGUCAAAGGAAUUCAAGGGUUUAGUUUGCCUACAGAGGCAACUUCUUUCCGACAUCCUAAAAAAGACUGUUGAUGAGAUAAAUGAUGUUGAUGAAGGAAUUUUGAAGAUUAAGGAUGUAAUAUGUUGUCGAAGAACUCUUAUUGUUGGCAUGCAAAAUUGGCUUUGCAAAGGAAGUAAAAUCAUUGUAACGACCAGAAAUAAGGGUCUGCUUUCAGCUAAUGAUGAGUGGGUCAAGUGCAAAGUUGAACCUCUAGAUAACGGAAAAUCACUUGAGCUUUUCAGUUGGCAUGCCUUUGGACAAGCUGACCCUGUUGAAGGUUUUGUAGAGUACUCUUGGAAAAUAGUGAAUCAUUGUAAUGGACUUCCAUUGGCCCUUCGUGUUAUUGGUUCUUCACUAUCUGGUAAAAUUCGAGAAGUAUGGGAAAGUGCAUUGCAUGAAAUGGAAGUGAUUCCAAAUUGUAAAGUUCAAAAGAUUCUUCGAAUAAGUUACGACUCUCUUGAUAAUGAUUACCAGAAGAACUUAUUUCUUGAUAUUGCUUGUUUCUUCAAUGGAAUGGAUUACAAUUAUGCUGUUAGGAUACUAGAUGGGCUCGGUAUAGUGGUGCAAGAUUCAGGAUUGACAAUCUCAUCGAGAUGUCUUGUAGAAAUUGUUGAAAUCAACACUGAUAAAAGGUUGUGGAUGCAUCAACUCGUAGAGAUUGGGAAGGGAAAUUUCUCGUCAAGAAUCACCCCAGUGUCAAAGAAUAUGGCAUCACAUUUGAAGCUUUUACAGUUUUGAAUGAAACAAGUGUAAGUACCUGUUUUUGUUUUUCCUAUCUGCAUGGUAUUUAGGCGUCUUAAAUGUUCAUGCUGCUUUUACUAUAUUGAAAGAAACUACUGUAAGUACCUCAUUUUGUUUUAUUUCUUUCUACUUUCUUUUCUCAUAUUACUUUUAAUAUUUUUGAAGCAGGAUGCUGAAAAAUUGCGUGGCCUUACCAUUGAUAUGCAUGCAUUCAUGGAAGAUAAUUGUACCAAAAGCUAUCUGUGGUGAUGCAAUGGUUCACCACAAGCAUAACUUCUUUCAACAUUAUCGUCUUCCUACGUUCCCCUCUCGAGAAUGGCUUUCUGAUCUUUUCUUCGGGGAACAAGCACAAAGUGGUCAAGCAAGUUUGUUGGCUGUCCUCAGCACGGAUGCUUUGAGAAAGAUGCAAAAUGUAAAAUUUCUCCAACUAAAUUACCUGAAGUUCCAUGGAAGUUAUGAACACUUCCCUAAGAAUUUGGUAUGGUUAUCCUGGCAUGGAUUCUCUUUGAGAUCCAUACCAAACCAAUUAUGCUUGGAGAAGCUUGUGGUUCUUGAUCUAUCCAGAAGCAGUCUAGUUGAUGCUUGGAAAGGAAAAUUGGUAUGUAUCUGGUCUCUCCCCAUAGCUAUCUCUUUUAUUUUCAAUUGAUAACAACUAAAAUCGAGUGUUUUUGCAGUCUCUUCCAAAAUUAAAAAUACUUGAUCUGCGUCACUCACAUGGCCUCAUUAGAACCCCAGAUUUGUCAGGUCUGCCAAGACUUGAAAAUCUAAUACUUGAAGACUGCAUCCAUUUGGUUCAAAUUCAUGAAUCUAUUGGAGAUUUACAUUGUCUCAUGAUGUUAAAUCUGAAGAAUUGUAAGAGUCUCGUGGAGCUUCCAGAAGCAGUGAGUCGAUUGAAUUCACUUCAAGAGCUUUAUUUAAAUGGUUGCUCAAAUCUUGACAGCCUGAAUAUGGAGUUAGAGCAUCAUCAGGGACACAGGUUGCUUCAAAGUGAUGGAUUUGUUGCUAGUACAUCAUACAUUUCAUCUUUGUCGUUGAAGCUAUUGUUUCCCUCUAGGUUUUCAGCAAGGAAAACUUCGAGAUUUACAUUGCCACACUCCUUGACGAGACUAGAUUUAAGUGGAACUCCAAUUCGUUUUCUUCCAGAAAGCAUUAAGGACCUCAGUCCACUCAUAGCCCUGACUUUAAGAAAUUGCAAAAUGCUUCAGACCCUCCCAGAGCUUCCAUCCAAUUUGUCUUCGUUAGAUGUGUCUAGUAGUUAUUCACUGCAAACAGUUCCAAAUCUAAUCCCUUGGACUGUAGUGUAUGAUUGUGAUCAAUUAGUUGACAUCCAAGAUUCGAUGAAGCUAGAAUUAAUCCAGAAGGCUGACUCACACAUGUUCAGAAUAAUGGAAACGGUCAACGCUCAAAUACAGCCCUGGAUAUUUCAGGUCCUCACACACCCGUUUUAUUGUAUUUCAAAUUUAUAUUUGUGUACUUUUCCUGGAAAAUUCUUCCUUUGCUCAUUUUAUAAUGGACACCGUUUUGAUGGUACAGGUUACAGUUUUUAAGGGCGUAUUCAACGUUGUCGUAGCUGAUGAAGAUGGGAUGUUUAAGUUUUAUGAGGAGGAAGAAGAGGAGUGGAUAAUUCAGAAAGAGUUUGUGGGCUGCCUGUCAUUCCAAAUAGCCUCACCUGCUGCGCACCGGAUAUGUGGUUUUAAUCUAUUCACAAGGUUUUGUACCACAUCAGAAACCCUUCUCUGUGGUUCUGUUUAUCUCGAAAUCAGAAACAAUACCAGUGGUCGAUCCUUGUUUUGUCCCGCCUCUUUCUUUCCUAGUGGCUACAAGCACGGGAAUGCUGUACUCCAAUCGCUAAGCCACUGGAAAUUAGGGGGCGAUGAUCCUAAAUUUGAUAAUGGUGAUGACGUGAGCAUUUCAGUGCUUCCACUUGAUCCAACUAUUCAAAUAAUGAUGGUUGGUGUCCUAUGGUUGCAUGAAGAGGAAGGAAAUGGUGAUGAUGAUGAUAUACAAUCAAAGGAUGAAGUUAUCACAUCCCAAAGUAGUAGCUCAUCAUACAGGGAAGUUAUCACAACCCACAACAGUAGCGAUGAUGGUGAUGAUGAUGAUGUACAUCUAGCCAAAGUAGAAACAGCUUCUCAUAUUUUUAGGAAUUAUUCCUGUGCUGCGCGUUAUAAUCCUGGCAACUUGGAAGUAUGUUCGUGGUUAUUUGAAAAGAAAGGUGAGAGGGUAUUAAUCAUCUAUUAUAUUUUAAAGCAAUUAGAUAUUUGGUAUUAUAUUUUAAGGCUUUAAUAGUCGAGGCUUCCUCACAAAGUUCAUGUCAUUAUCUAGUCUUUUUUUUUAUUGUAACCACUGUUGAUUAGACUCUGCAAUUUUAUUUUUUUUGUUUUUGUCAUUUGAUAUUGAUGAGUUUUGUGCUUAUUUUUCUCGGUAGGGAUAUUGGAAGAAAAAGGGAGGCAUCUUUGUUUAGCCUCUUGCAUGGUUGGUGGCGCUGUAAGAGAGAGGGGUUGAUUCUUUCGAAUUGCCGAGGAGAUCAGCGAGCAACAGAUUAUCUCGUGACAAAUUUGUCUUCACUCAGGUCUGUCUUAUUGUUUUUGCAUUUCAACUUAUUUUCUUCGAUGUGAUUGUUUGAAGAUUAUUUCAAGGCUUUUUUAGGCUUAUUAUAUGAUGAGAUAUUCUUUUGGAUGAGAUUAUAUGAUAUUAAUUCAUUUGCCAUGGCACGAAAUUGUUUAUUUUCAGCAUUUAUGUGUUUGCUGUUAAAGAAAUCAUGGUCAUUGUCUUUUUGGUGUUGGUUCUUGGUUUUUGUAAGAUAGUCUGUUUUAAUUAUCUGUAAGGCUGUAAAAAAAAAAAAGACAUGUUUAUGGUUUUCUUGGUUUUAGAAAAUAUGAUUUUAUCAAGAUAAGUCUUUGAAAAAUAAGGUGUGGCUGCCACCUUCCAAUCACUAGAUUUCUUUUAUGGGAUAAAAAAACAGUAAAUUACUCCAUAGAGUACAUGGUAAUGAUUAACGCGUGUUAAGGGUGUAGUUGUUGGGGUCUCCAUUGACAAAGCCACCAUGGUGGUGAUGAACCUUGAUGGUGAAAGUGUUUCAAGAUGAUAAUGACAACACACAGUAGCCAAGUUGGUGAUGGCUUUGGAAAAAAGGCAGAGCUUUAUUUGUGGCAGUGUAUAGUAGUGCUCGACUAAGUGUUUCAUGGCUCUGCUUCUUCUUCAUGCUAGCAUUGAUGUUCAUCAUUUGUCCUCUACUUUUUCAGGUCUGGUAGCUGCAGUUUUUCUCGCUUGAUUUAGAGAGGGGCUGCUGGAUUAGUGUUUGAGUGUUGCAGCUUUCCUUCUUCAGUUUUUUUUUUUCUUCCCCUGCUUGCUUCCUCAUGGGUUCUGUUUUGUUGCUCCAAUUUUUUUCUCUUUGGUCUUGCUUAAUCUAUGUCUUAGUGGUUUGCUCUUUUUAUGAAAGAUUGAUGACUUUGCUUUUGCCUUUUUCUUUUUUCCAGUUUAUUUUAUCUUUAACAGCUUCGAUUCUUCCUUCGGAGAUGUUGGUUAGGUUUCUUUGUUUAAGUUGGAUCUCUAUAGGCAGAUUCGCUUCUUCUUUUUUUUUUUUUUUUGCCUUCUUUUUUCCCCUCCCAUAUGUUUAUGCCCAAAUUGAGGCAUUGUUUGCUGUAUUUUCCCUACAAUGUUUGUUUAAAUUCAGGAGAUGGUUCGUGUUUAUAUAGAUUUUUGUGUAGGAAUUUCUUCAUCCCUGUCGUGUUAAAUAAUUUAUGGGUUCAAACUCUUUAUAGUUUAUACUUAACGAGAUUGUUUGAAGCAUGGUCAAAUCAAAAUUUCCCACCUGCUACUGUGGGAAUUCAAUAUAUUGACUUUUGCUUGAAUGUCAUUUAUGGUUGAUGACUUCUUUUUUUCCCUUUUCACAGUUUGGGUGUUAGAUUGGAAGGCAGCAACACACCAGCUUUUUGGAUAUAGUCGCCUUGAUGCCCUACUCUCGAUUCAUUUCAUAUGGCUGAUUUCUAUAGUUUUAAUCUAUGAGAAAUUUAAAUGCAGUAAGUGCAAAGUGUUCUUCAACCAAUACUACCAGUAGGUGUUUUUAGCUUGAACAUUGUGAAAAAUUAGAAAUCAGUUCUGGAUUGUGCAUUAAGUGUAGGUCUGUUUAGAAGUUGAGAUGAGAAGAUGAAGGCUUAGAGAAUCUCCAAUGAAAAAGCUAAAUGGAAAGCCAAAAAUAAAAAAUUAAUAUUUUAGCUUUUUUUUUGCUUGUUUUGCACACUCCAAGGGCAAAGCCAAACAAAAUACUAAAAUGUCUUUUCUCUCCCACAAAUGUUAUUCCUACAUAUCUCUUUAAAGAGCCAAAACUAACAAAGUGGGACCACUAAAAAAAUAAACCAAUUAAAUAUAGUCAUGUGGAAAAAAAAAUAACAUUAAACUUAUUAAAAAAUAAUAAAAAACUUGUUUUUUCCACUCCAAUAGCUUUUUUCCAUUGAAAUAGAUAUGAUAAAAAAAGCUAUAUCUAUACUAUUUAAAAUGUUAUUUUAUCAAUUUAGCUUUUCAAAAUAGCAUUUGCUCUUAAGCUGAAGCAGACCAUGGAAAUGUACAGCAGUACAGCUUGCAAAGAAGCACUUUCUGCAAAAAGGAAAAAAGUUUCAUUUCAUCAUCAACUGCACCAAAAAUUUGAAAGAAGUUCGUUGUCAUUGAACUUAAUCCUGCUUUUGAACAUGGACUCAGUUGGCUGCUGAGUGUCUUUUUGAACGCAUCUCCAUCGUGACCCUGCUUUAUCAGAAUCAUCGUAGAGAACUUUUCAGUGAUAGGAAGUCGAAUAUGUAAUCCUCUUCAUUAGAUGAACAAGCAGAGUUAAGGAAACAGAUAAAAGGAAAGCACAAAAGUUGAUGCAUGAAACAGGGGAGUGUAACAAUUAGAGGGAACGAAAAAAAAAACAUAAGAAACCAACUCCUCCCUACUAAACAUCUAAACAUUCUCUGUAUUAAGCUCCAAAGAGAUGGAAUCAAGCCUCAGCCAUAAAGCAAUACUUUGUCACAUCAUGGAGAAACAAAUUUGGAGGUUAAGGGCAGCGCCAUUAAAAAUGACGUCAUUCCGGUGGAGCCAAAGAUUCCAUACAACACAUAAAAAAAAAAAAAAAGCUGCCAUGAGAGAUUCUACUGCUUGCCUUUAACCAUUGGUAGCACAUAUCAUCAACAGAUUUUGAAAAAACACUACAAAAGCCCCGAUUAGAAAGCAAUUUCAUCCAUAUAUUCCAAGUGAAGUGGCAGUGAAUGAAGAGGUGACUUGAAGAUUCCAAACUUUAUUGCAAAAAGCACAUCAUGAUUCCUGAAGGAUAAGGUAGUUAUGCUGAAAUAAAAAAUCUCUUGUGGUUACUUUAUCUUGAACAAGGAGCUAGAGGAAAAAUUGCACUUUUGGUGAAGUUAGUUUUAUCCAAUCAAAAGAUUGGAAUAGUUUGGCACCAUCGUAGAGCAACUAGUCCAUUAUUUUGGAGCAAAAUUUUACACUGAAGAGACCAUUGUUGUUGAGAGUCCAGAUCUUCUUAUCCAUCUUGUGACAGAACAAAGGCUUGGAAUUCAACAAUGAUGAUAAAAGUUAUAGUUGUUCUUGUUCAACAUGAAAUAGAGGUUUGCGCCAUUACAGGGACCAAAUCCAAAUUCCAUUACUCCAUCUACCAAUAUCAGCCACCAAAGCAGAUUUAGAGGAAGACAAAAAAUAUAGCCUGGAGAAGGCUGUUUUGAGAGGGUAGUCACUAAUCCAAUUGUCUAGCCAAAAGGAUGUUAAAUUGUCAUUCCCCACCAUGAAUUUGCAAUUAUUCGUGAAGACAUGGUUAUUAAGUUGUUUACGUGUUGGAUGUUUUAUUGUAUAAUAUGAAAAUCAUGUGCUUGUGUUAGAUAAUGUUUAUUGUUAAUUAAUUUUCGUCAAAGCAUCCUAUUAAAUAUGUUAUGCAAAAAAAAAUCCUGGAUUUUCAUGUUACAUUCAGAAUUUGUCCCGGAAAAAAAUAGGGAUGUUACAACUUCUCUAUUUUUUCUCUCUCUUCCUCUUCUGUUAUUUAUCUCGCUAACAAAACCUCUCACUCUUUCUUUCUCUUCUCUCUCUCAUUCUCUCCUCAAGCAACGACCCUCUUUUCUCUAACAAGUAUGGCUCCUCCUUCUCUUUGUUUAAUUUUUUAUUUGUUUAUUAACUCAUAACAUGUAAUUUUUUUUUAUUCUCAAAUUAACCCACAACUAAUAUAUAUAAAGGUAAGAAUUCUACUAUUUCUUCUCUAAGUUUUGGGUGUUUUUGCUUUUUUUAUAUAUAUUUUUAUGUUCUUAAUUAUAUGAAUUUUGUUGUUUUGAAUUUUUUUCAUAUGAGAAAAUUUUGUCGAACUUUAGUUUUUUCUUUUCUAUUUUUUUUCAAUUAAAUUUAAAAAUCCAAGGACAUAAUUGAACUUUAAAAAGGUUAAAGUGGCUUGAUCAAGAGCUAAAAUGAAAGAAAAACAAAGUUUUGAAGUCAAUUUGUUAGAAAUUAGAAGAACUUAAUUGAAAUUUGGUUUAUGUUAAUUAAUGCAACUAAGGACUUAAUUGAAAUUUGGUUUAUGUUAAUUAAUGAAACUAUAGACUUAAUUGAAGAAAAAUCAAAGUUUGAGAAUCAAUUAGUGUCAAGAUUGCAAUAAUUAAAGGUUCAAAUACUAAAAUGAAUGGGUGUUGAAGUUUUGAGAGGCAAAUUAUUUUAAUUAAGGGUUAAAUCAAAAGAAUUAAAAGUAUAAAAGGGAAAUUGAGGAUGAACUUAAAGAAUAUCAAGACCGAGGACCAUAUUGUAAAAGACACUAAGUGCUCAAUCAAAGAAAUCAAGUGGCAUAAUUGAAAAGAUUAUUAAAGAUUGUAACCAAUUGAGGGUUUGUUUGUGAAAUAACAAAAAAAUAGAUACCAAAAUUGACUUUCACUUAUUAAAAACAUUUUUAGGUCAUUAGUUCAGAAUUAAACGCAUUUACCUGCAAUUGGCUAAUUAACAUACAAUUUGAAACAUAAUAACGAUUGCCCAUUAAAUAUAUGCAUUAAUAGAAAUAAAUUAAAAAUAAUAAUCUUAAUACAAGUUGAGUGAACUCUUCACUCAAGGGAAACAAAUUGAAUAAAAUGAAUUGAUUUGUAGCAAUUUUAAUUUAAAUUAUUUUCUCUUGUAUUUAGGAGGUGUUGCUAAUUUAUUUUUAAAAAAUAGGAAUGGUUUAUAAUAUCUUAAUUUUUAAAUUUGUGUAGAUGUCAAGGAAAAAAUCAAUCGCAUGUCAUAUGAACAUGAUCACUACUAGUUCUUCUAAUAACGCUUCUGACGAUCAUGAAUUGUUAUGUGCCAAUCAAGAAUAAACACAUAAAAAAUAGAUAUUCACUUACGACGUGAGCUCAUUGAGUACAUUCAUAGCAAAAUUUUAAAAGAAACUUUUUUAAUUUAUAUUUUUUUCUAUUUGAUAAAAGUUUUUUGAUAUAACAUAUUUCAUAGAUAUCCAUGUCAGAAAUUAAUGACAUAAAUUUUCUAUUUUAUUGGUGGAGUAUUUUUCAUAGGUAUUUUCAUAGCUAUUUGCUAGUAGUAAAACAACUAAAAAAGAAAAGUUGCAUUAGUCCUAAAUGUUAGGAGUAAAUUGAAAGCAAUCCCGAUUUGUUUUUAGUAUGAUCAGUUUUCUUAGCUCAACUACUUGAAAGACAUUUGAUAUUGAUUGGAAUAUCAAUAAACCAAUUAAAUUGUUUGGUUUUGUUUGUAGCCAUGGAAAAUUCAGGAGAUAUUUUAGAAAAUGGAAAUUAGACGAAAUGGAAAAUUAGCCAUGGAAAAUUCAGUGUGCAUUAAUUGUCGAGAUUAUAAUCAAAUAGAUUAGUGAUUGUAUUCAACAUCCAAGUCUUGAUAAAAAUAGAACCAAAAAAGUCCUCACGCGGAAACAUUUCAUACCAUAGAGAGAGUGGACUUGUGGGGAUGACUUGUCUUAAAUUUUGAGCAAAUUAAAAAAAAAAAAAAAAAUACAUGGUCCUAACGCGGAAAUGGCCCAUAUACCACAGAGACUUUUAAGGUUGAUUUAAAAGCAGAAAAUUGAUGAACUGAUAAGAGAACAUCAACGAAGGGAAAGUGAAGAUUGCAGGUACUCUCUCUCUCUCUCUCUCAUCUCUUUUAUUAUUAUGUUAUAUUGUGGAAAAUAACUCUUCUGUAACUGAGAAUCACUUCGAUUAAUUCACUGUUAGAAACUAAUUAUGUUGUAUUGUGGAAUGUAACUCAUCAACCGAUUUCGUUGGUUCAGCAUAGAGAUUUAAUUUAUCAUAUGUACAAAUAUUUUUCUGAAAGGGCAUGGAGGAGUUGAUUGCUGGAAAAAACUUGAAAAUUGUUUUAAAGAUAAAGUCAGAUAAUAAUAUAUGAAUUCUUCAGCUUAUUGGUGUGCUGUCGAUCUUGAACUAUCGACAUUAAUCCUGCAACUCCUUUUUUUUUUUGUUCAGAUCUUUGAAAAGUCUUAUCUUUGCUAGAAUCGGAUAUAUGGCUGCUGGGAAUUAUCAAGAAUCCUACUCUUCCAGGUUUUCUAAUUGUAAAUAUCAAGUGUUCUUGAGUUUUAGAGGUGCAGACACCCGCAAGAACUUUACCGAUCACCUCUACAAAGUCCUAAUUCAAGCAGGAAUUCACACAUUUAGAGAUGAUGAUGAAAUUCGGAGAGGAGAUAAUAUAGAUUUCGAGCUCCAGAAGGCAAUACAACAAUCAAAAGUAUCGAUAAUCGUGUUCUCCAAAGACUAUGCUUCGUCGAGAUGGUGCCUUGAUGAACUUGUAAUGAUCAUGGAACGUAAGAGGAAUGAUGACUGCAUAGUUUUGCCAGUAUUCUAUGAUGUGGAUCCAUCCCAAGUCGGACUUCAAACAGGGAGCUUCGCUGCAGCAUUUGUGGAACAUGAAAAGAGCUUCAACGAGGAGAAGGAGCGAGUGAGUGGGUGGAGGAUUGCUUUGAAAGAAGUUGCAGAUUUAGCUGGAAUGGUUUUAGGAGAUGGGUAAGUUGCAUCUCUUGAUGAAACUAAACAUAGCAUAAGACUAGAAUGCUGGUCGUGAACUCUUAAUUUCUUUCAGAUAAGUGUACUGAUAAGAAAACAUAUAAGAAAAAUAAAAUAAAAUACUUAAGAUUUCUUAGUUGUUUUUUUUUCAAUUAUUAACUAUCAAAUAUUUGACACACAAACUGCUUUAAUUUCUUAGCUAACUGUUGUUUAUUUCUAUUACUUCUAGAGAGACUACUAAUAAUCGCACAUUGUAUUUUACUUUUUGAUGUAGGUAUGAGGCACAGUUUGUCCAAUCUAUUGUGGAGAAGGUCUCAAAGAAAUUGGAUAAAAAAAUGUUUCAUUUACCCCUUCAUUUCAUUGGAAGAGAUGCUGUGGUAAAUUAUAUCAACUCAUGGUUGCAAGAUGGGUCCCAUGAUGCUUUCAUUGCUAUACUCUAUGGAAUUGGUGGAGUUGGGAAGACAACCAUAGCAAAAAGUGUUUUUAAUCAGAAUAUUCAUAAAUUUGAAGGAAAGAGCUUCCUAUCAAAUUUUAGAUCAAAGGAUAUAGUUUGCCUACAGAGGCAACUUCUUUCCGACAUCCUAAAAAAGACUGUUGAUGAGAUAAAUGAUGAAGAUGAAGGAAUUUUGAAGAUUAAGGAUGCAUUAUGUUGCAGAAAAAAUCUUAUUGUUCUAGAUGAUGUGGACAAAAGGGACCAAUUCAAUAAAAUCAUUGGCAUGCAAAAUUGGCUUUGUAAGGGAAGUAAAAUCAUUGUAACAACCAGAAAUAAGGGUUUGUUUUCAGUUAAUGAUAUUGAGUGGUUCGAGUGCAAAAUUAAACCGCUAGAUAUUGAAAAAUCACUUGAGCUUUUUAGUUGGAAUGCCUUUGGACAAGCUGAUCGUGUUGAUGGUUUUGUCGAAGACUCUUUGAGAAUAGUAUGUCAUUGUAAAGGACUUCCAUUAGCUCUUCGAGUUAUUGGCUCUUCCUUGUCCGGAAAAGGUAGAGAAAUAUGGGAAAGCGCAUUACAACAAAUGGAAGUGAUUCCUAAUUGUGAAGUUCAAAAGGUUCUUCGAAUAAGUUACGACUCUCUUGAUGAUGAUUACCAGAAGAACUUAUUCCUUGAUAUCGCAUGUUUCUUCAAUGGAAUGGAUGUGGAUGAUGCAGUUAGAAUACUGGAUGGGCUCGAUAAAGGUGCAAGAUUUGGGAUUGACAAACUCAUCGAUAGAUGUCUUGUUGAAAUCAACCUUGAUAAAAGGUUAUGGAUGCAUCAACUCGUAAGAGAUAUGGGAAGGGAAAUUGCUCGUCAAGAAUCACCCAAAUGUCAAAGAAUAUGGCAUCACGGGGAUGCUUUUACCGUUUUGAAAGGAACUGUUGUAUGUAGCCUAGUUUUUUUAUAUGUUUACGUAAAUGGUUUGUGGUGCCUUAACAUAUUCAUUCAUUUACUUUCCUUUCUCAUGUAAUUUUACUUAUAUAGAAUUGUUGCAGGAUGCUGAAAAAUUGCGUGGCCUUACCCUGGAUAUGCAUGCAUUAAUGAAAGAUGAUUAUGCAGAAGUUGUCUUUACCAGUUCAAUUGUUCACCUUAAGCACGUCAGGCUCAACUUCGUUCAACAAUGGCUUUCUAAUUUUUCCGAUGGAGGAAAAUUACAAACUGGCCUCAGCACGGAUGCUUUUAGAAAGAUACCAAAUGUAAAAUUUCUCCAGCUAAACUACACUAAUUUUCGUGGAAGUUUUGAGCACUUUCCUAAGAAUUUGAUAUGGUUAUGUUGGCAUGGAUUGUCUUGGAGAUCCAUACCAAGUCAUGUAUGCUUGGAGAAGCUGGUGGUUCUUGAUCUAUCCAGAAGUUGUCUAGUUGAUGCUUGGAAAGGCAAACUGGUAUGCAUCGAGUCUCUCUUUAUAGCUAUCUCUCUCGUUUUGAAUUCAUAACAACUAAAUUAUAUGUAUUUUCGCAGUUUCUUCCAAAAUUAAAAGUUCUUGAUCUCCGUCACUCACAUGAUCUCAUUAGAACCCCAGACUUCUCGAGUCUCCCAGCUCUUGAAAAGCUAAUACUUGAGGACUGCAUCAGUUUGGUUCAAAUUCACAAAUCUAUUGGUGAUUUACAAAGACUGUUGAUCUUAAAUCUAAGAAAUUGUAAAAGUCUUAUGGAGUUUCUAGAAGAAAUGCGUUUACCGAAUUCACUUCAAGAGCUGGUUUUAGAUGGUUGCUCAAAUCUUGUCAGCCUGAUGAACAUGGUGUUAGAGCAUCAUCAGGGGCGCAGCUUGCUUCAAAGUGAUGGAAUUGUUGCAAAUACGUCAUACAUUACAUCUCCGUUGAAGCUAUUCUUUCCCACUAGGUUUUCAGAGAGGAGAAUUUUGAGAUUUACCUCGUUUUCAUUGCCACGCUCCUUGGAGAGUCUAGAUUUAAGUGGAACAACAAUUCGUUCUCUUCCAGAAAGCAUCAAGGAUCUUGGUCUACUCAGAGACCUAUAUUUAAGAAAUUGCAAAAUGCUUCAGACACUCCCAGAGCUUCCAUCCCAUUUGAUUUUGUUAGAUGUGUCCUUUUGCUAUUCACUGCAAAGACUUGCAAAUCGAACCUUUUGGGUUAAAGCAGAUGGUUGUGAUCAAUUUGUCGAGUUCCAAGAUUCGAUAAAGCUAGAAUUAAUCCAAAAUUUUGACUCACACAUGUUCAGAAUAAGGGAAACGGCUCAAAUACAGCCAUCGAGAUUUCAGGUCCUCCCUCACCCAUUUUAUUGCUUUUGAAAUCUACAUUUUAAUAUUUUUCUUUUGCUCAUUUUACAGACAUUGUUUUGGUGGUACAGCUAGCAUUGUAUAGUCGCACAGUGAGUCUUGUCGCAUAUGUAUUUGAUGAAGAUGAGAUGUUAAGGUGGUUUCAUGAGGAAGAAGAGGAUAGAUGGAUAAUUCAGGAUGAGUUUGUAGGUAACUUUUCAUUCAAAAUAUCCUCACCUCCUGCGCACCGGGUAUGUGGCUUUAAUUUAUUCGCAAGGUUUUGUGUGACGUCAGAGUUCUUUUUCUUUGAUGAAGUUGGUCUUGAAAUCAGAAACAAUACCAGUGGUCAAUCCAUGUUUUGCCCCUCCUCUACCUUCGCUAUGAUCAGUUACAAGCGUCGUGUUCGUGAAUUCCAAGCGCUAAUGCACUGGAAAUUAGGGGUCGAUGAUCCUCCAUUUGAUAACGGUGAUGACGUGAGUAUUUCAGUGAUUCCACAUGGUCCAGCUCUUCAAGUAAGGACGUUUGGUGUACGAUGGUUGCAUGAAGAGGAAGGAGAUGAGGAUGAUAUCCAAUCAGAGGGUGAAGUUAUCAAUACCCACAACAGUAGCAAUAGUCUUUUACUGUAGAUUUAUUAAUGUCACAAGGAGUCCUUAUAACUGUCAAAUGAUGAUUUUUCUCCUGUUAACAUAAUAUAAGUGUACGUGGACUUAAGGGUAUAAUUGUGUUUUUCUUUAUUUGCACAGUAAAAUAAUUGUUAUGCCUUUAAAGACAAAACUCUCAUUAGCGGGACAGGCUACUUUUAACUUUUUCAUUUUAGUUGCACACUAAAAUAAUCAUGAUACCCCUGCAUCAGAAUAGCCUCUGCCUUGAGUUUUUAUCUUUUUAGUUUUUUUUUUUUUAAUUGUAAUCAUGGAGCUUCAUCAGAGGCAAUUUAAUAUUUUUGCAUAAAUAAAAUAAUAUUUAAUCUAAAAAAGUUGGUUGUGCAUGUACCUGACGUGAAUCCAUGUAGUUUCUUCUGCACUCUUUUCACGGUGCCUAUGGUGCCGUCUGCCGGCAAAACUCCGGCUUUCAUAAUGACAUUUUAUUUUUUUGCACUUUCUCCUUUAUUUCUAAGCAGUGCAUAAAAUAUAUUGGAUUAUGAAUCGGUGGUUAUUAUUAUUAUUAUUUUCUUUCUUUCUUUUUCUUUAAUUUUAGAGCUUACACUGCAUAUUUUCAAAGUAGCUUUUUAAUUUAUUUAUUUUUUAAAUAAAAAAAUAAUUCAAAAAGCUUUGAAAAAAAGGGGGAAAGAUCCACCGUUACGAAACGAAUUAAUAGUCUAGUGCUUUUACAACACAAUUUGAAAGGACCAAAAGUCCGGUGUGAAUGAAUGGAGGACAAUAAUGAAUAAUGAGUCCCGAGUGCUUGAGCAACUGGACAGGUUACUUGAGACGAAUAAAUGAGAUGAUGCUGUGGUUUUGUAAGCAUAUGGGGUCACCUCCAUGGUUGAUACCGACACAACACUUUUUGAAAACAGUAGAUCCCAUCGAUUUUAAAUUAAGUUUUUUUUUUUAAUUAUUUUUUUCCUUUUAAACUACGUGGUGUUGUUUUCUUAAUCACGAGAAUGGAAAACGGCAUUAUCAAUUAAUUAACAAAAACAGUUUUAAAGUAGGAGACCCACUUAAGAAUAAAGGAAGAAAAUAAGAGGUACAAAGUGCAUUGGAUUGUCAAAAUGGGACUCGCCAUUGUUACAUGUGCAAUGAUGAAAUGAAAGGAAAUUACCUCAUACAACUAAAACAACUUGGAAAGCACGUGGAAUUUCACUUUACAUGUAAAUAAUGAAGCUUCUCUAUUUUUAUUUUUUUUUCUUCUUAAUUUUUUUUUAAUUUUAUCCUUAAAUAUUAUUUAUUAUCAAAUUAUAUUUAAAUUAACGAAGUUAAUAGGGUUAUGUCAAAAUAAUUUUUAUAUAAUUUAACUUUAAAUCUAGACUAAAUAAAAAAUUAGAUCAUAAAAUUUUAAAAUUAACCUAUUAUAUAAUAAGUUUAAUAAUAAAAUUAAAUAUAUUUUUUUCCUCUGUACUUUUGGUUUUGGAUGCGAGAGGAUAGAGAUACGGCCAGAGAAAGAACAGUGCGAUAGUAGAUGAGCUGGAUUGUGUGGGUGUCUAAUGUCUCUAUGUGUGUCUAAAUGUCCCUGUCGGUAACUAUACUUUACAUUGCUAUAUAACAAAAUAUUUUAUUUACAGUAUUGUGCGACUUGGAGGGUUGUCUUAAAAGCUUAGAGCGGAAUCUCGAUCGACUGAUACAGAACAGCAGCCACAACUGAAGAGAAAAGGGAAAGGGGAACCUGCAGGUACUCUCUCUUUCUUAUCUCUUGUUUACUUUGGUUCCAGCUGUUUUCUAGUUUUUUUUUUUUUUAUUAAUCAUUUAGAUUAAACUACUGCCAGUGACUACUUCAAUUAUAAACUAUCAAACUCACUUUCGUAGGCUUUGUAAGGAUUACAAGAUGUGUGUUUUGGAAAUAAUUAAGGCUUAUAUAGCCAGAUGGGGAUCCUUAAUGGCUUUCCUUUCCUGCUCCAUCUGUGCUUCUAAAUGCGUGGUAGCAAGUGAGGAUAACAUAUGUACAGAUAUUUCUCUGAAAGGGUCUGGGGAGUUGAUUGCUGGGAAAUAACUUGAAAGAUGUUGUCAUAACCCAAUUUUUGAAUAAAUAAUACAAAAUCAAUGAUUAAAAAUAUAUUUGAGAAUGAGGUUAAAAUAACACAAAUUCAAAGUUUAGGAAUGAAAUUAUCAAAUUUGAGAAUAAAUUGAUCAGAAAUUGAAGAAUUAAUAAGUUUGGAAAUUUACUUAAAAUUUGGAUUAUUUUAAUUAAUGAAAUUAGAAGAAUUAAUAAGUUUGUGGACUUAAUUAAACUUUGAUUUAAUUAAUUAAAUAAAUUCAGGGACUUAAUUGAAAUUUAUCCAGAAGGGGCAAAAUUGAAAGAAAUUUUUAUUUGUUUAGGGGUCCAAUUGCGAAAUUCCAGAGACAGGGGUCAAAUUGAAAAUUUCUAUUUUUUGCCGAAACGGCACCGUUCCUAGAAACAGUCGUGCGUCUUCUCCAUUCCCGCUUCAACAGGGAAGCUCCCGAUUCAACAGGGGAGCUGAUAAUCCUCAACAAAUCUGAUCUUGGACCAUGUCUCUUGCCAUGAUCUCGGUGGUGGAGGCAUAAACAUAGUCCUGGAAAGAUAGGACACCAGGGAGGGUUUAGCUUGGCUAUAAAAAGAAAGAAGAAAAACCCAGAAAAAGGAGGAGAAACCCAGAAAAAAGACGAAAGAAAAAGCCAGAAAAACAAAGAAGAAAAACAACAAAAACAGAGCAAUUCUGUCGCACCCGACAGAGCAAACAAAACACAAUCAAAAAAAGAAAAUACAGAGAGAAGAACGAAGACACAGGGGAAGAAGAAACAGAGAAAAAAUAGAGAGGCACACAGAAAUACAUAAAGAAAUAACAAGAAGAGCAGGGGAGAAAAAGGGAAGCACACACACAGACAAGGAUUGAUUAUCCCUGCCAUCGUGUUAUCCCUGCAAAAACAAAAAAUAAAGACAACAACCGGCAUCCACAGUAAACCGGCAUCUCCAUUGUUGUCUCCUUCGUCAUCUCAAAGUCUGUUAAAAACAAAAAGCAGACCGCGGGCACAGGAACGGAAAAAGCAGCAGAAAAGGUAUCAAGCAGGCGAAAGUCACCACCAGCGUUCCAGCCAUAAUCGUCCCCAUCGCCAGGUACGCGACUUCUUCCUCUUGCAUUGUUUCAGUAAUUGACAUUUACACUGUGCAAGUGAAUUUUAAUUCACUUGCACAGUGUAGCAACACGCGUGCUUUAGCGCACGCAUGUUGCUCAGCAUAGCCAGGCCACUGAUGUGCUAUCGAUCUUGUCUAGUUAUGAACCAAUUUUGUUGGUUCAGCAUAGAGAUUGAUCACAAGUUAUAAACUAAUAAAUUCACUUUCUUGGGUAUUGUUAGGAUUGCAAGAUGUGUGCUUUUGCAAAUAAUUUAGGUUUCUAGAUGGGCAUCCUUGUGUGCUUGUAAAUAAUGGUAGCAAGUGCUGAUAAAAUAUGUACAAAUAUUUAUCUGAAAUGGCCUGGGGAGUUGAUUUCUGGGAAAUAACUUAAAAAAUGCUUUAACCAGUGUAUUUCUUAUUAUUAUCCCUCUUCAAACGCAUCCCUAUCGUGACCCUGCUUUAUCUGAAACAUCGCAGAGAACUUUUCAGUGAUAGAAAGUCGAAUAUGUAAUCCAUUCUCCCGAGGAUAAACCUUC